AGAUGGAGUUAGUGGCGCUGCCAUCUGGGAAAGAAGAGUAUCAGCAAGAAUAAGCUUGGGAAGAAGCGACACACCAUCGAGACAAGGAGAUUCGGCGAUACAUUGCUAGGAUGGCCUAGGCAACGAAAACCUCUUACAUUCACCUCCCCGAUCCUCCGAGCGACCUUCAGCCGUAAUCCCCACCAGCCAAUAUAAUUGAACUAAUUAAUUAUACCAAGACAGGCCCCAUGCGACUCAGCAUUUGGAUUCGUUGUAUUGGAUGGAUAGUUGCAUGUAGUAACCCUUUUGAAGGCAGUUGAAUUAGUAAAAAAUGCAGGUCUCAACUACAUAAGAGAGCAGGAACACUUCACAUCCAAAUCUACUAUCCAAAGAAGAAGACAUGGAGAUCUGUCAUAACAAAGUCACCUUUCCAUUACAGUUUGGAUUUUGAUAUUGUAGUUAUGAGCACCAUUCGCUUGUGAAUCUCUAUUCUUAUUGCUUGUACUUGUGCUGAUAAUGUACAGAUUGAUAAACCCCCACUGAUAGAAAGUAAAAUAAGUUCGUUGUAUUAUUUUUUCUAUCGCUCAAAAGAUAACGAAGUUACAAACAUAAGAUUUGUACUUAUACAAUAUGUGCGAAAAUAAAAUAACUAUCAAUGAGAAAAUGAAUUUUUUUUCCUGUAAUGUAUUAUUCUUUAGAAAGAAUAUAUUCAAUUAAUUAAAUGUUUGAAAUGAAAAUCUUUAGUUGGUUAAGCUGGUUUUUUUUUUUAAUUUAUUUAUUUUAAUCCAAAAUGGUUUCUGAGAUUUGUAUAACUCAUCACUUUGGUUGAGAUUUGAAAUCGAUAGAAAUGGUCCCUAAGUUUGUUUACCAUCAAUCAUUUUGAUUAUUCCUUAAAAAAAUAUGUUAAAUAAGGACUAAAUGACAAAAAUACAAUCUGUUUAUACCAUACUUAGGGCCUCCGUAUUUAGACCUCGUAUAAAUACUUAAGGGACUUAAAUGUAAUUAUGUAAUAAGGGAAUGGGCAAAUAUGUAAUAAGUGAGGAGCCCUUAUUCUAUAAAAGGACCUCUCACCCUCACAAUUAGGAGGCCAACUCUUAGGCCUGAAGCCCCCUCACCCUCUCACAUCCCCUCUCACAUUACAGAGGUUCUCUCCCUCACAAUCCUCUCAGAGAAAUACAAUAUCAGUGUGGACGUAGCCCAAACAUUGAGGUGAACCACGAUACAUCUUGUGUUAUUUACAUUUCUUGCAGAUUCAGGGUCGGAUUUACAUUGUUCCAAGACCUCCGGUUUUGUGCAUCAACAUUUGACGCCGUCUAUGGGAAUCGACACAAAAAACUAUGUCGGUUCUCUUUCAUAUUUUCACCUCCACCAUGAAUCUGCAAGAACCCAAAAACCCAAAGCUUUCCCAGAAAACCCAACGGUUCAUUCUCUUUCUCUCUCUCUCUUGUUUAUGGGGUUGUGUGCUUUUUAGUGAUUGAGAUCUGUAUCAAGAUGGGUGGUCUUGUUUUCGAAAAGAGAAAAAACUGAUAAUUGAAGGUUGACCCUGACAUCGACAUCGACCCCGAGGGAAGAAGAGGAUAACGGGCUGUUUUUUUUUUCCUUUCAGGUCUGAUUGAGUACGUGACUUGGUAUUCUAAAGGAUCGCCAUCUACACCUUGGCUGAGCAACAAGACAGACUUGCCGAGCAACAAGACAGACUUGCCGCUCGUCUAUCCCUACCAACAACACAUCAUUCGUCUGUUUUUUCGAUCUCCCCUCUACAAUUCAUAAGAGUAAUAAUAGUUCUGGUUUUACAAGGAAAGUAAGAAGAAAAGAAAGAUAGCAAUACUAUGCAGAAGAGUGGGAGUGUUUCCAAGAAUAGUUUGAGAGUAACGGUGCCUCAGCAGUCUCUCAGGCGACUGGGAUUGUGCUCCCAAAUAGCCACUUCAACUGGGGGUCAACACUGCUCCCUAAUUAUUUUCCCUGAGAGGCUGAAAGCUCAAAGCUCAAAGCUCAAAACAUGGCCGAUUCCAAAGUAGAGACAAUAUCUCGAUUCCGAAGCUCAAAACAGGUCUCUCUCUCUCUCUCUCAGUCUCAUCUCUCAGCUCAUCCAGUAAAACCUAUCACAAUAGCCGGAACCCGAAUCCCACCUCAGGAUCCGACCCGCAAAACCGGCGAAGCCGCACCAUUCUCCGAAUUCUCCUUCCCCAGCCGAUCAAACCGCGACUCAAGCUCACUGGCUCGGUCGUUCAAGCCCUGUAGGAACAGCUCACCUCCGAGCCUCUCAAGGAUUACAUAGUCAGAUGCAAAUGAAGCAGCUAACUGGCUUUCACCAGGAAACAAAACGAGGAUUUGAAGUCCUCCGAUAGUCAAGUCCAACUUGAUCGAUCUGCAUGCAUACGUUAAUUUGAAUUCACCAUUAGCAAGGGCUGCAGCGCUAUGCACUCGAUUGGGGAGAGGCCACUUCAAGUUCAAAGUUUGGCCACGUCAACCGGAGGCCAUAGAUUCUCUGCAACCCAGAUCUCAAAAAUGGUCAGGUCAUGCCCAAAACUUUUCCAAUUGCAUCCUGAGAUGACCAUUUUCCCAAAUCUUGAAGAGAACACCGAUGAGAGGUCAAGCUCGCAAUUCACGCAGAUCUACCGGAGCAGAGAAGUGGGUCAGUCUUAUUUCACCUAUGUUUUGACUACUUUGAUUACUUUGGCUUAUAAGCUCUGGCUAGUGAUCAGAAUCCGACCCCAAGUGAUUCUGUGCAAUAGGUCUGGGACUUAUGUUCCACUUUGUAUAAUUGCAUUCUUAUUCAAGGUUGUGGGGAUUAGAUGAUCGUUUGUGUUUUAUGUUGAGAGUAUAACAAAGAGUGCAGAGGCUCUCCCUAAGCGGCUUGCUUCUUUACAAGUGACGGAUAACGGAUUCUGCUGUUGUUAUACGUACUCUAACGUCCAGGUUGUUGAGAAUAUCGCGUUUAAGAAUGGGAAAAACAAAUACAAACUCUGGAAAUCGAAAAACAAAUAACCAAGAUAAAAAAAUUUAUGUGGUUCGGCAAUAUGUGCCUACGUCCAUGGGACAACAACAAUAAUCUUUCACUAUAUCAAUAAUGAGUACAACCAAUAAUCUUACCAAAUCUCUAGAACUAGGACUUGACAAAAAACCUGAAAGAACAAGAACAAGAAAUACACUAUCUCUUUUCUUUUCUCUCGCACACAAUUUAUUCUCUCACUCUAAUCCCUUGAGUGGUAUACAAUAUAUUGUUUUGCUCCCUUCCUAAAACUAGUACAAUAGGCCCUUUAUAUAGACAUAAUAAAGGUCUUCUUCAAUAAGGAUUAUUAAUCCUAAUUGGAAACUAGUUAUAAAACCUACUCCAAUUGGGAAACUAACUCCAAUUGGGAAAACAAUUUAAUCCUCUAAGACUAUUAAUUCCCAAUAGACUUAGGACAACUAAUCAUGGGCUGGAAAAAACCCAACAAUCUCCCCCUCCAGACCAUGAGGAAGGUAUACCAUAAUAGAUUUCUCUUGACCAGGUUUCCCCUGAUCACAACACCCAUCGUCAUUGGCAAAGGCAAUUAUAGACUUCUUUGCCAGAAAACCAUCAAUCAUUUGCAUUAAAGAAGCUCUUCAUCAUAAGUCACAACACUUGCAAUAUUGUUCCCAUCCUUUUGUUCCUUUUUCCAUUUACGACAAUGCUUCUUCAUGUGACCUUUUUUCCCACAAUAGUGGCAGUCGCCAUUGAAUCUCGUCUCACCAGAAUUUUUGCCUCUUUUCUCACUGACAAAGAGUUGUCCAGCGCUUGCCCCUGAAGCUUUUCUCCUUGUUUCUUCAUUAAACAUGCUAUCCUUAACGGCAUCCAUAGACAGUACACCAUUAGAAGCCGAAUUGCUUACAGUUAUGAUGAAGGUUUCCCAACUAUUUGGCAAGGAUCCUAGCAAUAAAAGUGCUAGCAGCUAUUCUUCAAUAUUCAAACCCAUAGUGGCUACCUGAUUGAUCACUUUCUGAAAGUUGUUCAAGUGCUCGAUUACACUUACAUCUUCCGCAUACUUCAUGUUGACAAGCUCUUUGAUAAGGAAUGCAUUCUUGGCAGCGGUCUUCUUCUCAAAGAGGGAUUCUAACUUCUUCUAAAGAGCUUGCACAUCAGUUUCUUUAGACACAUGGUGAUAGAUGCUCUCGUCCACCCAUUGUCUAAUCGUACCAAUAGUUUUACGAUUCAUCUUGGUCCAAUUGGCAUCAGACAUAUUUUCUGGCUUGCUCUUAACACCUUCAAUUGGCUCAUGGAGAUCUUUACAAUAAAGCAUGUCCUCCAUUCUUGAUUUCCACGUAACCCAGUUGGAGCGGGUGAGUUUCAUCAUAAUUGAACCCUUCAUUCUAAACGGAUAUCAGCCGAACCAGGCUCUGAUACCACUUGUUGAGAAUAUCGCGUUUAAGAAUGGGAAAAACAAAUACAAACUCUGGAAAUCGAAAAACAAAUAACCAAGAUAAAUAACACCAAGAAUUUAUGUGGUUCGGCAAUAUGUGCCUACGUCCACAGGACAGCAACAACAAUCUUUCACUAUAUCAAUAAUGAGUACAACCAAUAAUCUUGCCAAAUCUCUAGAACUAGGACUUGACAAAAAACCUGAAAGAACAAGAACAAGAAAUACACUAUCUUUUUUUUUUUUCUCUCGCACACACUUUAUUCUCUCACUCUAAUCCCUUGAGUGGUAUACAAUUUAUUGUUUUGCUCCCUUCCUAAAACUAGUACAAUAGCCCAUUUAUAUAGACAUAAUAAAGGUCUUCUUCAAUAAGGAUUAUUAAUCCUAAUUGGAAACUAGUUAUAAAACCUACUCCAAUUGGGAAACUAACUCCAAUUGGAAAACAACUCCAAUUGGGAAAACAAUUUAAUCCUCUAAGACUAUUAAUUCCCAAUAGACUUAGGACAACUAAUCAUGGGCUGGAAAAAACCCAACAACGUCCAGGUUUCUUCUCAAUACAAAUCAGGCAGGAGGAAUCCUGAGUACAUAUCCUUGGGAUAUGAUUCAUUGCCUGUUUUCGGAAUCCAAUCUGUCUAUUUACACCACAAUGAUCUCGGGUGAAGGCAUCGUCGUCUUGUCGAAAUCACCCCCAUUCUUCGUGUUGCCAAUGAAGUCGAAAUCAAAGAAUCCUAGAGUUGCUUAUCUCUCUCUGAACUCCCACGUCCAUGGCGGACCCAACCCGACAACCCGAUGGUACGCUCCAUAAACCAAUUGGCAUUCGGGCUGGAUAUGUCCCCCAAGAGGAAGUCGCCGUUUACCAAUCCAAAAGUGCUUUGUGGAAAAAGGAGAUAAUUUCGUUGAUAGUUAAUGCUUUAUGAGAUGAUGAAACAUAAAGAUGGAAAAGAGAACGACAAAAGCAAAAAAGGGAUGUGCAAGCUAUCACUUUAAAGAAAAGCAAGUGGAUGGUGUCAAGGCUGUCCAGGCAGCUGUUACGUUUUACAAGAGAAUCAUGGGGGAACACAUGAAAAACAAAAGCAGAAAAGAAAGCAAAAGCCAUGAAUAAACACCCCACCAUAAUGAUGUGAUUUACUUUUCUUGUUUUUGUAUGAUAUGAUUUAUUUUUCUUAUCUUUCAGAGAUAUCUGUAUAAACCCCAUCAGAGGGUAAUAAAAAAAAACGGCAAAGCCCAAAAUAAAUGGGCUGGAAUGUUGUGUGGAGGGCGAAGGCCCAUUAGCUCAAAAUAGCACCAACCGAAUGACCAAAAGUACGCCCAGUACUACAAGAAAUUAUUCGGCACCCCGCCGCUAUUAUCGCCAACUAGGUGAUCAAAAGUACGCCCAAUACUUCAAAAUUAUACAUGAGCAUUACUCAUAUCAAUCAUACAUAAACAUUUAUGAGCAUCACUCAUCUCAACAUUCAUGAGCAUCACUCAUGUCAACAUCCAUGAGCAUCACUCAUGUCAAAUCAACAUAAACAUUCAUGAGCAUCACUCAUGUCAUUCAACUUCAAAAGCUUCAUUUACAGAGCUCUAACUUCAAAAGCUUCAUUUACAGAGCUACAACUUCAAAAGCUUCAUUUAUAAAAGCUCUAGCUUCAAAAGCUUCAUUUACAGAGCUCUAGCUUCAAAAGCUUCAUUUACAGAGCUCCAGCUGCAAAGCUUCACUUGCAAAGCUUCACCUACAAAGCUUCAGUGCAGGGUAUACAAAUACCGCCUCCGAACAACCGCCACUUCGGCCCAUACAUGGAUUCAAUUUGAAGUCUUAAGCCAACAAACUCUAUUGACCGAAGACUUGGGAGACUACACUAUACACCAUUUAUUGGGCCUCAACUGGGCAUCAUGAAAAAUACUUGGGGGACUUGCCCAUUAUUUAUGUAUUGAGGAGCGAGCCCUUAUUCUAUAAAAGGAAGUCCCUCACUUUCAUUAGAAAGCACUCAUGAAAAAUAUUUGGGGGACUUAGCCCGUUAUUUAUGUAUUGAGGAGCGAGCCUUUAUUCUAUAAAAAGGACUCCCUCACUUUCAUUAGAGAGCACCCAUUAUUCAUGUACUAAGGAGUGAGCCUUUAUUUUUAUAAAAGGGACUCCCUCACCAUCAUUAAAGAGUAUCGCCGCUAGCUGAGCAACCGCCUCGCCGCGAGCAUCACUCCUAACCCAUUAUUCAUGUACUAAGGAGCGAGCCCUUAUUCUAUAAAAGGGACUCCCUCACCAUCAACACCAUAAGCCGAGCCAACCAAGGUAACAUAAGCCACAAGCAGAGCAGCCUCGCAACAUGUACUACUUCUAGUGGAGCAUCAUUUGACUUUAAGUAUGGCCUUAUAUUAAGUAUCAGUUCAAGACAACAUCUAGUUACUUCAGCCCACACAUGGACUGAAUUUCAAGUUUCCAGCCAAAAGACACUCUUGAGUAAAGACUUGGGGGACUACUGUUUAUACCAUACUUAGGGCCUCCGUAUUUAGACGUCGUAUAAAUAUUCGAAGGACUUAAAUGUAAUUAUGUAAUCAGGGAAGGGGCAAAUAUGUAAUAAGUGAGGAGCCCUUAUUCUAUAAAAGGACCCUCACCCUCACAAUUAGGAGGCCAACUCUUAGGCCUAAAGCCCCUUCACCCUCUCACAUCCCCUUUCACAUUACAGAGGUUCUCUCCCUCAUAAUCCUCUCAGAGAAAUACAAUAUCAGUGUGGACGUAGCCCAAACAUUGGGGUGAACCACGAUACAUCUUGUGUUAUUUACAUUUCUUGUAGAUUCACGGUCGGAUUUACAUUGUUCCAAGACCUCCGGUUUUGUGCAUCAACACAAUCAAUUUAAUAAACAAUGGGCCAAAAUGAUUUGACAAAAAUUGAGGGUAUUUUUAUCAUUUUACCUUUAUUUAAAGGACUUUUUUCAAGGAAUGACCAAAAAGAUUGAUGGUGGACAAACUCAAGACCACUUCUAUUGAUUUCAAAUAUCAGGGACCAAAGUAAUGAGUUAUACAAAUUUCAAGGACCAUUUUGGCUAAAAAGCCAGUUAAGUUUGAUAUGUAAAUGCCUGUGUUAGUAUUGCACAUCACUUGACCAUAGCAUGCAUGAAUCCUUCAGUCAUCUGUUUUACAUGCAGUGUUGUAAUCCCACAUCGGUGGGUGAAAAUAAAACAAUGGGGUUACAUGUAAGGGGGCCUAUUUGCAGUCCCACAUCGGUGGGGGAAGUCAACAACGAUGGCUUUAAAUUUGAUUACUUUACUCCAACUAAUACCGAGACUUUUUAUAGUAAAAUCUCACACCUGACGAAUUGGGCAAGUGGUAAAGUUGGGGACAAUAUCGGUGUCGUUAAAGUGGAGCCCCCAGACCUGUCGAUCUAAAAAAAUCCAACAUGGUAUUAGACCCAAGGUUCGGGCCCAUGCAAGUUAACGAGCUUGUCACCAAGAAGGAAACAAGCCAAGACUCUUAAUAAAGAGCCGGCCUCUGAGUUCCAUUGAAGACAAGUCUAGACUCUUAACAUAGAGCCGACCUCUGGGUUUCAAUUGCAGAUGUGUGGAUUUCCACGUGUGAACCUCUAAAUAGGGUUACAUGUGAAAGAGAAUGUUAAAAUCCCACAUUGGUGGGUGAAAAAGAAAACCAUGGGUUUAAAUAUGAUUACCCCAUUCUAACUAAUAUCGAGACCUUUUGUGACAAAACCUCACACCUGACAGAUUGAGCAGGUGAUAAAGUUAGGGACAAUACUGGUGUUGUUAAAGUGGGCCCCCCGAGCCCGUUAAUCUAAAAAAUUUCAACAUGGUAUUAGAACCGACCUCUGAGUUUCAAUUGCUGAUGUGUAGAUUUCCAUGUGUGUUCACUAAAAGGGGUUACAUGUGAGGGGGAGUGUUGGAAUCCCACAUCGGUAGGUGAAAAGAAAACAAUGGGGUUACACGUGAAGGGGCGUGUUGGCAAUCCCAUAUCGAUGGGGGAAGUCAACAAGGGUGGCUUUAAGAUUACCCUAUUCUAACUAAUACUGAGGUCUUUUAUGGUAAACUCCCACACCUGAUGGAUUGGACAGAUGGUUAAGUUGGGGACAAUAUCGCUGUUGUUAGAGUGGGGCCCCCCGGGCCCGUCGAUCUAAAAAAUUUUCAACAUGGUAUUAGAGCGAGGGAGUGUGUUAGCAGUCCCACAUCGGUGGGUGAAGUCAACAAGGGUGGCUUUAAAUAUGAUUACCCUACUCUAACUAAUAUCGAGAUCUUUUAUGGUAAAAUCUCACACCUGACGAAUUGGAUAGUUGGAGACAAUAUCGAUGUCGUUAGAAUGGAACCUAUCGAGCCCGUCAAUUUAAAAAAAUUUCAACAUGCAGAUUCUUAUUCAUUUGGUUGGUACAACUUCAAGGGACGGUUGGACUUGGAGUACCAUUGGGUGGGGCAGGAGCCCUCUGCAGAACUUGCUUGAUUAUUUGAUUCAACCGGAAGUAAUUGCCAGUUGUGCCCCUAAUUUGCAAACUAUCCUUCUUCGUCAUCGUAAAUUUCCCUUUCAUAGGUAAAAUUCUGCAGGCCUCGUACAAGUGCACGUUCACUAGAAAAACCACUACCAUGGGCACCGAAAGCAUAUUCAGAAACUUCAUGUUCUCGUUUGGCAAAUAAUGAUUUUUCCUUUUCUUUUUUUUCUUCUUUCUUUCUAUUUAUGAAUGCAAAGGAACGAAUGAAUGGAUGAAUGAAUAAUAGAGGACUAUAGAGCUCUCUAUUUAUAGGGACCAACUUAUAUACCUCUGAUCCUAGUCCAAAUUUCUAUACCUUCUUUGCUCUCUAUUCUCUAAAAAAAAUCUCAAUACACCCAUCUUUACACACUUCGACACUCUUCACCGAAUUAAACCUAGAUCGAGAUCACCUUUGGUGACGGCUUGGCACAUUGGCAACGACUUCUAGGACAUCACCGUUAACAUUUAGGCGAUCAACAUCCUCACAACUGUUGGAAAUUAUAUAUUAUGAUAUGAAAUAUUGUAAUAUAUAAUUUUAACAAUUGAAUGAAAAAUAAUGUUAACCAAUUUCUUAGAAAGGUUAUGUUGUUUAGGUGAUACUUGAUAAGUGAUGUAUACUUAUAGAUGAAAAGUUACAUCUCUUUAAUAAGUAGAAGUUGGAUUCUAUAUAAACACAUGAAACCAUUGGUAUAAAGAUAGAAAAUUAGAGUUAAUUUUUACUCUUGAGAAAUAGGGUUUCCAAUUAUUUGUGUGUCAAAUUCCGAGUCAUGUCUUGAAAGUACAAAAUAUAUAAAGUUCGCCAGAGUCCGAAGAUUGAAGUGCUUUGACUUCGGAUUAUAGAUUGUUGAAUCCUGGGAGAUGGACGCCUAUCGAACUACAAGCACAAGAGUAGGGACGAAAUUUUAUCUUUAGAACAUUGCAUUUAUGCAAGCCUCAAUCUCCAAGUUUGUCAGUUAUUCUAACUUUCACUCUAGUUGUUUAUAUUAAUCUCAUAUAUAAUUGAUGUUGUGAAUUUCUUUAUGAUUAUUAUCAUUGGAAUUAUAUUGUUAUUUUUCAUAUUUUCUAAUAUUGCUCCAACAACAACCUUAAUCUUGGAGAGCUUGUUCGGCGCUUUCCUGGUGGUCUGGUGAUGCAAAGAACGCGAGAUCUGCCUUGAGAUAAUGAGGUUAUAACCGAGGUGUGUCCAUUGUUUGUUGAAAAAUCUUUCCACACGCCCUUUUUAGGCCUUGGUUAAGCAUUGUGCCUUUGAGAAUUUAUGGAAGGGAGCUCUCUUAAGAGGAGACCCUACUAUAAGAAGAAAAGAAAAAUUCAUUGUGAAAAAAGGUAUUUAGACAACUUUUUUUAAUUAAUUAUUAAACCCACAUCAGCACAUAACAAAUUUUUUUACAGAAUUGUGGUGGAAUGAUCAUAUUGAUUUACGACACCUAUUUUCAUGGACUACAUUGAUUGAUUUUCAAUUUCAGGGACCAUAUUGAUGGUGUGGGUCAAUUUUAGGGGCCAUUUUGAUGGUGUAUGUCAAUUUUAGGGACCAUUUGUGAUAUAAAUCUGUAAAUGUUGUGGGGCCUAUUUAUGUGCCACAUCAGCACUUAACGAAAUUUUUAAUAGAAUUGUGACGGAAUGACUAAAUUGAUUUGCAACACCUAUUUGCAGGGACUACAUUGAUUGAUUUCUAAUUUCAAGGACCAUCUUGAUGAUAAGAGUCAAUUUAAGGGACCAUUUGUGAUCAAAACCAAUAAAUUUAUUGGUUAUUUUAACUAAACUACCGUUGGAUGUUUUUAAAUCAAUUCGUUGAAUUUGAAUUAAUUAUUGCAACUAAGAAACUGGCCCCAAAAAGGGCUAAGAUGGGGCUACAUUUGGUCAGUUUCAUGCCCCUUAGGCCAAAUAAUGGCCUAAUAGGCUCCAUAGAAUUAUAGCUCAAUCGUCAGUUGGAGAUGAAUUUUUGAACAAAUCAGGCCAAUUUUUUUGCUUUUAAACCUUUAGCCCUCGUCAUUGGAGAUGACCUUAGUUGCAAAAUUCUUGCAUGCAUGUUACAGGCAUUUUAAAUAUCAUGAAUUAAUAGACCAUGUUAUUUACCAUAUAUGAUUGAGCAAAUACUCAAAGGCUUGUGAGGAAUUUGUUAUUUUUUUCCGGUUACAUAUAUAGGCUUCAAUUAUUCCCUUGAUCGUUAAGUUCUACCUCGCUUCAACUUUCAAGACCAUUUUUGUGUCAUCUGUAGUUAAAUAAUGUUGCAUUAAGCAGGGUAAAAAUAAAAAAUAAAAAAAAUAAAAAACCUGGAAUAUCAGAAAAAAUUGCUCGAGGAGUUCUUUGAGUUGUGCAUGCAGAAGAACACUUAUCGAAUUAGUCUGAACAGCCAAUUAGAUGUCGAUAAGUAGGAGCCGCCAGUCAGUAGCAUGGCACACUACCACGACAACUAAUUGAAUUCCAAACAUAUAUAUGCAAAAAUAGUUUUAAUCAACUAUAGAGUUUCUCUGACAUAUAUAGAUUAUAUCAAACAGCCCAUCGCAUUAUUGGGAGUUCGAUACUUCUUCGGUGCUGACAGGCAUGGCAUAUUUUGUGGUCGCAUUAAUUUACUUCCUUUAACUCCGCCUAUGUAAUUUUACAUUGCCGGUCCCAAGCCCGGAUAAAGGAGGAGGGGGAGGGCGUCAGGUAGUCGACAGCCGGCACUCCAUGAUCACGUCGAAUCCUUAUGAAAAUGAAUCCAGAACAAAAUCGCGCUAAAGCUAGGGCGUCACCCGUAAGUGGCGCGCUGUGUGGCCCGAGCACAGUGAUAAGUGAGCAAGGGUCGCUGUAUCUCCAUCGGCACCCGGAUGCAGUGUUAAAUGAGCAAGGGGGCCGUAGAAACUUCUUUUCGAACGACUCCACUCAAAGUUGUUUGGGAGCAUAUGCUCCUAUCAACUUUACACGGGACACACAAAAGAAGUACUUUGAUCCUAUUAGACGGGGGAGGGUGAAGAAGCUAGGACAGAAGGGUAGAGUUCAAGAGAGCAAAAUGCGUUUAGGAACGUGGAAUAUAGGAACCUUAACGGGAAAAUCUAUGGAAGUAGUGGAAGUUAUGGUGAGGAGAAGGAUAAAUAUUAUGUGCCUACAAGAAACUAAGUGGGUUGGUAGUAAGGCAAAGGAUCUAGAAAACUCAGGGUUUAAACUUUGGUAUUCGGGCACAAAUAGAACGAGAAACGGUGUUGGCAUCAUCGUGGACAAGACCUUGACACAAGAUGUUGUAGAUGUCAAGAGGGUAGGAGAUAGAAUCAUGGCAAUCAAGAUUGUAAUAGGACAAGAACUUAUCAAUGUGAUUAGUGCGUACGCACCUCAAGUAGGGUUGGAUACGAGUUCGAAGGAGAAAUUUUGGGAAGACCUUGGAGACUUGGUGCAAGGAAUUGCUCAGACGGAGAAGUUAUUUAUAGGAGGAGAUUUAAAUGGACACGUGGGCAGGGAGACAGGCAACUAUGGAGGUUUUCAUGGUGGCCAUGGUUUUGGGGAGAGAAACGAGGAUGGGGAAGCUAUCUUGGAUUUUGCAAUGGCAUAUGAUCUCUUCUUAGCCAACACCUUCUUUAAGAAGAGAGAAGAACAUGUGAUCACCUACAAGAGUGGUCGUCAAAAACACAAAUAGAUUUUCUUCUAAUGAGGAAAGGGGAUCGUAUAACUUGUAAGGAUUGCAAAGUUAUACCAGGAGAGAGCGUGGCUAAUCAACAUCGCUUGUUGGUGAUGGAUGUACAUAUCAAAAGAGUGAGACAAAAGAACAAGACUUGGAAGUGCCCAAGGACUAGAUGGUGGAAUCUAAAAGAAGAAAAACAAGCCAUUUUCAAAGAGAAAGGUAAUCACCCAAUGUGUGUGGGAUAGAGAGGGGGAAGCUAGCCAAAUGUGGGAUUCCAUGGCUAGUUGUAUCCGAAAAGUAGCAAAAGAGGUAUUAGGAGAGUCCAAGGGCUUUGCCCCACACCAAAAGGAAUCUUGGUGGUGGAAUGAGGAGGUACAAACAAAGGUGAAGGCUAAGAAGGAAUGUUGUAAAGCCUUAUACAAGGAGAGGACCGAUGAAAAUGGUGAAAGGUAUAGAAAAGCGAAGCAAGAGGCGAAGAAAGCUGUCAGAGAAGCUAAGUUAGCGGCUUACGACGAUAUGUAUAAACGACUAGAUACCAAAGAAGGAGAGUUGGAUAUCUAUAAACUAGCUAGAGCAAGGGAAAAAGAAGACAAGGGACCUAAACCAAGUGAGGUGCAUCAAGGAUGAGGAUGGAAAGGUUCUUGCUACAGAGAACGCGGUUAAAGACAGAUGGAGAGGUUAUUUUCAUAAUCUUUUCAAUGAAGGACAUGAAAGGAGUGCUUCUUUAGGGGAGUUGAGUAACUCAGAAGAGUGUAGAAACUACUCUUUUUAUCGUCGAAUCCGGAAGGAAGAAGUGGUUGUAGCUUUGAAGAAGAUGAAGCAUAGAAAAAGCAAUAGGCCCAGACGAUAUACCAAUCGAAGUGUGGAAAGUUUUGGGAGAGACAGGUAUAACAUGGCUCACUGACCUUUUCAAUAGGAUUUUGAAAACGAAGAAGAUGCCAAAUGAGUGGCGAACGAGCACUUUGGUGCCUAUCUACAAGAAUAAGGGCGACGUACAAAAUUGCAUGAACUAUAGGGGUAUUAAGCUAAUGAGUCAUACAAUGAAGCUCUGGGAGAGAGUCAUUGAGCAUAGAUUGAGGCAAGAGACACGGGUUUCGGACAACCAAUUCGGGUUCAUGCCAGGGCGCUCAACCAUGGAGGCAAUCUAUCUCUUACGAAGAUUGAUGGAAAGAUAUAGAGAUGGGAAAAAGGAUUUACACAUGGUCUUUAUAGAUUUGGAAAAAGCGUAUGAUAGGGUCCCAAGAGACAUUCUUUGGAGGAUUUUAGAGAAGAAAGGAGUACGAGUAGCAUAUAUCCAAGCUAUAAAGGAUAUGUAUGAAGGAGCAAAGACUGCCGUAAGAACUCAUGAAGGACAAACCGAAAGCUUUCCCAUAACUGUAGGAUUACAUCAAGGCUCAUCCUUAAGUCCUUACCUUUUUGCGUUGGUAAUGGAUGAGUUAACAGGACAUAUUCAAGAUGAUAUUCCUUGGUGUAUGCUUUUCGCAGACGAUAUAGUGUUGAUAGAUGAAACUCAGGAAGGGGUAAAUGCAAAGCUUAACCUUUGGAGAGAAGUGUUGGAAUCUAAAGGUCUUCGCCUAAGCCGAUCAAAGACAGAAUAUAUGGAGUGCAAGUUCAGUGCAAAUGGAGGCCAAAACGAGUUAGGGGUGAGGAUCGGAGAUCAAGAAAUACCAAAGAGCGACCGUUUUCGUUACCUAGGAUCUAUCUUGCAAAAGAACGGAGAAUUAGAUGGAGAUCUCAACCAUAGAAUACAAGCUGGAUGGAUGAAGUGGAAGAGUGCAUCCGGCGUGUUGUGUGACCGCCGUAUGCCACUGAAGCUCAAGGGAAAAUUUUAUAGGACGGCAAUAAGGCCGGCGAUGCUGUAUGGCACAGAAUGUUGGGCGGUGAAGCAUCAACACGUACACAAAAUGGGUGUAGCGGAGAUGAGGAUGCUUCGUUGGAUGUGUGGGCACACGAGAAAGGAUAAGAUUAGGAAUGAGGAUAUCCGGGGUAAAGUAGGAGUAGCCGAAAUUGAAGGAAAGAUGAGAGAAAAUCGGUUACGGUGGUUUGGACAUGUGCAAAGAAGGCCUACUGACGCUCCGAUUAGAAGAUGCGACUAUGGACAGAGGUUCAGGGCCGAAGGGGUAGAGGAAGACCUAGGAAAACUUUGGAAGAGACUCUAAGAAAAGACUUAGAGUACUUGGAUCUAACGAAGGACAUGACACAGGACCGAGCACAAUGGCGUUCUAAGAUUCAUAUAGCCGAUCCCACUCAGUGACUUGGAUUUUCCAAGUCUCCAACCGAGAAGUUUUCCUCACUCGGGAAAUUAAGGGAACACUACCCCAACCUACAUGCUCCACUCAGAAAGCUUCAACAUACAAGCUUCAACAAAAGAAAAUUCAAAGAACUUAGCGAAGAAGGCUUUGGUGUAUUUAACACAAUACGUUGAAAUGAAGGAAAGCUUAUUUAUUGAUAUCCCCGAUAAGCUACAAAUAUGUACAUAUACAUGAGUCAAAAUAAACAAACAAGAGGGAGCCUUCACAAAGGUUGCUUAGGAGAAGUCUCAGCAGUCGGUAGAGCCCCAGAAAGAGAAGGCACCGGAGGGGGAUCAUUCGGAGCCUCAGUACUGGACAGAACCCUAGAAGGAGGAGGCAUCAGAGGUUGAUCAUUUGGAGCUUCAUUACGCGGUACAGCCCCAGAAGACGAAGGCAAUAAAUGCCUUUGGAACAAACCCACAAAUCUCUGAUGAUCAAGUAAAACCUGACCAUCAGUUUCCUUCAUCUGGUCAAGCUUCCUCUUCAUGUUUGUAGCAUAGUCAUGUGCGAGCCGGUGCAACUGUUUAUUCUCAUGCUUGAGCCCUCUAAUCUCCUGUUUGAGACUCAUCACUUCAGCCGCCAAUGAUUCAACUUGGCGGGUUCGAGCAAAUAGGCGUUGGGCCAUAUUAGACACAGAACCUGCACACUGAACACUGAGAGCCAGAGAAUCCUUAACAGCUAACUCAUCAGACCGUUUGGAAAGUAGUCUGUUAUCUUUGGGAGUGAGAAGGUUCCUGGCCACCACCGCAGCGGUCAUAUCAUUCUUCAUCACGGAAUCCCCAACGGUAAGAGGACCAGUAGGGGAGACGAAGGAUGGGCGCCAUAUGUUGUCUGGAGAAGGCGGGGCUGCCUCUUCAACAAGGUUCAAGUCAAAACGACGGUCGGAGGGGCCAGACAUUUUCAAAGGUGUUGAAGAGAGAAGAGGUCGGACAAAUCAAGAUCUUAGAAGUGCAAGAAUGGAGCUUCUACUGGUGGAGAUUCAAGUGUGCUUUGGAACUUAAUGCCAGCCCCUAUAAAAAUCUGCACUCGACGGAGCUUCAGAAAUCGAAGAGGCGCCUGCUCAGAAAUCGAAGAGGCGUUUGCUUUCUCAAAAGCUGGGCUGCUUAGAGACCACGAGGGUUGAUCUCAGAAAUCGAAGAGGCGUUUGCUUUCUCAAAAGUUGGGCUGCUCAAAGACCACGAAAGGCCGAUCUCAGAAAUCGAAGAGGCGCUCGCUUUCUCAAAAGCUGGGCUCCUCAGAGACCACGAGGGCCGAUCUCAGAAAUCGAAGAGGCACCUACUUUUCCAGCCUUGUCAGCACCUGUCACACGCACACUCAGCUUUGCGGAAAUUAUGGGCAUUCUGUCGAAGACUUCUGGGAAGUAGAAAACACAUGAAUCUUACUGUUCAAUCACCCACUUCCCACACGCAACAAUAGCUCAUGGGUACCACAGAUAACUUUGCCAAAGUUCUCUGCCAAAGUUGAGCACGUGAAGCUUGCAGCUCCCACUACAUCGCUCUGACCAAGAAGGGUAAAAGAAUAGCAAAGAAACAGCACUAACAAAGUUUAGACCCAUAAAUUUUGAAGGUCUAGCUACCAUAUUAUUACCCACAAGGGUAAAGGAACAGUACCACUGCUGGAUAAUUGGAAAGUCCCUGUGUGUCAACCUCUGUGCUUCGUGGCAAGGUAGACUAGCAAACAUGCCCAACCUUUACUCACAUUCGAGAAAACACUCCCAAUAAGAUUGCUUGCUCCAAAAUCGAAGAGGCACCGUCCUCCGAAUCUCGAGAGCCAGACUCCCAACAUGACUACUUUCUCAAAAAUCGAAGAGAGGGUAAAGGAACAGUACCAUUGCUGGAUAAUUGGAAAGUCCCUGUGUGUCAACCUCUGUGCUUCGUGGCAAGGUAGACUAGCAAACAUGCCCAACCUUUACUCACAUUCGAGAAAACACUCCCAACAAGAUUGCUUGCUCCAAAAUCGAAGAGGCACCGCCCUCCGAAUCUCGAGAGCCAGACUCCCAACAUGAUUACUUUCUCAAAAAUCGAAGAGACACUGCUCCCCGAAUCUCGAGAGCCAGACCCCCAGCAUGAUUGCUUUCUCAAAAAUCGAAGAGGCAUCGUUCUCCGAAUCAAUCGAAGAGGCGCUCGCUUUCUCAAAAGCUGGGCUGCUCAGAGACCACGAGGGCCGAUCUCAGAAAUCGAAGAGGCACCUUCUUUUCUAGCCUUGUCAGCACCUGUCACACGCACACUCAGCUUUGCGGAAAUUAUGGGCAUUCUGUCGAAGACUUCUGGUGAAGUAGAAAGCACAUGAAUCUUACUGUUCAAUCACCCACUUCCCACACGCAACAAUAGCUCAUGGGUACCACAGAUAACUUUGUCAAAGUCUCUGCCAAAGUUGAGCACGUGAAGCUUGCAGCUCCCACUACAUCGCUCUGACAAGAAAGGUAAAAGAAUAGCAAAGAAACAGCACUAACAAAGUUUAGACACAUAAAUUUUGAAGGUCUAGCUACCAUAUUAUUACCCACAAGGGUAAAGGAACAGUACCACUGCUGGAUAAUUGGAAAGUCCCUGUGUGUCAACCUCCGUGCUUCGUGGCAAGGUAGACUAGCAAACAUGCCCAACCUUUACUCACAUUCGAGAAAACACUCCCAACAAGAUUGCUUGCUCCAAAAUCGAAGAGGCACCGCCCUUCCGAAUCUCGAGAGCCAGACUCCCAACAUGAUUACUUUCUCAAAAAUCGAAGAGACAAUGCUCCCCGAAUCUCGAGAGCCAGACCCCCACCAUGAUUGCUUUCUCAAAAAUCGAAGAAGCAUCGUUCUCCGAAUCUCGAGAGCCAGAUACCACAUACCACUUUUUCAAAGUGCUCUGACAGAGUUAAAACAUGUGAAGCUGGCAGCUCCCACUACCGUGCUAUGACCAAGCAGGGUAAAGGAAUAGCAUUACUACUUGUUGUUAGGGAGACUCCUAUAUAUGUCGACCUCCAUCCCCAACGGACAGGCAGACCUGCAAAAAUGCUCAACCCUUCCUCAUAUCUGAGAGGGCACUCUACUACUUGUUGUUAGGGAGACUCCUAUAUAUGUCGACCUCCAUCCCCAACGGACAGGCAGACCUGCAAAAAUGCUCAACCCUUCCUCAUAUCUGAGAGGGCACUCCCAACGAAGCCUUUCGAAAUAUUCAGCUUUCUUUCCCCCCGAUAAUACCUCUGCAAACAAGCUAUACUAGAGCAAGAAUAUCUCAUAUCAUCAGAGUUAAAAGCAAGAGUAUCCCAUAUCAUGCUUUUUCCCUGUCUUUUCCUUUGGCCUUGUUUUUACCUGCAAGACAAGGAGAAAGAGAGCAAUCAGUCAGCACUUGGAAAUCAAGCUUCCCAGCCAGGAACUGACUGCCUGGAACCCCUUACCUGAUUACUUACCUGGCAUUGCUCUCUCGAGUACUCAUCUUCAACAUCUUAUGCUUCCAGGGAAGAUACCGCAUCUGCUUGAGGAAACAGAUAGGGCAAGUGCGAAGGAUACAAGGAAGCAUGUGGAGACAAGCGUAACAGCACACGUGCCGAUACAUCCAUUACUCUGUCAAAAGCAAAAGUAUCCCAUAUCAGCAGGGUCGAACGUACUCUAGAUUUGAUGGACUUGUUUUGACCCUCAAAUUCUUCAGUCGGCCUUAUACUCUGGAGGAAACCAGAAAACCCUCCAGCUCAGUUCAAGAAUAAGCCUGUGGAAAGUUACUUCUUCAAAAGCAAAAGUAUCCCAUAUCAUCUCUUCUCAUUUUUCUUCUCUUUAUCCUUCAUGCUGCUGCAAGAUGGGGAGAAGGUGAACAAUCAGCCGGAGCUCUGAUUGCUUACCUUGUCUGUCACCUCUUUCAGCAGAUCCCCUAGCUCGGCGACUUGGGGGACUCCUACUACAUGGUUUGUAUCGCGCUUGACCAAGCCUGAAACUACAAGUAAGCUUCAAGUGAAAUUGAUACAUUACCUUGUGCAUCUCCACCAGUUAAAGAUACCACCCCUGGAUGGAGGAAGAGUACUUCCAGAGAAGAUGCCACAUCUACCUAUGAGACAGAUAAGGCAAGUCAAGACGAUACCACACUCCGAUACUUAGAAGUUUCGUGAUUACGAGAUCAUUCUCCCACAAUAUUUCCUAAUGUCAUUUGUACUCUAAUGUCAUUUGUACUAAAUCAUUCACUUGUACUCACUAAAGGAGAGCUUGAACCUAUGUACUUGUGUAAACCCUUCACAAUUAAUGAGAACUCUUCUAUUCCGUGGACGUAGCCAAUCUGGGUGAACCACGUACAUCUUGUGUUUGCUUUCCUAUCUCUAUCCAUUUAUAUACUUAUCCACACUAAUGACCGGAGCAAUCUAGCGAAGAUCACAAAAAGCGACCGUUUUCGCUACCUAGGAUCUAUCUUGCAAGAGAACGGAGAAUUAGAUGGAGAUCUCAACCAUAGAAUACGAGCUGGAUGGAUGAAGUGUAAGAGUGCAUCCGGCGUGUUGUGUGACCGUCGUAGGCCACUGAAGCUCAAGGGAAAAUUUUAUAAGACGGCAAUAAGGCCAGCGAUGUUGUAUGGCACAGAAGAAUGUUGGGCGGUGAAGCAUCAACACGUACACAAAAUGGGUGUAGCAGAGAUGAGGAUGCUUCGUGGGAUGUGUGGGCACACGAGAAAGGAUAAGAUUGAGAAUGAGGAUAUCCGAGGUAAAGUAGGAGUAGCCGAAAUUGAAGGAAAGAUGAGAGAAAAUCGGUUCCGGUGAUUUGGACAUGUGCAAAGAAGACCGACUGACGCUCCGGUUCGAAGAUGUGACUACGGGACAGAGGUUCAGGGCCGAAGGGGUAGAGGAAGACCUAGGAAAACUUGGGAAGAGACUCUAAGAAAAGGCUUAGAGUACUUGGAUCUAACGGAGGACAUGACACAAAACCGAGCGCAAUGGCGUUCUAGGAUUCAUAUAGCCGACCCCACUUAGUGGGAAAAGGCUUUGUUGUUGUUGUUGUAUUAAUUUACUUCCUUUAGUUGGUGGGGUUGUUGAACCUAUUUCAGACAUCUUGAUCACUAAAAUCGACUAAAGUGUACACUAUUUCUCUACAAACAAAAACAAGGUCAAUUGAAGCUGGCUAAAGCCAAAAACUCGAGGAAAAUUAAAGGUGGGUGUGUUGAGAACUUGAGAAUGCUAAACCCUCUAUUUAUACUAGUUUGUUGUAGGCUUAUUUCCUUUCCCGAAAACAAAGUUCUAAAUAGGCUAGGAAAAAAUAUAAAAUCAAAAGCUUUCCAAAGCAUAGUAGGAUAUAUGGCUAAAUCAUUACAGAGAAAGGCCCAACCAAAAAAUCCUACAGAGAAAGGGAGAAAAAAGAAAAAAAAAAAGCUUUUCCAACCAUAAUAUAGGUAUAGCUUUAAUCCCAGAUAGAAAGGGAGAACACAAAUAGUAAGAUAUGAGAACAAAUAUACAGUAUAUGAAUUCAAGGAGAAAAGGUAAGAUAGACGCCGUUUUAUGCUUUACUCUUUAGAUAUCGCAUUCCCUUUUUAUUCUCUUUUUCUUCCCUUCUUCGUUCUGGUUAAAGAGUGAACAUGAAGAAAUUAAUACUUAAAAGUUGAUCAAUUAUAUUCCGUAGACACGAGUGAGAAAAUUGGCAUUGAACGUGUUGGGUUAAUCAGUGGAAGGUUUCUUAAUUGUCAAAAUGAUCAAUUUUUUGUUUACAUGGGAUGUAGAUUAAUAGUACGUAAUGGGAAAAAAGAUAUACACAUGUUUUCAAGAUUUCCGAAGUUUCCCUAUGGUAGCGUUUGGUACGAAGAUAGGAAGGAACAGGACAAGACGGGAUGGAAUGGAAUGGAACAAAAUAGAGGUUUCAUGCUACGUUUGGUAUGCAUAUGAUGGAAUGGGACAAUCGUUCUAUUAUGUGUUUGGUACGCGUAGGAUGGAAUGGAACGAAGGACUAAAUGACAAACUCACCCAAGUUUCUUUGUUAACUCCAUCAACUCAACCUCAUGGAUUUUUGCAAAACUUGGAUUUUCUACAACCGUAUAUAUGAAGGAUUUUAUGCACGACUUGGAUGAACUUCUCUCAAGAACAAUUUUUUUUACAACCCAAAAACUUGUUUGGUAUCUAAUCUGGAAACUAUUUUAAAUCUUCAAAGAUUUAGGCUAUAUAACCCAAAAACUUGUUUGUACAAAACCAUUAAAUGGCAGUGGCUGAGAGAGGAUAUUAAGGUCGGGUCGGGAUCCGAGAAUCUUUACGACUUGAUUUGGAACUCUCAAUUUCACACUAAUACUAUGAAGUCGUGUUGUCUUCAGAUGGGUUUUGUUCACAUAUAUGGUGGUGGGUUGCUAAUUUCAAAUGUUGCCAUUGAAAUUGAGGAAGUUUGAAAUAAAGCUUUGGUAAUGGCGGAGAGGUGAGGUUGGGGCUUGUGGGUGAUUAGAGUGAGAAGACAGUGGGUCAGGGAUGGUGGGAAGAAAAUAUCUCAGUUGCCGAAAAGAUCCAUGUCACGGUCAUCAGAACAUCUCUCUCAGUCGCCGGAAACAUUACUCUUGUCACCGCCAUUUACUCUCAGUUGAUGUUUGGUGUCGUUGGCCUCGACACCAAGGUCCUGUAGAUAUUGCGAAGAAGAAAAAAAAAGUGUAAUUAUUGAAAAAGAUAAGGGGCAUUGUUGUCUUAAAAUUUUAUAAUUUUGUGUUCCACAGGGUGGAACGAGUCGUUCCAGGAGGGGAGGUGAAAUAGAAAUUUACCAAAAUUCGUUCCGUAGGACAACUCGUCUCACUGCCUUUGGCUCACCAAACGUGGGACAAGCGCAUUCCGUCCCAUCCCACAUACCAAACGGUACCUAGGAUCAUAAUAGAAUUUUAAUUAAUUUAUAAAUAAUUCAUAUAUAAGAUUUGUUUGUCAAAGGUUGGUGACACGCCCUAAACUCGAUAUCCCCAAAUACCAGGAUAGGCACGUGUUGGCCAACAUCCGAGGGUGACGAAGCCAUAUUAAACAUGCAUACAAAUAAAAUAGGUAAUUAGAGAGAAAUAUGCCAAAGCAGAAACAUGUUCAGAGCAUACAACUAAUCAGGAAUAAUGUGAAAGAAUUACAAUAAAAGUGUACGAAUAAAGGAAUGAGUUCUACUUUGAAAAGACUCGAAGAUACCUAAGCGGAAAUGCCUAGACACCAGGAUUGUGUGCCUCAAUUCUAACUCCUGAAGGGGAUGCAAAACAAAAGAGUGAGUGGACCAAAAUUUAUAAUAAUAAUACUAAUAAUAAGAAAAUCAUUUUGUUUCUGAACAUACUAACUCUUGUUUUGAAAAACAUUAUAUAAUACUACAUAAUAGGUUUUUUUUCUUCUGAAAAAUCUAGCAUGCCAUGAAAAACGUUCAUAAAACACGUACAUAUAAGCCUGUACUCAGAGAUGGUAGUAUAGCUGCGCGAAGGUAAAUCCGUAAAACAUCUGUAAAUCACAUCAAUUAUGUACUCCACUAGGGGUAUCAUAGUCACCCGAAGGCAUACCCUGUCCAUCACCCGAAGGUGAAGCUGUACGACACCCGGUUACGCCAGUGAAGGAACAUGGUAGGCCCUAUCACCCGAAGGUAAGGCUGUACGACUAUAGGUUACGCCAGAGAAGAAAAAUACCCAAAUAUACAUAACACACCGACACUAGCCGUGGCUAAUGAAGUUGUCCGGCAUUGGUUUUGCCAGUGAAGUUGGGGGUAUGACAUAAAUAUCAACAAUUGUGUCCUAUGGCCAUAGACGUCUACAUACCUGUGUUGUGUGUAUGUAUUGUAUGAUAACCCACUACGUAAGUACCAAAACAUAUCUCAAAAACUCAUAACAAAUCUCCAGAGCUCAAGGGCUCAAAACAUCAAUUCAUAAACCAUGAUAAAUCAUAUUCAUAAAUUCGUAAUAUAAAUCAUAUUCGUAAUCUAGAGACUUUCAAAUACAGAAAACCAAUAAUUCAUAACCUUUCGUAAAACAUAAAUUCGAUAAAUCAUAAAUAAUGCAUAAAACGUAAGAUUAUGAAAUCAUGCUUUUCGUGAAUGCCUGCCUAAUAUUUUAUAAAACAUGCAAUUUAAGAAGGGGUCCACUCACAGAUAUUCCAUUACAGGAAAGUAGCUCAAACUAGGGAUGAUAGAAUCACUUCCAAUUGAUGCACCUAAACACAAAUAGAGAUCAUUUAAUAAAAAUCUACUAAAACGAUAGAAUUUGGGGAAACGAACAGCGGAUUUGGAUUUGGCACGUCGAAAAACCUAGAAAGGGACAUCGGGUUUCCUAACCCGCCAUCGCACGCGUAGAGAUGGUCGCUAGAAAGUUCGUCAAAAAAGUCAUCAACGCCGCCAUGGACGACGGCGGAGCACAGUACCUUCGAUGGAGGCGCAUGUGCUUCAUGCGCCGGCCAUGGCAGAGUCCAGGCAUGGCCUACGAGCUGACCGUGGAAACUGUGUUUCAGGCUCAAGUCGAAUCUGGGCUUAGGUUACUGGGUUAGGCCGAGUUAUAGGGUUAGGCCUUAGUUAAUGGGUUGGAUUUUGGGUCAAGGAUUUGGACCAGAUUUCAUAUUGGAUUUGGGUCUAGUUUUAGGUUGUGGGUCAGGUUGACCCGAUUGGGCUCGGGGCUCACUAGACCCAACGAAGGAGAAUCGAAAUUCUGGGGAUUUUGGCCGAGAAACUUCCCCGGCUCUGAUUUGGGGUCAAAUCUUAACCAUUUCCCACGUUCUACUUACCCUAAGUCAGCAGUGGCCGGAGUUGGCCAUAAUUUGGCUUUCAAGCUAUAUGAUUUAUUGCCGAAAACUAGAGAUUUGAAGAACACUACAUGCAUGAAUAAUUAGUCCUAAACUCAACCCUAAUUCAUCAUGAACAUCUCACAAACAUCGAAAAAAGAAAGGAUCGCAGGCAUCCCGAGUCUUACCUAGGUCAAAGUUGUCGAGAACCUUUACUGUUUUUGAAUAGUGAUCACAAACUCGAGGGAGAGAAAUAGGGAGAGAAGAUGGUGGUGGUCUGGAGGGUUCAGGUGGUAUGAGGGCUUGCCAAAAAGGCGAGGUGAUGUGGUGGUGGUGUUGUGUAUGUGUUGCUUGGAAAGAAUGAGAGAAUGACAGAAAGAUGAGGGAGAGAUUUCAAGAGAGUUCGAGAGCAUCGGGGGAGAAAACAUGGGGAAGGAGGGAAAGUGGGGUGUGGGCCCCACGACUCACAAAAAGCAUACACAAGAAUAUCCCAACAUAAAAUUACCAAAUUGCCCUUCACGUUCGUGAGUUCGUAAAAUCUCCAUCUUAGCUCCAAUUUAAAUUUCCUUACGCCCAUGUAUUCAUAGUGACGAGUACUACAAGGACAUGCCAAGGAAAAGAACCUUACGUGAUACAACAAGGCGGUCAACAAAAAGUCAACGUUUUACCUUGAAGGGCAUUUUCGUAAUUUCACGCUUUAAAACUGAAAUAUUUGGGGAUGGGUCGUUACAGUUGGCACAGUUUGAUUUAAACAUGUUUCGCACCUAAACUAGUGACCAAACCAAUUAUUAUAUGAUGGAUCAUUUUUGUUCCAUUUUAAAUAAAAUCCGGAUGAAAUUAAAUCAAACCAAACCAAAUAUUUGUGUCCAAGUCCAAUCCUUUUUUUCUUUUGCAAUUUUUUUGUUAGUACAUAGGCCAACAUGUACAUGUGAAGAAAAUAAGAAUACAAUAAGAAAGGGAUGUUCGGUUGUGAUUUGUAUAGGAUCAAAAUCAUGGUUUUAUCGUUUGGUUCGAUUUUGAAUUGUUGAUGAUCAAUACCGAACCAAAUUACUCCUUACAAUUUGAACCGAUCAGUUUGAUGCUCACUCCUACAUACAUGUGCAAAAUAUAAAUAAACCAGAAACAGAAAUAAAAAAGAAGGAAUUUCGUCUUUAUUACUUUGUAUUAUGUAUAUUCUGUCAAAUAUAAUCAUGUAAAUUGGGAAAGCUAAUGAACCUUUUUUUUUACAGCUUACACAACUUAUCCAAGGAAACAAUGCAGCAUCCUGUACUUAUUCACUGUCAAGAAGAUUAAAUAUAAAUUAAACGUUGUGGAAUAAAAAUCUAAUUAACUGUUGCAGGUUCUGUUGGAUUCGAACCGCCGGGUGGGGCAGGAGCCUUCAGCAGUACUUGCCUGAUAAUCAGAUCCUCAAUAGGGAAGUCCUGAUUAUGCAAAACAUCCUUCUUCACCGUCAUCAACUUGUCUUUCCCAUGAUACAACACUCUGCAGGCCCCAUUCGACUGCGUGUUCACAAGAAAAACCACUACCAUUGCCACCAAAAGUAUAUUUAAAAACUUCAUGUUGUUCCUUGUUUGGCAAACAACGACUUUAUUAAUUUGCUCUUUUUUUCUUCUCUUUUCUUCUCAAGCUGUAUGCAAUGCAAAUAAAAGAUGGAAAUCGGAAGGAUUGAGUUGCAAUGAAUAAUAAGUGGGGGAUAUUUUAUAGGGCUUGCUAGCUCUGCUAUUAUAUAUAUAUAUAUAUAUAUAUAUAUAUAUAUAUAUAUAUGAAAUAUUGUAUGGACUAACAGAACUGAUAUUAUACGACUUGAAAUUUUCAAUAACAUUUACCGAGCUAUAUUUAUAUGUUUUGACCAUUGACGGUCGUUUCAAAAUGUUAGAAAUUGAAUAGUAAACCGAGUGAGAAAUUUGGGAAUUGAUCAAAUUCAUUUGCUUCCUUGGCAAACUGAUGAGAACUGAUAACUAAAGGAUAUGGUGGGAAAGCGUUUACAAAGACCUUUGAAAGUUUGUAGUAUUGGGUGUGCUAACCUUUUACACGGCAUGAAUAUAAAAAAGUUGAAUUUUAUCGUUGAUCGCUGAAGUCCCAUUUGACCUUAAAUUAAUGUCAUGCAUGAUAUGAAGAAUGACUAGAUUAGUUUCUAUUAUGAUUUGGUGUAAUAAACAGUCUCACGAGGGAAUGCAUACACCAUACUUGUUUGCAAAUAACGUAUUUUCAUUAUACAAUUUUAUAAUCUUAACGCUAAAAUUGUUGUGGUAGAUAAGAUGAUGUCUUGUACUUUUUAUUUAAUUGUGAUAACACGCUUUGACUGUCGUAGAACUUCAAACUUUUCAUCAUGUCCAGAAUAGUAACGGGCACAGUGUCCGUGGUAGAUUGCAAUCAACCACGGGCAUUCACCAUGAUAGAUGUGGGUUUUUCUUCUUGUAUAUAUGUGUAAUGCUAGAGAGAGCAAAUUACUAAGCCAAAUGGUAUGAAUGUGGAUGUGGAUGAUUAGAUUAUAACUUAAGCAUUGAUUAACGUGCUUAUUUCAUGUCGGUGACACAUCAUUUGUUUGCAACUAGAAGAAAAAAAGCUCAUCUAUUAUGGUUGAUACCCAUGGUAGAUUGCAAUCCACCACGAACAAUGUGCCCGUUAGUAAUCUGGAUGUGAUAGAAAGUCAUAGUUUCAACUACAGGCUAUGCUCGUUGCCUAAUGUGAAGCAACCACGGAUUGUGCCCGUGGUAGAUUAAAAUCUAACACCACGUGCACUAUAGACGUUGUGGAUUCCAAAUUGACUGAAACCAAUGCCCGUUAUAAAACAAUUCCCAAAAUUUUUUUUUAAAAAAAAAUUAUUCAAUAAAAAUUAUAUAUAUAAAUAUUUAUAUACAAAUUGCAUAUUUACUACAAUAUAACGAUUACAUAAAAAAUCAUAGAUUAAAAUUUCAAAUAUUACAAGAUGUACACUAAAACUAAUAACAAACCAAUGAGUUAUACUAAGAAAUACCAAACCAUCCAAGAAGUAUCAAAUAGGCCAUAACAAGGACAUUGUCGCUUGAACACUUCAGAUUUCUUUGAAUACCUCCAAACGAAAGAACCUUGAGAGUGAAAUACUGCCCCUAAAGCUUGACCCUUAACAAUUGUUGCCUCUCUCUAUCUGCAUGGACAUAAGCAUAUGGAUCAAAAGAAAGAAAUUCUUGUACUGUUAUAGGCAGAAAUAAAAAUUUGAUCUCAAUCAAGAAAAGUGAAAAGACAUACAAAACUUGAAGCCAAAAGUUUUAUAUAUAUUUUUUUUUGUCAAAAAAAAGUCAAAAGUUAACUAGUAAAGACUUGUACAGAUAUACGAAUCUCCAAUAGUCCACAUAAGAAGCCAAAAAUCAACCAGUAAAGAAUCGAACAGAUAUAAAGACCUAACUCUAACAAGAGCAUGUAGUGCAAAAUUAGAAUUGCAUAUGCAGUGAAUGAAGUAAAUACAGAGCUUAACUUACAAUCAUCAAUUCUCAGGUUUCUAGGUAUUCCUCUCAACUGCUCUGCCUCUAAAACUAGCAUUUCAUGUACAGUUUUUGCCUCUAAACCUUUCUAUUGAUGCAUCCCUCUGAAACUACAUAUAUUUAUGCAAACAUAUACUAUACAAGAUUAAUCAAAUCAAUACCAUAAUCAGAAACUUUUUUGUUUUUUAAUAAACCAUAAACAUUAGUAACCAAACCAAUACUAUAAACUAAAUCAUUAAUUAGCCCAAAAAUUAAUAUCAAAUUUUUACCUUGUUUGCAAGUUCUUUGUGCAAAUAGAAACUGGAAACUGCAAAGCAAAGAAACCACGGCUUAAGAAUGAAACAUCACUCAAAAUUUAUAUUAAAAAAAACUUAAAACAUAUAAAAAGUUAAAAAUUACCUGUGGAGAAGAGUGCUAGCAUGUCUCAAAUCUAGAGUCUUGAAAUAUUAAUUUCAUUAGAUUACUAAUUCACGACUGACUGACGAUAACGAUUGAUUUUUAUUUUCCAUAUUCAACACCAGAAUUUGAUAACUUUUUCUCCAAAGGCUGCCCACUAAUUAAAGUUUUCAAUUAAACAAUUGGUGAUAAAAUCAAACUCCGCAAACUAAAAUUAUAAGCAUGAAUAAGCAUUGAGUUUGGUAUGAUUAAAGACCAAGAAGGGGAAAUUAGAAUCACAAUUUGGGAUGGAAUUCAAGAAACACAAUUCCAAAAAGAGUAUAAUCAGAAUCACACUUAAGGAGUUGGGAGUCAAAAUUGUCUAAAUAAUAUCAUUAAAUUCAGAUAACAACGAAAAAAAAAAAAAAAAACCAAGCACUGUGAUUGGAUUGCAAAACAAGCAUGCAAUUAAAAAACUAGUGCAGCCCUCAGUCUCUCAGUUUUCAAAAUCCUUAACCCCUUCAAUGCUCACCAUUCGAAACCCCAAAACACACAUUUUCAUAGAGAAAGCCAUAAAUCCAACUCCAUCUCUCUGGUUUUGAAACCCUAGCCCAAUCCCCGAUCCCUAAUCUUUCGAUUUUAAAACUUGAGAUCAAAAUCACCAAAAUGGAGAACUUGAAAUCAAAAUUGAAGAAGUAAUACCUUCAACGAAAUUUGGACAUAUGUAAAUCAAAAUCGAAUUUAAAUUCAAGUUCAAAAUCGAACUCAACUAGAAUUAGAUCGAAGCAAAAUCUAAUAAACAAUAGCAAUUUGAGAAAUCAAACUUAGAGAAAUAUAUAGAGCUCACACCUGAAGAAGUUAUAACAUAGAAAGAAAGAAUCACAAUUUCAUCAAUGGUGGAGAUUUGCCGCCUAAAAUUUAAUCGAUCUUAGAGAUCCAUUCCUAUUCCGCCACCGCCUCUGAAAUCCACCGAGAUAUACACCAGCGAGAUCUCGUGCUCUCUAGUUGGAGACGAAGACGAAGAUCCUAUAGAUUGGGAAUACCUGACAUGCCCAAAGAAAUAGAAAAAAAAAAUUAGGGUUCGAAUAGUGUAUACGAACAAGGCAAAGAAAUGAGUAGUUUGGGGUCGGAGUAAUUGUCGACAUAAGAAUAGGGGGUGAGACCUAGUGGUUGGCGGUGUCUGAUAUGAAAACGGUAAAUAGGUUUCAUUGAGAUCUGAAAUUUGAGUGUUUAUUCUUAUACUGGUUGAUUAAAAAAAUGAAAAAUUAUAAUUAUAACGACAAUACUUAUAGUUUGUGGUAGAUUUAAAAUGUCGCUGUUGUCAAAAUUUUUGUAACCACAGACAUGCCUCGUGAUAAUAUAUAGCCAAACCACAAUGGGCUUUAAACACACGUUGUUGCUUCAACACCUUCAAUCACCGAACACUCUACGCCUGUUGUUAAACUAAUUUAUUUACCACAAACUUCAAACGUCUGUCAUUAAAUUGGACUUUUUAUAACGGACUUCUUAUGUCCAUGGACAAUCAGCCAUGGUAGAUAUGGUGCUGUGGCGUAUAAAUUUGGUCCCUAGCAUUAUCUAUAGUUAACUGCUAUUAACCAUCCCAACUAAUCACCUCAUAGGAUGGUGACACGUGGCAUACACAAAGUGAUCACAUUUGUCACUUAAUGUUAUAACCCAAAAAAAGACGUGCGUCACUUAAUACAUUCCAUAUAUAUAUUUGGGAGUUUUAACGAAAAGCCCACGGUACUGUUCACUUUAAAAAAAAACCACAUUUUUACAUUAAAAAGUCAAACCUGAUACUAUUCACUUUACCCUUUAUUUUGUCCUUAUCGUUAAAACUCAAAGUUUUCAAGCAUUUUUCAUUAGUUUUCCUUUUGCAUGUAAAUUUUCUUGAUGAUUAUUAUUUUUAAAUGAUGCAAAACAACGUUAAUAAGUUUAAAUCAAACUCAACGGGGAGGAGCGUAUGAAUUAACACCAAAACCAUGGAUCCAACUAACAGCUAGCGCGCGCCAACUGUUUGAUAUAUAUUUUGAAUUUGAUGCUCCACAGUCCACAGGCAUAUAGUUCAUGAUAUUGCAUGACAUUGUAAAACAAAGAAAACGUUCAUAUGUUAUUGCAUGACUCGUUAUUAAUGCAUACUAAUUUCAGAUAUCAUGUAAUGUUAGACACUUUCAUACACCAUGCACUUUUUGUGAACUGAAAUAUUUAGUUGAAAGGAUUGGUGUUGGCUUCAAAUUGUGAAUGGCACUAUUUAGUUGAAAGGGUUUUUUUCUCCGGCACGAAUUAUUUUAUCAAUGUGACCGUCACAUGUAUUACCUAUCCAUUCAUGUUAUAAUGAGUGGAGUGCUAAAUAACACUAAGUGAUAGCUAAACCGUCUCACUUUAAAAUUAGACUAAAAAAGGUGCCUUAAUUUCAAACCAGAUAUGUAGAGCUUUCACUCUAACACAAACACACACAUUUGUGGUAUAAUACUUAUGUAUAUCUCUGCAAAACACUGUCAGAGGUGUUUGUAGACCAGGUAAUAUAUUUUCGCAAUUCUAUAGUUUAAUUUCUGGUCAACAAAAUGGUAUUUGAUUUUAAACUCAGUGUUAAAUUAAAAGGUAACAAACCCAUGCUAGAGCUACAGAUGCACACAGGCACAAAAAGAAAUUAAUAAAUAUAUAUAAUUUUAUCUGUACUUCGUAUUAUUCAGUCAAUUUCAUACACAUUAGGAACCUAAUACACUUUUUUUUUUUACAUUCUUACACAUCUUAUAUAAGAAAAAAAAAACCCUAGACUGCAAGUAUUUUCCUGUACUUAUUCACUGCUAAGAAAAUAUAUCAAAUGUUUAAAAGGGGUUAAAAAUUAAUUCUGCUAGUGCUUUUCGUUGAUGGUUGCAGAGUCUUUGGAAUUGGUACAACUUCAAGGUUUAGUCGGAUUAGGACCUCCGGGAGGGACAGUGCCCCUAAGUAUUUGCCUGAUCAAAGGGAAGAAGGGACGAUCCAUCUGAUGCAAAACAUCAUUCUUCAUCUGAUGCAUAAACUUUUCUUCUCCAUGCAACACUCUGCAGGCUUCGGAGGAUUGCAUGUUCAUAAGAAAAACCACUAAAAACACUGCCACCAAAAACAUUUUUAGAAACUUCAUUUUGUUGGGCAGACAAAGAUUAUUUUGCUUCUUUAUUCUGUGGAAGAAGAAGGAAUGAAUGAACGAAGAUAAAGAUAAAGGUUUGUUGGAAACUAAGAUUUUGCUUCUUUUGUCUGUCUGAAAAAUAGGAAGGAUUGAAGUAAUGAAUGAAUUGAAGGAAUGAAUAGAUGGAGAAUACGGGGGGGCUCUUUUAUAGGCAUCAAUUAAGACCAACUUUCAUUUGACUUUGAUUUUUAUAAAUCUAUUUGUUUGUUUUGACUUGGAAUUGAAUGGGUCGUCAUACCCGCAAGGGCUUUGGUUUUAACUUUUGAAUUGAAUGGGUCAUCAUACCCGUAAGGGCUUUGGUUUUAUGGCUUCACUAUAUUGUGGGCCUAUAACAAAUCAAGGCUAAUUAAUAAAACACAAUCCUUCUUUUUACUCUUAAGUUGAGCUAUAGCUUUGUUUUUUUUUUUUUUUUUUUUUUUUUUUUUGGAAACGAGCUAUAGCUUUGUUUACUUAAUUAAUCCAGACAGUAAAACCUCUAUAUAGUCAUCAUGUUAGAACCAAGAGAAUUUUAUAACUUUAGGGACGUUAUUACUUAAUAGAGGUGUAGCUAAAAAAUAUUAUUAGUGGAGUACGUCAAUUUCUAAGAUGUAACAUUGAAAAAAGAAAGACACUCAAUCUUUAAAAUCUAGUGCAUGUUGUAUGUAGUACUCUCUUUAAGUUUAAUGCUUAUCGGAAACAUGCUUGAGAAGCUAGAAACAUUUGGGCUUCAACAAGAAACCGUCCAUUUGACGAGAUAUUACGUACUCGCAAGCUCAAAAGCAUGAUAUCAACUUAAAAAAAAUAAUACAUUGUCUCAAACAAUUAUAGAGAAAUAUUUUAGUUCAUCUUAAACUUUUAUUUGUAGCGUUGCAUAUUUUUGUACUUAUUAAUGAUUAUUACUACAUGGGGGCGAGGUCUUAAUACGUGACCUAUAAAAAUCAUCUUAUUAUAAUGCGGAGUUUAUUCUUUACAUAUAUAACUGAGUGCAAGUUGGGACCAUAAAUUUUUAUCACAAUUAAGGAGGUUAUUCCUAUAUAGAGUAUUAUAAUAAAGAAGUUUUACUUUAUAUUUUGUAAUUAAGUUGUCCUGGUUCAAAUUUUUUUAUUAACAUUACUAAUGGUAUAGAGGUAUUUUGACGAACUCUUGUCGAGUUUUUUUACUAUUUUCUUGAAUCGCAAUUUUGAACAGAAAUUGGAGUUUUUGCAUGCAAGUAAAAGCGUGUAUAAGGCCUUUGAAGUUUGAACGUUGACUAUUUUAAUUGAAGUUUUAGUUGUCAGCUACGGUGUUGGUGUGUGCUAACCACAUAUAUACAUUACACACACAAAAAUUGAAUCAUAUUGUGAGACUGAAGUCUUAUUUGACGUGAAAUGUUUCCGAGCUGUGUUUAUUUAAUUAAUUAAGACCUCUCUAAAACUAAUUAAGACUUCUCUAAUCAGUAGCGGAUUCAGGAUUUUAAACUCGAGGGGUCUCAUUAAUAAAGGUCAAAAAAUUUAUCAAAAUUAACAUUGAAAAGUUAAAUAUAAUAUAUUUCAUUCAAAAAUCAUACGCAAAACAAUAUUACAAGCUAUAAAAUCCUAAUUCAAGUCACUAAAAAAAAACACUUUGCGCGACGCAGGUCAGUCGUCGCGCAAAGUAAAAAAACGUCGCGCAAAACCUUGCCCAACUCACCUUGGUCGCGCGCAAACCGUCGCGGCAAGGCAGUGACAGAAGGCUUUGCGCGACGCAUGUAACCCGUCGUCGCGCAAAGUGGAUUUUGCGCGACGCAGCUACGUCGCGCAAAGCUGUUUUGCGCGACGUAGACUACGUCGCGCAAAUCCACUUUGCGCGACGCAUGUAACCCGUCGUCGCGCAAAGUGGAUUUGCGCGACGUAGUCUACGUCGCGCAAAGUCAAGAGACGCUACUUUGCGCGACGUAUGAAACGUCGCGCAAAUCAACUUUGCGCGACGCAUGUAACCCUUCGUUGCGCAAAUCUACUUUGAGCGACGUAUGCUACGUCGCGCAAAGUAGCGUCGCUUGACUUUGCACGACGUAAACUACGUCGCGCAAAGUGGAUUUUUUUUUUUUUUUUUUUUUUUUUUUGAAGAAAUGGUCAAAAAUAUUAUUUUCUUUGUAAUUACAAUUAUAAACAAUAAUUAAUGCACCAAAGAAAAAUAUUUCAUUAUAAAUAUAUAUAUAGGGUUUAUACAUUUCCAUAUAAAUAUGGAAAUGUAUUGUUUAUGUCCGAAUGAAAAAGAAAAAAACUACAAGUAAUCUUCUUGGUGAAAUGGCUACUAGGUAUCAGUAGGGUGAAGUGGCUCGAAAGUCGAAGGUGUAGCAAGAUCAGGUACUACUGGUAGUGAGAUUUGGAGGCCAGUCAUCUGUAUGGCUCGUACAAGGUCUCUCACUUGGCCAGCAUAAGCCUGCAGCUGCUCGCCCUGGGCCCUUAUCUGCUCCCUCAUCUGCUCGCCCUGGACCUGAAGCUGACCCUGUAGGGUUGUCACUUGCUCCUUCAAUGAAUCGACCUCUGCGGUGUUCGAUCUGGAAGAAGAGGCACCAGUCUCACGAACUCGUGCUUUCCCCAUGCCACGAACAACCUUGCCAUGACGACGACCAAGGUUCUGAUCUAAGACAUCAGUCAUGAUCUGAAAACCUGCAUCCUCGGGUACCGGGACGUCCUCAAUCGGGGUCUCAGGGGGAAGCUGCGAUGUUGCUUCUUGGAUAACAGCAGUGCGCUUUUCCACCAUAAGAGCCUGUAAUAAUAAAGAAAAAAACAUAUAUAUAAAUAAUAUUUGAACGAUUCAUGCAUACAUAUAAGAAUAAUAACAAUUACAUUUACUUACAUGAAGAUGCUCACUGUUCGCAUCUCCAGGUCGAACGUAAACAUCCUCGAACAUGUCGAUCUCUGGGAACUUAGAACCCUCCUGAAGAAAAAAAAAACAUUAAGAAAAUUUUAUUAAUCAAUAAUAAUAAAUAAAUUGUAUAAAAUUUCUAAAUUAAUAUACUUUUACCUGACGUCGUGCCUCAAGCCUAUACGAAAAGGGCUUCGAACCGGAAUGGUGAAGAAGUGUCUUUGACUCCCGAGCUAUCUUGCCAGCAACAGAUUUCUUCUGUUAAACACACAAUAUACAUGUUAGUGCGACUAUUUCAAAUAAAUUAAUAAAAAAAACCUUAAAAAUAACUAAAACAAUAAGAAAUUAUUAUUAAAAUAUUAUGUACAUACCACAAAUUUUGGGUCCGUAAAAUGUUUGCAGAGCCACUCCCAAUCCUCUGGCCGGUCCUUCAACUCGCUUGGGCAACCACUUAGGCGAGCAAUCUCCAAAGUAUCCCAUAGCUGAAAAUGCGUGUGAAGAUAGUUCUUCCAAUGUUUGUACCGGGUUGCUAAGGUCUCGUCUAAGUAGGCCUUGACCUCGGGGGAUAUAUCAUCAAGAUCAAAAAUGACCUACGAAUAUGAAAAACAAUAAAAUAAUAAUAAGAUAAUAUUAAGAUAUAAUAUAAUUUGGUUUUUAUUAUUUGUAAACAAAACUAAAAAAAUGAUAUUGAAUUCGAAUUUGUUUAUUUAGAUAAAAAGAAUGCAAGAAUCGUAAAUAUAAUUUAUGAACCCAAUGACAUUCAUGAACAAGCAACUCAAACAUGGCAUAAAGUACAAGAUUAUAAUAAACAAGAUUCAAUAAGAUUAGCUUAUGAAUUUGAAAAAGAAACAUAAGAGUUAAUUUCAAAUUUGAUGAAAUAGAUCAAAAUGAAUUAAAUAACUAGAUAAAAGAGUUAGAUGAUUGAAUUUCAUUACCAAAUUCGAAACAUACCUAAGUAAUCCAGUAAGUCAAAAUGAAUAUACAGAACAUCAAGAAGAACAAUAUUUUUAUGAAGAACCAAGUAGUUAAAGGAUAAAGAUUAAUAUACUAACAAACAACUUCAUUAUAAAGGCUAAAAAUUAAUAUACUAACCGACAACUUGUCUCGCACCAAAUCCUUCGUCCUAUCGGGAAUUUCUGCCCACUUCUCCCACUGCAUAGGACAAUUUUGUUUAAUAACAACACCACAGCUACUAACGACGAUGCUAUGCUGUUGUGCUGUAGCAGCUCCACGAUGUACCGGGUCAUACUCAAUCUUGAUCUUAGAGCCAGUCAAACGUACACUCUGUGCUGGCUUCAGCAUUCGACUAGGCCCCCUAGUUUUUUUUUUAGCUAGCCAAAAAUACUUAAAUGGUGAAAACCCUAAGCUUAAAUUUGCACAGAAAAUUCGACAUAACUUCCCCUAAUAGUAAAGCAUUUCCCAAAACCUUAAAACAUUAAAAUAACAGUAAUUCACAACCCACAACACAUUUUCACAAUCUAGCAAAUUUUCAGCAUCAUAAAAAUAAUACUUUUAAAAUGAAAAAAAAAAAUACAACGUAGUGAUCGAGAAUUAGAAAAAAACUACCUGGCUGGGAGGCCUCACCCUCAACCCUGGAUGCUGAGGAAGUGUGAUCAUAAGGGUCCGGCUCGCGACGACGCCGGUGAGGCCGCCGUGCACUGAGCGGGUGAACGGACACUGAUGACGUCGAUGAGACAGGCACCUGGGACGCCGUAGGAGUAGCCUCAAUAAAGGGAGUAGGCUCCCCAUUCAAUGGAGCACUCACGCAUGGAGCAGUAGAUGCUGAUAAUGUGGGAGGCGCAUUGGUCACACUCCGACGACGAGUGAUCAAAUGCGACAUCUAUACACUUUUUAAACCAUAAAAUUAUAACAUUAGAAACUAAUCAAUUAGCAACCAAAGUAAUAAGUAGGUUACCAACAUUCUUAAUUUCAAAAAAAAAGUACGGACAAUGUAUAUUUAAAUUGAGCAAGUAACAAAUUAUAUGCAACAACCUUAUGAACAACCUUGUGUAUAUGUGUGUGUGGAUCAACAAUUAGAUACACAAAAUAAAUGUCACUGGUGUAUGGCUGAUAUUAUUCAUUUGCAAUUUGCCACUAUCUGGUGAUUCACUUAUUGUCAGCUACUGUCCAGAGAUAUCACUACCAUGCACCAACUUUUUACUUGUCCUAGAGUUGAUACUUCAUUUUAUUUCAAGGAAUAAGGUGAUACAAAAAGAGGAUGAUGAAAAAGAAGAAACAAUAUCUUCCCCAAUAUGAAGAAUCAGAACGAAAAGCUAAAUCACAUAAGUUAUGACAUUAAACAACAGAAAAAGAUGAAAUUUAAGUCAUUUUUCGAUACAAGGGAUGAAGACUCAAAUUCAAGUCUUAUUUUCGGUAAUCUAGUUAUGUAGUUAAGAACUGUGAUAUCAAGCAAAGUAGGAAACCCAUUAAUCCAUUUAAAAAGAAAAACUUAAAUUACUAAUAUGGUUAAACUAAUAAAACUAUUAUAAAAAUUAAAACAGAAUAAGAAAUGGAAAUUCCAAAAUGCAGUGGCAAACAUUUUGCAAUCCAUCAUCCAACCAACUAAUCUUCCAAUAUUUGCAUAUAGAUACAUAUAUGUACACACACAUAUAUAUGCUUGGAAUAUGUAUUUAAUUAUUGCAGAGAAGCAAAACAGAGAAAUGAGAAAAUUAAAGGGAAAAGGAAAAGCAGAGAAGAGAAAGAGAACUGAGACUAGAAGAGUAAAUCACCCAUGAGUUCUAACUUCCUAUGUAUGGUAUAUUCCAAGGUCCUAACUUGUACAUCAAAGAGUAAAUUACAAGUCUUCUCUCCCCUCUUAACUUGUACAUCCAAGGUCCUAAAUAUAUCUAGUAAAGGCAUGUGCUUCACCUAAUAUCCUCUAUAAACAAACAGGGGAAAUUACACAAAGGCUUUGACUUUCGGUGAAGGUCAGAUUCAUUUCAAAAAUGCUCAAAUUAUGCUCUACAUACUCAAAUCAAUUUUGGUAAUAACUCAUAAAAACUGCCAAACAUAAAAAAAAAAACAAAAAACAAAAAACAAAAACAAAAACAAAAACAAAGACAGUUUAACAAAUGUUGAUGACUUUGAAGAAUGGGGCAGAGAGACUUGAGUCUAAUGAGCUCAGCAACUGCUUCCAUUUGUAGCGUCUUAGCACAUUACUUUACAUAAAGUGCAUGGAGGACUCUUAGAUAACAACAGCUUCAAGAAUUUAUAGUUUACAAGCAUUUGUCAAGGUUAAUCAAUAUUUUAUGUCCCAAUUUUUUGGAUUAUUGAAUACAUUUGAUUUGAUAUUAUGUUAUGUGAGUCCACCUUCGCAUCCUAAAUCGACAAAAUUGCAAAAGCUUCACCGAAAACACCUUCAUGUUCAUACACAAAAUACACAUACAAAUCAACAAAAUUGCAAAAACUUCACACAAUCAACUUGAAUCACAUCACAAAAAAAAUCAAUUUGACAAAACCCAACAUGCAAUUUGAACCUAAACCCUAAAUAACAAAAACCCAUAAAAAAUCAGAAACCCUCACCUUGAAUUUGGGACUUGAUUCGCGUCAGUUUCCAGAUUCGCGUCACUGCCCGUCGUUUAGAACGAGAGGGAGAGAGACAACUGACAGAGUAGUGGUGGUGAUGGUUGGAUUCGUGAUUGUGAAGAGGAAAGCUUGUGAAUGAGAGGGAGAGAGAUAUGUACGGGAAAAAGAGGAGAGAUGAGCAAGAGGGUUAUACAGGAAAGAGGGAAAGAAAGGUGAGGAAGAGGGUGGGAAAGAGGGAAAGAGAGGUGAGCAAGGGAACCAUACGGGAAAGAGGGAAAGAGAGGAUAGAUGAGCAAGAGGUUAUAUGGGAAAGAGGGAAAGGCCGAAAGAGUGCAAGAGGGAAGAGAGGUCUAUUAAUUAUACGGGAAAGAGUCGAAACUUAGGAAAAAUUGAAACAAAGCGCCUUUUUUUCACUGCUGCAUUGGAGCGCGAAAUUUAUCAUAUCUUGCGCGACGUUGGUAUACAAUUUGAUGUCGCGCAAAGUGCUUUUGCGCGACGACCAUGUUAAGGCGUCGCGCAAAGUUUUUUUUUUUUUUCAAUUAUUAUAAAAAUUACUGAAAAUAUGACUUUACUGCUUUCAAAUUCAAUUUUUUUUUACAUAAACCCCAAAAUAAUAUAUUUUUCUAAUAAAAACCAACAAAUUUUUAUUUUUACAUAUAUAUAUCAUUCAAUUUCUUAAGUGUUAUAAGUAUUAUAUAAAUAAAUUAAAAUCUAUUUAGUAAAUAUAUAUAUCAUUGAACUUGAUCAAAAACGCGUUGUACGAAAUCCACUAGUAAAUAUAUAUCUAAUUAGUUAAUAUAUAUAUGUAAUUAUAUUAUAUAAUUAUUAUAGUUUUUAGGGGUAUUAAAUCAUUGUAUUCAUAUAGGGUCAAGGAGUGUAGCUGCAAAAAAUCAUCAAAAUCGGAGUAAAAAUGACCGUUAAAUCAUGAUUUAUCUUUUUAUAACCGUCGAAAAGUUUUGUCCGGUUACUUGAUCUUUGAAUGUUUGUUUUUUGCAAUUUUUGGCGUAUGAGAUCUCGAAGUAUAUACAAACAUGUUUGACGGUUGGAUCAUUGAAACUAGUUUCGUAGAAUGAGUAUCCCAUCAAAACAAUAGAUUCACUAAUACUUAAGAAUUUAUUUAUACUUUCAUUAAGUAUAACAUAAGAUUUUUUUGGUAUCCAUUAGUGUAAAUAUUUUAAAUUGAAGAUCGAAUUCAAUCAUUGUAUUCAUAUAGGGUCAAGGAGUGUAGCUGCAAAAAAUCAUCAAAAUCGGAGUUAAAAUGACCGUUAAUCAUGAUUUUUCUUUUUAUAACCGUCGAAAAGUUUUGUCUGGUUACUUGAUCUCUGAAUGUUUGUUUUUUGCAAUUUUUGGCGUAUGCGAUCUCGAAGUAUAUACAAACAUGUUUGACGGUUGGAUCCUUGAAACUACUUUCGUAGAAUGAGUAUCCCAUCAAAACAAUAAAUUCACUAAUACUUAAGAGUUUAUUCAUACUUUCAUUAAGUAUAACAUAAGAUUUUUUUGGUAUCCACUAGUGUAAAUAUUUUAAAUUGAAGAUCGAAUUCAUUCAUUGUAUUCAUAUAGGAUUAAGGAGUGUAGCUAUAAAAUAAUCAAAAUCGGAGUUAAAAUAACCGUUAAAUCGUGAUUUUUUUCGUUUUUUAACCAUUGAAAAGUUUUGUUCGGUUACUUAAUCUCUGAAUGUUUGGUUUUUGCAAUUUUUUGCUGAUACGAUCUCGAAGUAUAUACAAACAAGUUUGACGGUUGGAUCGUUGAAAUUAGUUUCGUAUAAUUCGUAUCCCAUCAAGUUCAAUGGUGUGUAUAUAUAUAUAUAUAUUUAUUAAGUAGAUUUAAAUCUCUUUAUUUUGUACGUAUAAUUUACUGGUACACGAAGUAGUAUAUUACGUGUCAUUAUAAAAAUAGUGGGAUAUGUCAUAUAUGUGAUAAAAAGUUAAUAACUUAAAAAAAAAAAAUUUCUCACAACUUUUAUUAAUUUUCAUUUUCCCUCUCUUUUUUGUUUCAUUUUCUUUUUUCCGUGUCGUGUCGUGUCGUGUUAUUGGGUCGUGUCAGGAAUUGUCAGGCAUAUCUUCCAUAGUUCAUAUAUUCCCAUAAUACUAUAUAUGUAUCUCAUUUUAUGCUUGGCCUAAUAAAUAAAAGAUACCGUUAUUUUAGAGGAACUUUGGCUUGGUAUUUGCUUAAACUACAAGAAAUAUUAAUUUGUAAACACAUAUUAAGUCCCAACCAAAACCAUUUUGCCACCAACUCUUCCACUAACGCCAGCUCCUGUGUGCACCUCAAAAUCCUUAGCCUCCAUCACAUGUUCAGUUGAUCCAAACGUCUUUAGCAGCCUCUUACAAUUCAAACAAAUCACAAUUCUUCUCAGGCAUUAUCUCGAACACUUUAGCUGCAUCCUCAACCGACCCGCAUUUCCCAUACAUUGCAAUCAACGCAUUGCCUACAAACACAUCCGAAAUCAGUCCCAUCUAUUGAUCAAAUCCACAAACACAUCAAUGGCAUCAACAAAAAGCUCGUUUCUUGCAUACCCACUAACAAGCGCAUUCCACUGGAACAAGUUCUUCCUCUUCAGCCCGUCGAAAACUGAGCGGGAAUCCAAAGGAGAACCGCACAUUGCACAUGGUAAUGAUGCGUGUGUUGAGAACAAAAUCACAGUUGAAAACGGUCAACGCAGAGACCAAGUUGUGGACUUUGCGUCCGGUUUCGACGUACUUCUGGCGCCCGCAGGCCUGUAAAGAGGCUCCCAUGGCGUCCUUCCCUUGCUAUGAGCUGGAAACUGCAUCGUGAGAGUGUAAUUGAAAAAGGUCAGAGCCUCCGAGAGGUUUUCAUCCUAACUACUCUACAAACACUAACAUUUUUAAUGCAACUAAGCAAAUGAAGCUUUUAAUGUACAAAUUUGAAAAUAUAAGCACCAACCUCUGUGGCAAUAGAUACAGCACAGAACUCCUCAAUUGAGUAAUUGGAAACGAGCACUGCAUUAACUACCGUUUCCCAACUGUCAGAGUUCCUGUUAUAUCAAAGACAACCGUGUUCACCUGCAGGGAUCAAACACAUGUCAGUAAACGUCCAGACAUCAAUAAAGUGUGAAAUGCUAAAAAAUUUAUCAACCUUCAUGACUUAGGUACCUUCAUGCCCUUUUGUUCAACUUUUAAUUUUAGAAAGGAAAAAAAAAAAACAAAAAGAACGAAACAAUUAUUAGCCUUGUUUAUUAAAAUUAAUAUAAUUCAGGAUCCAAUCAAUCAAGUUACUAAACUACAUGUAAAUCAACACAAAUGGCAUAUUUGAUAAACACUAAGAUUUACUGCAAUAGAUAACCGCUUGAGCGGCAGAGACUAUCGCUUGAGCGGCAGAACUCAGUCAUACUACAGCUUGAGCGGCAGAGACCACCGCUUGAGCGGCAGAACUACAGCUUGAGCGGCAGAGACCACCGCUUGAGCGGCAGAACCCAAUUAUACCAAAAUCAAUGCAUGGACUGAUAUACAUGAAUAAGCAUGCAAACCUGAACUUGAAGCCAUGAUCUGUUUUAGGAUGUAUCUUCCCUUCUCUUGUACGACUACAAUGGAUGUAUUAGGUUUCAAAUGGGGCAACCUUGCUUAACUGUGAAUCAUCCAUAUUUAUACCGAGAAGAGGGACCAAUCCCAUUCUAUAUCUGAUAACUGCCUUAUCCCAUUAAUAAUGCAGUUAUCUUCAGUUAUUAUUAAGCCAACUGUUCUUCAUUAAUUCAAACAUGGCUUAAUCACAUUUUUCCCUCCAGUAUGUUUUACUUCAUUCGAAUAUAAAACCUUAAGAAGUCUAACCAUAUAUACAGCUCAUUUACCAAGUUCAGCUGCAAUCGGCAGUUUGAUGAACUCACAUAUAUGAAUUCAAGAAUGAUGAAAUCACAUGAAUUCUUACAUUGUUAUCAGAAAAGGAGUUGGGGAGAACUCUCCCUCAAUGAGAGCUGUUAUCUACAAGAAACUGGGAUCUAAAACUUGGCGAGUAUGGCUUGACAUGGACAAGGCCACCAAUCGUCAGAACCAAAGAGUCAUAUGAGACAGAUUCCAACUAUGAAAUGAUUGUUGCAUGUUCAAUCCCAAUACACUUGCACCCUCAGACAUAUGGAUAGUAUCUAAUCAGUAAUUGUCUUUUCCUAAUACCAAAACAAACAGGUUUUCGACGUCAUCGGAAGGAAAAGUAAGUAGGAACAAGUAUAAUGAAGGUACACCAGCAAAAAAAACAUGAAAUAAAAAUGCAUGAAAAGUUGAAAACCCAGAUUCUAAAUUGAAAAGCAAUUUGUUUCAACCAUUACUGCCGUAGGGAUUGCUAGUCCCAUGGCAAAAGGGCAAGCAACCACUAAUACUGAGAUACCGAAUUGUAAUGCCAGCUCAAAUUUAUCCAUGCCUUUUGGUAUCUAGUUUUCCGGAAAAAAGACCAAAUUCUCCAGGGAUGAACCAUCCAAGCCAUGUCAAAAAUGCAACAAUGACAACCUGAUGUAGGAAAGAAAAAAAAAUCAAUCAUGCAAUUGAAAAAUUGUCAUAAUAACGCAAUUAUCAAAUGCAACUAAGAGUAAAACAAAUAUAAAGAUAACAUAAAACAUACAACUUACAUGAUAUCUUUAUCUUUAUAGAAUGGAGACGAUGAGAUAAUUUGUUGGGAAUAUUAGUGUGGUAGAUGAGAAGCGGUGUUAAACCCUCAGCCUCCUGCUUUUUCCUUCACAAGUUUAUAUUAAUCCUCAUCCGAACUACAAUAAUAACUCUCACUAUCAUCACUACUACCAUUUCCGGAUUCCCAUUCGUCCUCAUCUUCGUUUGCCUUUUCCGCUGCAUUGUAUUGAGGUAGAUCACCAAGGUCAAUUGAUAUUUCGAAUUCGGGAACUCCAGGUACGUCAAACGGUUCUUGGACAAUAUUAGUAUCCCGAAGUGUUUCUUCACCAAUUUCUAUCGAAGAUGAUAACUGUUGGUCAGCGACAUUGUCGUCGUUCUCAUCAUGAUCUAGUUCCGGAAUAUCAUAUAGCCCUCUUCGAUCAAUCUUCUGAACAACUUUCCAACCAUUGCCGGCUUUAGGGGUCGUCUAGAUAGAAUAUUUGUUUCGCCAUAGUUGCCAAAAUGUAUGGGUCUUCAUCGUACCAAUGUCUCGUAGUGUUUACUGAUAGUAAACCAUGAUCUUGCUUAACACUCGUUCGGUUAUGUGGGUUUGUAUCAAACCAAAGACACUUAAACAGUAUCACUUGACACCUGUCUUUGUAAAGCAAUUGUACUACACACAAGUUAGUUUGCCAUAGAAAUCAAUGUCUUCACUGUCGCCAGCACCUGGGACAUGGACACCACUAUUUUGAGUAGACAACUUGUCAUCACGUGUUGCCCCUAAGAACUUGAUCCCAUUUACAUGACAACCCGAGAACAAUUCAACAUGAAGUGGUCCUCUCGCCAAGUUAUAUAAUUCUUCAUCGUAAGAGGGUGAAUUCAAUUCCUUCAAUUUGUUCAUCUAAUAUAACAUAUACAAAAAGUUAACUUGUUAAUGUAACCAAAUUUAAAGACAGGCAUGAACAAGUUGGAAAAUAUGCUUAAUUCAAACCACAUAAAACUUACAUGUGCGUGAAACCACGAAGGAAACAAAUCACGAUGCUUCUUCGCAUAUAAAUGUGAAGGAUGUUCCCGCUUCAUCAACCGUUCAUGCUCUUCAAGGUAUGGCAAAGCCUCGUGACAAUUGNNNNNNNNNNNNNNNNNNNNNNNNNNNNNNNNNNNNNNNNNNNNNNNNNNNNNNNNNNNNNNNNNNNNNNNNNNNNNNNNNNNNNNNNNNNNNNNNNNNNNNNNNNNNNNNNNNNNNNNNNNNNNNNNNNNNNNNNNNNNNNNNNNNNNNNNNNNNNNNNNNNNNNNNNNNNNNNNNNNNNNNNNNNNNNNNNNNNNNNNNNNNNNNNNNNNNNNNNNNNNNNNNNNNNNNNNNNNNNNNNNNNNNNNNNNNNNNNNNNNNNNNNNNNNNNNNNNNNNNNNNNNNNNNNNNNNNNNNNNNNNNNNNNNNNNNNNNNNNNNNNNNNNNNNNNNNNNNNNNNNNNNNNNNNNNNNNNNNNNNNNNNNNNNNNNNNNNNNNNNNNNNNNNNNNNNNNNNNNNNNNNNNNNNNNNNNNNNNNNNNNNNNNNNNNNNNNNNNNNNNNNNNNNNNNNNNNNNNNNNNNNNNNNNNNNNNNNNNNNNNNNNNNNNNNNNNNNNNNNNUUGUUUUUUUUUUUUUUUUUUUUUUUUUUGGAAACGAGCUAUAGCUUUGUUUACUUAAUUAAUCCAGACAGUAAAACCUCUAUAUAGUCAUCAUGUUAGAACCAAGAGAAUUUUAUAACUUUAGGGACGUUAUUACUUAAUAGAGGUGUAGCUAAAAAAUAUUAUUAGUGGAGUACGUCAAUUUCUAAGAUGUAACAUUGAAAAAAGAAAGACACUCAAUCUUUAAAAUCUAGUGCAUGUUGUAUGUAGUACUCUCUUUAAGUUUAAUGCUUAUCGGAAACAUGCUUGAGAAGCUAGAAACAUUUGGGCUUCAACAAGAAACCGUCCAUUUGACGAGAUAUUACGUACUCGCAAGCUCAAAAGCAUGAUAUCAACUUAAAAAAAAUAAUACAUUGUCUCAAACAAUUAUAGAGAAAUAUUUUAGUUCAUCUUAAACUUUUAUUUGUAGCGUUGCAUAUUUUUGUACUUAUUAAUGAUUAUUACUACAUGGGGGCGAGGUCUUAAUACGUGACCUAUAAAAAUCAUCUUAUUAUAAUGCGGAGUUUAUUCUUUACAUAUAUAAACUGAGUGCAAGUUGGGACCAUAAUUUUUAUCACAAUUAAGGAGGUUAUUCCUAUAUAGAGUAUUAUAAUAAAGAAGUUUUACUUUAUAUUUUGUAAUUAAGUUGUCCUGGUUCAAAUUUUUUUAUUAACAUUACUAAUGGUAUAGAGGUAUUUUGACGAACUCUUGUCGAGUUUUUUUACUAUUUUCUUGAAUCGCAAUUUUGAACAGAAAUUGGAGUUUUUGCAUGCAAGUAAAAGCGUGUAUAAGGCCUUUGAAGUUUGAACGUUGACUAUUUUAAUUGAAGUUUUAGUUGUCAGCUACGGUGUUGGUGUGUGCUAACCACAUAUAUACAUUACACACACAAAAAUUGAAUCAUAUUGUGAGACUGAAGUCUUAUUUGACGUGAAAUGUUUCCGAGCUGUGUUUAUUUAAUUAAUUAAGACCUCUCUAAAACUAAUUAAGACUUCUCUAAUCAGUAGCGGAUUCAGGAUUUUAAACUCGAGGGGUCUCAUUAAUAAAGGUCAAAAAAUUUAUCAAAAUUAACAUUGAAAAGUUAAAUAUAAUAUAUUUCAUUCAAAAAUCAUACGCAAAACAAUAUUACAAGCUAUAAAAUCCUAAUUCAAGUCACUAGUAAAAAAAACACUUUGCGCGACGCAGGUCAGUCGUCGCGCAAAGUAAAAAAACGUCGCGCAAAACCUUGCCCAACUCACCUUGGUCGCGCGCAAACCGUCGCGGCAAGGCAGUGACAGAAGGCUUUGCGCGACGCAUGUAACCCGUCGUCGCGCAAAGUGGAUUUUGCGCGACGCAGCUACGUCGCGCAAAGCUGUUUUGCGCGACGUAGACUACGUCGCGCAAAUCCACUUUGCGCGACGCAUGUAACCCGUCGUCGCGCAAAGUGGAUUUGCGCGACGUAGUCUACGUCGCGCAAAGUCAAGAGACGCUACUUUGCGCGACGUAUGAAACGUCGCGCAAAUCAACUUUGCGCGACGCAUGUAACCCUUCGUUGCGCAAAUCUACUUUGAGCGACGUAUGCUACGUCGCGCAAAGUAGCGUCGCUUGACUUUGCACGACGUAAACUACGUCGCGCAAAGUGGAUUUUUUUUUUUUUUUUUUUUUUGAAGAAAUGGUCAAAAAUAUUAUUUUCUUUGUAAUUACAAUUAUAAACAAUAAUUAAUGCACCAAAGAAAAAUAUUUCAUUAUAAUAUAUAUAUAGGGUUUAUACAUUUCCAUAUAAAUAUGGAAAUGUAUUGUUUAUGUCCGAAUGAAAAAGAAAAAAACUACAAGUAAUCUUCUUGGUGAAAUGGCUACUAGGUAUCAGUAGGGUGAAGUGGCUCGAAAGUCGAAGGUGUAGCAAGAUCAGGUACUACUGGUAGUGAGAUUUGGAGGCCAGUCAUCUGUAUGGCUCGUACAAGGUCUCUCACUUGGCCAGCAUAAGCCUGCAGCUGCUCGCCCUGGGCCCUUAUCUGCUCCCUCAUCUGCUCGCCCUGGACCUGAAGCUGACCCUGUAGGGUUGUCACUUGCUCCUUCAAUGAAUCGACCUCUGCGGUGUUCGAUCUGGAAGAAGAGGCACCAGUCUCACGAACUCGUGCUUUCCCCAUGCCACGAACAACCUUGCCAUGACGACGACCAAGGUUCUGAUCUAAGACAUCAGUCAUGAUCUGAAAACCUGCAUCCUCGGGUACCGGGACGUCCUCAAUCGGGGUCUCAGGGGGAAGCUGCGAUGUUGCUUCUUGGAUAACAGCAGUGCGCUUUUCCACCAUAAGAGCCUGUAAUAAUAAAGAAAAAACAUAUAUAUAUAAUAAUAUUUGAACGAUUCAUGCAUACAUAUAAGAAUAAUAACAAUUACAUUUACUUACAUGAAGAUGCUCACUGUUCGCAUCUCCAGGUCGAACGUAAACAUCCUCGAACAUGUCGAUCUCUGGGAACUUAGAACCCUCCUGAAGAAAAAAAAAACAUUAAGAAAAUUUUAUUAAUCAAUAAUAAUAAAUAAAUUGUAUAAAAUUUCUAAAUUAAUAUACUUUUACCUGACGUCGUGCCUCAAGCCUAUACGAAAAGGGCUUCGAACCGGAAUGGUGAAGAAGUGUCUUUGACUCCCGAGCUAUCUUGCCAGCAACAGAUUUCUUCUGUUAAACACACAAUAUACAUGUUAGUGCGACUAUUUCAAAUAAAUUAAUAAAAAAACCUUAAAAAUAACUAAAACAAUAAGAAAUUAUUAUUAAAAUAUUAUGUACAUACCACAAAUUUUGGGUCCGUAAAAUGUUUGCAGAGCCACUCCCAAUCCUCUGGCCGGUCCUUCAACUCGCUUGGGCAACCACUUAGGCGAGCAAUCUCCAAAGUAUCCCAUAGCUGAAAAUGCGUGUGAAGAUAGUUCUUCCAAUGUUUGUACCGGGUUGCUAAGGUCUCGUCUAAGUAGGCCUUGACCUCGGGGGAUAUAUCAUCAAGAUCAAAAAUGACCUACGAAUAUGAAAAACAAUAAAAUAAUAAUAAGAAAUUUAAUAAUAUUAAGAUAAUAUAAUUUGGUUUUUAUUAUUUGUAAACAAAACUAAAAAAAUGAUAUUGAAUUCGAAUUUGUUUAUUUAGAUAAAAAGAAUGCAAGAAUCGUAAAUAUAAUUUAUGAACCCAAUGACAUUCAUGAACAAGCAACUCAAACAUGGCAUAAAGUACAAGAUUAUAAUAAACAAGAUUCAAUAAGAUUAGCUUAUGAAUUUGAAAAAGAAACAUAAGAGUUAAUUUCAAAUUUGAUGAAAUAGAUCAAAAUGAAUUAAAUAACUAGAUAAAAGAGUUAGAUGAUUGAAUUUCAUUACCAAAUUCGAAACAUACCUAAGUAAUCCAGUAAGUCAAAAUGAAUAUACAGAACAUCAAGAAGAACAAUAUUUUUAUGAAGAACCAAGUAGUUAAAGGAUAAAGAUUAAUAUACUAACAAACAACUUCAUUAUAAAGGCUAAAAAUUAAUAUACUAACCGACAACUUGUCUCGCACCAAAUCCUUCGUCCUAUCGGGAAUUUCUGCCCACUUCUCCCACUGCAUAGGACAAUUUUGUUUAAUAACAACACCACAGCUACUAACGACGAUGCUAUGCUGCUGUGCUGUAGCAGCUCCACGAUGUACCGGGUCAUACUCAAUCUUGAUCUUAGAGCCAGUCAAACGUACACUCUGUGCUGGCUUCAGCAUUCGACUAGGCCCCCUAGUUUUUUUUUUUAGCUAGGCCAAAAAUACUUAAAUGGUGAAAACCCUAAGCUUAAAUUUGCACAGAAAAUUCGACAUAACUUCCCCUAAUAGUAAAGCAUUUCCCAAAACCUUAAAACAUUAAAAUAACAGUAAUUCACAACCCACAACACAUUUUCACAAUCUAGCAAAUUUUCAGCAUCAUAAAAAUAAAUACUUUUAAAAUGAAAAAAAAAAAUACAACGUAGUGAUCGAGAAUUAGAAAAAAACUACCUGGCUGGGAGGCCUCACCCUCAACCCUGGAUGCUGAGGAAGUGUGAUCAUAAGGGUCCGGCUCGCGACGACGCCGGUGAGGCCGCCGUGCACUGAGCGGGUGAACGGACACUGAUGACGUCGAUGAGACAGGCACCUGGGACGCCGUAGGAGUAGCCUCAAUAAAGGGAGUAGGCUCCCCAUUCAAUGGAGCACUCACGCAUGGAGCAGUAGAUGCUGAUAAUGUGGGAGGCGCAUUGGUCACACUCCGACGACGAGUGAUCAAAUGCGACAUCUAUACACUUUUUAAACCAUAAAAUUAUAACAUUAGAAACUAAUCAAUUAGCAACCAAAGUAAUAAGUAGGUUACCAACAUUCUUAAUUUCAAAAAAAGUACGGACAAUGUAUAUUUAAAUUGAGCAAGUAACAAAUUAUAUGCAACAACCUUAUGAACAACCUUGUGUAUAUGUGUGUGGAUCAACAAUUAGAUACACAAAAUAAAUGUCACUGGUGUAUGGCUGAUAUUAUUCAUUUGCAAUUUGCCACUAUCUGGUGAUUCACUUAUUGUCAGCUACUGUCCAGAGAUAUCACUACCAUGCACCAACUUUUACUUGUCCUAGAGUUGAUACUUCAUUUUAUUUCAAGGAAUAAGGUGAUACAAAAAGAGGAUGAUGAAAAAGAAGAAACAAUAUCUUCCCCAAUAUGAAGAAUCAGAACGAAAAGCUAAAUCACAUAAGUUAUGACAUUAAACAACAGAAAAAGAUGAAAUUUAAGUCAUUUUUCGAUACAAGGGAUGAAGACUCAAAUUCAAGUCUUAUUUUCGGUAAUCUAGUUAUGUAGUUAAGAACUGUGAUAUCAAGCAAAGUAGGAAACCCAUUAAUCCAUUUAAAAAGAAAAACUUAAAUUACUAAUAUGGUUAAAACUAAUAAAACUAUUAUAAAAUUAAAACAGAAUAAGAAAUGGAAAUUCCAAAAUGCAGUGGCAAACAUUUUGCAAUCCAUCAUCCAACCAACUAAUCUUCCAAUAUUUGCAUAUAGAUACAUAUAUGUACACACACAUAUAUAUGCUUGGAAUAUGUAUUUAAUUAUUGCAGAGAAGCAAAACAGAGAAAUGAGAAAAUUAAAGGGAAAAGGAAAAGCAGAGAAGAGAAAGAGAACUGAGACUAGAAGAGUAAAUCACCCAUGAGUUCUAACUUCCUAUGUAUGGUAUAUUCCAAGGUCCUAACUUGUACAUCAAAGAGUAAAUUACAAGUCUUCUCUCCCCUCUUAACUUGUACAUCCAAGGUCCUAAAUAUAUCUAGUAAAGGCAUGUGCUUCACCUAAUAUCCUCUAUAAACAAACAGGGGAAAUUACACAAAGGCUUUGACUUUCGGUGAAGGUCAGAUUCAUUUCAAAAAUGCUCAAAUUAUGCUCUACAUACUCAAAUCAAUUUUGGUAAUAACUCAUAAAAACUGCCAAACAUAAAAAAAAAAACAAAAAACAAAAAACAAAAAACAAAAACAAAAACAAAAACAAAGACAGUUUAACAAAUGUUGAUGACUUUGAAGAAUGGGGCAGAGAGACUUGAGUCUAAUGAGCUCAGCAACUGCUUCCAUUUGUAGCGUCUUAGCACAUUACUUUACAUAAAGUGCAUGGAGGACUCUUAGAUAACAACAGCUUCAAGAAUUUAUAGUUUACAAGCAUUUGUCAAGGUUAAUCAAUAUUUUAUGUCCCAAUUUUUUGGAUUAUUGAAUACAUUUGAUUUGAUAUUAUGUUAUGUGAGUCCACCUUCGCAUCCUAAAUCGACAAAAUUGCAAAAGCUUCACCGAAAACACCUUCAUGUUCAUACACAAAAUACACAUACAAAUCAACAAAAUUGCAAAAACUUCACACAAUCAACUUGAAUCACAUCACAAAAAAAAUCAAUUUGACAAAACCCAACAUGCAAUUUGAACCUAAACCCUAAAUAACAAAAACCCAUAAAAAAUCAGAAACCCUCACCUUGAAUUUGGGACUUGAUUCGCGUCAGUUUCCAGAUUCGCGUCACUGCCCGUCGUUUAGAACGAGAGGGAGAGAGACAACUGACAGAGAGUAGUGGUGGUGAUGGUUGGAUUCGUGAUUGUGAAGAGGAAAGCUUGUGAAUGAGAGGGAGAGAGAUAUGUACGGGAAAAAGAGGAGAGAUGAGCAAGAGGGUUAUACAGGAAAGAGGGAAAGAAAGGUGAGGAAGAGGGUGGGAAAGAGGGAAAGAGAGGUGAGCAAGGGAACCAUACGGGAAAGAGGGAAAGAGAGGAUAGAUGAGCAAGAGGUUAUAUGGGAAAGAGGGAAAGGCCGAAAGAGUGCAAGAGGGAAGAGAGGUCUAUUAAUUAUACGGGAAAGAGUCGAAACUUAGGAAAAAUUGAAACAAAGCGCCUUUUUUUCACUGCAUUGGAGCGCGAAAUUUAUCAUAUCUUGCGCGACGUUGGUAUACAAUUUGAUGUCGCGCAAAGUGCUUUUGCGCGACGACCAUGUUAAGGCGUCGCGCAAAGUUUUUUUUUUUUUUCAAUUAUUAUAAAAAUUACUGAAAAUAUGACUUUACUGCUUUCAAAUUCAAUUUUUUUUUACAUAAACCCCAAAAUAAUAUAUUUUUAAUAAAAACCAACAAAAUUUUUAUUUUUACAUAUAUAUAUCAUUCAAUUUCUUAAGUGUUAUAAGUAUUAUAUAAAUAAAUUAAAAUCUAUUUAGUAAAUAAUAUAUAUCAUUGAACUUGAUCAAAAACGCGUUGUACGAAAUCCACUAGUAAAUAUAUAUCUAAUUAGUUAAUAUAUAUAUGUAAUUAUAUUAUAUAUAAUUAUUAUAGUUUUUUAGGGGUAUUAAAUCAUUGUAUUCAUAUAGGGUCAAGGAGUGUAGCUGCAAAAAAUCAUCAAAAUCGGAGUAAAAAUGACCGUUAAAUCAUGAUUUAUCUUUUUAUAAACCGUCGAAAAGUUUUGUCCGGUUACUUGAUCUUUGAAUGUUUGUUUUUUUGCAAUUUUUGGCGUAUGAGAUCUCGAAGUAUAUACAAACAUGUUUGACGGUUGGAUCAUUGAAACUAGUUUCGUAGAAUGAGUAUCCCAUCAAAACAAUAGAUUCACUAAUACUUAAGAAUUUAUUUAUACUUUCAUUAAGUAUAACAUAAGAUUUUUUUGGUAUCCAUUAGUGUAAAUAUUUUAAAUUGAAGAUCGAAUUCAAUCAUUGUAUUCAUAUAGGGUCAAGGAGUGUAGCUGCAAAAAAUCAUCAAAAUCGGAGUUAAAAUGACCGUUAAUCAUGAUUUUUCUUUUUAUAACCGUCGAAAAGUUUUGUCUGGUUACUUGAUCUCUGAAUGUUUGUUUUUUGCAAUUUUUGGCGUAUGCGAUCUCGAAGUAUAUACAAACAUGUUUGACGGUUGGAUCCUUGAAACUACUUUCGUAGAAUGAGUAUCCCAUCAAAACAAUAAAUUCACUAAUACUUAAGAGUUUAUUCAUACUUUCAUUAAGUAUAACAUAAGAUUUUUUUGGUAUCCACUAGUGUAAAUAUUUUAAAUUGAAGAUCGAAUUCAUUCAUUGUAUUCAUAUAGGAUUAAGGAGUGUAGCUAUAAAAAAUAAUCAAAAUCGGAGUUAAAAUAACCGUUAAAUCGUGAUUUUUCGUUUUUUAACCAUUGAAAAGUUUUGUUCGGUUACUUAAUCUCUGAAUGUUUGGUUUUUGCAAUUUUUUGCUGAUACGAUCUCGAAGUAUAUACAAACAAGUUUGACGGUUGGAUCGUUGAAAUUAGUUUCGUAUAAUUCGUAUCCCAUCAAGUUCAAUGGUGUGUAUAUAUAUAUAUAUAUUUAUUAAGUAGAUUUAAAUCUCUUUAUUUUGUACGUAUAAUUUACUGGUACACGAAGUAGUAUAUUACGUGUCAUUAUAAAAAUAGUGGGAUAUGUCAUAUAUGUGAUAAAAAGUUAAUAACUUAAAAAAAAAAAAAUUUCUCACAACUUUUAUUAAUUUUCAUUUUCCCUCUCUUUUUUUGUUUCAUUUUCUUUUUUCCGUGUCGUGUCGUGUCGUGUUAUUGGGUCGUGUCAGGAAUUGUCAGGCAUAUCUUCCAUAGUUCAUAUAUUCCCAUAAUAUACUAUAUAUGUAUCUCAUUUUUAUGCUUGGCCUAAUAAAUAAAAGAUACCGUUAUUUUAGAGGAACUUUGGCUUGGUAUUUGCUUAAACUACAAGAAAUAUUAAUUUGUAAACACAUAUUAAGUCCCAACCAAAACCAUUUUGCCACCAACUCUUCCACUAACGCCAGCUCCUGUGUGCACCUCAAAAUCCUUAGCCUCCAUCACAUGUUCAGUUGAUCCAAACGUCUUUAGCAGCCUCUUACAAUUCAAACAAAUCACAAUUCUUCUCAGGCAUUAUCUCGAACACUUUAGCUGCAUCCUCAACCGACCCGCAUUUCCCAUACAUUGCAAUCAACGCAUUGCCUACAAACACAUCCGAAAUCAGUCCCAUCUAUUGAUCAAAUCCACAAACACAUCAAUGGCAUCAACAAAAAGCUCGUUUCUUGCAUACCCACUAACAAGCGCAUUCCACUGGAACAAGUUCUUCCUCUUCAGCCCGUCGAAAACUGAGCGGGAAUCCAAAGGAGAACCGCACAUUGCACAUGGUAAUGAUGCGUGUGUUGAGAACAAAAUCACAGUUGAAAACGGUCAACGCAGAGACCAAGUUGUGGACUUUGCGUCCGGUUUCGACGUACUUCUGGCGCCCGCAGGCCUGUAAAGAGGCUCCCAUGGCGUCCUUCCCUUGCUAUGAGCUGGAAACUGCAUCGUGAGAGUGUAAUUGAAAAAGGUCAGAGCCUCCGAGAGGUUUUCAUCCUAACUACUCUACAAACACUAACAUUUUUAAUGCAACUAAGCAAAUGAAGCUUUUAAUGUACAAAUUUGAAAUAUAAGCACCAACCUCUGUGGCAAUAGAUACAGCACAGAACUCCUCAAUUGAGUAAUUGGAAACGAGCACUGCAUUAACUACCGUUUCCCAACUGUCAGAGUUCCUGUUAUAUCAAAGACAACCGUGUUCACCUGCAGGGAUCAAACACAUGUCAGUAAACGUCCAGACAUCAAUAAAGUGUGAAAUGCUAAAAAAUUUAUCAACCUUCAUGACUUAGGUACCUUCAUGCCCUUUUGUUCAACUUUUAAUUUUAGAAAGGAAAAAAAAAAACAAAAAGAACGAAACAAUUAUUAGCCUUGUUUAUUAAAAUUAAUAUAAUUCAGGAUCCAAUCAAUCAAGUUACUAAACUACAUGUAAAUCAACACAAAUGGCAUAUUUGAUAAACACUAAGAUUUACUGCAAUAGAUAACCGCUUGAGCGGCAGAGACUAUCGCUUGAGCGGCAGAACUCAGUCAUACUACAGCUUGAGCGGCAGAGACCACCGCUUGAGCGGCAGAACUACAGCUUGAGCGGCAGAGACCACCGCUUGAGCGGCAGAACCCAAUUAUACCAAAAUCAAUGCAUGGACUGAUAUACAUGAAUAAGCAUGCAAACCUGAACUUGAAGCCAUGAUCUGUUUUAGGAUGUAUCUUCCCUUCUCUUGUACGACUACAAUGGAUGUAUUAGGUUUCAAAUGGGGCAACCUUGCUUAACUGUGAAUCAUCCAUAUUUAUACCGAGAAGAGGGACCAAUCCCAUUCUAUAUCUGAUAACUGCCUUAUCCCAUUAAUAAUGCAGUUAUCUUCAGUUAUUAUUAAGCCAACUGUUCUUCAUUAAUUCAAACAUGGCUUAAUCACAUUUUUCCCUCCAGUAUGUUUUACUUCAUUCGAAUAUAAAACCUUAAGAAGUCUAACCAUAUAUACAGCUCAUUUACCAAGUUCAGCUGCAAUCGGCAGUUUGAUGAACUCACAUAUAUGAAUUCAAGAAUGAUGAAAUCACAUGAAUUCUUACAUUGUUAUCAGAAAAGGAGUUGGGGAGAACUCUCCCUCAAUGAGAGCUGUUAUCUACAAGAAACUGGGAUCUAAAACUUGGCGAGUAUGGCUUGACAUGGACAAGGCCACCAAUCGUCAGAACCAAAGAGUCAUAUGAGACAGAUUCCAACUAUGAAAUGAUUGUUGCAUGUUCAAUCCCAAUACACUUGCACCCUCAGACAUAUGGAUAGUAUCUAAUCAGUAAUUGUCUUUUCCUAAUACCAAAACAAACAGGUUUUCGACGUCAUCGGAAGGAAAAGUAAGUAGGAACAAGUAUAAUGAAGGUACACCAGCAAAAAAACAUGAAAAUAAAAUGCAUGAAAAGUUGAAAACCCAGAUUCUAAAUUGAAAAGCAAUUUGUUUUCAACCAUUACUGCCGUAGGGAUUGCUAGUCCCAUGGCAAAAGGGCAAGCAACCACUAAUACUGAGAUACCGAAUUGUAAUGCCAGCUCAAAUUUAUCCAUGCCUUUUGGUAUCUAGUUUUCCGGAAAAAAAGACCAAAUUCUCCAGGGAUGAACCAUCCAAGCCAUGUCAAAAAUGCAACAAUGACAACCUGAUGUAGGAAAGAAAAAAAAAUCAAUCAUGCAAUUGAAAAAUUGUCAUAAUAACGCAAUUAUCAAAUGCAACUAAGAGUAAAACAAAUAUAAAGAUAACAUAAAACAUACAACUUACAUGAUAUCUUUAUCUUUAUAGAAUGGAGACGAUGAGAUAAUUUGUUGGGAAUAUUAGUGUGGUAGAUGAGAAGCGGUGUUAAACCCUCAGCCUCCUGCUUUUUCCUUCACAAGUUUAUAUUAAUCCUCAUCCGAACUACAAUAAUAACUCUCACUAUCAUCACUACUACUACCAUUUCCGGAUUCCCAUUCGUCCUCAUCUUCGUUUGCCUUUUCCGCUGCAUUGUAUUGAGGUAGAUCACCAAGGUCAAUUGAUAUUUCGAAUUCGGGAACUCCAGGUACGUCAAACGGUUCUUGGACAAUAUUAGUAUCCCGAAGUGUUUCUUCACCAAUUUCUAUCGAAGAUGAUAACUGUUGGUCAGCGACAUUGUCGUCGUUCUCAUCAUGAUCUAGUUCCGGAAUAUCAUAUAGCCCUCUUCGAUCAAUCUUCUGAACAACUUUCCAACCAUUGCCGGCUUUAGGGUCGUCUAGAUAGAAUAUUUGUUUCGCCAUAGUUGCCAAAAUGUAUGGGUCUUCAUCGUACCAAUGUCUCGUAGUGUUUACUGAUAGUAAACCAUGAUCUUGCUUAACACUCGUUCGGUUAUGUGGGUUUGUAUCAAACCAAAGACACUUAAACAGUAUCACUUGACACCUGUCUUUGUAAAGCAAUUGUACUACACAAGUUAGUUUGCCAUAGAAAUCAAUGUCUUCACUGUCGCCAGCACCUGGGACAUGGACACCACUAUUUUGAGUAGACAACUUGUCAUCACGUGUUGCCCCUAAGAACUUGAUCCCAUUUACAUGACAACCCGAGAACAAUUCAACAUGAAGUGGUCCUCUCGCCAAGUUAUAUAUAAUUCUUCAUCGUAAGAGGGUGAAUUCAAUUCCUUCAAUUUGUUCAUCUAAUAUAACAUAUACAAAAAGUUAACUUGUUAAUGUAACCAAAUUUAAAGACAGGCAUGAACAAGUUGGAAAAUAUGCUUAAUUCAAACCACAUAAAACUUACAUGUGCGUGAAACCACGAAGGAAACAAAUCACGAUGCUUCUUCGCAUAUAAAUGUGAAGGAUGUUCCCGCUUCAUCAACCGUUCAUGCUCUUCAAGGUAUGGCAAAGCCUCGUGACAAUUGUUGAGUAUGAACCAAUGCGCUACCUCCAUGUCAUUUUUGGUAAACGAUUCGCCUUUUACAGGAUCGCCGAAUGGUCGCGAAAUUUGGGCAAAAACAGACAGUUUCUUCUUUUCUGACACCACCGUCAUUAUUGCGUUGAGGACGAUUGAAAGUUGUCUCAACAUCUUGAAGAUACAUUGCACAAAAAGUAAGUGACUCAUAUGCGACCCAUGCCUCCACCAGUGAUCCUUCGGGCUUUGCCUUGUUUCGGACACACUUUUUCAAUUCACCAAUAUAUCUGCACAAAUAAAAGGUAUGCUACAAAUUAUUCAAAGCGUUCGUUGAUCAUGAAUUUGUUAUAUAUAUAUACACACACACACACGCGCUUAAUUACCUUUCUAUUGGAUACAUCCAUCGACAGUUCACUGGUCCGGCAAGCAAUGCCUCAUCUGGCAAGUGAAUCAUCACGUGAAUCAUACUUGUAAAGAAAGCUGGGGGAAAUAUCUGUUCAAAUUUGCAUAAGACGUUCACAAUGUCUUCCUGCAAUUGUUUAACAUCUGACUUUCGCAAACACCUUGCAGUCAACUGCGAAAAAAAUCUCGACAACAACACGAUUGGUUUCACCACAUCAAGAGGCAAUAAGUGUCGAAUACCAACCGGAAGAAGGCGUUGGAGUAUCACAUGACAAUCAUGACUCUUUAUGUUUGAAAAUUUACACCCCUUCACAUUCACACAACGCGAGAUAUUGGAAGCAUACCCAUCUGGAAACUUUACAGAAGAAAUAAAGUUGAAAAACUCUUUCUUCCCAUUUGGCUUAACUGUAAAAAAAGGAUGGCCUUUCUUCAUUGUACCACCGACACUCUGCAUCCACAUGGAUGACCUAAUGCCCAUUCGUUCCAAAUCGAGGCGAGCUUCAAUCGUGUCCUUCGUUUUUCCUUCAAUGUCUAGAAUUGUCCCGACCAAAGUAUCAAACACAUUUUUCUCAAUAUGCAUAACAUCUAGGUUGUGUCUCAAUUUUAACUUUGACCAGUACGGGAGCUCAAAUAACAUACUCUUGUGCGUCCAGUUUAGAUGUGUAGUUGGUCUGGGCUGACUGACCCCUUUGCCGAAAUGACCAAAUUCCAAACUAUUUAACUGAUCCAAAAUCUCAUCUCCGGACCAUUCUCUUGGUCUUAGCCGAGUCUCUUUUGUGCCAUGGAAGGCUUUAUCGUUAUGACGCCACUCGUUGUCCCAAGGGAGCCAUCUACGAUGACCAAGAUAACAAACUUUUCUCGCAUGCCAAGACGAUGUUACGUUCUCCUUGCAUAUUGGACAUGCCAAAUAACCCUUAGUCAUCCACCCAGAAACCAUUGCAUAGGCGGGAAAAUCGUUUACUGUCCACAUCACUGCCGCUCGCAUGGUGAACAUCUGCCCAGUAUACUUAUCGUAUGUACGAACACCGUUUUCCCAUAAAUCUUUUAGCUCAUCAACCAACGGCCGCAAAUAAACAUUAAUGGACUUUCCUAGAUCUUCGCUCAUUAAUAAAGUCAACAUCAUGUAUUCUUUUUUCAUGCACUUCCAAGGCGGCAGAUUAUAAGGAAAAACGACGACUGGCCAAGUGCUGUGGUUUAGGUUUAAAACCCCAAACGGAUUAAAUCCAUCAGUGGCAAGUCCCAAUCUGACGUUUCGCGGGUCAGCUGCAAAAUCAGGGUACAUCCGAUCGAAUUCUUUCCAUGCCUCUCCAUCUGCAGGAUGCCUCAUAACAUCGUCAUUUACCCGUCCUUCUUUAUGCCAUCUCAUGUCGGUUGCCGUAUGCAUCGACAUGUACAAUCGUUGCAACCUAGGCUUCAAUGGAAGAUAACGCAUUACUUUUUGUGGAAUCUUGGUCUUUCUAUUUUGUGAUGUCAUUUUAAACCUUGGCUCAUUGCAGAUAGGGCAUGUAUCCAACUGUUUGUUCUCCUUAUAAAACAAUAUACAAUUAUUUACACAUGCGUGAAUUUUUUCAUACCCCAAUCCAAGACCCUUCAACACUUUUUGGGCACUUUUAUGAUCUUCAGGUAAACAAUUCUCCUUUGGAAGCAUCCUCUUGAUAACUCCCAAAAAGUAAUCAAAACACUUGUUUGACAAACGAAACUUGAUUUUUCCAUGCAUCAACUCUACAAUUGCUGAGAGCACCGAAAAGUUCUCGCAACCCGGAUAUAAUUCUUGCUUGGCAUUUUUCAAUAGUUUUUCAUAGUUUUUAAAUUCCUCACUGUCCAUGGUUGGAUGAACAUCAUCUCCCCCUUCCUGAUUGGUGUUGCUCGAGGCGUAUGGAUAAACGUCAUUUACAAUAUUCAUAACUUGUUCACUAGGAUCCACAUUAGAUUCAACAGUGUCCACUUGUGUCACGUAUGAAGACGAAGCUUGAUCUAAUCGUUCUCCAUGAUGAUACCAAGUAGUAUAGGUCUCCAUCAUCCCAUUUCUUACUAAAUGAAAUCGAACAUUUUCGAAUGUCUCCCACAUUGAGUUGUUACACCUUCUACAUGGACAUCGGAUAUGAGUUGAAUCUGGGUUGUGUCUAGUUGCAAAUUCAGUGAACUUAUCUAUUCCAUCCAAGUACUCAACAUCACAUCUAUUAUGAUUAUGUAUCCACCGUUUGUCCAUUUUGUCUGCAAUCCCAAUAAAAGUACAAGAGUUACAACAACUUCAACUAUUGUAUUGUCACCUUAUUCCUCCGGUAAGGGCCCUAUCCCAUUCAGGAAUGCACAGUUAUGUGUCGUAAUUUACGAUUCCAAUGGAUUAAAUUUCGACGUGGGCUAAUUUCGGCAGCAUCUCCUUACAGUUCUUCAAGUGCACGCCGUAGAUACAUAAUAUCCACCGUGUACUCGAAGAACAACAGGAAAUGUUACCAAAAUUUCCACUAUCGAAACCUAAUCCGUGAACCGCAAACUACAACACAUAACUAUGUAUUCCCAAACUGUCCAUAAAAUGGGACAAUUCAAGAAUUAAUUGGACCGCAGUCAUGCUUUCGCAUCCAUACACGAAAUCCAACGAAUUCUCAAACGGGAAACUAAGCUUUUCUUAAAAAAAAGUGUACAAAGUUAAGUAGUAUUAAUUUCGUACAACACAAAACAAUUUUGUGUACGUGAUGUACAAAAAUUUGUGCAUACAAAUAAAUUAAAUCACAAUAAUUACUAAAGCUAAAUAAAAUAGAUAAAAUUAAUAAAGAUCAAUUACAAAUUGAAUCCCAAAAAACUCCAACAUGACCAAAAUUAUCUUAUGGUGUCUGAACAGAUGGUCCCAUCAUAAAGAAAAAUUCCUACUGCUCUCAUCAUAAAGAAAAUUCCUACUGGUCCCGGGGUCCCUUUAAAUGAAAGAGAAGUAACAUAUAAUGCUGGUGGUAUUAAAAGUGGAGGAGCUGCUUGUAAAGUGCCUGAGGAAUUAUUUGUACUAGGUACCAUCUACUGCCUAAAGAGGAAUGUGGAUGCUCGUACCAGCAGCAGCGGAGCAUUUUAAGAGGAUUGUGCUUUCAAGCAACAUAAUAACUGACCGCAAGUGUGUGAGCCAUUACUAUGCAUUAACAGAUGUGCUCAAAGGUUUGCCGGCCUCCGAUGAUGAAGACGAAUUUUCUUAAAUAAUCAAAACAAACUGCUCUGAGUUUACCUCUGUAAAAACGUAGCUCGUAUAUAAGGUUGUUGUAACUUGAGUUUUGCAUUUAAUAAAAUUUAGCAAUUUUGAUUAACAAAUAUUCAUCCAAAGUCUUGCUACAGUAUUUUGUGUACAGAGUGAUGAUCUGCUACUUCUAUGUGCUAAUCAGUUUGGAAUGGUUGCCAAAAACUAGAUUGAACAAUAAGCAACCCCGUUGACACAAGAACGAACUUACAACUAGGACGCAACUGUGGAGUAAACUAACCCAAUUAAGUAUUGUCAUGUAUUUUAACUUUCUCUACGUGACAGUGCUUGGUGGGUUUGAUUUCUUCCAACAAUGGCGUCUCAAUUGUUUCUUACAUCUCCAUCGUAAGUCUGUGACAUUCUAAACUAAAAUCCGAUGUCAUGUGAAAACAUUAAAACACAUGUCAUCGCAUUUGAAGGACCUACACUCCUAUCCCAUUCUCUUCUUUUACUUGUUGUUUAAAACAUUUUUCUAGUUUUACAACUGCCAAGUUGAUUGCAAAUCCUAGUUGGCAUGAGUAACCCUUUUUUAUCCUUUUGAGUAGUGGGAUUUUUACAACUUCUUAUCUUCAUUGUCUAAUAUUUGUCUUUACUUCCUUCUAGUUUUGAUGUUUUGUGACUGUGAAUGGCAUAGUUUAAUCCCAAAUAAUGAACUCCAGUUUAGACGGUAAUCUUAAUUCUCGUAAGCUUUUUGGGUAAGUAAUGAUCGGGUUUCCCACCAUUUCCCUGCCAUGAAAGCUUAGGUUAUAUUAACAAUAGUCAUACAUAGUCUGCUACUGCUAGGCAAAUAGAGCUAUAUUUAGGAUCCCACCAUUUAUUUGUUCAGACACCAUAAGAUAAUUUGGUGAAGGGAAGAUCAUGUGCCAUCAUCAAUAGGAGAUCAAAAUUUUCAAUAUAUUAGGUAAUAAGGAGAUCAAAAUUUUCAAUAUAUUAGGUAAUAAGGAGAUCAAAAUUUUCAAUAUAUUAGGUAAUAUUAACAAAAAAUUCAAUACAAUCAUAUAUAAAAAAAUGGAUAAAUAACAUAGAGGUUUUUAAAUCACCUGAGUGUGAUCAGCAGCUAUGGAGGUCUGUAGGUGAGGAAGAGGGGAAGGCAGUUAGCUGUUUGACUAGUGUUAGAACACUGGAAAGAAAGACAAAAAGGUAUAUUUUCGUGUUGACUUUGCGCGACGCAGGUUCACUACGUCGCGCAAAACUGUUUUGCGCGACGCAAGAUGUACAUAAUGCGUCGCGCAAAACAGUUUUGCGCGACGUAGUGAACCUGCGUCGCGCAAAGUUCGAAAAAAGCGGUAAAACAAGCUUGGUUUGGCGCCAAACUCUUGCGCGACGCACAAGACGUCGCGCAAAACUGUUUUGCGCGACGUAGUUGUACCUUCGUCGCGCAAAACUGUUUUGCGCGACGCAUUACUACGUCGCGCAAAGUACCGUCGCGCAAAGACCAUUUGCGCGACGUCCUGUGUGUUGUCGUCGCGCAAACAUACUUUGCGUGACGAAAUGCUCUACGUCGCGCAAGGUUUCGUCGCGCAAACAUGUUUUUCUACUAGUGAGUGUCCCCAACGGGGUUUUAUAGUCUAAAAAUAUUCUAUGAUAGCUUCAUUACCAAUACAUGAAAAACAUCUAUCUCAAUGUAAACAACUAAAUUGUCACUCAACCAUCUUUCUCAAUGAACAAAUAGGUGGUGCUAUUGGCUUUGGCUUGAAAAAUCUCUCCAUAUUUUUUAUUUCUAAACUACACAUUUAACAAAAAAAAAAAAAAACACUAACCAUAUACCAAUUAACAAACAUAUCAAAUGAGUAUACAAACAUAUCAACAAUCAUAUCAAUAAUAGACUAAAAGUCUCAAUCAAUAUCUAAUAUAAUUUAAGUAAGAUUAGAUCAGAAUAUUAAACAAUUUACUUGACUUUUGAACCAAAUAGUGGUGGCCUGGAUAUUUGAAACAAGUGAAUGUAUGAUUUUGGAGUAAUAAAAUUAUAAUAUGGGAUUGGAUGGGAUUUAGAAUUUUAGGGUUUUGAAAUCUGGGGAGCUGGGGAAUUUGGGUGAAUAUGUUAAAGUUGGGCAUUGGGGGAAGCAUAUGAGCGGGGAAUGGUGGGACUGUGGGGACAGGUGUGGGUUGGGAUUUAAAACAAUAUGGACAAACGACAUACCUUGUUUUAGCCCAAUUGUUAAAAAGGGUCAUAUAUUUUUUCUUCUCUGCGAGCGAUUGUCUUCUCUGAAAAGAAGACGCCACUGCAACUUGCAACCUGCACAUCAUAGGCCUCGUGUUCGAGUACGAAAGGUCCUCGAAAAAUUUCUAGCAGUGAUUGGGUCGUCGAAGGGUCCUAGGACCUCCCAGGUCCCUCUGUAGAUCCGCUACUGUCUCUAAUUCACUAGCCAAAGCUUAGUAUUGUCUUUUCUCUUAGUUUUAUUAUAUAACAAAAUUGAAUAAGAAUAAAUCAUGAUGUCCAGAACGGCUAUCUCUAUUAUAAAAAAAUUAUCGUUUGUGAAAUUUGAACUCAUAAUACCACAUACGUAUUCUUCAAUUAUAGCACGAAAAAAAAAAAGAUCUCAGUCCUCGAAAUGAGGGAUUAGGGUUUUGGAAAGUCAAAGCAUCGUUUUGUCUUCUAGGGUUUGGGCUUGCACAGAAAACGAUUACACGGGGUAGAAAGCAAGUAUGAGUAGGGUUUUGGGUUUGACUUUUGCGUGCAUUGGCUGGCUUUAGGACUUCUAAUGUUUGACGGUGUCUCGGAAAAUAUGGGUGAACCAAACUUGGUUGGUAACAUGGAGGAACUAGGGUUUAAGUUAGGGUCCAUUCUAAAGCUGUCAGAGAAUGAGCGGAAGGGGAUUGGAAGGAAGGAUUUUGAAGAGGCUCUGAUUGGUUUUCAUUUUUGUGCCGUCGCUGAGGUUCUCACAAAAAAUGAGGUGCAUAGGGAUGCGUUUAUUGAUAGAUUUACCUCCCUAUGGAGAGAUAAGAGCGGGGUCUCAAUUAAGGAUCUGGACAGUCGUCGCUUUCUUGCCCGGUUUGUGACUGAACAAGACAUGGUUUGUGUGAUAGAUGCUAACCAACCAUGGACGUUCAACAAAGACCUAGUCAUGGUGGCGGAUAUGACUCAGAUAGGUAAUAAUCGAUGGGAGCCUCUCACUCUUGGUUCCUUUUUGGUGUAACUUCAUAACAUUCAUCCUCUAAGUGCGACCAGGGUGGUCGCACAAGCCAUUGGAGGAUUGUUGGGUACGAUCCUCCGAGUGGACAAAAAUGUGAGUAAGGAGUGCAUUGGCAGAUUUCUGAGGGUCAAAGUCCAUUUCAACGUUAAGGAACCACUAUUGCGAUGAACGUUCGUACAAUUUCCCUAUGAGGGGAUGAUCUAAGUGGACUUUAAAUAUGAGUGUCUUCCAAACUACUGCCUAAUUUAUGGUCUCCUGGGGCACCUAUCUAAGGUCUGCAAAGAUCACAUAGAAGGGGCUGGCGUAGGGGUAGGCAGCAGGAUGAAUGGGGAAGACAACUAUGCUUUUAAGGAUCUUGAUGCGGUGACCAACUUUCGAGGCAACCUACUUUGUCCUGUUAAUCAUAAAGCUUUGAGGUCGGGGGAAAGUAGAGGUAGGAGGAGCGUAAUAAUGCGACCAAAAAGUGGGGAGACUGGAAGUAUUAAAAUUGGGAGCGAGGGGAAGAUUUCAAGUAUGAGUGGCGCCCAUUGCCAUGAAUAUCAUCGAGGGGUUAGUUGAAGUGGUGAUGGGAAGGUGGAGGUUGAUGGGGAUGGUGAAAUGGUAGAUACAGCAAGCUUGCCAGUGAAAAAGAAAUUUGUUAACGAGACAGAAAAUACAAGGUUAACACUAACGGAAAAGAUUUGGGCAAGAAAGAAGCGAGAGGGAGAUGAGAGAAUGGCAAGGGAGAAAGCCUUCGAUGAGAGGUUGAUUGGGCUGGGAGGAACGGUGGCGCUGGGGGUUGAAAUGUGGUGCUACUUAGUUUGGAGGAAGUGGAGAACGGAAUUACAGAAGUGUUGGUGCCAGAGAAAUUUGGUGUGGUGAUUGACCUAAAUCUCAUGCCGAUGGAAGGUGAUCUAAUAAGUGGUGAUAAGAGGGCUAUUCAUGUUCCUAUGGAAAAGUUGAAUAGAGUGAGGGAGGAGCUACCUGAGGCUCGAGUUGGUUUCGAUGUUGGGAACCCAAAAUUCUGAUCCUUUUAAUUUGGGGCCAAUUAUUGAGGCCAUCUCUCGGGAGAGAAAGGCAAAGAAGCGGGUAUUAAUGGAGGUAGAAAGGUUCGAAGAUGUAAUGGCAACGGAGUCCAGAAGCAUUAGACGUCGAUCGUCCAAUGAUAUUACUAAGGCGGAGGAGACCAGCCUUGAGGGGUCUCCCAAGUCCCCAUGAAUCUAAUAACAUGGAACUGUCAGGGUAUCGGGGGUGACCUGAUAGUUGACAAUUUGCUGGAGCAAAAUAGGCACCACAACCCCUACAUAGUGAUCUUGCUAGAAACAAAGAAUAAAAGUUGGCACGAUGGGAGUUUAUGUAUGCGGUGGAACCUAGAGGGAUUGGUGGUGGUUUGUGGUUGUUUUGGAGAGAUGAUUCACAAGUGCUUUUGGUGAAAUACGCGGACUUUGUGAUUGACGUUAAAAUAUGAAAUGAUAGUAAAUUGGCGUUUAUUUGCUAUUUAUGCUAGUACUAAUGAGAAAAAACGGCGGGACCAAUGGAUGAUGCUGAGUAAACAGACAGAGAAUGAAAUUGAUAGGUACCUCCUGAUAGGGGAUUUUAAUGACAUACUGAGCAACGAACAAAAAUAAGGUGGUAAUUACAGAACAACGGCUAGUAUGAGGGACUUUAGAGAGUUUGUGGCACAUAACGAACUUAUAGACCUGGGCUACAAAGGUUAUCCGCUUACUUGGAGGAAUAAUAGAGAGUCUAAGCCAAUUGAACAAAGGCUUGAUCGUGGGUUGGCGAGCAUCGGGUGGCAUGAUCUUUAUCUGGGUACUAAAAUCCUGCAUGUGGUGUUAGAAGGAUCCGAUCACGCAAUGCUUGUUCUUUCCACGGAGAAGAUGAGGGCUUGGAGGGAGAGAAGAUUCACGUAUGAUUCAUGAUGGGGAAAGCUAGUUGAAUGUCGUGACUUGGUGGUUGGGGAAUGACGUGACAAUUAUGGUGGUUAACAUGGUUUUCGGUUUUGUGAAAAACCAAAAACUCUUAGGUGGAGUCUUAAGGUUUAGUAUAAAGGGAGAAGCAGGAACUAGAAAGCUAUUGACCAAUUGAAAUGAGAGAUUAGGAUGGCAUAUAAGUCAAAUGGAUUUGCCAUGAACGAGGUGCACCUAAAGGAGAUGGAGCUUAGGAAAGCGCACAAGGAAGAAGAGACUUUUUGGCGAGUGAAGUCGAGGGUGUUAGCAUAAACACAACACCAUGAUCAUGCAAGGCAAGUUACCGUGAUCAAAACACAGAACCAUAAACCAUAAAGCAAUGCACAGAGAGAAAACAUACCUGCAGAAGAGUUCGAAGCUAUUGCCACGUCUGAUUUCUGCAGCAAAGUCGUGGUGCAUCUUCUCCUCUCUUCAGUGAACGAGACUCUCAACUAAUAAUAAGUCUUACUCUUAUAUUGAGUACACACUGUGAGAGCAGAGGCCACCAUAUAUAUACUAUACAAUCUUAGCCAAAUUCUAUAAGGAUUCCCCUAUUAAAUCCAUACAGAAUACCAACUUAUCCCAAAUAGCAGUCCAGUUACAACAUGGAUUUACAAAUCCAUUCCCAACAAGACUUCCUAUUCAAUCUCUAAUCCUACAACCAAGUUUACCAAUUCAUACUCAUGAUCAUAUUCUAACAGAGGAUCCAAAGGUACAAUGAGGGAGACAAUAAUACAAAGCUUUUUUCAUGCGCAAACGAUGAAAUGGCGGAGGUUUAACCAGAUCUAGGGGUUGAAGGAUUUGCAUGGGGUGUGGUGUGAGAGUGAAACCAGAAUAUGUUCGAUUCAAAUUGAGGAGAUUAUGAGUUGUUUGGAUAAUCGGGUGACACACGAGGAUAAUAUGUUUCUGACGGCUCCCGUGACGGAUAGAGAAAUACAGGAGGCGGCAUUUCAAAUUCCUCUUAUGAUAGCUCCAGGACUAGAUGGGUUCUCCGGUAGCUUUUAUUAGAACCAUUGGGAGGUGGUGGGGAAGGAUAUGGUGAAUAUUGUCAAGGCUUUCUAGCAUUCCGAUACGCUUUUACAGAAACUAAAUCAUACAAAUUUGUACUCAUUCCAAAGGUUACAUGUCCGAAGAACAUCACGGGGUAUCGGCCUAUUGCUUUAUGCAACACAAGCUAUAAGGUCCUCGCUAAGUUUCUUACAAAUAGAUUAAAAAGGUUGAUGCCAAAGGUGAUAAGUGACAAUCAAUCGUCUUUUGUGGUUGGGAAGCAUAUUCAGGAUAAUAUCCUAGUUGUGCAUGAGAUCUUGCAUUCCCUUAUGCAUCAAACAAAGGAGGACCAGAUGGGUAUGGCAAUAAAAUUGGAUAUGACGAAGGCAUAUGAUCCUGUAGAAUGGGAGUUCCUAUUAGCUAUGAUGGCUAAAUUGGGUUUUGCGUUGAUGUUUUGUAGGUGGGUAAAGGAAUGCACUUCCACUGCUUCCUUUGGUAUUUUAGUGAAUGGAAACCUAACGGGGUAUAUUUUGCCGCAGAGGGGGCUGAGGCAAAGGGACCCAUUAUCUCUGUACUUAUUUCUUCUCUGUGCCAAAGGGUUCUCUUCUUGACUUCAGAAUGGUAUGGAGAGAUAAACUCUACAUGGAUUCAUGGUGACACCUAAUGGGGUGCCGAUAUAAAUUUUUUUUUUUUUUUUUGGCGGAUGACUCAAUGUUGUUUUGUAAUGCGACAGUUGAGGAAGCGCAAGGUGUGGUGGAUGUGUUGAAGGUUUAUGCAUCCGGGUCAGAUUAGGAAAUUAAUAUGUUAAAAAGCUCGAUUUUCUUUGGUUCCAAGGCUACGAAACGAAAUAAGAAAAAAAUUGAACGAACUUUGAAUAUUCAAAGAAAUGAAGGCUUUGGGAAGUAUUUAGGACUACAAGCAGAUUUUGAUCAUUAAAAAAAAAACAGUCUCUAAGGAGGUGCAUGAAAGGAUUGAGACAUGUGUGGUGGGGAUAGGCAGAGCAGCUCCUAUCUCAAGCGGGGAAGGAAAUCCUUAUAAAGGCAGUGGCCAUGGCUAUGCCAAAUCAUGCCAUGGGAUGUUUCAAGUUACCUAUUGGGGUAUGCAGAGACAUAGAGAAAGCUAAUAAGAAUUAUUGGUGGAGGGGAAACGAUUAUCGGAAGGGUGUUUACUGGGUUUCUUGGGAACGGUUAAUGAAGCAAAAGCGAUAUGGUGGUUUGGGUUUUAAAGAUAUUCAAUGCUUUAAUCUUGCCCUUCUGGCAAAGAUCAUGUGGUGACUGAUCCAUAACCCGGAGUUUCUCCUAGCUAGAGUGUUGAGAGACAAAUAUUUUCCUGGAAAGACAUUUAAGGAGGCGAGUGGUGGGAGGAUAACGUCUUGGGGUUGGAAGGGUAUCAUUGAAGCACGUAAGGUGCUAGAUUAUGGUAUUCGGUGGCGGGUUGGUAAUGGAACUUGUAUCAAUAUUAGAGAGGAUCCGUGGUUUCCUAAACCCACUACUUUCAAAGUACGGCAUUGGGAGGGCCUGCGAGCAACAAUGGUGAGUGAACUGAUUGAUUCGAACUCAAAGACUUGGAAUGCAGACGUGAUCUUGGCAGGCUUUAUUAGAAAUAUAUUUCUCAUUGAUUACAAUGAUUUACAUUGGAGGUAUUUAUACACAGCAGCUAAUAAAGUUUAGUUAUUAACUAAUGUAACUAAUUAAACUUUAUCUAUGAUUAGUUACAAAUCAAUUACAAUAAGAAAACUUAAAAGCUAAGUAAUUGUUGACUGUGUUCUAGCCUUGGACUCUAGCUGGCACUGUUGAGUUAUCUGAGGAUAAUGUGUGUCUUUACACCACCUCAAACGGAACGGAGGAGAGCCAAGUGAAAGCUUGGACCGAAGAAACUGAAAACGAGCUUUGGACAGAGACUUAGUGUGAAUAUCUGCAAUUUGAUUAUGGCUGGGAACAAAUUGAACUCGGACGAGAGAAGCUAAAACCAGUUCGCGAAUAUAAUGGUAGUCAAUCUCAACAUGUUUCGUUCGAGCAUGGAAAACUAGAUUUGAAGCAAGGGAAAUUGCAGAUAGAUUAUCACACCAAAGAGUUGGAAUCUGGGAUAAGGGAAAGCCAAUGUCCCUGAAAAUUUUGCAGAUCCAAGUGAUCUCGGCAGAGGUGUGAGCCAAAGAACGAUAUUCAGCUUCAGUGGAGGAACGUGCAACAGUAUGCUGUUUCUUUGCACUGCAACUGAUGAGAUUGGUGCCAAAAUAAACACAAUAACCACUUGUAGAUCGGCGAUCAAAAACACAUCCUGCCCAGUUAGCAUCCGAGAAGGCAGUGAGAGUGAUGGUACUCUUUUUAAACCAAAUUCCAUCAUCAACAGUGCCUUUAAGAAAGUGUAAGACACGCUUAACAGAUUGAUAAUGUGUGUCUCGAGGACAAUGGAGAAACUGACAUAGUUGAUUGACAGCAAAAGAAAGAUCAGGUCGAGUCCAAGUCAAAUAUUGCAAUGCCCCAACUAUGGAGUGAUAUUCCUGUGGAUUAGAGAGAAGUGUACCAGUGUGAUCUAACUUCUGAGUAGCGAGAGGGGUAGAGCAGGGUUUACUUCCAUCCAUAUGAGUCUUGAGAAGAAGAUCCAUGGCAUAUUUGUGUUGAGAGAGAAAAAUGCCUUUUGAGGUUCUGUGAAUCUCCAAACCCAAGAAGUAAUGCAAAGGGCCUAAAUCUUUGACUGGAAAGAGUUGACUAAGCUUCUGAAUAAAGACUGUGCAAACUUGAGCAUUCGGUCCAGUAACGAGUAUAUCAUCAACAUAUACUAGGACAAUGACAAGAGUUGGCUUAAACGCAACAAACAAAGAACAAUCCGAUUGAGAGUUAUGAAAUCCCAGAGAGAGCAAGGCUUGAAACAGUUUAUCAUACCAUGCCCUUGGGGCUUGCUUGAGGCCAUACAAGGACUUGAUAAGUUUGCAAACAUGGGAUGGCUUCGAUGGAUCAAUAAAACCAGGAGGUUGUUGCAUAAAGACCUCCUCUUUAAGUGUGCCAUGUAAGAAUGCGUUGCUAACGUCCAAUUGGUUCAAAAACCAAUCAAAUUGUACUGCUAAUGUCAAGAGAAUUCUGAUUGUUACAGGUUUGGCAACGGGACUAAAAGUCUCUUGAAAAUCAAUACCUUCUUGUUGAUGGAAGCCUUUGGCGACUAAGUGGGCUUUGUAUCUGUCCACACUGCCAUCGGGUUUCCGUUUGAUGCGAAAAACCCAUUUACACCCAACAAGAUUUUGAUUUGGUGUAGAAGGAACAAGAGACCAGGUUCCUGUAGAUUGCAGGGCUUGAAACUCCUCAACCAUUGCUUUCAUCCAGUGAUCAUACUUAGAAGCUUGUAAGAAGGUUGUAGGAACAAAGUUCAAUGUAUCAAUAGGGUGUUUAGUAGCAGCCAAAGCUUUAGGUUUAAAGAUUCCAGCCUUGGACCUAGUAGUCAUGGAAUGAGUAUUUAUGGAAGGGAGAGGUGGAGGGGGGAUUGGAGAGGGAGGUGGGACGGAAGGAUUGGGCAGUGGUGAAGUAAAGGGUAGGGUAGAAUCUGGCACUGUGGGAAUGGAAGAGGAUAAAGGAGAAGUGCAAGGGAUGGGAAAUGAAAGUGUGAAUGGUUGAUACUGAGGGUGCGGACUAGGUUGCAACUGUGAACUUGACUCGGUGAGCUCAUGAGGUUUAUGAAAAGGGAAAUUAGAUUCAUUGAAAAGCACAUGGCGAGAAAUGUAGAGUCUGGAUGUAAGAGGAUCUAAGCAACGAUAGCCCUUGUGUUGCAAACUAUAACCAAGAAAAACACAGUGAAUGCUUUUCCCAUUAAACUUGGAAGCAGCAUAUGGUUUAAGCCAGGGAUAGCAGCUACACCCAAAAACCUUGAGCUUUGAAUAAUCUGGAGGCUUGUGAAAAAGUAAUUCCCAGGGAGAUUUGUCAAGACCAGAGAUUGGAAGCCUGUUGAUCAGAUACAAGGCAGUAGAGAAUGCCUCAAACCAAAAUGAAUGUGGAACCUUUGAUGCAGUGAUAAGAGUCCGAGCAGUUUCUGUGAGGUGCCGAUGUUUCCAUUCAACACAACCGUUUUGUUCCGGUGUGUGAGGACAAGAAUAUUGAUGCAAAAUACCAUGCUGCAGAAGAAAGGAAUUAAAAUUUGAACUUGUGAAUUCACCCCCUGAAUCAGAGCGGAGAACUUUGAUUUUAUUGCCAACCAAGUUUUCUACAUAACACUUGAAAGUCACAAAAACGGAAUACACCUUAGAUUUGAGCUUCAAUGGGAACAUCCAACUAUAUUUUGUGAAUUCAUCAACAAAUAACACGUAGUACUUAUAACCACUAAGAGACAAUGUAGGGGCAGGUCCCCAAACAUCACAAUGAACAAGUUCUAAGGGCACAGAUACAGAGCUAAUACUUGCAGUGAAGGGCAAUUUGUGAUUUUUGCCAAUGGCACAAUCUGAACAGAAGAAAGAAGUAAACUUUUUAUCAUUGGAAACUAUAGUGCUACUAUUUAAAGUCUUCCGAAAAAUAGCAGAAGAUGGAUGACCGAGCCGAUUAUGCCAAACUUGUAAAGGAGCUUUGCUAUUGACAAGAGCCGAGGGAGAAGUGGAUGCUGGAGGAAUGCCUUAAAAAGGAUAAAAACCAUCUUUAACUGGUCCUCGGAAAAGCAUCCUCCCCGAAAUACGAUCCUUGAUUGUAGAACCAUCAGAAUCAAGGGUUAAUUUGUAGUGAUUGUCUCGUAAGAAUUGAUACGCAGAAAGAAGGUUAUGCUUCAUUGCAGGAACAUGUAAAACAUUAUUCAGACGAAAAGUGGCAGUAGGCGUAUUAAGAAAGGUUGUACCAGUAUGGUGGAUGGGCAUACCUUGACCAUCACCAAUAUAAACCUUGUCCUGACCAUUGUAAGGAGUGGGAGAAUGAAUGGCAGAGAUGUCAUUGGUUAUGUGAGACGUGGCACCGGAGUCCAUAAGCCAAGUAGGAGAAGAGGAUUUGAGGGUGGUGUGAGCACACAUAGCUGCCAAUUUUACAGGAGGAAUUUUUCCAGCAAAGGCAUGAUUCAUCCGUUCAAAACAAUCCAAUGCUUCAUGAUCUGGAGAAUGACAGAUUUGGCAAGGAUCUCGGUGACUAGUAGUGGUUCCAGAAUGACGAGUGUAACUGCCAAAGUUGCGAUUGAAAUUGCCUCUAGAAUUUCCUCGAUAGUUAUUACCUCGAUAGUUAUUGUUUCCUCGAUAGUUAUUACCCCUGUAAGUACCUUUGCCACGAUUGAAUGGCCUAGGAGUAGAGAUGUACAAGUUAUGUCCAGGAGGACCCUGAGGUGUGGGAAGAAGAGGCGCUUGAGAGUGUUGAUACUGAGCCGCAAAAGCUUGAAAGGGUUCAGAUACGGACGAAGCUACAGUCUUCUUCUUACGAUUCAUGAACAAUUCUUUAUUGAUCAACAGGCCAUGUAGUUCGUCCAAUGAAGUAGAGGAAAUCCGUAGCAUAAUGGAGUCAACAAAAGACUCAUAAUCCUCAGAGAGACCAUUAAGAGUUACUGCAAUCAAAUCACUUUCAGAAAUCGGAGCACCGACAGCCAUGAGUGCAUCAGAAAUGGUUUUGAUUUGCUAAAUGUAGUCAGAAAUUGUGAGAUCGCCUUUCUGAACAGUGUGCAGGCGAGAUCGAAGCUGGUGAAUAUGAGCAGCAGAGACGCCACCAAAGCGUUGCUCAAGAUUCAACCAUAAACACCAACAGUAAACGGAAUGAGAUCUUCCGAAAGGGUGGAGUUGAGCCAGAUAAGGAUAUUCUGAUCCUUUUCAUACCACAAAUCAAAAGCCGGAUUGGGAGUGCUAGUGGUGUUGCCAGAUGCAUCAAGUAAAAAUGGCGAAGGACAAACCUCCGAGCCAUCAAGAAUCCCUGUAAGCUUGUAACGACGAAAAAUUGGAGCAAACAAUGCCUUCCAAACAAGAUAAUUGUCACGCUUCAGCUUGGUAGGAACCAUACAACUGAUGUGCUGAAUUGAAAUCAAAGAAAUUGAGGGAGAAGACGGAACCGUUGUGAAAUUAUAGGGUUCAUCGGGGAUGAAUUUGGGGCAAGAACAUCAUGAUUCAUCGGAGAGGAACUCGACGAUGUCAUCGUAAGCAAGAAAGAUAGUAGAUGAGAAGAGAAGAUCGAUCAAGAACCACAAGAAAUUGAAGAUGGAAGAUCAAAGAUCGAAGAAAUCUCGAAGAAAUCAGAGAUCGCAGAGAGCGACGGAGAAGAGGAUCGAAGAAAGGCGAUUAAGCAGAAGAAGGGAUGAUACCAUAUUAGAAAUAUAUUUCUCAUUGAUUAAAAUGGUUGACAUUGGAGGUAUUUAUACACAGCAACUAACAGCAGAUAAUAAAGUUUAGUUAUUAACUAAUGUAACUAAUUAAACUUUAUCUAUGAUUAGUUACAAAUCAGUUACAAUAAGAAAACUUAAAAGCUAAGUAAUUGCUGACUGUGUUCCAGCCUUGGACUCUAGUUGGCACUGUUGAGUUGUCUGAGGAUAAUGUGUGUCUUUAGGCUUUAAUCAGGACGAUGUGGCACCGAUUUUAAGCAUUCCGUUUAAGCAGGAAAUGUUGUAGUGACAGGUUGGUGUGGCACCACACUACGAAUGGGGUGUACACGGUUAAAUCCGGCUAUGGGGUGGCGUUGGGUCUUAUGGAAAAUGGAGCACUGUGAAGGAAAGGGCAGGGAACGGCGAGAAAACAAAUCACAAUCAGGUGUGGAAUAGGAUAUGGAGUUUGGAGGUCCCUAAUAAAAUGAAAUUUUUUGUAUGGAGUUGUUGCAAAAAUGCUUUGGCGGUUAGACAAAAUCUGCAGAGACGACAUAUGAAGACUGAUAAUGUAUGCGGGGUGUGUAGCCUAUGUGAUGAAACGGAAAACCAUUUGUUUUUCCGCUGCGAACUCAGCCACCUAUUUUGGUUAUGUUCGCCGCUUCAACUUAAUUCCUUUGAUUUGGAAUGCGCUGACUUUUUAGAAAGCUAGGAGAAAUUCUGUAACCGUGUUAAGGGAAUGGAAAAUGCAGCUGAGAUCAUGCAAGAAUUUGUCUUCGGGUUAUGGAGACUAUGGAAAAACAGAAAUGAGGUGGUUUUAAAUGGAGUGCACUGAUGGCCUUUAGAGGUUUUGGAGGUAUGGAAGAGGAACAUCUCUGAAUUCAGAGAUGCCAAGGCACAUGGGGUAGCGGGAGUGAGUCCAAAUACGGGGACGACGACCUUGGCAUUGAAACGACAGAACGAACAAUGGCAGAAAUUGGGGUUUGGGACAAUUAAGAUUAAUACCGAUGCGGCUUGGUGCAAGGAUACGUUGCGUGCGAGAGUGGGCUGGGUUGUUCGUGAUUUUGCAGGUUUGCUGCAAGCAGCGGGAGGCUUGGGAGUUAUGCAUUGUCAUAAUGCAGCAGAGGCUGAAGCUACAACAAUCUGUGAAGCUUUGGAGUUUUGCAUUGAGCUGGAGUUGACAACUUGAUUAUUGAAUCCGAUGAAAAGGUGAUUAUUCAAAUGACUGACUCAUGAUUAUAGCCUUGAAUGGAUCCUUGGUGACAUUGAGACUCUAGCGCAAAGUUUGAGGUCGGUAACGUUUGACUUUGUGUCUAGAGAGAGUAACCGUGCUGCUCACUCGGUGGCUAAGUUUGUGUUUAAAGAGGGUCGUUCCUUUGUAUGAGAUUGUAUUGGUCCUGAGUUCCUGUUUAAUAUUUAGUGUAAGAUAUUAACCUUUCUAUUCGAUUAUAAUAAAUUCUAUAUUUUGGAAAAAAAAAAUUAGGGAAGAUUGUUUAGAGAAUUGGCUAGAGUUGUUGCUUUUUUAUUUAUGAGUCGAGCGACAGCGUUAGUAAAUUAAAUGUUAGAUUAGCUACCAACGAGGUUUGAAUUUAUGCCAUCAUGUAAGGGCACAACACUGUCCACUACUGUGGUAAAGGGCUAGAAUUUUAAUAAUAGAUAAUUGGGUGAAUGAUUUUCUGAUUACUCUAUGUCAACAAUAACAUAUACACAACACACACACACACACACACACAUACAAAUUCAACAUCCAAUUACGCCUAUUUCUAAGGCUAGGAAUCCGUGAUCCACCUUUGAUCUAGACUAAAACAGGAAAUUAAGGUAAAUCUUGCAAAUAUAUUACAAAGAUAAUUCUCAACACAAAACGAUAAUGAGCAAAGAAAGUGUAAUAAAUAUUGUUGUAGGAAAAUUAAGAGAAGGUGCUGUAUUUAGUAACACAUACACGAAAAUUUUGGUAGAAUAAUUCGACCCCAAAAGAAACUUUGAAAUAGGAGUUGAGGAGUAGUGCUACAAAUAGCACAAGAAAGUUUGAAUGUUUGUAGUAUUUGGGUAUGCAAACCUUUACACGACCUUAUCUAUACUCAAAAAGUUGAAUUAUGUAUUAUGCAUUAUAUGGAGAGUAACUUAGUGUCUUGAAGAAUAUAAAUUAUGGUUUAAAAAGUCCUCGUCGUAAAUUUUGAAAAUUUGUUGGAUAUGAUCACAUGUAGUUACAAUUCAAGUGUUGUCUUCUUUUUUUAUUUUUAUUUUUUUGUCAAAACUUGAGGUAUCUCACAUCCCAAAAGGUAGACUAAUUUUUAGUGGAGCUUGGAAAGCCUAAAGACAGUCCAGCCUAUCCCCAGCCACAAUUAAAUACCACAUUUCCUCCCAAGGUUUUUAAUAAGAUAAUCACUUGUAUUUUUGCCAACUUUAUGCCUCGAAUCAGAUACUACAGAUCAUACUGAACUUGAAAUUUUAACGUGUUUCUACUGCACCACUUGCAGUGGUUAUUAUUUAUACUAUCAAGAGGACAGACUUUGUCAUAAUUUUUGUGAAAAUACCAUUUAUGUCCCCACAUCUCUUUAUCCUUUGUUGCGAUAAAUAACCUUUAUAUAAUAAGAUUAAAAUAGGAAUUUUGUGGAUUUAAAUUAUUAAAUUAAAUUAGAGUUCUUCCACGUUUUUCUCCAUCUUUUUUCAAUAUGUUUCUCCCACGUGCAUAGAACGAUUGAAUGUUUGUAAUAUGCGAACCUUUUACACGACGUGACUUAUACUCGGACAAAAAAAAUUGAAUUUUAUCGUUGGCCGCUAAAGUCCCAUUCAUGGAAGAAAAUAUCCAAAAUAUCGUCGAUAUUUUCGUUUUUUUGAGUUACCGAUAUUUUAAUGAGUAUCUAAUGAAUUUUCUUCAAAAUAUCGCAAUAUUAUCGAUAAUAUCGCGAUAUUAGCUUCUAAUAUCGCGAUAUUAGUCAAAAAAUUCCUGAAAAUUUUGAAAAGUCACAAUUUUGAGCACAGAGGGGUUCGAAACCCUCCCACUUAACUCCUUAACACCUUAACCACUAUACCACUUAUGUUGUUGUGAUAAUAUGCUACAAUAUUUAUAUAUAUCUUUUUUUUUGAAUUCUUUUUACAAGAAACAAAUUUGCACAUUUUCCAAAUUUUUUGUGGUAUUAUAUUUUAAAUUGUGUCAAUUAAUUACUUAGUCAAUGACAUGUGGUUUUUAAUUUUUCUAUUUUUUUAUUUGGUCACUUACAUGGUAGGGCUGGAAAAAAUUCCGGAAAAUCCCAAACCAAACCGAAAAAGUCUCAAACCCAAACCAAAAAAUCCCAAACCAAAACCAUCCUGAAGUUCGGGAAUCCCAUCUCGAAAAAUACCGAAAUUUUCGAUAUGGGAUUGGUUUCCAAAUCCCAUUUGUUUGGUAAUCCCGAAAAAUACCGAAGUAUUCGGUUUCCUAUUGACUUUUGGGUUUUGGUUCUUGAAAACCAUUGUCAUGGUUGCUAACUACUCUUCAAAAUACACUCACUCUACACAUAGAGAUGAUGAAGAUAGUGACAAUUUUGAACCUCAUAGAAACUCUAUGUGGUACUAAGUCACUCAUGUAUCUUACCAUACAAUGUAUAAAGUGUAAAAUAUUGUACUAAUUCAUUAUAUAUAAAUGAUUAUGGUGUGUUUAGACUUCUUUAAUUAAUUUCUACAUAUUUUCUACACUCACAAUGUUUGUCAGCUCGCUAUAUAAUCAACUUGAUAAUGUUAAAUCCAUCAUGCAAUGCAUUUCCUUCCAAUUUUUUGUGAUAAACUAAUAGAUAAUUGACUAAAUAAACAUCCUGCAAAGUUUCAAUAAAAAUUUCCAAGUUUUUCUUACAAUUUCCGUGGUUUCCAUGUAAUUUUUAUCGAUAUCGAUAUUAUCCCGAUAUUUCCAUCGAUAUUUCCGUGUUUUCGGACUACCGAUAUUUCCGAUAUUACCGAUAUUUUCUUCCUUGGUCCCAUUUGACCUUGACAUAAUUUAUCAUGCAUUAUUUGGAGAGAGAAUAAAGUGUCUUAACGAAUAUAAAUUAUGAUUAAUAAAUCCUCGUUGUAAAAUUUCAAAAAUCAUAAGGUGUUACUAAUAUAAGUGUUGUAUAUACUAUUAUUGUUUUUUUUUUUUGUCAAAUCUGGAGGUAUCUCACAUCUCAAAGAAUAAGAUUAAUUCUCAAUGAGGCCGGUCAAGGCUAAGGCAUUACACCCCACUUUUGGCUAUGGUCAAAUAGCAAACAUCUUCUUAAAACUUUCAACUAAAAAAUCAUAUGUAUUUUGCCAACUUCGUACCUCGAACUCAAAGGCCACAAAGCAUACAUGGUUUGGAAUUUACUGCAUUUCUACUAGACCAUUUACCGCGAUUGUUGUCUAUAAUAUUAUUUAGAGAACACUCUCUCUGACUUUUCUUCAAAUACCAUUUAUGUCCCCACAGGUCCCCUUUUUUAUCCUUAGUUGCAAUAAAUAACCUUAAUAUAAUAAGAUUAAAAUAGACUUUUAUUUAAAAUUCUUCCACAUUUUUCUCCAGCUUCUCUUUCGAUAUGUUUCUCCUACAUGCAUAGCAUGUGUGAGAUUGCUAUUAUAACAAAAGAGUUGUUUAAUAAUACAUAUCAGGUGGUGAUAUUACAACUUAAACUUAAAGAGUUUCUCAAUAAUUUCGGGUAAUAUAUUGUGACAACUUUUUUUUAAAUGAAAAUGAUAAUACUACUCUAAGUUUACGUACACUUGGAAAAGGGAAAGAGUUUAAUCCGAAACACAAUAAAUUGAAGAGAAAGACUCUAUUCACCAAAGAAAAUCCAUCACUUGCAUUGUGACAUCUUUCUGAAAUGCAACUUUUCUUUAGGGGUGUGAUAUCCAUACACUCCAUUUUACUUCUCACACACCUUUUUAAUUUUCGGCCGUCAGAUCGGAUGAAUUGAAGAAGAUCAACAGACAUAAAUUAUCAAGGGAUGUGUGAGAAGUAAAAUGAGGUAUGUGGAUAGCACACCCCUUUCUUUAUUUCAUUACAUAUCAUAUCUUUUGCAUGUAAAUUUUCUUGAUGAUUUCCAAAUUUUAAAACGAUGCAAAACAACAUUAAUUAGUUUAAACUCAAACUAGCUCAAUGGGGAGGAGUAUAUGAAUUGAAUUCAAUUAGUGCACGCCAAGUGUUUGAUAUAUAUUUUGAUGCUCCAGAGUCCACAGGCAUAUCGUUCAUGAUAUUGCAUGCCAUUGUAAAAAGAAAACGUUCAUUAUUGCAUGACUCACGUCAAUGCAUAUUAAUUUAGAUAUCAUGUAUAAUUAAAAAGGUUUUACUUUACCGAUUGAGUCAUUUUUUUUGAUGUGACAGUUAUAUUGUCAUGUGAUGUUUGUAGAUGCAAAUUCUUUUGCUCUUUGUUCUUGGACAAAAUUGCACUUACAAAACAAAUAACACCUUAGGUCAAGGCCAAGAGCCUCACGCGCCCACAAUGAAUGGGGGAGCUUUGGCCAAAGAACCUUUAAUGCCAAAGUUAGAAUUUAGAGAGAAAAGUGUUUGGAGAGUUUUUGGAAGUUUUGCAAGAGUGUCGAACCUAGGUUUUUAGAGAAAAUGGGGUGAUAUAUAUAGGGCAUGGCCGGUUCCUGUUGGAGAAAAGGUGGCCGGCCCUUUGGGGUAUUUUUGUGUGAGAUGGGUGAUUUAAUUGGCAAUUAAUGAAUUAAUUAGGUAAUAAAUCCAUUAAUUAGCCAAUUAACUCAAUUUAUAUGGAAUUUGAAGAUUAUGGAACAAAUACCUUAUGGAGAAUAUAGGAUGAGGAUGGAUGAAAUAAUUUUGAAUUUGUUACAUAUUUUGGGCACUUUUGGCUUAAUUGAAGAAUGGUUGUCCACUGCCCGAUCGUAGGAAAUCCGGUGUGCCUCAAGGGUAAUUUUGUCUUUUUCAUAAAAAAUUCACGUGUCACCUUAUGAUUAUUUUUGGCUCCACAAUAUUAUUUAUCCAUCAAAUUAUAACGUGCGAAGUACUAACACCAAGUGACAGUGGAGCCGUCUCACUCCAAGGUUGGCAUCAAAGGUGCCUUUUAAACCAGAUGUAGAGUCCUCACUAUGCACACACACAUAUAUAUGGUAUAAUAGGUAUCUCUGCAAACAUUGUCAGAGGUUUUUGUGGAGCAGGUAAUAAAUUUUCGCAAUUCUGCAGUUUAAUUUCUUGUCAAUAAAAUGGCAGUUGCUCUUAAACUCACUGUUAAAUUAAGGAAGGUGCUAUCUACACAUCAUUUUUUUAUCUCUCACACAUUUUUCUUAAUUUUGGCCGUAAGAUUGAAUGAAUUAAAAAAAUUAAUAGACAAAAUUACCAAUGAUGUGCUAGAGGUAAAAAGAGGUGUGUAAAUAGCACUACCUUAAAUUAGAAGGAAAACUAAUGAAAAGAGCUUGAAAACUUUGAGUUUUAACGAUAAGGACAAAAUAAAGGGUAAAGUAAAUAGUACUAGGUUUGACUUUUUAAUGUAAAAAUAUGAUUUUUCUUUAAAGUGAACAGUACUGUGAGCUUUUUGUUAAAACUCCCUAAAUUAAAAGGUAAAUAAACUCAUGCUAGAGCUAAAGAUGCAUACAUGCCCAAAAAGAAAUAUUAAAUAAAGAAUUUAUUCUAUACUUCGUCAUAUUCAGUCAACUUCUUCAUAUACAUUGUAAAGCUAAUACACUUUAUUUUUACAUGUAAGGAAAAAAAAAACCUAGACUGCAGGCAUUUUCCUGUGCUUAUUCACUGCUAGGAAAAUAUAUAAAAUGUUUAAUUUGAUUUAAAAUUAAUUCUGCUAAUGCUUUUCGUUGAUGGUUGCACUUCGAUGUAGAAUCUUUGGAAUUGGUACUACUUCAAGGUGUGGUCGGAUUUGGACCUCCGGAAGGGGUAGUGCCCCUAAGUAUUUGCCUGAUCAAAGGGAAGAAGGGACGAUCCAUCUGAUGCAUAAACUUUUCUUCCCCAUGCAACACUCUGCAGGCCUCGGAAGAUUGCAUGUUCAUAAGAAAAACCAUUAAAAACACUGCCACCAAAAAUAUUUUUAGAAACUUCAUUUUGUUGGGCAAACAAAGACUAUUUUGCAUCUAAUUUUCUGCGGAAGAAGAAAUGAAGGAAUGAAUGAAGAUAAAGUUAAAGGUUUGUUGCGAAAACAAAGAUUUUGCUUCUUUUAUCUGUCUGUGAAAAACAGAAAGGAUUGAAGGAAUUAAGGAAUGAAUGAAUAGAUGGGGAACAUGGGGCUUUUUAUAUGCAUCAAUUAAGACCAACUUUCAUAUGACUUUGAUUUUUUAAUAUAAAUCUAUUUGUUUCGUUGUUUUGACUAUUAAAUGAUAUAUGCUAAGGACUUAGCAGAAUUGAAUGGGUAGUCAUAUCCGCAAGGGUUUUGGUUUUAGGGUUUCACUGUAUUGUGGACCUGUAAAAAAAUCAAAGCUAAUUAAUUAGGCUUAGAUGUCAAAAUGGUCCUUGUCUUAUAACUAUAUGGCCAAUUUAGUCCACAUGUUUUCGAUUUGGCUAAUUUAGUCCUUAUGUUUGUCUCCUUUAGUCAAUUAAGGACAUUUCAUUCAGUCUUGUUAAAAAAAUCAUAAGAAAAAUUAUAAGAUAUAUGAUUACCCUUUCUUUUUACAGAAAAAUGCAAAUCAAUGAGAAAUAACACAUAUAAGAGAUAAAACUUACAGUCUGAAAAAUGAUUAAGGUUGUGACGUCAUAGAAAAUAGAGCAGGUAACGUUAGGAAGGAGACUUCGGGGGAGUUGGGAGGACAUUAAUUUUUAUUUCAUUUUUAAAUAUUUUAAAUCAAAUAAAUAAUUUUAUAAUAAUUAUAAUUUUUUGUAAUAAUUUAAUAAUUAAGUUAUAAUAGUUUAUACAGAAAUUAGAUGGAAAUAUCCUUAAUUGGCUAAAGGAGAUCACUACUAGAAAAUUUGACUUUACCGACAAAAGUAGUUUGUUGGCAAAAGUCAAAAUUUGUAGGCAAAGUGUCUUUCCCGAGGAAAAAAUUUGUCGGCAAUUUUGUCACGAACAGCAUGUCGCCUAAGAGUUUUGCCGACGAAUUUUGGUAUUUCAUCGGCUAAGAUUCAACUUUUCCCGUCAAAAUCUUAUUUGUCGGCAUUUCCAUCUUUUCCGACAAAUAAUUCAUCGGUAUAGGCCUUUUUAGCCGACGAAUAAUACUUUUUAGCCUACAAAAUGUGUUUGUCGCCAUGAAUAUUUCGUCGGCACAACCUUCUCUUUGCCGACAAAUUGGUUUUGUCAAGAAGACAUUUAAUUUAUAAAAAAAAAUGCUUUGAUGCUCAGCUCUUACAUAUAUCAAAAUACAAUAGACAAUUGUUAAGAAACAAUAUUUUACUGAUUGAUAAAUGUUGAAUGUACAUCUAGAGUGUAAUACAAAAGUAUCGUUAGUGAAAUCAUAAAACAAUUGAAGGAAUGUUACACAUGAACCAAAUAAAAAAUAUCAAAAGUCAUGGACUGAACUGUUCAUACAAAAGCUCCCCUUGUCCUGGUCUCUCGUCCAUCUCUGCAGUAGGAUUGGCUAAUGGCUCCUCAGGCGACCCAAACUCUCAUGUAACUCAAACUUGAACUCCCUGCAUCAACUAGCCAUGAUUCUGUUGAGGUAGUCAUAGUUUUCGUAAACGGUUAGAUUGAAAUAAUGAUUAGAAGCUCUCAAAUGUGCUAAAUAUCAUUCCUCUAGAUUGAUAUAAUGAUAGAGAUCGUAAAAAAUAUACUGGAAGCUUCUCAGAGUCUAACUUCUAAAAUUAGAGUCUUUAUUUCCACAACACAAGAAAAUGAGCAUUCCUAGCUUUAGAUCAAAUUACCUUCAAAAGUUCAAUAACCCCACAUAUGCAAACUCAAACAUUUAAAAAGAUUAUAUUACGAGUGCAAUUAUAUAUUUCUCGUUUAAUGCUAAUAUAAAAAAUGUGAGCAUUUGUCAUCAUGCAAGAGGUGGCUUACUGAAGAGCAUCAAUUGCAACCUUAAACCUUGGACGAUAUAGCACCAUAGUAGAAAAUGGGGCAAAGCUGCAAUAACACCACAGUAGUACAAUAAAAAAUGAAAACUUAACAUCAUAUUAGUGUCAAGCAUAUAGUGAGUUUGAUUAAGCAUCGGACAUUUAUCAUACAUAGAUUCUUAGAGGCCAGGACAAUGGUUCAUCCAACCUUGUAAUGAACAUUUCAAACCACCUGCCAAUUAAGAGGUUUUCUUUAGUCCCUUAAUAAGAUGCAAAUCAAAAUGAAUGAAAGGAGGUGCAAUAAGUUACACAAUAAUAAUUAGUAGCAGUUCAAAUCUCGGAUUAAUUAGCAGCCCUCAAGUAAGGAGAGGUUCUCCUUUAGCCUCUUAUGUAAUAGCUGACUAAAGCAUUCAGUUAUUUUCAUCCAAUCGAGGUAUAUCAAACAUCUGAUUAAACCACAAACUACAGAGCUUUAUUAGAGUUUACACAAACAUGAAAAAUCUAACAAAGAGGAUUAGUUCAAUAAAACAUGUAGUGUCAAUGUAACAUAAUUAAGAUUAAGAGAUGACUGAUGCCAUACAACAACUGUUUUCAGCAUAAGAACUCCAUGUACAAGUCUCGCAUUUUCUGUGUUGACAUUGAAUCCAAGUCCAAUUGCACUUCAGGACAAGAUCCUAAAAUGCAACAUACAAUAAAUUUAAACCACUGCACUGUUCAUAACCAAAUGAUACUAGCAUAGUAAUAUUUACAUGGUCACCUGCUGAAUGUGAAGCAAGGCGCCAAAAAGGCUUGCUUCUUGGACAACUUGGGAAGGUUUCUUUGCUCUAACUCACUUCAGAAAACACACAUAUCACCAAAUGAAAAGUACCGUUAACAUCACAGUUAACAAACCCGAGCAAAUAAAAAAUAUGAAGCCAUUUUCUAACCUUGUUUGACAACCUAUUCAAUUCCCUUCAACAGGUACUUUUGAAAAAUUACAAGAACCAAGCAUUGACCCUGCACCAUAAAAAUCUUUCAAACAUACCCAAAUUAAACCAUUACAAGAACCAAACAUAAAACAAGAAAUCAUUCAAGUCACCUCCAAAAUGUAAAUGGAUUGGAAAUCAAUAUCAAACCAAUAUCACACAAAAUGGCAUCUAGUUAAUUAAAAAUUAUAUUAAAUAAAAAGAAAAUAACUAAACCGCUAUACCUUUGGCGCGUUGCGGGUUUGUGAUUGGGAAUUGAAUAGACGGGCCGAAGGAGAGAGAGCCGGAGCAGAUCGAGGCUAAAGGAGUGGGCUGCGAGAGAAACAAUUCGGUAUUUGUGGAGAUUUGGGGUUUUCGUGUUUAACCAGAUGAUCGGGAUAAGAAACCAAUCUAGAGCCUAGAGGGUGAUGACUGCAAGGUAAUUUCAGAGUUGGAGUAGGAGGUGGCAUCGAAGACUUUGUAGAAUAGGAGCGCAGAUUCGAGUCCACGAACGGAAGACGACAGAGCGAGAGAGACGAGGCAGCAACAGAUAUGUGAGAAACGAGGGAGAAGCCCGGCGCUAAUUUUUUAAUUAAUUAGGUUUAGGAAUUUGAAGAUUACCAAUUUUAAUUCUAACCGGCAAUUGUUCAAAAAAAAUUCUAAACGGCAAAAUAAUUUUUUUGUUGCCCACUUAAUUAAAGAAAACGCGCGACUUAAAAAAAAAUCAUUUUCAAGAAGGCGGGAAAACUCCCACCAAAUUCUUACCCAAUAAAAAUCAAGUUUGUCGGCUAACAAUAUCUUCGCCGACAAAAUAUUUGUUGGCCAUAACCUUAAGUCGUCGGGAGAAGUUCGUAUUUAGCCAACAAACCAAAAAAAUUGUCGGGUAAAAACUUUUUUGCCGACAAAAUAAGUUUUGUUGGCUCAAAAUUCAUCGGCAAAAUUAGAUUUUCCAGUAGUGGAUAAACACAAGGACCAAAUUGGUCAAAUUAAAAACACAUGGACUAAAUUGACUUAAUGACUAAAACACAUGGAUCUUUUUAACAUUUAAGCCUUAAUUAUAUAAUAACACAAUCCUUUCUUGAUGCCCAAAAAUAGCACAUUUUUUCUACUCUUAAGUUCCUGCAAGAAACAUUUUACGCAUAAUUUAAGUUGAGCUGCCACUCAGUACUAUGGUCUAGUGGUAUUCCUUUUCACUUGAAUAUGGCUGGGCAACCGUCCAAGGCCCCAAAAAAUUGGGGGCACCGAAAUUAUUAAAGUGUUAUGUUAUAUUGAUAUAUAUUUUUUUAUAAGAGUAUAGAUUUUAAUUUGGUUAAUUGACAAAGAAAUUUAACUAUAAUUGGUGGUUUUUUUUUGUUAAAAUUAAUGAGGAGGUCUUGGGUUCAAAGCACCGUGUGUAUUUAUUUUAUUUUCAAUUUUUACAAAUUUCUUUUCAUAUGAGUAUAAAUUUAUAAAAUUUGGUAAGUAGUUGUUUAUAUUAUUUAAAAUAAACAAGGAGGUCCCGACUUCAAAACAAUAUAUGUCUCUUUUACUUUUCAACUUUUACGAAUUUAUUUUCAUGGGUUUAAAGUUAUGAAAAUUGGCUAAAUGAUCUAGAGGUUAAUCAAAAGUAAUGGUUUUUGUUGCUAAAAUUAACGAGAGAUCUUGAGUUCGAAAUGUUGUGUGCAUGUUUGUUCUUUUCAAUUUUUACGAGUUUCUAUUUGGUUGUUAAUUUCUUUUUAAUUAUUAGCUAGUAGAUAUGUGUGGCAAUUUUAAAACAUUUGUGUCAAUUCAAGUCUAAAUUUCAACAAAGAAUAAUGCAUAGACCAAAUUUGCAAAUCAUAUGAUGUGUCACCAAUAAGUUUAAUUUAGUAUCAUUUAUUGCUUAUACAUAUCAAUUAAAGACUCGAAAGCAUCAUUAUUUUUAUAGACCCAUAUUGACAAGAUUAGUAAAUAAGAAAAAACACAUCACGAUUUAUAUAAAAACACUUUAAAAGUUCAGGUAGAAAAACAAGACUCAUCAUCCAUCUACUUGUAAGCCCGAAGUUUUUUCGUUCCGGUACAAAAGAAAUUAAUUAAUUUUUCCGUGCUUUUAAAUUAUUGAGCUUGAAGUGCUUUUGUAAGUAAUAACUUUAUUGAAGUUUUACGUGUGAAAACAAUAAUUUUCUUAUAUAAAGUUAGGGCACAUUUUUUUGGGUCGCCCAGGGCCUUAAAAAUCUCAAAACCGGCCCUGCUUUAAGUAGGUUAUUACUUAAUAAAGGUGCGGCUAAAAAAAUAUUAUUAUUGUUUACUUAGUUAUCCUCAAUAAAAAUUGUAUAGAUACAAAGAACUAUUGACAAAAAAAAAAAAAAAGAUAAGAAGAACUAUUAGUGGAGUACGUUGGUUUCCAAGAUGUAAAAUAUGCAAAAAAAAAAAAAAAAAUACACUCAACCUUUAAAAUCUAUUGCAUAUAUGUACGUAUGUAGUACUUUCUUUAAGUUAAUGCCUAUCUAUAAACAUGCUUGUGAAGCUAAAAAUAGUAUGGCUUCAACAAGAAAUUGUCCAUAUUGACGAGGUAUUACGUACUCGUAAGUUCAAAGGCGUGAUAUCAACUCUAAAAAAUAAAAUAUUGUCUCAAAUAAUUAUAGAGAAAUAUUUUAGUUCAUCUUAAAUGUUUACUUGUGACAUUGCAUAUUUUUGUACUUAUGGACAAUUAUUAUUAUAUGGAGGUGAUUUUCCUUAAUACGGGACAUAUGACAAUUAUAACUUAUUACAAUGUAGAGUUUAUUUAUAUACAUAACUAGCUCCAAGUUUGGACCAUAAAUUUUUAUGACUAUAAAGAAGGUUAUUCUUAAAUAGAGCAUUAUUAUAAAGAUGUUUUACUAUAUAUUUUUAGGCCUUUUUUUUUAUAUUAAGUUGUCCUGAUUCAAUUAUGUUUUCUUUUAGUUUUAUUAACAAUUACUAAUACUAUAGAGGUAAUUUGACCAACUCUUGUAGAGUUUUUGUUACUAUUUUCUUGCAUCGCAAUUUUGAACUGAGAUUGGAGUUUGGCAUGCAAGUAAAAGCGUGUAUAAGGCCUUUGAAGUUUGAACGUUGACUAUUUUAAUUGAAGUUUUAGUACGCUGAGGUAUAGUAUUGGUGUGUGCUAACCUUUUACACGACAUGAAUACUUUAACACACAUACACACACAAAAAUUGAAUCAUAUUGUGAUGACUCAAGUCUUAUUUGACUUGAAAUGUGCCCAAGCGUGUUUAUUAAAUUAACUAAGACAACUCAAAACUAAUUAAGACCUCUCUAAUCCACUAGCCAGACCUUAGUAUUGUUUUUUCUUAGUUUUAUAGGAUAAAUCGAAUAAGAAUAAGUCAUGAUGUCUAGAAAGGUUGUCUAAAAUGAUUCGCUGUGAAAUUUGAACUUAUAAUCUUCUUUGGAAAAAUGAAAAUCAGGUGCCGCUAAUCAGGGCCGGCCCUGAGGGGGUGCCAGUCGUGCGACCGCACAGGGCCCCCGAUUUUUAGGGGCCCCUGAAUUUUAAUAACCUUUGUAAUGUACUACAUAUAAAAACAAUGUGAACACAAUUCACAUUGUUUCCUUAGGGGAAUCGUCAAGCGCUGAUACUUGCGUUUGUGUUUGCACGGGUUCGACUCCCAGUAGAACCAUUUUGGGCUUUUUUUUAAACUACAUUAAUUUUUUUUCUUUUCUCUUUAAUAUUUGUAGUUUAAUUUCUAUCAUUAUAAAAGAGAACUUUUGAUGAUAAAUCUAUAAUUAGGAAUAUCAUAAUUAAUUAAAAUCCUUAAAAAGUUUGAAGAUAUAAUCUUUAAAACCCCCUUUUCAUAUAUGACAUCAUUUAAUCAAAUACAUAUCGUUCGUUUAUUCUUUUGGUCAGCUUUUAAGGAUCAUCUAAUUUUCAUCCUAUUUGAAAACCAUUUAGUCAUCCAUAUAUAAUAAAACUUUGCUCACAACACUAAAGUGGAGGUGAGUAGGUGAUGCUCAUCCCCCUAUUGAUUACCGUUAAAUUAAUUUGGUUUAAUUGAUUUAAGACACGAAUCUCAAAUUCUAACUAAUCCAACAACAAUCAACCGAGUGAGGGUUAGAAUCAUUCUCACUUUAGGGAGUGAGAAAAAAUGCAUUAAAAAAACUUACAGCUCAUUAUAAGAUGCUACAAAUAUCAUAACCAGUGAUUUGUUUAACUAGUUCAUAAUAAAGAACAUGAGUUGUUCUGAUUAUGAUAUAUGUACGGUGAUAUGAUAUGUACAUAUCCACCACACCAUGCUUUUGUAUUUAAAAAGUAAGUUCAAACCCAAAAACAUAAAGAAUGUAGAUACAUAGCCACCAAACCAUGCUUCUUUUUUAUUUAUUUUCUUUUGCGUUUAUAUCAAUUUAUACACAAGAAAUAUAUAUAUAUAUAUAUAUAUAUAAAAGAAAAUAUAGCAACCAAAAUUUAAAUCUUGUAAGGGCCUCUGUUUGAGUCUCGCACAAGGCCUCCAAAAUCUCAGGACCGGCCCUGCCGCUAAUCCAAAACGAUAAUAAGCGAACAAAGUGUAUUAAAAUAUUAUUGGAGGAAAAUGAAGAGAAUGUGUUGUACUUAAUUAAACGUGCAAGAAAAUUUUGGUAGAAAUUAGUUAAUUUGACCUCAAAAGAAAUGUUGAAAGAGGAAUUGAGGAAUAGUUUGGAUCAAAUGAUAUCACUGCUGACAACUUUGGAUCAUAUUCUCUAUUUUGUCUUUCUCUUCUAUAUAAAAUCAAUCUAAUAUAUGUUGACGUGGCUUAACCGUGACUGUUCAAAUAGGAAGGAAGGGAAGGAGAGGGAAAAAAAGAGGGGAGAUAUACACACACACACACUCUUAAAUUUAAACCUUAAGCUCACAAGACAUACACUCAAAUUGUCAUUCAAAGUGUUUGGGGUUAAAGUGUAUACGCUCAAAAGAUCAUUAUAUGAAUGCUCUACCAUAAGCAUGCAGAUUGAUCUCAUCUCCACACAUCAAAAAUUACCUUCUUUGGAUCAAGUAGGUCUUUGUGAAGGGUUGUAAAGGGGCUUCGGUGACUUGGUUAAUCAAAUAAAGAAUAUGGGAAACACAAAGUCUAAGAAACUAAUAGAGUAGUUGGAAAUGAAACCGAGAGAGACGUGCGACAAUUAACCAAGGCAAUAAAUUGAGCAGUUUGAUGAACGACACAUAACUGCACAAUGAAUAUCUGAUGAUGGUAGCUCACUUGUGACUCAUAAUGAUUUCUUUUCCUCUUUUCUUCUUUUGUUCUUCAUUAGUAGUUGGGCUUUCUUCAUAAAAUUUUCAUCUUCAACUUUUAAUAACCUUGAACUCUCUCUCCUUUUAAAAAAACGUAUUCUACUAGCUUCUUAGUAGGGUAGGGAAUUUUUAAUAUAAGAGGCUAGGUAAGGAAAAUGUAGGUUUAAGAACAAAAGGCUUACAUAUAGGCUCAUAAGAGCUGACUAGGGGAAAAGCAUGUAUAAGGCCCUGACAUAUAUGGCAAUGGUGGUAAAGUUCUACUACCUACUGUCGUCUCCAAAAUAAAGUAAUAUAUGAUACAAAGUUUUGAGAGAUCUUAAGUCAAAUUCUAGAGAUGCAAAACACAUUAGAUCACACACACGAAUUAAAAAGAGUAUAAAAAUGCAUACACUAUAUUUAGGCACAAAAGCUCACAUGGGUGCGGGUUUUACUCAAGCUAAACAUGUUCAACUCAUUAACAUUCAUAUAUUAUCAAUAAGAGGCUAUUGUCCACAACAGGUCAAACAUAUCAUGCUAGGGUCAUGCUAUCAAGUGAACAAAGCUAGAACUCAUAUGAAAUCAUACUUUUCCAUUUUACCUCAUAUAUAUAUAUAUAUAUUUUUUUUAUUUUUAUUUUUUUAACAAGAAGACAGAAAAAUGCAGUAUCAAUGCUAUAUGAACAUGCAAGCAUACAUAAAUGAAAGCAUUUGCAAAGAGAGAGCUCAGUCAAUAUAAACAAUUUGAAGGUGGAGAGGAAUUGACAAAUACACCACUUUGAUUCUCUUUUAUUCUCCAAACUUGUUGCACUUUUGGAACAACCGUACUCGGAACAUAUAUAAUUCUUGCAAUCCGAUUAAUCUCUUUCAAAUAAGUCACAAAUUGUUUCUUAAGAUUUGCUUUUUUAGAGUUCAUUGAAACUUUUUUCUUGAGAAGAAUUUUUCUUCCUAAGCUUAUUGCACUUAGGCCGGAUGUGACCAGGAAUCCCACAAAAAUGACAUAUAGGAAUGAACUUCCUAGAUUGUUUGGGUUUGUUAGGAUUAACUGAAGUCUUGGCAGGAUUUGACACAUUUGCAAAGAUUGUAGAAGUUUCAGAAGUAAGACCUAAAACUGGAUUGACACCUACUUUCAAGCUAGGAAAUAUCAAACGCUUUGACAAAUCUUGUGAUGGAAGAAGAACUAAUAGUCUUUUCAAACUCAAAUCCUAGACCUUUUUUAUCUCCAAAAUUCUUUCCAUAGCUAAGCAUCUUGUCAAAUUUUCCCGAACAUGCUUAAUUCCUGAACUUUGUUUUUUAUCUCAACUAGUUCAUCCUAAAGAACUUUCUUAUCAAACGUGAGAGUGCUUUUGUGGUUUGAAGAAUAUGUAUCUUCUCUAACAAUGACUCUCAUAGUUUCUCUCUAUUGUCUAACUAAGAUUGAUGCUCAGCUUUAGCUUCCUUCUUUUCACUUUCAGCUAAUGCAAGUUUCUUUUUCGAGUUAGAGUUAUCCUUCUUUUCUUUACUUGCACACUGAUGUCUUAAAGAUUAGAAUAUUUUCUCAGGAUUUCUUCCAAGUCAGGUUCCUCAACAAAUGAACCUUCUGUGUCAUAUCCAUCAAUAGUUCCUAUAAAGGUAGUUGUAUCCUUUUCAUUUUCAGAGGAAGAUGCAUCUCCUGAAUCAUUAUCUCUCCAAGUAACAUUCAUUGCCUUAUUCUUCUUCUCCUUCUUCUUGAUAGUAUUUGCACACUCAUAAGCAAUAUGUCCAUACCCUUGGCAUUCAUGACAUUGCGCUCUAUUGUUAGAACUCUUACACUCCCUAGUUCUAGAGGAUUUAGAUGCUUUGUCAUGUGAGACAUCUAGAGAACGAAAGUUUCUAGAGUUUGAACCUAAGUUGGUUCGUUGCUCACGACCCUUGGAAUUCUGAGAGUUGAGAAACCUUCUAAUUUGCAUGGUUAAUGCAACCAAUUCAUCUUCGAACAAGUCAUCAAUUGAGCCAUCGCUUUCUUCUUCUUUGACAUCUUUGAGAGCAAUGUUUUUCAUCUUAUUGGAAUUAGGAAGCUCUAACUCAUGUUUGCAGAGGGCCAAUCAGUUGUUCGAGCUUGUAGGUGUUUAGAUCUUUUGAUUCCUCAAUUGCAGUCCUUUUAAUAUGAAACCUCAUAGGAAGUGAUCUUAAGAUCUUUUUUCACAAUUCUAUAUUUUGGAAUGCUGUCACCAAGAUUGUGGCAGCCAUUGACAAUUACGCUAAGCUUAGCAUAUAAGUCAAAGAAACUCUCAUCAUCAAACAUUGUGAUAUUUUCAAAUUUUGUGAUGAGAUGUUGAAACUUGGAUUCUUUAACAGUUUAGUAACUUCAAGAAUAUCCCAAACUUCUUUCGCCAUUGUACACUUGCUUAUGUAAUCGAAUUGUUCUGGCGAAACGGCUAUGAAGAAAGUAUUCAAAGCCUUUUGGUUAAAAGUGCUAGAGCUACGCUCAUCAUUGCUCAAUUCUUUCCUAGGCUUGAGCUUAGAUAUAGAAUCAAAGGACUUUCCUUCACAUUUUGUUUCUUUGAUCAUCAGAGGUUCCCAACCUUCUUCAACAGCAAGCCACACCUUGUCGUCUUGCGCCCACAAAAACGAUUUCAUUUUUGCCUUCCACGCAGCAUAGUUGUCACCAUCAAAGUGUGGUGGAUGAGAAAUUGAACCCAUAGCAUGAUUCAUCCUAGGCAAUCAACAUCCUCACAACUGUUGGAAAUUAUAUAUUAUGAUAUGAAAUAUUGUAAUAUAUAAUUUUAACAAUUGAAUGAAAAAUAGUGUUAACCAAUUUCUUAGAAAGGUUAUGUUGUUUAGGUGAUACUUGAUAAGUGAUGUAUACUUAUAGAUGAAAAGUUACAUCUCUUUAAUAAGUAGAAGUUGGAUUCUAUAUAAACACAUGAAACCAUUGGUAUUAAAGAUAGAAAAUUAGAGUUAAUUUUUAGUCUUGAGAAAUAGGGUUUCCCCACUUUGUUUCUCAAAUGAUUCGUGUGUCAAAUUCCGAGUCGUGUCUUGAGAGUACAAAAUAUAUAAAGUUCGCUAGAGUCCAAAGAUUGAAGUGCUUUGACUUCGGAUUAUAGAUUGUUGAAUCCUGGGAGAUGGACGCCUACCGAACUACAAGCACAAGAGUAGGGGCAAAAUUCUAUCUUUAGGACAUUGCAUUUAUGCAAGCCUCAAUCUCCAAGUUUGUCAGUUAUUCUAACUUUCACUCUAGUUGUUUAUAUUAAUCUCAAAUAUAAUUGAUGUUGUGAAUUUCUUUAUGAUUAUUAUCAUUGGAAUUAUAUUGUUAUUUUUUCAUAUUUUCUAAUAUUGCUCCAACAACAACCUUAAUCUUGGAGAGCUUGUUCGGCGCUUUCCUGGUGGUCUGGUGAUGCAAAGAAUGCGAGAUCUACCUUGAGAUAAUGAGGUUAUAACCGAGGUGUGUCCAUUGUUUGUUGAAAAAUCUUUCCACACGCCCUUUUUAGGCCUUGGUUAAGCAUUGUGGCUUUGAGAAUUUAUGGAAGGGAGCUCUCUUCGGAGGAGACCCUACUAUAAGAAGAAAAGAGAAAUUCAUUGUGCAAAAAGGUAUUUAGACAACUUUUUUUAAUUAAUUAUUAAACCCACAUCAGCACAUAACAAAUUUUUUUACAGAAUUGUGGUGGAAUGAUCAUAUUCAUUUACAACACCUAUUUUCAUGGACUACAUUGAUUGAUUUUCAAUUUUAGGGACCAUAUUGAUGGUGUGGGUCAAUUUCAGGGGCCAUUUUGAUGAUGUAGGUCAAUUUUAGGGACCAUUUGUGAUAUAAACCUGUAAAUGUUGUGGGGCCUAUUUAGGUGCCACAUCAGUACUUAACGAAAUUUUUAAUAGAAUUGUGAUGGAAUGACUAAAUUGAUUUGCAAUACCUAUUUUCAAGGACUACAUUGAUUGAUUUCUAAUUUCAAGGACCAUCUUGAUGAUGAGAGUCAAUUUAAGGGACCAUUUGUGAUCAAAACCCAUAAAUUUAUUGGUUAUUUUAACUAAACUACCGUUGGAUGUUUUUAAAUCAAUCCACUGAAUUUGAAUUAAUUAUUGCAACUAAGAAGCUGGGCCCCAAAAAGGGCUAAGAGGGGGCUACAUUUGGUCAAUCUCAUGCCCUUUAGGCCAAAUAAUGGCCUAAUGGGCUCCAUAGAAUUAUAGCUCAGUAGUCAGUUGGAGAUGAAUUUUGAAUAAAUCAGGCCAAUUUUUUUGCUUUUAAACCUUUAGCCCUCUUCAUUGGAGAUGGCCUUAGUUGCAAAAUUCCUGCAUGCAUGUUACAGGCAUUUUAAAUAUCAUGAAUUAAUAGACCAUGUUAUUUACCAUAUAUGAUUGAGCAAAUACUCAAGGCUUGUGAGGAAUUUGUUAUUUUUUUCCGGUUACAUAUAUAGGCUUCAAAUUAUUCCCUUGAUCGUUAAGCUCUACCUCGCUUCAACUUUCAAGACCAUGUUUUGUGUCAUCUGUAGUUAAAUAAUGUUGCAUUAAGCAGGGUAAAAAUAAAAAAUAAAAAACCUGGAAUAUCAGAAAAAAUUGCUCGGGGAGUUCUUUGAGUUGUCUGCAUGCAGAAGAACACUUAACCGAAUUAGUCUGAACAGCCAUUAGAUGUCGAUAAGUAGGAGCCGCCGGUCAGUAGCAUGGCACACUACCACGACAACUAAUUGAAUUCCAAACAUAUAUAUGCAAAAAUAGUUUUAAUCAACUAUAGAGUUUCUCUUACAUAUAUAGAUUAUAUCAAACAGCCCAUCGCAUUAUUGGGAGUUCGAUACUUCUUCGGUGCUGACAGGCAUGGCAUAUUUUGUGGUUGCAUUAAUUUACUUCCUUUAGUUGGUGGGGUUGUUGAACCUAUUUCAGACAUCUUGAUCACUAAAAUCGACUAAAGUGUACACUAUUUCUCUACAAACAAAAACAAGGUCAAUUGAAGCUGGCUAAAGCUGAAAACUCGAGGAAAAUUAAAGGUGGGUGUGUUGAGAACUGGAGAAUGCUAAACCCUCUAUUUAUACUAGUUUGUUGUAGGCUUAUUUCCUUUCCCGAAAACAAAGUUCUAAAUAGGCUAGGAAAAAAUAUAAAAUCAAAAUCUUUCCAAACCAUAGUAGGAUAUAUGGCUAAAUCAUUACAGAGAAAGGCCCGACCAAAAUAUCCUACAGAGAAAGGGAGAAAAAAGAAAAAAAAAAAAAGCUUUUCCAACCAUAAUAUAGGUAUAGCUAUAAUCCCAGAUAGAAAGGGAGAACACAAAUAGUAAGAUAUGAGAACAAAUAUACAGUAUAUGAAUUCAAGGAGAAAAGGUAAGUUAGACGCCGUUUUAUGCUUUACUCUUUAGAUAUCGCAUUCCCUUUUUAUUCGCUUUUUCUUCCCUUCUCCGUUCUGGUUAAAGAGUGAACAUGAAGAAAUUAAUACUCAAAAGUUGAUCAAUUAUAUUCCAUAGACACGACUGAGAAAAUUGGAAUUGAACGUGUUGGGUUAAUCAGUGGAAGGUUUCUUAAUUGUCAAAAUGAUCAAUUUUUUGUUUACAUGGGAUGUAGAUUAAUAGUAUGUAAUGGGAAAAAGAUAUACACAUGUUUUCAAGAUUUCCGAAGUUUCCCUAUGGUAGCGUUUGGUACGAAGAUAGGAUGGAACAGGACCAACGGGAUGGAAUGGAACAAAAUAGAGGUUUCAUGCUACGUUUGGUACGCAUAUGAUGGAAUGGGACAAUCAUUCUAUUAUGUGUUUGGUACGCGUAGGAUGGAAUGGAACGAAGGACUAAAUGACAAACUCACCCAAGUUUCUUUGUUGACACCAUCGACUCAACCUCAUGGAUUACCUGCAAAACUUGGAUUUUCUACAACCAUAUAUAUGAAGGAUUUUCUGCACGACUUGGAUGAACUUCUCUCAAGAACAAUUUUUUUUACAACCCUAAAACUUGUUUGGUAUCUAACCUGGAAACUAUUUUAAAUCUUCAAAGAUUUAGGCUAUAUAACCCAAAAACUUGUUUGUACAAAACCAUUAGAUGGUAGUGGCUGAGGGAGGAUAUUAAGGUCAGGUCGGGAUCCGAGAAUCUUUACGACUUGAUUUGGAACUCUCAAUUUCACACUAAUACUAUGAAGUCGUGUUGUCUUCAGAUGGGUUUUGUUCACAUAUAUGGUGGUGGGUUGCUAAUUUCAAAUGUUGCCAUUGAAAUUGAGGAAGUUUGAAAUAAAGCUUUGGUAAUGGCGGAGAGGUGAUGUUAGGGCUUGUGGGUGAUUAGAGUGAGAGGACAGUGGGUCAGGGAUGGUGGAAGAAAAUAUCUCAUUUGCGAAAAGAUCCAUGUCACGGUCGUCAAAACAUCUCUCUCAGUCGCCGGAAACAUUAUUCUUGUCACCGCCACUUACUCUCAAUUGAUGUUUGGUGUCGUUGGCCUCGAUGCCAAGGUCCUGCAGAUAUUGUGAAGAAGAAAAAAAAAGGUGUAAUUAUUGAAAAAUAUAAGGGGCAUUGUUGUCUUAAAAUUUUAUAAUUUUGUGUUCCACGGGGUGGAACGAGUCAUUCCAGGAGGGGAGGUGAAACAUAAAUUUAACCAAAAUUCGUUUUGUAAGACAACGCGUCUCACUGUCUUUGGCUCACCAAACGUGGGACGAGCGCAUUCCGUCCCAUCUCACGUACCAAACGGUACCUAGGAUCAUAAUAGAAUUUUAAUUAAUUUAUAAAUAAUUCAUAUAUAAGAUUUGUUUGUCAAAGGUUGGUGACACGCCUCAACCUCGAUAUCCCCAAAUACUAGGAUAGGCAUGUAUUGGCCGACACCUGAGGGUGAUGAAGCCAUAUUAAACAUGCAUACAAAUAAAAUAGGUAAUUAGACAGAAAUAUGCCAAAGCAGAAACAUGUUUAGAGCAUACAACUAAUCAUGAAUAAUGUGAAAGAAUUACAAUAAAAGUGUAUGAAUAAAGGAAUGAGUUCUACUUUGAAAAGACUCGAAGAUACCUAAGCGGAAAUGCCCAGACGCUAGGAUUGUGUGCCUCAAUUCUAACUCCUGAAGGGGAUGCAAAACAAAAGAGUGAGUGGACCAAAAUUUAUAAUAAUAAUACUAGUAAUAAGAAAAUCAUUUUGUUUCUGAACAUACUAGCUCUUGUUUUGAGAAACAUUAUAUAAUACUACAGAAUAGGUUUUUUUUCCGAAAAAUCUAGCAUGCCAUGAAAAACAUUCAUAAAACACUUACAUAUAAGCCUGUACUCAGAUAUGGUAGUAUAGCUGCGCGAAGGUAAAUUCGUAAAACAUCUGUAAAUCACAUCAAUUAUGUACUCCACUAGGGGUAUCAUAGUCGCCCGAAGGCAUAACAUGUCCAUCACCCGAAGGUGAAGCUGUACGACACCCGAUUACGCCAGUGAAGGAACAUGGUAGGCCCUAUCACCCGAAGGUGAAGCUGUACGACUAUAGGUUACGCUAGAGAAGAAAAAUACCCAAAUAUACAUAACACAUCGACAGUAGCAGUGGCUAGUGAAGCUGUCCGGCACUGGUUUCGCCAGUGAAGUUGGGGGUAUGACAUAAAUAUCAACAAUUGUGUCCUAUGGCCAUAGACGUCUACAUACCCGUGUUGUGUGUAUAUAUUGUAUGAUAACCCACUACAUAAGUACCAAAACGUAUCUCAAAAACUCAUAACAAAUCUCCGGAGCUCAAGGGCUCAAAACAUCAAUUCAUAAACCAUGAUAAAUCAUAUUCAUAAAUUCAUAAUAUAAAUCAUAUUCGUAAUCUAGAGAAUUUCAAAUACAGAAAACCAAUAAUUCAUAACCUUUCGUAAAACAUAAAUUCGAUAAAUCAUAAAUAACGCAUAAAACGUAAGAUUAUGAAAUCAUGCUUUUCGUGAAUGCAUGCCUAAUAUUUUAUAAAACAUGCAAGUUAAGAAGGGGUCCACUCACAGAUAUUCAAUUCUAGGAAAGCCGGUCAAACUAGGGAUGAUAGAAUCACUUCCAAUUGAUGCACCUAAACACAAAUGGAGAUCGUUUAAUAAAACUCUACUAAAACGAUAGAAUUUGGGGAAACGAACAACGGAUUUGGAUUUGGCACGUCGAAAAACCUAAGAAGGGACAUCGGGUUCCCUAACGCGCCAUUGCACGCGCAUAGAUGGUCACUAGAAAGUUUGUCAAAAAAGUCAUUGAUGCCGCCAUGGACGACGGCGGAGCACAGUACCUUCGAUGGAGGCGCGUGUGCUUCAUGCGCCGGCCAUAGCAGCGUCCACGCAUGGCCUAUGAGCUGACCGUGGAAACUGUGUUUCAGGCUCAGGUCGAAUCUGGGCUUAGGUUACUCGGUUAGGCCGAGUUAUAGGGUUGGGCCUUAGUUAAUGGAUUGGAUUUUGGGUCGAGGAUUUGGACCAGAUUUCAUAUUGGAUUUGGGUCUGGUUUUGGGUUGUGGGUCGGGUUGACCCGAUUGGGCUCGGGGCUCACUGGACCCAACGAAGGAGAAUCAGAAUUCUAGGGAUUUUGGCCAAGAAACUUCCUCGGCUCUGAUUUGGGGUUAAAUCUUAACCAUUUCCCACGUUCUACUUACCCUAAGUCAGCAGUGGCCGGAGUUGGCCAGAAUUUGGCUUUCAAGCUAUCUGAUUUAUUGCCAAAAACUAGAGAUUCUAAGAACACAAGCAUGCAUGAAUAAUUAGUCCCAAACUCAACCCUAAUUCAUCAUGAGCAUCUCACGAACAUCGAAAAGAGAAAGGAUCGCAGGCAUCCCGAGUCUUACCUAGGUCGAAGUUGUUAAGAACCUUUAUUGUUCUUGCAUAGCGAUCACAAACUCGAGGGAGAGAAAUAGGGAGAGAAGAUGGUGGUGGUCUGGAGGGUUCAAGUGGUAUAAAGGCUUGCCAAAGAGGCGACGUGAUGUGGUGGUGGUGUUGUGUGUGUGUUGCUUGGAAAGAAUGAGAGAAUGAUAGAGAGAUGAGGGAGAGAUUUCAAGAGAGUUCGAGAGCAUCGGGGGAGAAAACAUGGGGAAGGAGGGAAAGUGGGGUGAACAUGGGGAAGGAGGGAAAGUGGGGUGUGGGCCCCACAGCUCACAAAAAGCAUACACAAGAAUAUCCCCAACAUAAAAUUACCAAAUUGCCCUUCACGUUCGUGAGUCCGUAAAAUCUCCAUCUUAGCACCAAUUUCAAUUUCCCUUAUGCCCAUGUAUUCGUAGUGACGAGUACUACAAGGACAUGCCAAGGAAAAGAACCUUACGUGAUACAACAAGGUAGUCAACAAAAGUCAACGUUUUGCCUUGAAGGGCAUUUUCGUAAUUUCACGCUUAUAAAACUGAAAUAUUUGGGGACAGGUCGUUACAGUGGGCACAGUCUGAUUUAAACAUGUUUCGCACCUAAACUAGUGACCCAACCAAUUAUUAAAUGAUGGAUCAUUUUUGUUCCAUUUUAAAUAAAUCUGGGUGAAAUUAAAUCAAACCAAACCAAAUAUUUGUGUCCAAGUCCAAUCCUUUUUUUCUUUUGCAAUUUUGUUGUUAGUACAUAGGCCAACAUGUACAUGUGAAGAAAAUACGAAUACAAUAAGAAAGGGAUGUUCGGUUGUGAUUUGUAUAGGAUCAAAAUCAUGGUUUUAUCGUUUGGUUCGAUUUUGAGACCGUUUGAAUUGUUGAUGAUCAAUACCGAACCAAAUUGCUCCUUACAAUUUGAACCGAUCAGUUUGAUCCUCACUCCUACAUACAUGUGCAAAAUAUAAAUAAACCAGAAACAGAAAUAAAAAAGAAGGAAUUUCGUCUUUAUUACUUUGUAUUAUGUAUAUUCUGUCAAAUAUAAUCAUUUAAAUUGGGAAAGCUAAUGAACCUUUUUUUUACAGCUUACACAACUUAUCCAAGGAAACAAUGCAGCAUCCUGUACUUAUUCACUGUCAAGAAGAUUAAAUAUAAAUUAAACGUUGUGGAAUAAAAAUCUAAUUAACUUUUGCAGGUUCUGUUGGAUUCGAACCGCCGGGUGGGGCAGGAGCCUUCAGCAGUACUUGCCUGAUAAUCAGAUCCUCAAUAGGGAAGUCCUGAUUAUGCAAAACAUCCUUCUUCACCGUCAUCAACUUGUCUUUCCCAUGAUACAACACUCUGCAGGCCUCAUUCGACUGCGUGUUCACAAGAAAAACCACUACCAUUGCCACCAAAAGUAUAUUUAAAAACUUCAUGUUGUUCCUUGUUUGUCAAACAAUGACUUUAUUAAUUUGCUCUUUUUUUCUUCUCUUUUCUUCUCAAGCUGUAUGCAAUGCAAAUAAAAGAUGGAAAUCGGAAGGAUUGAGUUGCAAUGAAUAAUAAGUGGGGGGAUAUUUUAUAGGGCUUGCUAGCUCUGCUAUUAUAUAUAUAUGAAAUAUUGUGGACUAACAGAACUGAUAUUAUACGACUUGAAAUUUUCAAUAACAUUUACCGAGCUAUAUUUAUAUGUUUUGACCAUUGACGGUCGUUUCAAAAUGUUAGAAAUUGAAUAGUAAACCGAGUGAGAAAUUUGGGAAUUGAUCAAAUUCAUUUGCUUCCUUGGCAAACUGAUGAGAACUGAGAACUAAAGGAUAUGGUGGGGAAGCGUUUACAAAGACCUUUGAAAGUUUGUAGUAUUGGGUGUGCUAACCUUUUACACGGCAUGAAUAUAAAAAAGUUGAAUUUUAUCGUGAUCGCUGAAGUCCCAUUUGACCUUAAAUUAAUGUCAUGCAUGAUAUAAAGAAUGACUAGAUUAGUUUCUAUUAUGAUUUGGUGUAAUAAACACUCUCACGAGGGAAUGCACAUACCAUACUUUUUUUCAAAUACCGUAUUUUCAUUAUACAAAUUUUAUAAUCUUAACGCUAAAAUUGUUGUGGUAGAUAAGAUGAUGUCUUGUACUUUUUAUUUAAUUGAUAACAUGCUUUGAUCGUGGUAGAACUUCAAACUUUUCAUCAUGUCCAGAAUAGUAACGGGCACAAUGUCCGUGGUAGAUUGCAAUCAACCACGGGCAUUCACCGUGAUAGAUGUGGGUUUUUCUUCUUGUAUAUAUAUGUGUAAUGCUAGAGAGAGCAAAUUACUAAGCCAAAUGGUGUGAAUGUGGAUGUGGAUGAUUAGAUUAUAACUUAAGCGUUGAUUAACGUGCUUAUUUCAUGUCGGUGACACAUCAUUUGUUUGCAACUAGAAGAAAAAAAGCUCAUCUAUAAUGGUUGAUGCCCAUGGUAGAUUGCAAUCCACCACGAACAAUGUGCCCGUUAGUAAUCUGGAUGUGAUAAAAAGUCAUAGUUUCAACUACAGGCUAUGCUCGUUGUCUAAUGUGAUGCAACCACGGAACCACGGAUUGUGCCCGUGGUAGAUUAAAAUCUAACACCACGUGCACUAUAGACGUUGUGGAUUCCAAAUUGACCAAAAACAAUGCCCGUUAUAAAACAAUUCCCAAAAAUUAAAAAAAAAAUUCAAUAAAAAUUAUAUAUAUAAAUAUUUAUAUACAAAUUGCAUAUUUACUACAAUAUAACGAUUACAUAAAAAAUCAUAGAUUAAAAUUUCAAUUAUUACAAGCUGUACACUAAAACUAAUAACAAACCAAUGAGUUAUACUAAGAAAUACCAAACCAUCCAAGAAGUAUCAAAUAGGCCAUAACAAGGACAUUGUCGCUUGAACACUUCAGAUUUCUUUGAAUACCUCCAAACAAAAGGGCCUUGAGAGUGAAAUACUGCCCCUAAUGCUUGACCCUUAACAAUUGUUGCCUCUCUCUAUCUACGUGGACAUAAGCAUAUGGAUCAAAAGAAAGAAAGUCAAAAGUUAACUAGCUUGUAGAGAUAUAUGAAUCUCCAAUAGUCCAAAUAAGAAGCCAAAAAUUAACCAGUAAAGAAUCGAACAGAUAUACAGACCUAACUCUAACAAGAGCAUGUAGUGCAAAAUUAGAAUUGCAUAUACAGUGAAUGAAGUAAAUACAGAGCUUAACUUACAAUCAUCAAUUCUCAGGUUUCUAGGUAUUCCUCUCAACUGCUCUGCCUCUAAAACUAGAAUUUCAUGUACAGUUUUUGCCUCUAAACCUUUCUAUUCAUGCAUCCCUCUAAAACUACAUAUAUUUAUGCAAACAUAUACUAUACAAGAUUAACCAAAUCAAUACCAUAAACAGAGACUUUUUUGUUUUUAAUAAACCAUAAACAUUAGUAACCAAACCAAUACUAUAAACUAAAUCAUUAAUUAGCCCAAAAAUUAAUAUGAAAUUCUUACCUUGUCUGCAAGUUCUUUGUACAAAUAGAAACUGGAAACUGCAAAGCAAAGAAACCACGGCUUAAGAAUGAAACAUCACUCAAAAUUUAUAUUAAAAAAAACUUAAAACAUAUAAAAAGUUAAAAACUACCUGUGGAGAAGAGGGCUAGCAUGUCUCAAAUCUAGAGUCUUGAAAUAUUAAUUUCAUUAGAUUACUAAUUCAAGACGGACUGACGAUAACGAUUGAUUUUUAUUUUCCAUAUUCAACACCAGAAUUUCAUAACUUUUUCUCCAAAGGCUGCCCACUAAUUAAAGUUUUCAAGUAAACAAUUGGUGAUAAAAUCAAACUCCACAAACUAAAAUUAUAAGCAUGAAUAAGCAUUGAGUUUGGUAUGAUUAAAGACCAAGAAGGGGAAAUUAGAAUCACAAUUUGGGAUGGAAUUCAAGAAACACAAUUCCAAAAAGAGUAUAAUCAGAAUCACACUUAAGGAGUUGGGAGUCAAAAUUGUCUAAAUAAUAUCAUUAAAUUCAGAUAACAACGAAAAAAAAAAAAAAACCAAGCACUCUGAUUGGAUUGCAGAAACAAGCAUGCAAUUAAAAAACUAGUGCAGCCCUCAGUCUCUCAGUUUUCAAACUCCUUAACCCCUUCAAUGCUCACCAUUCGAAACCCCAAAACACACAUUUUCAUAGAGAAAGCCAUAAAUCCAACUCCAUCUCUCUGGUUUUGAAACCCUAGCCCAAUCCCCGAUCCCUAAUCUUUCGAUUUUAAAACUUGAGAUCAAAAUCACCAAAAUGGAGAACUUGAAAUCAAAAUCGAAGAAGUAAUACCUUCAACGAAAUUUGGACAUAUGUAAAUCAAAAUCAAAUUUAAAUUCAAGUUCGAAAUCGAACUCAACUGGAAUCAGAUCGAAGCAAAAUCUAAUAAACAAUAGCAAUUUGAGAAAUCAAAAUUAAAGAAAUAUACCGAGCGCACACCUGAAGAAGUUAUAACAUAGAAAGAAAGAAUCACAAUUUCAUCAAUGGUGGAGAUUCGCCGCCCAGAAUUUAAUCGAUCUCAGAGAUCGAUUCCUAUUCCGCCACCGCCUCUGAAAUCCACCGAGAUAUACACCAGCGAGAUCUCGUGCUCUCUAGUUGGAGACGAAGACGAAGAUCCUAUAGAUUGGGAAUACCUGACAUGCCCAAAGAAAUAGAAAAAAAAAUUAGGGUUCGAAUAGUGUAUACGAACAAGGCAAAGAAAUGAGUAGUUUGGGGUCGGAGUAAUUGUCGACAUAAGAAUAGGGGGUGAGACCUAGUGGUUGGCAGUGUCUGAUAUGAAAACGGUAAAUAGGUUUCAUUGAGAUCUGAAAUUUGAGUGUGUAUUCUUAUACUGGUUGAUUAAAAAAAUGAAAAAUUAUAAUUAUAACGACAGUACUUACAGUUUGUGGUAGAUUUAAAAUGUCGCUGUUGUCAAAAUUUUUGUAACCACAGACAUGCCUCGUGAUAAUAUAUAGCCAAACCACAAUGGGCUUUAAACACAUGUUGCUUCAACACCUUCAGUCACUGAUCACUCUACGCCUGUUGUUAAACUAAUUUAUUUACCACGAACUUCAAACGUCUGUCAUUAAAUUGGACUUUUUAUAACGGACUUCUUAUGUCCAUGGACAAUCAGCCAUGGUAGAUAUGGUGCUGUGGCGUAUAAAUUUGGUCCCUAGCAUUAUCUAUAGUUAACUGCUAUUAACCAUCCCAACUAAUCACCUCAUAGGAUGGUGACACGUGGCAUACACAAAGUGAUCACAUUUGUCACUUAAUGUUAUAACCCAAAAAAAGACGUGCGUCACUUAAUACAUUCCAUAUAUAUAUAUUUGGGAGUUUUAACAAAAAGCCCACGGUACUGUUCAUUUUAAAGAAAAAUCACAUUUUUACACUAAAAAGUCAAACCUGAUACUAUUUACUUUACCCUUUAUUUUGUCCUUAUCGUUAAAACUCAAAGUUUUCAAGCAUUUUUCAUUAGUUUUCCUUUUGCAUGUAAAUUUUCUUGAUGAUUAUUAUUUUUUAAAUGAUGCAAAACGUUAAUAAGUUUAAAUCAAACUCAACGGGGAGGAGCGUAUGAAUUAACACCAAAACCAUGGAUCCAACUAACAGCUAGCGCGCGCCAACUGUUUGAUAUAUAUUUUGAAUUUGAUGCUCCACAGUCCACAGGCAUAUAGUUCAUGAUAUUGCAUGACAUUGUAAAACAAACAAAACGUUCAUAUGUUAUUGCAUGACUCACGUUAUUAAUGCAUACUAAUUUCAGAUAUCAUGUAAUGUUAGACACUGUCAUACACCAUGCACUUUUUGUGAACUGAAAUAUUUAGUUGAAAGGAUUGGUGUUGGCUUCAAAUUGUGAAUGGCACUGUUUAGUUGAAAGGGUUUUUUUCUCCGGCACGAGUUAUUUUAUCAGUGUAACAGUUACACCGUCACAUGGUAUUACCUAUCCAUUCAUGUUGUAAUGAGUGGAAUGCUAAAUAACACUAAGUGAUGGCGAAACCGUCUCACUUUAAAAUUAGACUAAAAAAGGUGCCUUAAUUUCAAACCAGAUAUGUAGAGCUUUCACUCUAACACAAACACACACAUUUGUGGUAUAAUACUUAUGUAUAUCUCUAUGCAAAACACUGUCAGAGGUGUUUGUAGACCAGGUAAUAUAUUUUCGCAAUUUUAUAGUUUAAUUUCUGGUCAACAAAAUGGUGUUUGAUUUUAAACUCACUGUUAAAUUAAAAGGUAACAAACCCAUGCUAGAGCUACAGAUGCACACAGGCACAAAAAGAAAUUAAUAAAUAUAUAUAAUUUUCUCUGUACUUCGUAUUAUUCAGUCAAUUUCAUACACAUUAGGAACCUAAUACACUUUUUUUUUUACAUUCUUACACAUCUUAUAUAAGAAAAAAAAAAAAAAAAACCCUAAACUGCAGGCAUUUUCCUGUACUUAUUCACUGCUAAGAAAAUAUAUCAAAUGUUUAAAAGGGGUUAAAAAUUAAUUCUGCUAGUGCUUUUCGUUGAUGGUUGCAGAGUCUUUGGAAUUGGUACUACUUCAAGGUUUAGUUGGAUUAGGACCUCCGGGAGGGACAGUGCCCCUAAGUAUUUGCCUGAUCAAAGGGAAGAAGGGACGAUCCAUCUGAUGCAAAACAUCAUUCUUCAUCUGAUGCAUAAACUUUUCUUCUCCAUGCAACACUCUGCAGGCUUCGGACGAUUGCAUGUUCAUAAGAAAAACCACAAAAAACACUGCCACCAAAAACAUUUUUAGAAACUUCAUUUUGUUGGGCAGACAAAGAUUAUUUUGCUUCUUUAUUCUGUGGAAGAAGAAGGAAUGAAUGAAUGAAGAUAAAGAUAAAGGUUUGUUGGAAACUAGAUUUUGCUUCUUUUGUCUGUCUGAAAAAUAGAAAGGAUUGAAGUAAUGAAUGAAUUGAAGGAAUGAAUAGAUGGGGAAUACGGGGGCCUCUUUUAUAGGCAUCAAUUAAGACCAACUUUCAUUUGACUUUGAUUUUUAUAAAUCUAUUUGUUUGUUUUGACUUGGAAUUGAAUGGGUCGUCAUACCCGCAAGGGCUUUGGUUUUAACUUUUGAAUUGAAUGGGUCGUCAUACCCGCAAGGGCUUUAGUUUUAACUUUGAAUUGAAUGGGUCGUCAUACCCGCAAGGGCUUUGGUUUUAUGGCUUCACCAUAUUGUGGGCCUAUAACAAAUCAAGGCUAAUUAAUAAAACACAAUCGUUCUUUUUACUCUUAAGUUGAGCUAUAGCCUGUUUGUUUUUUUUUUUUUUGGAAACGAGCUAUAGCUUUGUUUACUUAAUUAAUCUAGACAGUAAAACCUCUAUAUAGUCAUCAUGUUAGAACCAAGAGAAUUUUAUAACUUUAGGGACGUUAUUACUUAAUAGAGGUGUAGCUAAAAAAUAUUAUUAGUGGAGUACGUCAAUUUCUAAGAUGUAACAUUGAAAAAAGAAAGACACUCAAUCUUUAAAAUCUAGUGCAUGUUGUAUGUAGUACUCUCUUUAAGUUUAAUGCUUAUCGGAAACAUGCUUGAGAAGCUAGAAACAGUCCAUUUGACGAGAUAUUACGUACUUGCAAGCUCAAAAGCAUGAUAUAAACUUUAAAAAAAUAAUACAUUGUCUCAAACAAUUAUAGAGAAAUAUUUUAGUUCAUCUUAAACUUGUAUUUGUAGCGUUGCAUAUUUUUGUACUUAUUAAUAAUUAUUACUACAUGGGGGUGAGGUCUUAAUACGUGACCUAUAAAAAUCAUCUUAUUAUAAUGCGGAGUUUAUUCUUUACAUAUAUAACUGAGUGCAAGUUGGGACCAUAAAUUUUUAUCACAAUUAAGGAGGUUAUUCCUAUAUAGAGUAUUAUGAUAAAGAAGUUUUACUGUAUAUUUUGUAAUUAAGUUGUCCUGGUUCAAUUUUUUUUUAUUAACAUUACUAAUGGUAUAGAGGUAUUUUGACCAACUCUUGUCGAGUUUUUUCACUAUUUUCUUGAAUCGCAAUUUUGAACAGAAAUUGGAGUUUUUGCAUGCAAGUAAAAGCGUGUAUAAGGCCUUUGAAGUUUGAACGUUGACUAUUUUAAUUGAAGUUUUAGUUGUCAGCUACGGUGUUGGUGUGUGCUAACCACAUAUAUGUUAACGUAUACUGAAAUCCGAAUCUGUAGUGAAUACUCAAACAAGAAAAGGAGAAGAAAGAAGAGUUCUAGAGAGAGACUGAAUGUUUAGAGAGAGAAACUUAUGUAUUGAUCUGACUUGAAGAUUACAGUAAUUCCAUUACAUCUUAUAUAGUUUGCACUACUUACAUCAGUAACUAUAUCAGUUAGUUAUAACACCUUUAACCAACAUAACCACCAAUAGUCUAUUAGCUAAGCUGAUGUGGCAUUGCCAGCUGUUAUUACUGUCAACAUCCCCCCUCAAUCUAAGCUUGGGGUGACAAGCUUCAGAUUGUAACAAUGUCUGAUGAAUGCAGGACUGUGAAGACCCUUUGUUAGAACAUCGGUAGUUUGCUCGUCAGUAGGAACAUAGGCCACUGCAAGAUCUCCUUUUUAUACCUUCUCCCUUACAAAAUGAUAAUCGGUAUCCAAAUGUUUUAUUCUUGAGUGAAACACUGGAUUCGAACUUAAUGCAAUAGCUGACAUGGUAUCACAAUUAAUAACAGGUGGUUGAAGUAAAACACACUUCAAAUCUAUCAAAAUUUGUCUAACCCAAGCUAUAUCAGCAGCUGUAUGAGCAAGGGCUUUGUAUUCAGCUUUUGUAGAACUUCUAGAUAAUGAAGUUUGUUUAUUUAAUUGCCACGAAAUAGGAUUUUCUCCAAGAAAAACAAUAUAUCCAAUCACUGAUCUUAUGGUAUUAAGAUCCGCAGCCCAAUCAGAAUCAGAGAAAGCCGUGAGAUGCAUCUGUGAUUGUGAAGAAUAGACUAUACCAUGUUGCAUCGUACCAUGAAGGUAUCUAAGAAUCCUUUUUACAGCACCAAAAUGAACCUCAGUUAGUGAAUGCAUGUGUUGACAUACUGUAUUCACAGCAAACACAAUAUCCCGUCUAGUAAACGUAUGAUACUGCAAGGAACCAACAAUGCUUCUGUAUGAACAAGGAUCUGAAAGUAACACUCCUUCUGUCACCAUCAUUUGAUUAUGUGGUCUAUAUGGUGUAUUGGCAGGCUUGCAAGAAUCCAUACAUGCCUUAUGAAGUAAAUCCUUUAUGUAUUUCGACUGAUUUACAAAAAUGUCUCCAUUUGGUUUAUAUUGAAUCUAUAAAACAAGGAAAUAUGUCAGCUUCCCCAAAUCUUUCAAGUCAAACACAAAAGAGAGCUCUUGAACUAUGAGUUGUACUUUAGUCACACAUGAUCUAGUCAAUAUUAUAUCAUCAACAUAGAGCAAUAAUAUGAUGAUAUCAUUGUUAUCAGUUUUGAUAAACAAACUAGUAUCAGAUACUGAUGUAGUAAACCCCAUUAUCACCAAGUAGCUUGUAAAUUUUGAAUUCCAAGCCCUUGGGGCUUGUUUGAGUCCAUAUAGUGACUUGAGGAGUUUGCAUGCAUAAUUGGGAUGACUUGAAUCAACAAACCCUUGUGGCUGUUUCACAUAAACUUCUUCUUGUAGCUCACCAUGCAGAAAUGCAUUCUUGACAUCAAGUUGUUUCAAUUCCCAUUUAUUCAUUGCAGCCAAAGCAAGAAUGAGUCUUACAGUUGUAUGUCUCACAACUGGACCAAAAGUAUCUGAAUAAUCUACACCAUGCUCUUGAGAAAACCCUUGAGCAACUAGUCUUGCUUUAUACCUUGAUACAGUACCAUCAGGAUUUCUUUUCACCUUAUACACCCAUUUGCUUCCUAUUAUUAAUCUAUGAUCUGGUGCAGGUACUAAAUUCCAAGUACCUUGAAUUCGAAGUGAAUCAUACUCCUCUUGCAUUGCUUGUUACCAAUGUGAAAUAGAUGUUGCUUGUCUAAAACAUGUAGGUUCUAAUGAAUCUGCAAUCUCUGAAAUAAAAGAGAAACCUCCCACAAAAGGAUCAUCAUUUGUUAUCUACAAGGUGUUUAACUCUGGGAACGUUGCAAUUAAGGCUGUAUAAUUUUUCUUUUGGAUGGCACCAAACUUCAACCUUGUCACCAUUGAAUGUUCAUUACCAUUUUGUGCUUGAAUAUCAUGUGGUACAAUUGCUUGAGAAAUUGGUAAAAUUACCUCCAGUUGUGAAGAAUCGUGAACUGGUAACAUAGAUAACCUUGAAUCUGUAGGACUUGAGUAAUGAUGGUGAGGAGAUGAAACCUAAGUAUCAGAAUGCUGACUUACUGCAGACUCUGAAGGUUGAGACAUUGCCAUAUCAGAAUUUCCUGAAGCUACUGGAUCUGAGCCUUGAGAAUGUGAAAGGACUUCUAUAGCUUGUGCAGAUCCUCUAUCUUGGUGCACUGAAGAUGGAGUAAUCGUAUCCCUUGGUAAUUGAAUCGUAAUAGGCCUUGAAUGUUGGAAAGAUGAAGAACUAGACUGUUGUACCUUUGACACGUGUAUAUUCCAAUAAGGAAAUAUCUCUUCAUCAUGUACAACAUGUCUAGGAAGGAUUAAUUUCCCUGAACCAAUGUUAUAACAUAUUACUCCCUUAUAUCCCAUCAUAUAUCCCAAAAAUACACAUUGAGUUGUUCUUGGUUCAAGUUUAUUUGCAUUAUAAUGCCUCAUGAAUGGAUACACUGUAGGCCCAAAAAUCUUCAAAUUUUGAACAUCAGGUUCUUGUCCAAUUAACACCUGAUAUGGUGAUUUCAUAUGCAAUAUUCUACAUGGCAUUCUGUUUAUUAGAAAUGCAGCAUGUGAACAUUCAUGAAACCAAAACUGAGCUGGUAACUUUGCUUCUUUCAUGAGUGUUACUGCAGUCUCAACCACUUGUCUGUGUUUCCUCUUAGCAAGUCCAUUUUGCUGAGGGGUAUAAGGACAUGAAAUCAUGUGUUUUAUACCCUUUGUAUCCAAAAAAUCAACAAACAUUCUACUUGUAUACUCUCCCCCUCCAUCAGAUUGUAAACACUUAAGUGAAGCACUGAAUUGAGUUUGUAUAAAAGCACAAAACUUAACAAAUAUGGAAACACUUCAGACUUGUUAUUCAUUAGAAAAAUCCACAAAAAUCUUGAAUAUUCAUCUACAAAGCUCACAUAGUAUCUAUAACCCUAUACAGACACCUUUGGAGAUGGCCCUCAUACCUCAGUGUGAACUUUCUCAAACAAAACAUGUAGUAAUAUUUUGUCUUACUGGAAACGACUGUCUUCUCAUUUUACCACUCAUACAAGAAGAACAUAUGGACUCACAACUAUCUACUUUGACACUAUUAUUAAACUUCUUCAGCAUUGCAGCAAGCACCUCUUCUGACGGAUGACCUAACCGCUUAUGCCACCUCGACACUUGAAUCUUCUUUCCAAUAAAGCCAGCAUAACGCUCAACUUUGCAGCAAAAGACUUUGCAAAGACAUUGACUGAAAUUGAAAACAGCUCCCCAUCAUCACUUGUCCCUGUGUACAGUAUCUUCCUUGUUGCCUUGUCCUGUAUGAAGAAGACAAUAUCAUCACAUAUAAACCAACAUCCAUUAUCUCUGCAUAACUUCUUAACAGAAAGUAAAUUCACAGUGAUUUUAGGUACACAAAGCACAUUUUUUAACAUAAAAAACUGUUUAGAAAUAGGGAUGCUUGUGGAACCAAUAUGUGUUACUUCUAAUCCUGUACCAUUCCCAAUUGUAAUGGUUCCAUCACCAAUAUAAGGAAUAACAUGAUUAAGAUGAUUUAAAUUUGCAGUCAUGUGAUGAGUUGCACCUGAAUCCAAUAUCCAGUUUUCUUCAGCUGUAAAACCAACACUAGAUCCUUCAGUUUGAGUUACAUUGGCUUGAGCUAUCAUAGCUGCAAUCGAUGGUGGUGGUGGAGGAUUUCCCUGAUAUGCAAAGUUGUUUCUGUGAAAGCAUUCAAGAGCUAUAUGCCCCAUUUUUCCACAUAUCUGACAAAUUACAGAACUAGAAUAAUGUGAACCUCCACUCUCAGCUCUAUAGUAGCAGUGUGGUGCAGUGUGUCCCCUUCUCAAACAUAUUUGGCAUUCAGGUGAUACUGAGUACUUAAAGUUGGUAUUCCCAUUCCAAUUGGACUUAUAAUUGCCAUGGCCAGCAGAUGAAUUAGUUGAGGUGAAACCAUUACUUGCAGAUUCAUAUCAUGCAACACUCUUACCACUUCCAGAGUAACCAUUAUUCCCAUUUUUGUUAUUAGAUCCGGAUGAAAACCUGGAAUUGUGAUUCCCACCUCCAAAUUUUCUAUUAUUAAAAUUUCCUCUCUGUGGAGACUGAAAACCUCUACUACCAUUACCAUUUCCAAUUCCUGAAAAACCAUUUCCUCCUUGAAAAUUGCUACCAAACUGAUCAUUAAAACCAUUUCCUCUCUGAAAGUUGUUACCGAAUUGAUCAUUACUGAGACUAACCUGAGACCUCUGAGAAUUGGAACUCUCACCAUGUUCAUACCCUUGAAAGCCUUUUAAACCUAAUCCUUCACCUUGAACAACCAUGGCAGACAUAGAACUAGAUAAAGAAUGCAUUCUAGAUUCAAUACUGCCUUCUGCUACAAGCAAUUGUGCUCGAAAAUCUUUGAUAGACAUAGGAGAAUCUCUUGCCAAUAUGACUGUCUUAAUCAUCUCAAAGUUAGCAGGCAAACCAGAAAGAACAGCAAUGAUGAAAUCAUUAUCAGUAACCUUUUCUCCUGCAGAUACCAAUUGAUCCCUUAUCCUUUUUAGUCUCAUUAAGAAUUUAUCAACCGAAUCACCACCUUUCUGAGCAGUAUGCAAUUCAGUUUUAAGUUGAUUCACACGAACCAUUGAGACAAAGGCAAAUCUUUCUUGCAAACAUUUCCAAGCUUCAUAAGAUGUUUUACAUCCAAUCACAUGUUUCAUAGCAUCAUCCGAAAGAGUUGCAAUUAGCAAACUUAACAAAGCUAGAUCAUUUUUUUCACCCAAUCUUUGUAAGCAGCAUUAAUUUCAUUUGUGACCCCAGAUUUUGUAUCAAUCACAUACUUAGGUGGACAUGGUGCUUCUCCAGUGAAGAAAUCAAACAAAUCAUACCCCCUCAACACAGAUGAAAAUUGAUAACUCCAUUUCACAAAAUUAUCAUCUUGCAACUUUACUGUCAACAUCCCUAACAUAUUCACAAUUCUAACAUUAGAUUCAGCCAUCUUCACACACUAAAGAUUAUCAAAAGUACAACCCAAGAUUUCAAACAACAAGUUGUAUAACCACAGAAAUCAAGAAAUACACCUUUCUUAGGCAAUCAGCCUUUAAUGAAGAAAGAGAACAGAAUUGCACAAGAACUACACUCUGGUAAUCGGCCUUAAUGGAGUUGCACCCAAUAACAACAAACAACAAACUUCGCAAGAAAGUUACUCCGGCUAUCGGCCUUAUGGAGGAAACUAACAGUUUACACCGAGAUAAUGGCUUCGGCCUUAUAUCUCAAAUCAAGAUUGCAGAAAGAUGGCAUCAGCCUUGUUUACUUUCGCACAAAAUUCAACAAACCCAGAAGAAAUAACCUUGAGACAUUUUCACAAACAGAUAGAGUGCAGAAAACAUACUGUACUUUCAAGAAACACCAAGCCUCCGACUGAACGCACAACACUGAUUAAGCCUCACGAAUUCGAGACUGUCACCAAGAAAGAUCUCCGGCAACAACCACCAUGAGCAGAAGAUGAUAGCCACCAAGGAACGUACACGGCGAUGAUACCAUGUUAACGUAUACUGAAAUCCGAAUAUGUAGUGAAUACUCGAACAAGAAAAUGAGAAGAAAGAAGAGUUCUAGAGAGAGAAACUUAUGUAUUGAUCUGACUUGAAGAUUACAGUAAUUCCAUUACAUCUUAUAUAGUUUGCACUACUUACAUCAGUAAGUAUAUCAGUUAGUUAUAACAGCUCUAACCAACAUAACCACCAAUAGUCUAUUAGCUAAGCUGAUGUGGCAUUGCUAGCUGUUAUUAUUGUCAACAAUAUAUACAUUACACACACAGAAAUUGAAUCAUAUUGUGAGACUCAAGUCUUAUUUGACGUGAAAUGUUUCCGAGCUAUGUUUAUUUAAUUAAUUAAGACAUCUCUAAAACUAAUUAAGACUUCUCUAAUCAGUGACGGAUUCAGGAUUUUAAACUCGAGGGGUCUCAUUAAUAAAGGUCAAAAAAUUUAUAGACAAAAUUAACAUUGAAAAGUUAAAUAUAAUAUAUUUCAUUCAAAAAUCAUACGCAAAACAAUAUUACAAGCUAUAAAAUCCUAAUUCAAGCGUCCCCAACAGGGUUUUAUAGUCUAAAAUAUUCUAUGAUAGCUUCAUUACCAAUACAUGAAAAACAUCUUUCUCAAUGUAAACAACUAAGCUGUCACUCAACCAUCUUUCUCAAUGAACAAAUAGAUGGUGCUAUUGGUUUUGGCUUGAAAAAUCUCUUCAUAUUUUUUAUUUCUAAACUACACAUUUAACAAAAAAAAAAAAAAACACAAACCAUAUACCAAUUAACAAACAUAUCAAAUGAGUAUACAAACAUAUCAACAAACAUAUCAACAAUCAUAUCAACAAUCAUAUCAACAAUCAUAUCAAUAAUAGACUAAACGUCUCGAUCAAUAUCUAAUAUAAUUUAAUUAAGAUUAGAUCAUAAUACUAAACAAUUUACUUGACUUUUGAACCAAAUGGUGGUGGCCUGGAUAUUUGAAACAAGUGAAUGUAUGAUUUUGGAGUAAUAAAAUUAUAAUAUGGGAUUGGAUGGAAUUUAGAAUUUUAGGGUUUUGAAAUCUGGGGAGCUGGGGAUUGGAAUUUGGGUGAAUAUGUUAAAGUUGGGCAUUGGGGGAAGCAUAUGAGCGGGGAAUGGUGGGACUGUGGGGAUAGGUGUGGGUUGGGAUUUAAAACAAUAUGGACAAACGACAUACCUUGUUUUAGGCCAAUUGUUAAAAAGGGUCAUAUAUUCUUUCUUCUCCUCGAGCGAUUGUCUUCUCCGAAAAGAAGACGCCACUGCAACUUGCAACCUGCACAUCAUAGACCUCGUGUUCGAGUACGAAACGUCCCCGAAAAAUUUCUAGCAGCGAUUUAGGGUCGUCGAGGGGUCCUAGGACCUUCUAGGUCCCUCUGUAGAUCCGUUACUGUCUCUAAUUCACUAGCCAAAGCUUAGUAUUGUCUUUUCUCUUAGUUUUAUUAUAGAACAAAAUUGAAUAAGAAUAAGUCAUGAUGUCCAGAACGGCUAUCUCUAUUAUAAAAAAAUUAUCGUCAGUGAAAUUUGAACUCAUAAUACCACAUACUUAUUCUUCAGUUAUAGCACGAAAAAAAAUAAAAGAUCUCAGUCCUCGAAAUGAGGGAUUAGGGUUUUGGAAAGUCAAUGCAUCGUUUCGUCUUCUAGGGUUUGGGUUUGCACAGAAGACGAUUGCACGGGGUAGAAAGCAAGUGUGAGUAGGGUUUUGGGUUUGGCUUCUGCGUGCAUUGGCUGGCUUUAGGACUUCUAAUGUUUAACGGUGUCUCGGAAAAUAUGGGUGAACCAGACUUGAUUGGUAACAUGGAGGAACUAGGGAUUAAGUUAGGGUCCAAUCUAAAGCUGUCAGAGAAUGAGCGGAAGGGGAUUGGAAGGAAGGAUUUUGAAGAGGCUCUGAUUGGUUUUCAUUUUUGUGCUGUCGCUGAGGUUCUCACAAAAAAUGAGGUGCAUAAGGAUGCGUUUAUUGAUAGAUUUACCUCCCUAUGGAGAGAUAAGAGCGGGGUCUCAAUCAAGGAUGCCCAGUUUGAAACUGAACAAGACAUGGUUUGUGUGAUAGAUGCUGACCAACCAUGGACGUUCAAGAAAGACCUAGUAUUGGAAGUAGGGUUCAAUGUUGGAAGAAUAAUGCAAGAAGGGUCCGUAGGGUUCAAAGGGUCCGUAGGGUUCAAUGAUAAUGCAACCAUUUGUUUAAGUUCUUUGAUAGAUAACAGCUCAUCCUAGUGCUAUGUUAGCUGGUUGUUAUUCCACCAUCUUUGUAAAGCUAAUUAGUAGUUUAAGUUAGAGAGAGUGGAGGACACAAUGAUGCUUUGUUUAGCUGCCAGGAAGGUCACAAUGAUGCUGCCAUUGCUGCCAUUAUUCUCCUCCUUUCCAGCUCCACUCUCCUGCCCGUUUUCUUUUCAUAUAUAUGUUGUCCUUGUAGCUGGUUCUUUAUUAUGAAAUAUACAUUAAAAUCAAUACCUAGUCAUGGUGGCGGAUAUGACUCAGAUAGGUAAGAAUCGAUGAAAGCCUCUCACUCUUGGUUCUUUUUUGGUGUAACUUUAUAACAUUCAUCCUCUAAGUGUGACCAGGGUGCUCGCACAAGCCAUUGGAGGAUUGUUGGGUACGAUUCUGAGAGUGGACAAAAAUGUGAGUAAGGAGUGCAUUGGCAGAUUUCUAAGGGUCAAAGUCCAUUUUAACGUUAAGGAACCACUGAUGCGAUGAACGUUCGUACAAUUUCCCUAUGAGGGGAUGAUCUAGUUGGACUUUAAAUAUGAGUGUCUUCGAAACUACUGCCUAAUUUAUGGUCUCCUAGGGCACCUAUCUAGGGUUUGCAAAGAUCACAUGGAAGGGGCUGGCGUAGGGGUAGGCAACAGGAUGAAUGGGGAAGACAACUAUACUUUUAAGGAUCUUGAUACGGUGACCAACUUGCAAGGCAACCUGAUUCGUCUUGUUAAUCAUAAAGCUUUGAGGUCGGGGGAAAGUAGAGGUAAGAGGAGCGUAAUAAUGCAACAAAAAAGCGGGGAGACUGGAAGUAUUAAAAUUGGGAGCGAGGGGGAGAUUUCAAGUAUGACACUACUACAAUAUUAGCUUUAGGUGGCGGAUGAUGGUGGCGGAUAUUAAAAAAUCCUGUCGGAUAAAUUAUAUCCGACACAUCAUUUAAUUACUGGCGGAUAUUAGAAAAAUACUGUCGGUUCUAUCCGACAUAAAUUUCUGGCGGAUAUUUACUGGCGGAUAUUUACUGGCGGAAUUUUUGAAUCUUUUUUUUUUAAUAUUUUUUACAUAUCCUGGCGGUUUUUACCUUAAUAGUGGCGGUUAUAACCGACAGAAAUUGAUUAUUUUAUUAUUUUACUUUAUGGCGGUUAUUAUUUUAGUAUUCUGACGGUUAUAACCGACAUAGAUGAAAAUUUUAUUAUUUUAAAAUGUUAUAUUGAUUAAAAAUAAAUAAACACAUGUUUUAAAUAUUAUAUUUUUUGCGAUUUUUUACACAUGCUAUCUCAUAGUAUAUACGAACAUAUUUGACGAAUGCAUAUCCUAUCAAAUUGAUAGAUUUAACAAACAUUUAAGAGUUAAUGUUAUGCUUCCAUUAUUUAUAAAAUAAGAUUUAUCCACUAGUGUGAAUAUUUUAAAUUGAAGAUUGAAUUCAUUCAUUGCAUUCUUAAAGGAUCAAGGAGUGUAGCUGCAAAAAAUCAUCAAAAUCGGAGCUAAAAUAACCGUUAAAUUGUGAUAUUUCCUUUAUAACUGUUGAAAACUUUUGUUUUGUUACCUAAUCUCUGAACGUUUGCUUUUUGUGAUUUUUUACGUAUGUGAUCUUGGAGUGUUUACAAACAAGUUUGAUGGAUAGAUCAUUGAAAAAAGUUUCGUAGAAUGUGUAUUGCGUCAAAAUGGUAGAUUAAACAAACACUUAGAGUUAAUGUUAUACUUCCAUUAAGUAUAAAAUAAGAUUUAUCCACUAGUGUAAAUAUUUUAAAUUGAAGAUCGAAUUCGUUCAAUGCAUUCUUAUAGGGUCGAGGAGUGUGGCUGUAAAAAAUCAUCAAAAUCGGAGCUAAAGUAACCGUUAAAUUGUGAUUUUUCGUUUAUAACCGUUGAAAACUUUUGUUUUGUUACCUAAUCUCUUAAUGUUUGUUUUUUGUGAUUUUUUACGUAUGCGAUCUCGGAGUGUGUACAAACAAGUUUGAUGGUUGGAUCGUUGAAAAACGCUUCGUAGAAUGCGUAUCGCAUCAAAACGGUAGAUUAAACAAACACUUAGAGUUAAUGUUAUACUUCCAUUAAGUAUAAAAUAAGAUUUAUCCACUAGUGUAAAUAUUUUAAAUUGAAGAUCGAAUUUGUUCAAUGCAUUCUUAUAGGGUCGAGGAGUGUUGCUGUAAAAAAUCAUCAAAAUCGGAGCUAAAGUAACCGUUAAAUUGUGAUUUUUCGUUUAUAACUGUUGAAAACUUUUCUUUUGUUACCUAAUCUCUUAAUGUUUGUUUUUUGUGAUUUUUUUACAUAUACGAUCUCGGAGUGUGUACAAACAAGUUUGACGGUUGGAUCGUUGAAAAACGCUUCGUAGAAUGCGUAUCGCAUCAAAACGGUAGAUUAAACAAACAUUUAGAGUUAAUGUUAUACUUCCAUUAAGUAUAAAAUAAGAUUUAUCCACUAGUGUAAAUAUUUUAAAUUGAAGAUCGAAUUCGUUCAAUGCAUUCUUAUAGGGUCGAGGAGUGUAGCUGUAAAAAAUCAUCAAAAUCGGAGCUAAAGUAACCGUUAAAUUGUGAUUUUUCGUUUAUAACCGUUGAAAACUUUUGUUUUGUUACCUAAUCUCUUAAUGUUUUUGUGAACACGGAAAAUUCCUGAAACGAAAGAGACAAGAACAACGUGCACAAACAAAUAUUUGUAUUUGAUGAUUUUGGGUUACAAUCUCUCUCUAAUUUGAUCAUCUGAUUCGAUCUCCGUAAGGUGUUGAUUUGUGGGUGUUUCGUUGAUCCAAGGGCCGUCGAGGCUUGAUCUUGGAUGAACAGUUGGAAGUUUCUUCAAAGGGCCGUGGGCUUGAUCUUUGAAGGUGGAUUUGAGCGGAUCUUCAAGGAGCCGUUGGAGCUUGAUCUUGAGGAUGAAUGUUUCUUCAAGGGCCAUUUGAGGCUUGAUCUUGAAUAACGGUGAUGAGCGGAUCUUCAAGGGCUUUUGGGCUUGAUCUUGAAGAACGGUUGGAUGUGUGGAUUUGUCGACGUUUGUUGAUCCAAAGGACCGUUGGGGCUUGAUCUUGGAUGAACGGAUGAUGAAUGAUGGUGCUUUCUUCAAGGGCCGUCGGGGCUUGAUCUUGAAAGAGCGAUGAACGAAGAACGGAGAACGAAGAACACUUUCUUCAAGGGUCGUCGGGGCUUGAUCUUGAAUUGGUGGAUGAUUGUUGAUCCAAAGGGCCGUUGGGGCUUGAUCUUGGAAGAACGAUGAACGAAGAACGAAGAACACUUUCUUGAUUCUUCGGGAACCUGGAUGCUUGAGAGCUUCAGAGCUUCAAGGUAUAAUAUGAAUUGGUUGAUCAAAUGAAUGAAAUGGGCUUGUAUUUAUAGAAUUUUCCAAGGCCUAAUUUUGAAUAUAAUAUCCCAGAUGAAAUAAGUCGUUUCUGUCAGGUGUUGACACGUUUCCUAUUUGAUGACUUUUCCAACUCAUUUCAAUUUUCGUUGAGUCACACGCUACGUGUAAAAUUUAUGUAAUACAUGAGCGUUGACACUUUGAUUUAUUGGUCAACAUUUAUUUACCGAAAUUUCGAUGUCUACAAAUGCCCCCACUUCAAGUCGCGUCGUGUACAUGUGCUUGUCUCGUGUAGAAGAUGCGUUUUGAAGUCCCUUACUGUAGACGUCGAUCCAAGGGCCGUCGAGGCUUGAUCUUGAAUUAGGCUGGAGAUUUCUUCAAGGGCCGUUGAGGCUUGAUCUUGAAUUGGGCUUGAGAUUUCUUCUAGGGCCGUUGAGGCUUGUUUUUGAACUUUUGUUUGAAAUUUCUUCAAGGGCCGUUGAGGCUUGAUCUCGAAGGUUGAAAUUGGACCACAAGGAGCUUCAUGUGGUAGAUGAUCUUUGGCUUUGGUAGUGGGUGAAUCGGCACGUAUUUUGUUGCGCUUGUUGACUUUCCACAGCUUUGAUCUUGAACUGGGUUGGAGGAUUUUCCUCCAAUUGUUGAUUUUCCACAGCUUAUUCUUGAACUAGGUUUUGAUUCAAGGGUGGUAGACACUUAAUCUUGAAUCGGACUUGUGAUUUCCUCAAGGGCCGUCGAGGCUUGAUCUUGAAUUUGGCUGGAAACUUCUUCAAGGGCCGUUGAGGCUUGAUUCUUGAAGGUUGACUCGAACAUAUGGCAAGCAGGCACGAGGUGAAGGUGACGACCUAUUUCUUUGUUCAAUCUUUCUAAUUCACACAUAAGCAGUUUGGUCAACGGUAUGAUCUUCAAGAUUGAUGAACUCUUCUUCUAGUUGGUGACUUGAUCUUUAAGGAUUUGAUUCAAGGGUGGUGAAUCGGCACGUGCAGCCCACAACGCCUAGUAAGUCGACCCAAGAAUUUGAGGGUCAAAUCGAGUUCUUCAUCUCAGACUCUUUCUGCCGAGUUGACUGUGCAUGCUGCAUUCUUCUCUGCUUGUUUCUUCAGGCAGAUGUGGCAGCUUCUCGAGUUCUUCAGCUCGGACUCCUUCUGCUGAGUUGACUGUGCAGACUGCAUUCUUCUCUGUUUGUUUCUUCAGGCAGAUGUGGCAGCUUCUCGAGUUCUUCAGCUCGGACUCCUUCUGCUGAGUUGACUGUGCAGACCGCAUUCUUCUCUGCUUGUUCCUUCUGCACCUUGUCUCCACAUGCUGCAAGGUAUCAUUUUCACUUGCCUUAUUUGUUCUCCAGGCAGAUGUGGCAGCUUCUUUGAAAGUACAGCAGCAGUGGAAGACGAGUACUCGAGAGCAGUGCUAGGUAGGCAAUCAGGGAAGGGUUCCAAGCAGUCGGUUCCUUACCCGAGUUUGAGUGGAGGUUCCGGCAUAUUGCUUUCUUUAUCCUUGUCUUUGCAGGUAUGAAUAAGGACAAAGGAAAGGACAGGAAGAACGCAUGAUAUGAGAUACUCUUUCUUUCUACCCUAGUGAUAUGAGAUACUUUUUCUUUGGAGUCAUUGGCUUGCAGAGGUACCCCAAGGAAUAAGGAACACUGAAUAACUCGAGAGGUUUCGUUGGGAAAGCAUUUUUGGAGAUGAAGAAAGGCUCUGUAUGUCUGCCUUGCUAUGGAAGGUGAAGGUGGACAGUUAUAGGCGGUCCCUUAAUACCUGUAGAGGUACUAUUCUUUCACUUGUGUCGGCAACUAACGCGUGAUUGAACAGUAAACUUUCACGUGCUUUCUCCUUCACCGAAAAUCUUCGACAAAUUGCCCGUGAUUUGCGCAAAGUUGAGUGUGCAUAUGACAGGUGAUAACGCGGCUGAAAAAGACUGGCGCCUCUUCGAUAUCUGGGAUCGGCGCUUCGACAAAUUACCCGUGAUUUCCGCAAAGCUGAGUUUGCGUGUGACGGGUGCCGACGGGUCUGGAAAAGCAAGAUGCUUCUCCGAUUUCCGAGCUUGCCUCUUAGAUUUUUGAAUGGCCUCUUCGAAUUUUGAGCUUGUCAAGUGCUGAUUUUUUAUAGAGGCAUGCAGUUCGUUUCAAAGCACACUUGAAUUUUCGCUUGUGAAAACUCCCUUCUUGCACUUCUAAGAUCUUGAUUUGUCCGAUCUCUUCUUUCUUUAACACUUUGAAAAUGUCUGGACCCUCCGACCGUCGUUUUGACUUGAACCUUGGUGAAGAGGCAAUCCCGCCUUCUCCAGACAACAUAUGGCGCCCAUCCUUCAUAUCCCCUACUGGUCCUCUUACCGUUGGGGAUUCGGUGGUGAAGAAUGAUAUGACCGCUGCUGUGGUGGCCCGAAACCUUGUCACUCCCAGAGAUAACAGACUACUUUCCAAAUGGUCUGAUGAGUUGGCUGUUAAGGAUUCUCUGGCUCUCAGUGUGCAGUGUGCAGGUUCUGUGUCUAAUAUGGCCCAACGCCUAUUUGCUCGAACCCGUCAAGUUGAAUCAUUGGCGGCGGAAGUGACGAGUCUUAAACAGGAGAUUAGAGGGCUCAAGCAGGAGAAUAAACAGUUGCAUAAGCUCGCACAUAGCUAUGCGACAAACAUGAAGAGGAAGAUUGACCAGAUGCAGGAAUCUGAUGGUCAGAUUUUACUUGAUUAUCAGAGAUUUGUGGGUUUGUUCCAGCAGCAUUUGCCUUCGUCUUCUGGGGCUGUACCGCGUAAUGAAGCUCCAGAUGAUCAACCUCCGGCUCCUCUUCUUCCUGGAGUUUCGCCGAGUGAUAAGGCGCCACCUGAUCAUCCUUGAAGAUCCCCUCCUGUAAAUUUGAUUUGACUUUUUUUUUUUUUUUUACUGAUGUAAAAUGUACAUUUUUUGUAAAUUUUCAAAGAAAUCAAUAGAUGAGCCUUAUUUCAUUUUUUAUGUGUGUGUAUAUAUAUAUAAAUUGUUUUUUUCUUUAAUCAUGGUGCACCCAUUUUCUUCACAUGGUGCCAGACGCACCAAAGAUCAAAAACUUAUUAUUAUUAUUAUUUUUUUUUAAUUUUAUUUUAUUAUUAUUAUUUUUUUUUAUUAUAUAUAUAUAUAUAUAUAUAUAUAUAUAUUUUGCCUUUAAUUAUGGUGCCAGAUGCACCCUUCCCCCUUUUUUUCAUAUGGUGCCCGACGCACCAUGCAUUUUUAUUAUUUUAUUUUAUUUUAUUUUUUUCUUUUAUCAUGGUGCAGUGUUCCACCAUAUAUAUUUUUUUAUUAUUUUUUGUUUGUAUAAAUUUGGAUGACGGGAUGGGGAAUUUGCAGGGAGCGGAGCAAGGAGGCCGAGAAGAUGGUUGUUUGGCAGAAAAUGCGAGGCAAGAGACGGAGGAUGAGGGGCUGUACAUGCCGCUGAAGCUGAUGGGCAGAAAGAGAAAGUGAGCACAGCCACCGAGCACAGCUACGGAGCACAACCACCGAGCACAGCCAACGGACCCCACCUCGUUAAUUCCCAGGGCUCCCCUAAAGACAAACUUGCUCCACGCCGCCGUCCUCGUCUUUCCUCUCUGCCCAAAGAGAGCGCCAUCAACCUCCAAUCGUCGCAACCACCAUUCUCGAGCUUUUCGACUCCAGCUGGCCUCUCCACCUUCACCGCCGCAUCGGCGUCAGUGACAGCGGCAUCACCUUUCCCGUCUAUCUCAGACCUUCAUCUUCACCCAACCGACCAAGUUAGUGUCCCCAAAAUUUUUUCUUGUCUGUUGGGGUAGAAGACGUAGAUGAGGAAGUUGACUUUGAAGGCCUGUGUUUCGGACUCUUGGAACUAACUGGUGAUUUUAAGAGUACGCCUGCCUCUGCGUCCGAUGGGCAUGCAGAGUUAUACAAGUUGAUGGGAGAUUCGCUGCCCGCUAUUUGCUUUGUUCUCUGUGUUAUGUUCCUUAGAAAUGGGAUGAGCGAAAAAGGCCCAUCGAGUAUGUAAGUAGAUGCAACAAACACCCCCCCAGGUCGCAGGACUCGACUAAUUUCAGCAACAGCUGUUGAUGGUGAAGGCCAACAAUGUAUGGCAGCACCAGCAUGCACUGCAUCCACAGAACCAGUAGCAAACGGAAGCCGAGAAAUAUCAGCUCUGACCAGGAUCAUGUUCUCUUUGGGGAAGUUCUCCUCCUGCUGAAUGAAUCCAUAACACUCCUUCAACAUGUUCUCCGAGUAGUCCAAAGCAACAACAAGAGAAAACAAUCCACUCUUAGCGAAAAGUCUAGAAAACAUCCCACUCCCACAACUUGCAUCAAUGAUAUUUCCACCACCCAAGACUGGCUUUAAGAAAUCCUUAAUCAACUCAAACUCUUUCUCUGGGCCAGGAAAUCCACCCCAUACAGUAAAGCUUUGACGCCAGCCCCUCUCAUAGAGGUACGAUACCAAUGGAGUCCUAAAUAUUUCUGUGGUAACGGGCAUUGAUUCACCAUAGUCCUUGGUGCCGCUUGCUGUUGUCAGGUCAAUAUGUGUUUCGUUGCCAAAGUAUGUCUUCUUACAAGUGCCACAUUGAAAACUAGACCCAGAAGCAGACUCAACAGAUAAGCCCGGAUCACCGGAACUUGAAAAUGGAUCGUAGCAUAUCGGACAAGCUAAAAUGUUGUUGCUGCUGAUGCCACCAUUUUGCACCACAAUUGGUUCGGUUGGCUCGACUUCGACGACGGCACCCGAAGCAGCAGCUCGAACUUUGAUUGCCGCCGCGAAACAGCACUUGAAAACCCGUGAAGCAGCAGAAGUCCUGAGCUUGAGAAGACAAGGCCUUGAAUUACCGAGUUGACUCAGAAGAAACGGGGAGCAAAGGUUGCCGACCACCGUCUCCAUGAUCGCUCUAUUUUGGUGUGUGGUUCAGGCGGCUGUUGCCGGAGUUGGAUUUCAGGAGAAGGAGGAGGAGGAGCGUUUGCAGAUGGCGGAGGGAGGCCUUCAAACAGGUCGUCAGCCAUGUCCCUCUCCCUCUCGAUCGAACUGGCUCGGAGUUGAGAUUAACGCUCUGGAGGAAAUCGGGGAGCUGGAACAGCGGGCUCGGACGCAGGAGAUGUAGCGGGUGCUGCGGGAGAGGGUGAUUUUGCCGCCGCCGUUGGGGCCGACGAUAAAGCUUUGCAAGGACCAUCACACCGCGCGCCACGAAGCACGAUUGCUGCCCCGUCGAUUUGAUCUCCGAACCCUAACCCUGGGAUAGAGACAGUAGACUUGCGGUUAGUGCAUUUGAAAGCUGGGCCUAGGACUGGAUUUGGGUCUCUGCUUUUCUGGAACUUUGAGGAUUGAAGUGGUGGAAUGGAGGCCAUCGCCAAAGCCCAAUGUACAAGAGUUUAUGUCUCGGGCCUUGAGGUCCACCUGCUAGUCUUGAUUUUUUUUAUUUUUUUUAUUUUUAAACAAAAUAAAUUUGCAAUGAAAUUGACCCUCAUCAAUGAAACUUUAAUCAAACCUCUUUUUUUUUUUUUUUUUGAAGAAGAAGAACAUAUAUAUAUAUAUAUAUACACACACACACACCUUAUUUAUCUAUUAUUAUUAUUAUUUUUUGAAAUUACAAAGAACUAUUUAUUGUUACCUUUGUAAUAAAAUUGACUUUUUUUAAUAAAACAUUUAUUUAUAUUUUGAUGUGACUGAACUCGAAAUUUUGAAUAUUCAAGCUGCCUACGUACCCCUCCAAAGAAGAGAUCAAGUCGUAACGUAGUUCAAAUACAUAUUUUUUUUGGAUUUUCUUUUUUUUUGUGCCAUUUGCAGUUUCAGCUCAUGCAGGCAAGAAGCGAUUUCGUGUUGCCUUUUAUGCUCGUGCAGACCAGGAGCGUUGAUGUUGCCUUUUAUGCUCGUGCAGACCAGGAGCGUUGUGCCAUGCAGUUUAGGCUCGUGCAGGCGAGGAGCCUUGUGUCUUGCAGUUUAGGCUCUUACAGACAAGGAGCUUUGGUUCGUGCAGUUUAGGCUCGUGCGAACAAGGAGCAUGGUUCGUCAAGCGAUCUGAGAGAGUCGUUCCUCGCAAUCUUCGUAGCAAGGAGCCUUGACUGAGUAGUUGAAGAAGUCUUCUGGGAAGAUGUCACGCAUCGUGAUGGGGAUAGAUGAUCUUCGUGUCAAAGUUUCAUUAUCUCCAACACUUUCACAUUGUUCUAGAGGUGAACAUGAACUGUUUUUCCCCCUUUCCCAUUGGUGAGCUUGUGGAGAAGACAUAUGCUUCUUGUGCAAUUUCUUCAGAGUGACAUAAGUUCAUCCUUCAACUUCACUCGGCUUGACUGGCAUGUUUUUGGAGCAUGCCCCCAGUGAUUGAGGUGAAAAUUUUGAGUUGACAGAGCCGGAAGUGACGUCUUUUUCCAGGAUUUCGUCUUCUUUGUCUUCUUGGGCCUUCUCUUCAGUGUGGCCUUCUUGGGUUUGUUGCCGUGAAGAUUGGCCGGUGUAGAUGAUGGUGCGCCUCCUUACCUUCAGUGGUCCUUUUGUGUCGACUUCCAAAGUUGCUUGGCGCUUCAUCCUUGAAGGAAUCAAGCUUUGAACAUCGUCUUUUCCUGCUAGACUGUCGAGCUUCUCUCCCUUUGGCGUUGUCUUCCUGUUUCUAGAAGGCUUCUUAGUUUCUUCAAGUCUGUCCAAAGCCGACCGUUGCGGAGGAGAUCUAGCUGUGCCGCUUUGUUUCUUGGGUUUUGAUAACCUUUCAAAGACUGAUCUUUGCGGUGUUGGCGUCUCAAGCCUUUUGAAGACGGAAUUUUGGUCUCGACCACUGAUGCGAUCAAGUGCUGCAAUUCUAGGUUUUGAAUAAUUCAGCCUUUCGAAGACUAAAGUUCUAGGGGCGGGUUUAGGCUCCUCUUUUGGCCUUGUGGCUUGUGGUCUUGGCUUCCUCAUUUUUUUUGUAGGUCACCGAUGUCCACCCUUUCUUAUCACCAGUAGAUGCAUCUUGGUUGCUUGCCCCCGGUGAUGGUUGUGUAGGAGGUGCCAUGUGACUUGAACAUUGACGAGAAUGGUCAUGCAUGCUUCGGAGAUGCACAGGAUCGAGUGAUUCAAACACGAUAGUAGUAGUGUGUGCCGCAACCGUGUCUUUGAGGUCAAGCUCGAUCUCCCCUUGCUGUGCUAGCUUCAGGAUGAGAUCUUUCAGUACGAAGCACUUUUCUGUUGGAUGACUGAUGAAGCGGUGGAAUUUACAGUACCUUGGACUGUCAGUGCGAUUCAUCUCUUCUGGCCGUUUGCACUCAGGCAAACCGAUCACCUUCUUUUCCAGCAAGUCUUCUAACAUAGCAACCACAUCAAAGUCGGGGAAUGGAUAAGUCCUCUCCUCAAGCUCCUUCAAAGUGCGUCUACGCAUCUCUUGAUCACGAAAAGCUUCGGUUUGAAUCGCCUUGCCUCGUGUAGGGAUUUUGACGGGAGCUGUGUUGACCGUCAUUGCUUCCUUGGUGGGUUUCCAUGCAGUCUUCUCCAACUUUGGCCCAAGAACUUUGUCGUUCUUGUAGUUGGCGAUCGGUUCUUUCUUCCCAUGAUGGGCGAUGCUCAACUCCAUGUCAUGGGUGCGAGUGGCCAAUUCCUCGAAAGUCCGUGGUUUAAUGCCUUGAAGGAUGUAUUGCAAACCCCAUUGCAUACCUUGGAUGCACAUCUCGAUUGAAGAGGUUUCCGAGAGCCUGUAUUUACAGUCGAGGCUUAGAGUGCGCCAUCUGUUGAUGUAGUCAAUGAUUGGCUCGUCCUUCCACUGCUUUGUGCUCGUUAGCUCUAGCAUGCUCACAGUGCGGCGGGUGCUGUAGAAGCGGUUGAGGAAUUCCCGCUCUAAUUGCUCCCAGCUGUUGAUGGACUCAGGCUCUAGGUCUAUGUACCACUCAUAGGCGUUUCAUUUCAGCGAGCGCACAAACUGCUUGGCGAGGUAAUCCCUUUCGGUUCCUGCGUUGUUGCAAGUUUCAACGAAGUGGGCAACGUGCUGUUUCGGGUUUCCCUUUCCAUCAAAUUGCAUGAACUUUGGUGGUUGAUAACCCCUCGGCAUCCUUAAGGCGUCGAUCUUAUUUGAAUACGGCUUUGAGUACAACCCGGAGGUAUAUGAGCUCCCUUCGUACUGUGCCUUGAUGGUGUUGGUGAUCAUCUCUUGCAGCUGCUGGAUAGAAAGAGAUCCCAUGAGUGCCGCUGCUUGGUCUGGCUUCGGCUUCACAUCGUUUUUCUCCACCUGAGGCUCAUCUUUUUCGUCAUCUCUUCUCUUUAGUGGAUCAUUCUUUGGGUCGGGGUUCUCGUCGUCCUGUGGCUCCAGUCGGCUGAUGAGUGCAGCGAUUUGCAAGUCUUUUUCUUCAACAAUCCGUGUUAGCCUUGUGAUCGCUUCAUUCAUUUGAGCCAGUUGUUCUUCAACGGAGGUAACGCCGAUAGUCAUGACUUGUGCGACCAAUAGACGUGACUUUCCUUUAGACAUCCAGGAUGCUGAUGAAGAACGUCGUUGGCUGCUUUGGGAUGUCAUCUUGUGUGCCCCAACAUCAUGCUUCGGUGCCCCCAGCGAGGUCAGGUUGAUGACAUACUCACACCUUGGAUGCUCCCCUUGCUCUUUUAGCGGUACCAAUUUUGAAGUGGCAUGUUGAGGAGCGGUUGUGGCGCCAAUGGAUUGUCCGUUUGCGGCAGAAGUGCUUAGGAUCCUUCCCUCCGUGGUUGCAAGAACGGCUUGUCCCUUGCUUGAUGCCAUUGACUUUGAGGUGUGCUUGGAUUCCUUGAACGGAGAAAGAGAUAAGAGGUAGAGAUUGUCCCACUGGGCGUGCCAAUUUGUGAACACGGAAAAUUCCUGGAACGAAAGAGACAAGAACAACGUGCACAAACAAAUAUUUGUAUUUGAUGAUUUUGGGUUACAAUCUCUCUCUAACUUGAUCCUCUGAUUCGAUCUCCGUAAGGUGUUGAUUUGUGGGUGUUUCGUUGAUCCAAGGGCCGUCAAGGCUUGAUCUUGGAUGAACAGUUGGAAGUUUCUUCAAAUGGCCGUGGGCUUGAUCUUUGAAGGUGGAUUUGAGCGGAUCUUCAAGGAGCCGUUGGAGCUUGAUCUUGAGGAUGAAUGUUUCUUCAAGGGCCGUUUGAGGCUUGAUCUUGAAUAACGGUGAUGAGCGGAUCUUCAAGGGCUUUUGGGCUUGAUCUUGAAGAAUGGUUGGAUGUGUGGAUUUGUCGACGUUUGUUGAUCCAAAGGGCCGUUGGGGCUUGAUCUUUUGUUGAUCCAAAGGGCCGUUGGGGCUUGAUCUUGGAUGAACGGAUGAUGAAUGAUGGUGCUUUCUUCAAGGGCCGUCGGGGCUUGAUCUUGAAAGAGCGAUGAACGAAGAACGAAGAACGAAGAACGAAUAACACUUUCUUCAAGGGCCGUCGGGGCUUGAUCUUGAAUUGGUGGAUGAUUGUUGAUCCAAAGGGCCGUUGGGGCUUGAUCUUGGAAGAACGAUGAACGAAGAACGAAGAACACUUUCUUGAUUCUUCGGGUACCUAGAUGCUUAAGAGCUUCGGAGUUUCAGAGCUUCAAAGCUUCAAGGUGUAAUAUGAAUUGGUUGAUCAAAUGAAUGAAAUGGGCUUGUAUUUAUAGAAUUUUCCAAGGCCUAAUUUUGAAUAUAAUAUCUCAGAUGAAAUAAGUCGUUUCUGUCAGGUGUUGACACGUUUCCUAUUUGAUGACUUUUCCAACUCAUUUCAAUUUUCGUUGAGUCACACGCUACGUGUAAAAUUUAUGUAAUACAUGAGCGUUGACACUUUGAUUUAUCGGUCAACAUUUAUUUACCGAAAUUUCGAUGUCUACAGUUUUUUUUUGAUUUUUUACGUAUGCGAUCUCGAAGUGUGUACAAACAAGUUUGACGGUUAGAUCGUUGAAAAACGCUUUGUAGAAUGCGUAUUGCAUCAAAACGGUAGAUUAAACAAACACUUAGAGUUAAUGUUAUACUUCCAUUAAGUAUAAAAUAAGAUUUCCAGUAGUGUAAAUAUUUUAAAUUGAAGAUCGAAUUCGUUCAAUGCAUUCUUAUAGGGUCGAUGAGUGUUGCUGUAAAAAAUCAUCAAAAUCGGAGCUAAAGUAACCGUUAAUUUGUGAUUUUUCGUUUAUAACCGUUGAAAUCUUUUCUUUUGUUACCUAAUCUCUUAAUGUUUGUUUUUUGUGAUUUUUUACGUAUGCGAUCUCGAAGUGUGUACAAACAAGUUUGACGGUUGGAUCGUUGAAAAACGCUUCGUAGAAUGCGUAUCCCAUCAAAACGGUAGAUUAAAUAAACACUUAGAGUUAAUGUUAUACUUCCAUUAAGUAUAAGUGUAAAUAUUUUAAAUCGAAUAUCAAAUUUAUUCAUUAGACAAUAUUUAUUUAUGUUUUUCAAGUAUUGAUUAGACAAUAUUUAGUUUGUGUGAUGACAUUUUAUCGCAUAUUUUACAUGCAUUAUUCUCUAUUAAACCAAAAGUGUAAAAAUUAUCUAUUAAACCAAACAAUUAUUUAUUUAAUUUUUAAAAACAUAUUCUAUUUAAAUACAUAUUAUUUAUUUAUUUAUUAAACCAAACAAUUAUUAUUUUAUUUUUUUAAAUUGUAACAAAAUUUGGGGGGAAAUUAAAAUUUUGAGGGAAAAUUUUAAAAUUUUCGGAAGGAAGUUUGCCGCCAUUUUUUUGUCUGUCGGUUAUAACCGACAGUAAUGGAAUUUUUCUGUCAGUUUUUAUUUUUAAAAAAUGUUUCUGUCGGUUUUAACCGACAGUAAAUAAAAUAACCUAAAUUUUUAAAACCCAUCCAUCUUCCUUGCGCCGAUGCUUCCUGCUUCCCCCUUUCCCUUAUUCUCCUGUCCUCAUUUCCUUCUCCUUCUCCUCUCUUCUUUUCUAUUCUGUUCGAACACUUGCAACCUAUUCCAACCAACAAUUCCACACACACUGUAGAGGGCGUGGACAGAGGGUUGAUGGGAAGGGUUGGGCGUGGACGGAGGGUUAAUGGGAAGGGUAGGAGCUAGAGAGAGGGGGGGUGAGGGGUGGGUUCUGUCCACUGACGUUGGUUGCGGGGAGAGAGAGAGAGAGAGAGAGAGAGAGAGAGAGAUGGGGAAAAGUAUGGGGUUAGGGUUGAGGGGAACGGAACGGGUACAGAGAGAGAGUGAGGAAGGGACAUAGGAGUUAGAGGUAUGGGUUCUGCUGCAUCCUUCCUAUUCGAAAGGUACAUGAAUGGCUUCUCAUCUGAAAUUAUUAAACAUUGGAUUUGCUAUUUUGGUUGCGCAGCUAUGCAGGUGCUCUCUCCAAUCCAUCGAUCAGUUUAGUGCUAGCUGUUAUUGCUGCCUUGGAAAUCAACAAUAUUCCUUCAGCUCCUUGGUUCCUGUCAUUGUGUUUGCAUAUUUUAUAUCCUUUGGUUUCUCAGGUUAUGUACUUAGGUUUGGCGUUGCUUGCUUAUUGUUUUCGUGUUUAUAUUGUAUCAACGACUCUUAGCUUGUUUUGGCUUCUUGCAGGCUUACGGGAUUCUGGAAAUCUGUGUUAUUUUGUUCCUCUCCUCGAACUGAAGAGAUGUUGUUCAUGUUAGCAUGGAUGUUUGUCUAGUCUCCUCACAUAAUGAAAUGAUGUGCUUGACAUGAAUAAGGGUACUUGAUACAACCAUUUUUUCCGAUUUUGUUUGGCCAAGAAUGUAUCUGUAUAAAAUCCAAAUGCAACCGCAGUUGGGUGAUGGAUUACAUUAUCGCUCGUUUCUUUAACUUCUAAGAUUUCUACCUGCGAUAAUUUUGCGAUAUCUUGUCUGUCAUUGUGAUUUUCUUUCCCUGAUUGCAACCAUACGAAGACUUAGGUUGAGGAUUUAGAACGAAUAUUAGCAAGCUUCUCUUAUCUAUAUUGUUAAUUUGUUAUAGCCUAGAAAGGAUGAUCAUGACCCUCCCUGACAGUCACCGGUGAGAUCGAGCUCCGGCGAGGUUGGAUGGUGAAUGCGGGGAUAUGGAAAAUGCAGAAAGUGAUUUUAUUUUUUUUAUUAUUAAUAUAAGUCCUGUCGGUUUUAUCCGACAGUAAAUGAUUUUAUUUAUUAUUUUUAAUUAAUUUUUGUCGGUUUUAGCCGACAGUAAAUGGUUUUAUUUAUUCAUUUUUAAUUAAUUUCUGUCGGAUGGUUUAAUGAUUUUCUGUCGGUUUUAUCCGACAGAAAUAUUUCUGUCGGUUAUAUCCGACACAAUUUCUGUCGGUUUUAGAGUAGUUUCUGUCGGAAAAUUAAUUUCCUGACGCAAACAAUUCUGUCGCUUAUUAUAUCCGCCACUGCAUCCAUUUUCUGUCGGAUUUUGCUUAAAAUCCGACAAUAAUAUAUGUUUUUUGUCGGUUUUCAAAACGCCACUAAUAACUGGUUUUCUAGUAGUGUGAGUGGCGUCCAUUGCCAUGAAUAUCAUCGAGGGGUUAGUUGAAGUGGUGAUGGGAAGGUGGAGGUUGAUGGGGAUGGUGAAAUGGUAGAUACAACAAGCUUGCCAGUGAAAAAGAAAUUUGUUAAUGAGACAGAAAGUACAAGGUUAACACUAACGGAAAAGAUUCGGGCAAGAAAAAAGCGAGAGGGAUAGGAGAGAAUGGCAAGGGAGAAAGCCUUCGAUGAGAGGUUGAUUAGGCUGGGAGGAACGGUGGCGCUGGGGGUUGAAAUGUGGUGCUACUUAGUUUAGAGGAGGUGGAGAAAGGAAUUACAAAAGUGUUGGUGCCCGAGAAAUUUGGUGUGGUGAUUGACCUAAAUCUCAUGCCGAUGGAAGAUGAUCUAAUAACUGGUGAUAAGAGGGCUAUUCAUGUUCCUAUGGAAAAGUUGAAUAGAGUGAGGGAGGAGCUACCUGAGGCUCAGGAGUUGGUUUCGAUGUUUGGAACCCAAGAUUCUGAUCUUUUUAAUUUGGGACCAAUUAUUGAGGCCAUCUCUCAGGAGAGAAAGGCAAAUAAGCAGGUAUUAAUAGAGGUAGAAGGGUUCGAAGAUGUAAUGGCAACGAAGUCCAGGAGCAUUAGACGUCGAUCGUCCAAUGAUAUUACUGAGGCGGAGGAGACCAGCCUUGAGGGGUCUCCCAAGUCCCCAUGAAUCUAAUAGCAUGGAACUGUCAGGGUAUUGGGGGUGACCUGAUAGUUAACAAAUUGUUGGAGCAAAAUAGGCUCCAUAACCCCUACAUAGUGAUCUUGCUAGAAACAAAGAAUAAAAGUAGGCAUUAUGGGAGUUUAUGCAUGUCAUGCCCCAACCCAAGGAUUAACGUAAACCUUGGUUUAGAACGUGAAUCACACCUUAAUUAUAAGCUUAACUAAUAUAAUUAAGAAUGUGACAUGAAAUAAAAGCAUGUAUAACUCGCUUGGAAUAAAAUUAACUGAAUAACAGAUUCAUUAUUGAAAGUUUCAGCCAAAUUUACAACUUAUGAACUACUGAAAGUUCACACAAAGUAGUUCUUUAUUCAAACAAGAGAGCAAAAGCCAACAAGCUCAUCUUUUUAUUUCUCCUACAUAAUUACACAACAGACAGCAAGUAGACUUUUAGGUUUCUGGUUCUGUACCUGCAAAAUUUCAUUAGGGUGAGCUUAAAAAGCUCAGUAGGGGCAUAUACCUGAUGCGUAAAAUAAGUUAACACACAAAAUUAAACCCUCUUUUUAUCAAAUGUAGUAAAGUAUGUAAGUAGGGAUCGUUCUAGGCCGGGGAUUAGGAGGGAUUGCUAAACCCUUGAAAACUGACUUAAAAACAUAAAAACAAAAUUUAAAACACUAAACUAGACUCAAAGAAUGCAAAACUAUACUUUAAAAUACUUAAACAAACAUAAAACUCAAAACAGCAACCUAAUGACUCAAAACUGCCUAAAAACCACUUUCUGGGCAGUUUUGAGAACCUAACAAGAACUUGGACAAAGUUGGAUGAAAACUUGAAUCAAAACACUUAGAAACACAAAUCAAAACACUUUCUAACUAAUCUAAGACUUCAAAAUAAAGGGGGAUUUGUUUUGGACGAAAAUUGAAAACAAAACAGAAACUUUAAAACAAAACAGAUUGUAAAACGUUUUUGGAUGAAAAUGAUGGAUAAAAGGCUAGUUAGGAGGUUCUUCUCCACACAUGACACACUUGCAAACAAAAUGAUUUUCAGUUGUUCUUUCAAUAAAUUAUGAAACUCAACACCCCAAGUUAAUUAGAUACGCUUAAAUUAACCUUCAAGUUCUCCUUAAGUUAAUGAAUUGGAUGGAAAAGCGCAUACAACAAUUCAAAGCAUUCCUCAAAGGUUCCUUACGUGAUGAGCACAAUAAAGAUACAAUCAAGAAUCAUGAAGCACAAUGAGAACUAUAAGUGUUGACGAGGCAUUCGUUACUAUGAUGAGCAUGAAACUAGUGCCAAGAAUUCAUUCAACGCGAUCGUUUUCAAGCGACCUUCACUACUUGUGAUUAUAAGAUUGUAACUAUUAGGUGAAACUCCCUCAUAAUCUAGCAUCAUAUUCAUGCAUGAAAACUAAGCGUGCACUCUCAAUCAACAUACACAAAUAAGUUAUCAAUCAAGUAGAUGAACGAAUUGAAUCCGCAACUUAUGAAAUAACAACUGAAUGUAAUCAAAUCAUAUUGCAAGCAUGUACAUGGUUUCGAAUCACCCCCCAACUAAGGGGGUUUAGUUCCUCAUUCUUGCAAUACAAAGAUACAUAAAAUUAGACAUCAAAAUCAAAGGAAAGAAAAACACCUAAAAUGCUCCAACUUGGAAAGCAAGUGCAUCAAUGGAUCUCCCUUCCUCCUUGUUGCGGCAUGAAGCUUGUGGACAGAUUUUUGGGUGGAUUUAUGGUGUAGAAUGGAUGGGGAAUGAUAUGGAGGGGUUUAGGGUGAGUGUGGAAGAGUGUUUGAUGGUUGGAAGGUGGUGGAGAACUAGGCAAAGAGGGUGGAAGAAGGUGGAGUGGCUGUUAUGUUUUCUAGGCACUAGAAUGGUGUUUUUUGGGGUGUUUUUGCUUCCUAGGGUGUGUAUGGACGAAUUUCUGUGAUAAAAUGAUGAAUAUGGGGGAUUGUUCUUUGGCCAAGGGGUGUAAACAUGUAUUUAUAGGCCCCAAAAACCUUAGAAAAUCAGGUUAGGUUAAGGAUGAAAUGCAUGGCAAUUUGUGUGUGUGGUGUGCAAUGGUCCAAGGGUGAAAAUGAAGUGAUGAUGCAAAGUGUGAAGGGUAAAAUGGAGUGGUCUUGUAGCUAGGGGGCAUGAAUGAUUGUGUACAUUGCAUAGAGAUGGAAAGGGAGGUGAAAAUGUGUCAAUAAAUGGGUCAAAGGUGCAGCAACAUGUGGUACACAAGGCAUGGGAUUCCAAAUGUGAAUGAUGGAGCAUCAAUUGGUGCAUGUAAUGGAUGUAAAUGUUGUCUAAAAUCUAAUGAGUGAAGGGAACAAGAGGUAUCAAGCAAUUGAGUGUAAUAAUUAAAUGAAUUGAAGCAUGAAAUUAGAAAUUAUGUAGGGGACAAGAGUGAUCAAGCAUGGCAUGGAAUCCAAAGGGAAUUCUAUGUGGUUUGCAUGGCAAGGAAUGCAAGUUGGGGUGACAGAUUUUUGGGCUGUUUUCUUCAUCUUUUGGACCAUAAUUCUUCAUAUUCUUGGCCUCUUUAGUUCUCAAAUUCGUCCAUCCACUUGGCCCAUGCAUUUGCUAUCCAUUCCAAGCCCGAAACAUGCUCCAAAGGCCUCCAAAAUGCAUCUUCUUGCAUACUUUGUACUUAGAGUCUGAAAACACACGAAAAUUACUUUAAACAUUAAAAUAACUAAGGAAACACGACAUAAAUGCACAAGAACAAGCCAACUAAGUCGCAUAAAUAUGCUCCUAUCAAUACCUUCAUUUCUAAAAUAAUAAAGUAUAAUUAUGAUAGCAGAAUUAAAACCAAAAUCAGAAUGGUGCAUAAGUAUGCAAUGCAAAUGCCUUAAUUAUACCCGUUAAUCCACAUAACUAAACACCCAGACCUUGUACGUCCCAUUCCGUACUUAUACCAUUUGAUCCCGAGUGUUUAAAUAUAUGAACUAACCCCCAUCCCUAAACAUCCCCGAACUCCCCUUUUUGUUAGUCAUCUUGCCUAAACUCUUCGUCUCCAGUCCCGAAUUACCCUUAAAGAAUCUGUGCACUGUGGGCUCGCCUGAGACCUGGUACCUACUAAGAGUUUGGCUCAACUACACAAAACUAAUAGUCACCACCUUAGAUUCCCGAAGUUCUUUCCAACAAUCCCACUUUACUCCCACAUCAUGGACCCAAAUUUCAUUUCGAACAUUCAUUAUACUCAAAUAUCCAAUAGAAACAUGUAUAUCAAACUUGUAUAUAUACUUAAGUAAGAAAUAUUUAAAUUCAUAUAUAUAUAUAUAUAUAUAUAUAUAUAGAAGGUUUCCCAGAACCCCCUACCUUGAAUUCGAUUAAUUUUGCUUCUCUGAAGAACCCUUCAAAUCUCUGAAUCCUUCCUUCACAAUCACGUUCUCUAACUCUCAAUUUCUCUACCCCUUUUUGAUUUCUGAUGCUUUCCCACUUCUCUGCAACCCCUUUUAUAGUUUCUCUAAUCCUACUAACUCCUAUCAGAGUCCUGAUAAAAACCUAGCUUCCUAGGUCGUCCACCUCCUGCUUAUAGACCUCUGUGUCUCUUCUCCGUUCACCCUCCGCUGAACACACUCCUUGGUGAAAUAGGAGAUGAACAACUAUCUAUGACACACUCCUUUGAUCAAUCAAAGGUCGACCUAUCACAAGGUGUCCUAAUCUCUAUCUGAUUUUUGGAUAUGAAGAAAGAAGAUUUUUUUUUUCCUAAAGGUAUGGAAGGCCACCUCCUCCCUACUUCCUUGUUUCCAUCGUACAGAAAGGAAAGGUAUGAAAGGAUGGUCCUUUCCUUUCUUUUGUAGAAUAUUAUUUUAUUAUUAUUAUCAUUAUUAUUAUUUUUUUUUUAAACAAUAAUAGGAAAUCUAAUAAAUAAAAAGUAUAUUAUUAAAAGCUAUUAAACAAAAUAAACACUAAGUAGACUAAAAUUUUGUAUAAAAACAAUUAUAAUCACACUUCACUCUUAAUUUAAACGAGGGAUAUUACAAUGCAUGCAGUGGAACCUAGAGGGAUUGGUGGUGGUUUGUGCUUGUUUUGGAAAGAUGAUUCACAAGUGCUUUUGGUGAAAUACGCGGACUUUGUGAUUGACGUUAAAAUAUGUGAUUGACGUUAAAAUAUGAAAUGAUAGUAAACAAUGUUAUUGGUGUUUAUUUGCUAUUUAUGCUAGUACUAAUGAGAAAAAACGGCGGGACCAAUGGAUGAUGCUAAGUAAACAGACAGAGAAUGAAAGUGAUAGGUACCUCCUGAGAGAGGAUUUUAAUGACAUACUGAGCAACAAAGAAAAAUAAGGUGGGAACUACAUAACAGCGGCUAGUAUAAGGGACUUUAAAGAGUUUGUGGCACAGAACGAACUUAUAGACCUGGGCUACGAAGGUUAUCCGUUUACUUGGAGGAAUAAUAGAGAGUCUAAGCCAAUUGAACAAAGGCUCGAUCGUGGGUUGGCGAGCAUCGGGUGGCAUGAUCUUUAUCUGGGUACUAAAAUCCUGCAUGUGGUGUUAGAAGGAUCCGAUCACGCAAUGCUUGUUCUUUCCACGGAGAAGAUGAGGGCUUGGAGGGAAAGAAGAUUCACGUAUGAUGCAUGAUGGGGAAAGCUAGUUGAAUGUCGUGACUUGGUGGUUGGGGAAUGACGUGACAAUUAUGGUGGUUAACAUGCUUUUCGGUUUUGCGAAAAACUGAAAACUCUUAGGCGGAGUCUUAAGGUUUGGUAUAAAGGGAGAAGCAGGAACUAGAAAGCUAUUGACCAAUUGAAAGGAGAGAUUAGGAUGGCAUAUAAGUCAAAUGGAUUUGCCAUGAAUGAGGUGCACCUAAAGGAGAUGGAGCUUAGGAAAGCGCAUAAGGAAGAAGAGACUUUUUGGCGAGUGACGUCGAGGGUGUUAGCAUAAACACAACACCAUGAUCAUGCAAAGCAAGUUACCGUGAUUAAAACACAGAACCAUAAACCAUAAAGCAAUGCACAGAGAGAAAACAUACCUGCAGAAGAGUUCGAAGCUACUGCCAUGUCUGAUUUCUGCAGCAAAGUCGUGGUGCAUCUUCUCCUCUCUUCAGUGAACGAGACUCUCAACUAGUAAUAGGUCUUACUCUUAUAUUGAGUACACACUGCAAGAGCAGAGGCCACCAUAUAUAUACUAUACAAUCUUAGCCAAAUUCUAUAAGGAUUCCCCUAUUAAAAUCUAUAUAGAAUACUAAUUUAUCCUAAAUAGCAGUCCAGUUACAACAUGGAUUUACAAAUCCAUUCCCAACAAGACUUCCUACUCAAUCUCUAAUCCUACAACCAAGUUUACCAAUUCAUACUCAUGCUCAUAUUCUAACAGAGGAUCCAAAGGUACAAUGAGGGAGACAAUAAUACAAAGUUUUUUCAUGCGCAAACAAUGAAAUGGCAGAGGUUUAACCAGAUCUAGGGGUUGAAGGAUUCGCAUGGGGUGUGGCGUGAGAGUGAAACCAAAAUAUGUUCGAUUGAGGUGUCCUAUUUUUCAUACUUAUUUCAGUCUAGUUGGCCGAUUCAAAUUGAGGAGAUUAUGAGUUGUUUGGAUAAUCGGGUGACACACGAGGACAAUAUGUUUCUGACGGCUCCAGUGACGGAUAGAGAAAUACAGGAGGCGGCAUUUCAAAUUCCUCCUACGAUAGCUCCAAGACUAGAUGGGUUCUCCGGUAGCUUUUAUCAGGACCAUUGGGAGGUGGUGGGGAAGGAUAUGGUGAAUAUUGUCAAGGCUUUCUGGCAUUCCGACAUGGUUUUACAGAAACUAAAUCAUACAGAUUUGGUACUCAUUCCAAAGGUGACAUGUCCGAAGAACAUGACGCGGUAUCGGCCUAGUGCUUUAUGCAACACAAGCUAUAAGGUCCUCGCUAAGUUUCUUACAAAUAGAUUUAAAAGUUUGAUGCCGAAGGUGAUAAGUGACAAUCAAUCGGCUUUUGUGGUUGGGAAGCAUAUUCAGGAUAAUAUCCUAGUUGUGCAUGAGAUCUUGCAUUCCCUUAUGCAUCAAACAAAGGAGGACCAGACGGGUAUGGCAAUAAAAUUGGAUAUGACGAAGGCAUAUGAUCCUGUAGAAUGGGAGUUCCUAUUAGCUAUGAUGGCUAAAUUGGGUUUUGUGCUGAUGUUUUGUAGGUGGGUAAAGGAAUGCACUUCCACUGCUUCCUUUAGUAUUUUAGUGAAUGGAAACCUAAUGGGGUAUAUUUUGCCGAAGAGGGGGCUGAGGCAGGGGGAUCCAUUAUCUCCGUACUUAUUUCUUCUCUGUACCGAAGGGUUCUCUUCUUGACUUCAGAAUGGUAUGGAGAGAUGAGCUCUACAUGGAUUCAGGGUGACACCUAAUGGGGUGCCGAUAUAAUUUUUUUUUUUUGGCGGAUGACUCAAAGUUGUUUUGUAAUGCAACAGUUGAGGAAGCGCAAGGUGUGGUGGAUGUGUUGAAGGUUUAUGCAUCCGGGUCAGGUCAGGAAAUUAAUAUGUUAAAAAGCUCGAUUUUCUUUGGUUCCAAGGCUACGAAACGAAAUAAGAAAAAAAUUGAACGAACUUUGAAUAUUCAAAGAAAUGAAGGCUUUGGGAAGUACUUAGGACUACAAGCAGAUUUUGAUCAUUAAAAAAAAAAGUCUUUAAGGAGGUGCAUGAAAGGAUUGAGACAUGUGUGGCGGGGAUAGGCAGAGCAGCUCCUAUCUCAAGUGGGGAAGGAAAUCCUUAUAAAGGCAGUGGCCAUGGCUAUGCCAAAUCAUGCCAUGGGAUGUUUCAAGUUACCUAUUGGGGUAUGCAGAGACAUAGAGAAAGCUAAUAGGAAUUAUUGGUGUAGGGGAAACGAUUAUUGGAAGGGUGUUCACUGGGUUUCUUGGGAACAGUUAAUGAAGCAAAAGCGAUAUGGUGGUUUGGGUUUUAAAGAUAUUCAAUGCUUUAAUCUUGCCCUUCUGCCAAAGAUCAGGUGGUGACUGAUCCAUAACCUGGAGUUUCUCCUAGCUAGAGUGUUGAGAGACAAAUAUUUUCCAGGAAAGACAUUUAAGGAGGCGAGUGGUGGGAGGAUAACGUCUUGGGGUUGGAAGGGUAUCGUUGAAGCACGUAAGGUGCUAGAUUAUGGUAUUCGGUGGCGGGUUGGUAAUGGAACUUGUAUCAAUAUUAGAGAGGACCCGUGGUUUCCUAAACCCACUACUUUCAAAGUACGGCCUUGGGAGGGCCUGCUGAUAAGAGAUCCAACGGCUAGAAUGGCAUGAUAGAUCAAGUCAGUUUUUCAAUGGUUAGAUAGCUGCCAGCUCAAAUAGAAAGUCAGUUAGUUAGUUAGUGAGAUAGCUUCCUAGCUAAGAUGAGAUCCCGUGUAUAAAGUCUGAAAUACAACACAGUUUGUAAUAAUUCAUUCUCUCUCUAAAGAUCAAUACACAGAAUAUUUUUCAUUCUUUCUCUCUCUCUUUUCGCAUUCAUUCUUCAGUUUGUUGUUCUUCAUAGAACCAUUCCUUAGUUCUGUUAACAUGGUAUCAAUCGCUCAGGACGAUCUGUUUGGUGUUUUCCGCUGAAGCUGCAUACUCUGAGGGCGUUGUUACAACUAAGAUUUCGGGGUUCUUGCUGAUGAAUUCAUUUUCAUUUCUGGGUUGCUGGUAUUCUCGAUCUUUGAUUCAUAUUGGUGCUUGAAAUUUGUUGCAUAUGAUGUGUUUGAUAUAUUGCCUCAGUGAAAUGUACAAGUGAUAUGAAGGCCGAUGCCAAUUGUUUGAAUCUGAUAGUUGUUUGCUUAAGAAAGUUUGAUGUUCGAAGUCUGAUUGUUUGAUAAAGAUUGGAAGGUUGAUACAUUGAAAAGUUGAAAGAUUGUAAUUGUGUCACUUCAUAGAAAGGCCAAAGCCAUUAGUAUACUAUUUUGUUCUUUGAUAAUCAAGUUUCAGAAGUAGUUUUUUGUCUAUUACUCCGUGCGUUACAAUGGCUGCAAAUUUUGUCAAGAUUGAAGGGUUACUUGGACUGAUUACUGUAAAGUUGCAAGAAGAUAAUUUUGUCAAAUGGAGCUAUCAAUUCUCAUCUGUUUUAAAAGGGUUAUGAUUUGUUUGAUUUCUUCAAUGGAGAGUCACAGUGUCCGCCAAAAUAUUGUAUUACAUCUGAAGGUGGGGUUACAAAUGAGAUCUCAAUGGCCUACAAACAGUGGGUUCAAAAAGAUUUGGCUUUGCUCAGUUUACUUGUUGCUACAUUAAGUGAUGAGGUUAUGGAUCAUGUAAUCGGAUGCAAGACUGCUCAAGAAGCAUGGGAAAAUUUGCAGGAAAGAUUUGCUUCUGUUUCUGUUGUGCGAAUAAAUCAGUUGAAAACUGAAUUUCAUACUGCACAGAAAGGGAAUGAUUCUGUUGACAAGUUUCUGUUAAGGCUGAAGGUGAUCAAAGAUCAACUAAUUUCUGCAGGGGAGAGAAUUACUGAGAAUGAUUUAAUGAUUGCUGUUUUGUCAGGUCUACCAUCAGAGUUUGAAGUUAUCAAGACUGUAAUUCUUGCAAGAGAUACUUUCAUUUUCUCUAAAAGAUUUUCGAGCUCAGUUGAUGGGUGUUGAAGCUGCACUUGAAACAAAGAUGAAUACUCUUGCUGGAACAAUGUCAGCAAUGUAUAUGAAUGGUGAAUCGUCAAAUGCAAGAGGACCUCAAGGUAGUUUUCAGAAUUUCGAGCAAGGAGAAAGUUCUAAUUCACAAAGAUAUCAAGGAGGUUUUAAUGGUGGUUCUGGUUUUGCUGGGAAUGGAGGUAGAUCUUUUCAACAGAGAUCUGGUUUUAAUAAUAACAGAAGGUUUAAUGGAAAUAACAACAGCAGCAAUUCAAGAUCUUAUUCCAACUUUGGUAACAAAUCUUAUGGCUCUAAUGGUUUGACUGAUAACAACAAGGGAUCUCAGAAUUACUAUAGUGGUUCAAACAACUUUUCUGGUGAAAAUGGUUUCAAGCAAGGAAGUGGAUGGACUGGUAACACAAACUACAAGUCUGCUGUGUCUCCAGAGUGUCAAAUAUGUUCUAGAAGAGGGCAUACUGCACCAAAUUGUUACUACAGGACUGAUAAUGGUCAAGCUAAUCCUAGAGGGCCAAUCUUUUGUCAAAUCUGUGGCAAGAAAGGUCACACUGCACUCCAAUGCUAUCACAGGAACAACUACUCGUAUCAAGGACCUCCUCCACCUCAAACCUUGAAUCAAUCACCUAUGGGAAUGUCUGCUCAGACUUCAACUACAAUGCAAGAGGCUCAAAGUGUCCAUGGGUUUUCAAAUGCAGAUACAUGGGUGGUGGACACAGGUGCAACUCAUCACAUGACAGCCAAUCUUGAUCACAUCAAUCAUGUCACUCCUUAUAAUGGUGAAGCUAAAAUCACUAUAGGCAAUGGAGCAGGUUUGAGUGUCAAGAAUAUUGGUGCAUCUAAACUCAUUACUGAUACACAUACAUUUUUGUUGAAUAAUGUGUUGCAUGUCCCACUAAUUACAAUGAAUCUGUUAUCAGUUAAGAAGCUAUGUAGAGAUAAUGGAUGCUGGUUUAUUUGUGAUGAUUUGGUAUUUUUUAUACAGGACAAGGCAACUCGGGUGAUUCUGUACCAAGGAAAGAGUGAUGAUGGAGAAUUAUUCAAGAUACCAGUCUCAGUUUUCAGAAGUUCCUUUGCUGCAAAAUUAGAGAAUUGUGCUGCAUUUCUUGGGAAGAAAGUAAGGAUUUCAGUGUGGCAUAGAAGGCUGGGACAUCCAUCUGAGGAAGUGUUGUCUACAAUGUUGAAGCAUGCAGGAAUAUUAAUGAAUAAUGAUUCUUCUCAAUCUCUUUGUUCAGCUUGUAUUUCUGGAAAAAUGUGUCAGUUACCAUUUUCUGUAAAACAAGUUAGAACUACUUCUAUGUUUGAAAAGAUACACUCUGAUGUUUGGGGUCCAUCUCCUCAUAAGUCCAUAGAAGGGUAUAGAUAUUAUGUGAGUUUUAUAGAUGAUUACUCAAGGUUUGUAUGGAUUUUUCCUAUGAUGAAUAAAUCAGAUGUGUUCCAAAUCUUUGUCAAAUUUCAUGCCUUUGUUCAUACUCAGUUUCAUAGUUCAAUCAAAUGCUUACAAACAGAUGGUGGUGGAGAAUAUGUGAAUAGAAUGAUGAAGAGUUUCUUAGAUCAAAAAGGUGUUAUACAUCAGGUGUCAUGUCCUUAUACACCUCAACAGAAUGGCAUUGCUGAGAGGAAACAUAGGCACUUGGUUGAAACAGCCUUAAGCUUAAUGACAGAUGCUUCCAUUCCGGCUAGUUUUUUUGGUAUCAUGCUUGUUCAUAUGCUGCAUUCUUAAUCAACAGAAUGUCAUGUAAAAGUCUUGACAAUAGAUCACCUUAUCAACUGCUUUUUGGUGAAAAUCCUACAAUUCACAAUCUUAAAAUAUUUGGAACUGCAGUAUAUCCAUAUCUAAGACCUUACAAUGCAAAUAAGCUGCAGAAUAGAUCAAGUCAGUUUGUUUUUCUUGGUUUUGCAGUAGGAUAUAAAGGAGUGAUUUGCUAUGAUAUACAUACUGGGAAAUUUAUAAUAUCAAGGCAUGUUAUACAUGAUGAAGAUACAUAUCCUUUCAAACGACAGUCUGUCAACAAGGAUAUUGAUCAUAGUCGUUCUCAACAGUCCACUCAAGGUCAUGUAGUUAUUCAGGUUCCUAUUCCCAGUUCUAGACAUCUUGAUGUACAUGAUGGUGAAUAUAGAAUACAAGAAGAAAACACAGUGUUAUCAGAUUCUCAAAGUACUGAAAGUCAGUCUACAAUUCCAAGUUUGUCUACAUCACACAGAUAUAGUGAUAGUACAGAUCAGUCAAGGGAAUCACAUGACAAUUCACAGCAAAACACAGUACCCAGUUCAACAGUUCCAAAUUCUCCUCAUCAUCACUCUGGUACAUCAUCAAUGUUGCCUGUCCAAUCAGCUUCUCAACUUCAGGUAACUUUACCAAUAUCAUCACAAAUUGAAACAAAUGUUCAUACUGACAAUUCUACUGGUGUGAAUAAUUCUUGUUCGAUGCAUCAAAUGGUUACAAGAUUGAAGAGUGGCACCAUUCAAAGACGGAAUUAUAAUGCUUUUAUAGCAUCAUUUCCUGAGUUACAAACUCUGCAAAUAACUACAGAAGAUCAGUUCGUGGGAGGCUAUAGUUUUUUGUCUACAAUAGCUGAUGUAUCAGAACCAACUACAUUUCGGAAAGCUGCUUCAAUGCCUCAAUGGCAACAAGCGAUGCAAGAUGAGUAUGACUCUCUUAGGAGUCAAGGCACAUGGAUUUUGGUACCUCCUCCCAAUGACAGAUCCAUUGUUGGUAGCAAGUGGGUGUAUAAAGUGAAGAAAAAUUCAAAUGGAAGUGUUUCAAGAUACAAGGCCAGACUGGUGGCUCAAGGAUAUUCUCAAGAGCAAGGUGUGGAUUACUUAGAGACUUUUAGUCCCGUAGUGAGACACACUACUGUGAGGAUAGUAUUAGCCUUAGCUGCAACCAAUAAUUGGAAGCUUAGGCAACUUGACAUCAAAAAUGCUUUUCUGCAUGGUGACUUACAAGAAGACAUUUAUAUGAAGCAACCACAGGGAUUUGUUGAUGCAUCUCAUCCUACAUAUGUGUGUAAACUAAUCAAGUCCCUGUACGGAUUAAAGCAGGCCCCAAGAGCAUGGAAUUCGAAGUUCACUUCCUAUCUGGCAGCAAUGAAUUUUCAGCCUUCUGCUUCUGAUACAAGCCUAUUCACUAAGAAAGAUGGCAAUGAUAUUGUCAUUCUUCUCCUAUAUGUCGAUGAUAUAAUCCUUACAGGCUCAAAUUCUCUUAACGUACAGAAAGUGAUUGAUGAAUUGUCUGAAGUAUUUGAGCUCAAGGACAUGGGACAAUUGACAUAUUUUCUGGGAUUGCAGAUUGCUUACAAGUCAAAUGGGGACAUUUUUGUGAAUCAAGCCAAAUAUAUAAAGGAUUUGAUUCAUAAGGCAGGUAUGGACUCAUGUAAGCCUGCUAAUACUCCCUGUAAACCACAUGAUCAAAUGCUUAUUUCAGAUGGUCUUCUCAUGACCGAUCCCUCUCUUUAUAGAAGUCUUGUUGGUUCAUUACAAUACCUGACCUUCACUAGGCCAGAUAUUGCAUAUGCUGUUAACACAGUAUGUCAAUUCAUGAAUUCCCCUACAGAAAUGCACUAUGGAGCAGUGAAACGCAUACUAAGAUACCUACAAGGGACUUUGACUUAUGGAAUACUAUAUUCUGCUGACACAGUGACAACAUUAACUGCAUUUUCAGAUGCAGAUUGGGCAGCAGAUCUUAACACUCGCCGUUCAAUCACAGGUUAUGUGGUAUAUUUGGGCAAUAAUCCUGUGUCUUGGCAAUCCAAGAAGCAAAGUUCAGUGUCAAGAAGCUCCACGGAAGCAGAAUAUAAGGCCCUUGCUCACACUGCCGCUGAUGUUGCUUGGGUGAGGGGAAUAUUGAAGGAUUUGGAAGUAUUUUUGCCAUUGCCACCUACGAUUUAUUGUGAUAAUUUGUCCACCAUUGCACUCAGUGCAAAUCCAGUGUUUCAUUCUCGAAUUAAACAUCUUGACACGGAUUUUCACUUUAUAAGGGAGAGAGUUCAACAAGGGGAUUUGGAGGUUGUUUACAUCCCAACAGAAGAUCAAACAGCCGAUGUACUUACAAAAGGCCUGCAUAGUCCAACAUUUCUCAAACAUUGUUACAAUCUUAGGCUUGGUGCCCAAGCCACGAUUGAGGGGGAAUGAUAAGAGAUCCAACGGCUAGAAUGGCAUGAUAGAUCAAGUCAGUUUUUCAAUGGUUAGAUAGCUGCCAGCUCAAAUAGAAAGUCAGUUAGUUAGUUAGUGAGAUAGCUUCCUAGCUAAGAUGAGAUCCCGUGUAUAAAGUCUGAAAUACAACACAGUUUGUAAUAAUUCAUUCUCUCUCUAAAGAUCAAUACACAGAAUAUUUUUCAUUCUUUCUCUCUCUCUUUUCGCAUUCAUUCUUCAGUUUGUUGUUCUUCAUAGAACCAUUCCUUAGUUCUGUUAACACCUGCAAGCAACAAUGGCGAGUGAACUGAUUGAUUCGAACUCAAAGACUUGGAAUGCAGACGUGAUCUUGGCGGGCUUUAAUCAGGACGAUGUGGCACCGAUUUUAAGCAUUCCGUUUAAGCAGGAAAUGUUGUAGUGACAGGUUGGUGUGGCACCACACUACGAAUGGGGUGUACACGGUUAAAUCCGGCUAGGGGGUGGCGUUGGGUCUUAUGGAAAAUGGAGCACUGUGGAGGAAAGGGCCGGGAUCGGCGAGAAAACAAAUCACAAUCAGGUGUGGAAUAGGAUAUGGAGUUUGGAGGUCCCUAAUAAAAUGAAAUUUUUUGUAUGGAGGUGUUGCAAAAAUGCUUUGGCGGUUAGACAAAAUCUGCAGAGACGACAUAUGAAGACUGAUAAUGUAUGCGGGGUGUGUAGCCUAUGUGAUGAAACGGAAAACCAUUUGGUUUUCCACUGCGAACUCAGCCACCUAUUUUGGUUAUGUUCGCCGCUUCAACUUAAUUCCUUUGAUUUGGAAUGCGCUGACUUCUUAGAAAGCUAGGAGAAAUUCUGUAACCGUGUUAAGGGAAUGGAAAAUGCAGCUGAGAUCAUGCAAGAAUUUGUCUUCGGGUUAUGGAGACUAUGGAAAAACAGAAAUGAGGUGGUUUUAAAUGGAGUGCACUGAUGGCCUUUAGAGGUUUUGGAGGUAUGGAAGAGGAACAUCUCUGAAUUCAGAGAUGCGAAGGCACAUGGGGUAGCGGGAGUGAGUCCAAAUACGGGGACGACGACCUUGGCAUUGAAACGACAGAACGAACAAUGGCAGAAAUUGGGGUUUGGGACAAUUAAGAUUAAUACCGAUGCGGCUUGGUGCAAGUAUACGUUGCGUGCGAGAGUGGGCUGGGUUGUUCGAGAUUUUGCAGGUUUGCUGCAAGCAGCGGGAGGCUUGGGAGUUAUGCAUUGUCAUAAUGCAGCAGAGGCUGAAGCUACAACAAUCUGUGAAGCUUUGGAGUUUUGCAUUGAGCUGGAGUUGACAACUUGAUUAUUGAAUCCGAUGAAAAGGUGAUUAUUCAAAUGACUGACUCAUGAUUAUAGCCUUGAAUGUAUCCUUGGUGACAUUGAGACUCUAGCGCAAAGUUUGAGGUCGGUAACGUUUGACUUUGUGUCUAGAGAGAGUAACCGUGCUGCUCACUCGGUGGUUAAGUUUGUGUUUAAGGAGGGUCAUUCCUUUGUAUGAGAUUGUAUUGGUCAUGAGUUCUUGUUUAAUAUUAAUUAGUGCAAGAUAUUAACUUUUCUAUUCGAUUAUAAUAAAUUCUAUAUUUUGGAAAGAAAAAAAAAUUGAACUCAUAAUCUUCUCCAAAAAAAAAAGGGAAAUCUAGAGCCGCUAACCCAGAGCUCUUAAAAGAAACCAAACUAGGGAAGAUUGUUUAGAGAAUUGGCUAGAGUUGUUGCUUUUUUAUUUAUGAGUCGAGCGACAAUGUUAGUAAAUUAAAUGUUAGAUUAGCUACCAACGAGGUUUGAAUUUAUGUCAUCAUGUAAGGGCACAACACUUUCCACUACUGUGGUAAAGGGCUAAAAUUUUAAUAAUAGAUAAUUAGGUGAAUGAUUUUCUGAUUACUCUAUGUCAACAAUAACAUAUACACACACACACACACAUACAAAUUCAACAUCCAAUUACGCCUAUUUCUAAGGCUAGGAAUCCGUGAUCCACCUUUGAUCUAGACUAAAACAGGAAAUUAAGGUAAAUCUUGCAAAUAUAUUACAAAGAUAAUUCUCAACACAAAACGAUAAUGAGCAAAGAAAGUGUAAUAAAUAUUGUUGUAGAAAAAUUAAGAGAAGGUGCUGUAUUUAGUAACCCAUACACGAAAAUUUUGGUAGAAAUAAUUCGACCCCAAAAGAAACUUUGAAAUAGGAAUUGAGGAGUAGUGCUACAAAUAGCACAAGAAAGUUUGAAUGUUUGUAGUAUUUGGGUAUGCAAACCUUUACACGACCUUAUCUAUACUCAAAAAGUUGAAUUAUGUAUUAUGUAUUAUAUGGAGAGUAACUUAGUGUCUUGAAGAAUAUAAAUUAUGGUUUAAAAAGUCCUCGUUGUAAAUUUUGAAAAUUUGUUGGAUAUGAUCACAUGUAGUUACAAUUCAAGUGUUGUCUUCUUUUUUUAUUUUUAUUUUUUUGUCAAAGCUUGAGGUAUCUCACAUCCCAAAAGGUAGACUAAUUUUUAGUGGAGCUUGGAAAGGCUAACAGUCCAGCCUAUCCCUGGCCACAAUUAAAUACCACAUUUCCUCCCAAGAUUUUUAAUCAGAUAAUCACUUGUAUUUUUGCCAACUUUGUGCCUACCACAGAGCAUACUGAACUUGAAAUUCUAACGUGUUUCUACUGCACCACUUGCAGUGGUUAUUGUUUAUACUAUCAAGAGGACAGACUUUGUCAUAAUUUUUGUGAAAAUACCAUUUAUGUCCACACAUCUUUUUAUCCUUAGUUGCGAUAAAUAACCUUUAUAUAAUAAGAUUAAAAUAGGAAUUUUGUGGAUUUAAAUUAUUAAAUUAAAUUAGAGUUCUUCCACGUUUUUCUCCAUCUUUUUUCAAUAUGUUUCUCCCACGUGCAUAGAACGAUUGAAUGUUUGUAAUAUGCGAACCUUUUACACGACGUGACUUAUACUCGGACAAAAAAAUUGAAUUUUAUCGUUGGCCGCUAAAGUCCCAUUUGACCUUGACAUAAUUUAUCAUGCAUUAUUUGGAGAGAGAAUAAAGUGUCUUUAACGAAUAUAAAUUAUGAUUAAUAAAUCCUCGUUGUAAAAUUUCAAAAAUCAUAAGGUAUUACUAAUAUAAGUGUUGUAUAUACUAUUAUUUUAUUUUUUUUGUCAAAUCUGGAGGUAUCUCACAUCCCGAAGAAUAAGAUUAAUUCUCAGUGAGGCCUGUCAAGGCUAAGGCAUUACACCUAGGCCUGACAAUUCCUGACACGACUCGAUAAUCCAACACGACACGACACGAAAUUAACAAGUGUUCGGGUCGACACGAUAACGAAACGGGUCGUUAUCGGGUAACCCGAUAAGCACCUGUUAAGAUAACGCGUUGGUUCGGGUAUACACGUGGGUAACACGAUACACGAUAAGCAGAAUAUUAAUUUAAUAAUUUUAUAACCCUAAAAAACUAUUAUAAUAAUUAUAUAUAUUAAUUUAACAAUUUUAUACCCCUAAAAACUAUAAUAAUUAUAUAUAUAUAUAUAUAUAUUAAAUUAACUAUAAUAAUUAUACCCCAAAAAUAUUAACUAUAAUAGUUAUAUAUAUAUAUAUAUAUAUUAAAUUUUAUACCCCCUAAAAACUAUAAUAAUUAUACAUACAAAAUAAAUAGAUUUAAAUCUACUUAAUAAAUAAAUAAAUAUAUAUAUACAUACACACACCAUUGAAGUUCAUGGGAUACGAAUUAUACGAAACUAAUUUCAACGAUCUAACCGUCAAACUUGUUUGUAUAUGCUUCGAGAUUGCAUCAGCAAAAAAUUACAAAAAAAAAACAUUCACAGAUCAAGUAACGAGACAAAACUUUCCGACAGUUAUAAACGAAAAAAUCACGAUUUAACGGUUAUUUUAACUCCGAUUUUGAUGAUUUUUUACAGCUACACUCCUUGACCCUAUAUGAAUACAAUGAAUAAAUUUGAUCUUCAAUUUAAAAUAUUUACACUAGUGGAUACCACAAAAUCUUAUGUUAUAUUUGAUGAAAGUAUGAAUAAACUCUUAAGUGUUAGUGAAUCAAUUGUUUUGAUGGGAUACGCAUUCUACGAAACUAGUUUCAACGAUCCAACCGUCAAACAUGUUUGUAUAUACUUCGAGAUCACAUACGCCAAAAAUUGCAAAAAAAAAAAACAUUCAGAGAUCAAGUAACGAGACAAAACUUUUCGACGGUUAUAAACGAAAAAUCACGAUUUAACGGUUAUUUUAACUCCAAUUUUGAUAAUUGUUUACAGCUACACUCCUUGACCCUAUAUGAAUACAAUGAAUGAAUUCGAUCUUCAAUUUAAAAUAUUUACACUAGUGGAUACCACAAAAUCUUAUGUUAUACUUAAUGAAAAUAUGAAUAAACUCUUAAGCGUUAGUGAAUCUAUUGUUUUGAUGAGAUACGCAUUUUGCGAAACUAGUUUCAACGAUCCAACUGUCAAACUUGUUUGUAUAUGCUUCGAGAUCGCAUACGCCAAAAAUUGCAAAAAACAAACAUUCAGAGAUCAAGUAACGGGACAAAACUUUUCAACGGUUAUAAACGAAAAAUCACGAUUUAACGGUUAUUUGAACUUCGAUUUUGAUGAUUUUUUACAUCUACACUCCUUGACCCUAUAUGAAUACAAUGAAUGAAUUCGAUCUUCAAUUUAAAAUAUUCACACUAGUGGAUACCACAAAAUCUUAUGUUAUACUUGUUAAAAGUAUGAAUAAACUCUUAAGUGUUAGUGAAUCUAUUGUUUUGAUGGGAUACACAUUCUACGAAACUAGUUUCAACGAUCUAACCGUCAAACAUGUUUGUAUAUACUUCGAGAUCGCAUACGCCAAAAAUUGCAAUAAAAACAAACAUUCAGAGAUCAAGUAAUAGGACAAAACUUUUUUACGGUUAUAAACAAAAAAUCACAAUUUAACGGUUAUUUUAACUCCGAUUUUGAAACUUUUUUACAGCUACACUCCUUGACCCUAUAUGAAUACAAUGAAUGAAUUCGAUCUUCAAUUUAAAAUAUUUACACUAGUGGAUACCAUAAAAUCUUAUGUUAUACUUAGCGAAAAUAUGAAUAAACUCUUUAGUGUUAGUGAAUCUAUUGUUUUGAUGAGAUACGCAUUUUGCGAAACUAGUUUCAACGAUCCAACCGUCAAACUUGUUUGUAUAUGCUUCGAAAUCGCAUAUGCCAAAAAUUGCAAAAAAUAAACAUUCAGAGAUCAAGUAACGGGACAAAACUUUUCGACGGUUAUAAACGAAAAAUCACGAUUUAACGGUUAUUUUGACUCCGAUUUUGAUGAUUUUUUACAGCUACACUCCCUGACCCUAUAUAAAUACAAUGAAUGAAUUCGAUCUUCAAUUUAAAAUAUUUACACUAGUGCAUACCACAAAAUCUUAUAUUAUACUUGAAAGUAUGAAUAAACUCUUAAGUGUUAGUGAAUCUAUUGUUUUGAUGGGAUACGCAUUCUACGAAACUAGUUUCAACGAUCCAACCGUCAAACAUGUUUGUAUAUACUUCAAGAUUGCAUAUGCCAAAAAUUGCAAAAAACAAACAUUCAGAGAUCAAGUAACGAGACAAAACUUUUCGACGAUUAUAAACGAAAAAUCACGAUUUAACGGUUAUUUUAACUCCGAUUUUGAUGAUUUUUUACAGCUACAUUCAUUGACUCUAUAUGAAUACAAUGAAUGAAUUCGAUCUUCAAUUUAAAAUAUUUACACUAGUGGAUACCACAAAAUCUUAUGUUAUACUUAAUGAAAGUAAGAAUAAACUUUUAAGUGUUAGUGAAUCUAUUGUUUUGAUGGGAUACACAUUCUACAAAACUAGUUUCAACGAUCUAACCGUCAUACUUGUUUGUAUAUGCUUCGAGAUCGCAUACGCCAAAAAUUGCAAAAAACAAACAUUUAAAGAUUAAGUAACGGGACAAAACUUUUAGACGGUUAUAAACGAAAAAUCACAAUUUAACUGUUAUUUUAACUCCAAUUUUGAUAAUUUUUUACAACUACACUCCUUGACCCUAUAUGAAUACAAUGAUUGAAUUCGAUCUUCAAUUUAAAAUAUUUACACUAGUGGAUACCACAAAAUCUUAUGUUAUACUUAAUGAAAGUACGAAUAAACACACUAGUGGGUCACUUUCAUUAAGCUUUGAGUUCCAUUGGCAAGGUUUAAAUUUUUGAGAAAGGCUUCACAACCUUGAAAACAAAAACGCUUUCAUUUUGCAUAUCCUUGCACAUUUAAUAUUUGUAAUAGAUUAGUAGUGUAUUUUUUAUGAGGCUCUUAUUUUCGAGUGUAGAUGUAGUACUGAAGCGAAAAAUGUGUUUUAAUGUUUUGAAGUAAUAUUUAUGUGACAAUGUGUGGUAUGUGCAAAUUUAAGAAGAAAAAAAAUAUUUUUCUUAAUGGGUCAUAACGGGUCGGGUCACUUUACCCAUUGGGUAAAGUGACCCGACCUGUUCAGGACCCGUUAAGAUAACAGGUGUGACACGACACGACCCGUUAAGAUAACAGGUGUUACAUAAAAACGACACGAACACGACUGACACGACCUGUUUGCCAGGCCUAAUUACACUCCACUUUUGGCUAUGGUCAAAUGGCACACAUCUUCUUAAAACUUUCAACUAAAAAAUCAUAUGUAUUUUUGCCAACUUCGUACCUCGAACUCAAAGGCCACAAAGUAUACAUGGUUUGGAAUUUUACUGCAUUUCUACUAGACCAUUUACCGUGAUUGUUGUCUAUAAUAUUAUUUAGAGAACACACUCUCUCUGACUUUUCUUCAAAUACCAUUUAUGUCCCCACAGGUCCCCUUUUUUAUCCUUAGUUGCAAUAAAUAACCUUAAUAUAAUAAGAUUAAAAUAGACUUUUAUUUAAAAUUCUUCCACAUUUUUCUCCAGCUUCUCUUUCGAUAUGUUUCUCCUACAUGCAUAGCAUGUGUGAGAUUGCUAUUAUAACAAAAGAGUUGAUUAAUAAUACAUAUCAGGUGAUGAUAUUACAACUUACACUUAAAGAGUUUCUCAAUAAUUUCGGGUAAUAUAUUGUGACAACUUUUUUUUAAAUGAAAAUAAUAAUAUACUACUCUAAGUUUACGUACACUUAGAAAAGGAAAAGAGUUUAAUCCGUAACACAAUAAAUUGAAGAGAAAGACUCUAUUCACCAAAGCAAAUCCAUCACUUGCAUUGUGACAUCUUUCUGACAUGCAACUUUUCUUUAGGGGUGUGAUAUCCACACACCCCAUUUUACUUCUCACACACCUUUUUAAUUUUCGGCUGUCAGAUCGGAUGAAUUGAAGAAGAUCAACAGACAGAAAUUAUCAAGGGGUGUGUGAGAAGUAAAAUGAGGUGUGUGGAUAGCACACCCCUUUCUUUAUUUCAUUACAUAUCAUAUCUUUUGCAUGUAAAUUUUCUUGAUGAUUUCCAAAUUUUAAAACGAUGCAAAACAACAUUAAUUAGUUUAAACUCAAACUAGCUCAAUGGGGAGGAGUAUAUGAAUUGAAUUCAAUUAGUGCACGCCAAGUGUUUGAUAUAUAUUUUGAUGCUCCAGAGUCCACAGGCAUAUCGUUCAUGAUAUUGCAUGCCAUUGUAAAAAGAAAACGUUCAUUAUUACAUGACUCACGUCAAUGCAUAUUAAUUUAGAUAUCACGUAUAAUUAAAAAGGUUUUACUAUACCGAUUGAGUCAUUUUUUCGAUGUGACAGUUACAUUGUCAUGUGAUGUUUGUGGAUGCAAAUUCUUUUGCUCCUUGUUCUUGGACAAAAUUACAUCUACAAAACAAAUAACACCUUAGGUCAAGGCCAAAAGCCUCACGCGCCCACAAUGAAUGGGGGGGGCUUUGGCCGAAGAACCUCUGAUGUCAAAGUUAGAAUUUAGAGAGAAAAGUGUUUGGAGAGUUUUUGGAAGUUUUGCAAGAGUGUCGAACCUAGGUUUUUAGAGAAAAUGGGGUGAUAUAUAUAGGGCAUGGCCGGUCCCCUUUGGAGAAAAGGUGGCCGGCCCUUUGGGGUAUUUUUGUGUGAGAUGGGUGAUUUAAUUGGCAAUUAAUAGAUUAAUUAGGUAAUAAAUCCAUUAAUUAGCCAAUUAACUCAAUUUAUAUGGAAUUUGAAGAUUAUGGAACAAAUACCUCAUGGAGAAUAUAGGAUGAAGAUAGAUGAAAUAAUUUUGAAUUUGUUACCUAUUUUGGGCACUUUUGGCUUGAUUGAAGAAUGGUUGUCCACUGCUCGAUCGUAGGAAAUCCGGUGUGCCUCAAGGGUAAGUUUGUCCUUUUCAUCAAAAAUUCACGUGUCACCUUAUGAUUAGUUUUGGCUCCACAAUAUUAUUUAUCCAUCAAAUUAUAACGUGCGAAGUACUAACACCAAGUGACAGUGGAGCCGUCUCAAUCCAAGGUUGGCAUCAAAGGUGCCUUUUAAACCAGAUGUAGAGUCCUCACUAUGCACACACACAUAUAUAUGGUAUAAUAGGCAUCUCUGCAAACAUUGUCAGAGGUUUUGUGGAGCAGGUAAUAAAUUUUCGCAAUUCUGCAGUUUAACUUCUUGUCAAUAAAUGGCAGUUGCUCUUAAACUCACUGUUAAAUUAAGGAUGGUGCUAUAUACACAUCAUUUUUUUUACCUCUCACACAUUUUUCUUAAUUUUAGCCAUCAGAUUGAAUGAAUUAAAAAAAUUAAUAGACAAAAUUACCAAUGAUGUGUUAGAGGUAAAAAGAGGUGUGUGAAUAGCACUACCUUAAAUUAGAAGAAAACUAAUGAAAAGAGCUUGAAAACUUUGAGUUUUAACGAUAAGGACAAAAUAAAGGGUAAAGUAAAUAGUACCAGGUUUGACUUUUUAGUGUAAAAAUGUGGUUUUUCGUUAAGGUAAACAGUACCGUGGGCUUUUUGUUAAAACUUCAUAAAUUAAAAGGUAAAUAAACUCAUGCUAGAGCUAAAGAUGCAUACAUGCCCAAAAAGAAAUAGUAAAUAAAGAAUUUAUUCUAUACUUCGUCAUAUUCAGUCAACUUCUUCAUAUACAUUGUAAAGCUAAUACACUUUAAUUUUACAUGUAAGGAAAAAAAAAACCUAGACUGCAGGCAUUUUCCUGUGCUUAUUCACUGCUAGGAAAAUAUAUAAAAUGUUUAAUUUGAUUUAAAAUUAAUUCUGCUAAUGCUUUUCGUUGAUGGUUGCACUUCGAUGUAGAAUCUUUGGAAUUGGUACUACUUCAAGGUGUGGUCGGAUUUGGACCUCCGGAAGGGGUAGUGCUCCUAAGUAUUUGCCUGAUCAAAGGGAAGAAGGGACGAUCCAUCUGAUGCAUAAACUUUUCUUCCCCAUGCAACACUCUGCAGGCCUCGGACGAUUGCAUGUUCAUAAGAAAAACCAUUAAAAACACUGCCACCAAAAAUAUUUUUAGAAACUUCAUUUUGUUGGGCAAACAAAGACUAUUUUGCAUCUAAUUUUCUGCGGAAGAAGAAAUGAAGGAAUGAAUGAAGAUAAAGUUAAAGGUUUGUUGCGAAAACAAAGAUUUUGCUUCUUUUAUCUGUCUGUGAAAAACAGAAAGGAUUGAAGGAAUUAAGGAAUGAAUGAAUAGAUGGGGAACAUGGGGCUUUUUACAUGCAUCAAUUAAGACCAACUUUCAUAUGACUUUGAUUUUUUAAUAUAAAUCUAUUUGUUUCGUUGUUUUGACUAUUAAAUGAUGAUUAUAUGCUAAGGACUUAGAAUUGAAUGGGUAGUCAUAUCCGCAAGGGUUUUGGUUUUAGGGUUUCACUGUAUUGUGGACCUGUAAAAAAUCAAAGCUAAUUAAUUAUAGGCUUAGAUGUCAAAAUUGUCCUUGUGUUAUAACUAUAUAUGGUCAAUUUAGUCCACAUGUUUUCGAUUUGGCUAAUUUAGUCCUUAUGUUAGUCUCCUUUAGUCAAUUAAGGACAUUUUAUUCAGUCUUGUUAAAAAAAAUCAUAAGAAAAAUUAUAAGAUAUAUGAUUACCCUUUCUCUUUACAGAAAAAUGCAAAUCAAUGAGAAAUAACACAUAUAAGAGAUAAAACUUCCAAUCUGAAAAAUGAUUAAGGUUGUGACAUAGAAAAUAGAGCGGGUAACGUUAGGAAGGAGACUUCGGGGAGUUGGGAGGACAUUAAUUUUUCUUUUAAUUUUUAAUUUUUAUUUCAUUUUAAAAUCAAAUAAAUAAUUUUAUAAUAAUUAUAAUUUUUUGUAAUAAUUUAAUAAUUAAGUUAUAAUAGUUUAUACAGAAAUUAGAUGGAAAUAUCCUUAAUUGGCUAAAGGAGAUAAACACAAGGACCAAAUUGGUCAAAUUAAAAACAUAUGGACUAAAUUGACUUAAUGACUAAAACACAUGGAUCUUUUUAACAUUUAAGCCUUAAUUAUAUAAUAACACAAUCCUUUCUUGAUGCCCAAAAAUAGCACAUUUUUUCUACUCUUAAGUUCCUGCAAGAAACAUUUUACGCCUAAUUUAAGUUGAGCUGCCACUCAGUACUAUGGUCUAGUGGUAUUCCUCUUCACUUGAAUGUGGCUGGACGAUCGUCCGACGCCCCAAAAAAUUGGGGGCACCAAAAUUAUUAAAGUGUUAUGUUAUAUUGAUAUAUAUUUUUUAUAAGAGUAUAGAUUUUAAUUUGGUUAAUUGACAAAGAAAUUUAACUAUAAUUGGUGGUUUUUUUUUUUUGUUAAAAUUAAUGAGGAGGUCUUGGGUUCAAAGCACCAUGUGUGUUUAUUUUAUUUUCAAUUUUUACAAAUUUCUUUUCAUAUGAGUAUAAAUGUAUAAAAUUUGGUAAGUAGUUGUUUAUUUUAUUUAAAAUAAACAAGGAGGUCCCGGGUUCAAAACAAUAUAUGUCUCUUUUACUUUUCAACUUUUACGAAUUUCUUUUCAUGGGUUUAAAGUUAUGAAAAUUGGCUAAAUGAUCUAGAGGUUAAUCAAAAGUAAUGGUUUUUGUUGCUAAAAUUAAUGAGAGAUCUUGAGUUCGAAAUGUUGUGUGCAUGUUUGUUCUUUUCAAUUUUUACGAGUUUCUAUUUGGUUGUUAAUUUCUUUUUAAUUAUUAGCUAUUAGAUAUGUGGGUUGCAAUUUUAAAACAUUUGUGUCAAUUCAAGUCUAAAUUUAAACAAAGAGUAAUGCAUAGACCAAAUUUGCAAAUCAUAUGAUGUGUCACCAAUAAGUUUAAUUUAGUAUCAUUUAUUCCUUAUACAUAUCAAUUAAAGACUCGAAAGCAUCAUUAUUUUUAUAGACCCAUAUUGACAAGAUUAGUAAAUAAGAAAAAACACAUCACGAUUUAUAUAAAAACUUUCAGGUAGAAAAACAAGACUCAUCAUCCAUCUACUUGUAAGCCCGAGGUUUUUUCGUUCCUGUACAAAAGAAAUUAAUUUUUCCGUGCUUCUAAAUUAUUGAGCUUGAAGUGCUUUUGUAAGUAAUAACUUUAUUGAAGUUUUACGUGCGAAAACAAUAAUUUUCUUAUAUAAAGUUAGGUCACAUUUUUUUGGGUCGCCCAGGGCCUUAAAAAUCUCAAGACCGACCCUGCUUUAAGCAGGUUAUUACUUAAUAAAGGUGCAGCUAAAAAAAUAGUAUUAUUGUUUACUUAGUUAUCCUCAAUAAAAAUUGUAUAGAUACAAAGAACUAUUGACCAAAAAAAAAAAAAAGAUAAGAAGAACUAUUAGUGGAGUACGUUGGUUUCCAAGAUGUAAAAUCUGAAAAAAAAAAAAAAUACACUCAACCUUUAAAAUCUAUUGCAUAUAUGUACGUAUGUAGUACUUUCUUUAAGUUAAAUGCCUAUCUAUAAACAUGCUUGUGAAGCUAAAAACAGUAUGGCUUCAACAAUAAAUUGUUCAUAUUGACGAGGUAUUACGUACUCGUAAGUUCAAAGGCGUGAUAUUAACUCUAAAAAAUAAAAUAUUGUCUCAAAUAAUUAUAGAGAAAUAUUUUAGUUCAUCUUAAAUGUUUACUUGUGACAUUGCAUAUUUUUGUACUUAUGGACAAUUAUUAUUAUAUGGAGGUGAUUUUCCUUAAUACGGGACAUAUGACAAUUAUAACUUAUUACAAUGUAGAGUUUAUUUAUAUACAUAACUAGCUCCAAUUUUUGACCAUAAAUUUUUAUGACUAUAAAGAAGGUUAUUCUUAAAUAGAGCAUUCUUAUAAAGAUGUUUUACUAUAUAUUUUUAGGCCUAUUUUUUAUUAAGUUGUCCUGAUUCAAUUAUGUUUUCUUUUAGUUUUAUUAACAAUUACUAAUACUAUAGAGGUAAUUUGACCAACUCUUGUAGAGUUUUUGUUACUACUAGCAAUUGAGGCCCGCGCGAUGCUGUGGGUUUCAAAAUGAUCUUAAACGUGUACAAAGUAGGGCUUAUAUACAUGAGAAAAUAUGUGCCAAAGUAAGGGAUAUACAUAUAUUACAUUCUUAUAUUACACGACAAAAAUUGGGAUGGUCGUACGCCAUAGCCAGAGAGUUCUAUUUACAUUUAUAUAUUACAUGCAAAAAGUUGAGGAUGUUAGUAUAUCAUCCUCAGAGAUUGUUUUUCAAAAGCUAUGGUCCUAUCCCAGGGAGACUUUUACAUCUAAAACUGUACACAACUCAAAAAGUAAGAUUUGUUUCACUAAAGACACCCAUAUACGUAACUCCUCACGUUAAUGGUGCCUCCUCCAUCUUGCAUGACAACGAUGAACUGAAGAAAAAAAAACAUUGACAUAAGAAUUGAAUGACUCUAAAUUGCAUAUAUUUUGCAGCCAUAAUAAAUAAACUCUCUAGAUUUUCCAGUUGGUCUCAUCGACAACCCAAAUAAAAUAUUUAUAUCUAUAUUAUGCAAUAUUUAUAAGAUAUAGUUCUGUGUUAGAGAAACUACUCAUUGAAGAUGGGAAAAAAAAUUGUUAAGAAAAUUGAUUUAUGAGUGUUGGGAUCCAUACUCUAUUCACUGGGAGUUAUAUCUGUGUUUGCUACAUUCUCGUCAUCGGUCUCUUCAAAUGCAUAGGUCUCUUCACUGUAUCCACUUGUGGUAUCACUUGGAUCAUGUAAAAUGAAGAGAGAUUAAAGCAUCAGUGCACAUCUAGUAAUGGAAAAAAGGUUUAUGUCAAUUAUUUAUUUUUUUAUAAAGACUAACCUUUUAGAUUUUUUUUGUUGGUGUAGAGGUGAAAAGACUCUUUUUGACUGGCUCCCUUUGUCGUUUCUUUGAACUUGAACUGCUCUCAGUUGGAGAUGAAGGUAGAGAUUUCUUGAGUGAGAGUGGUGGUGUGCAUGGUAACAUUUCAUGAACCAUAUGUUUCUUCCCAAGGUUACUUAUUGCUUCAUCAUCUUUGUUGUUGUUUGAAGGGUGAAUUUGUGCUUGAUCCUUGAAAACAGUUUGGAUGAGCAAGUCAUUUCUGCUUGUGUCACUUUUAACUUUCCCAAGUUUGAGUUGGAAAAGUUUGAUUUGACCUUUUACUCGGAGUAUUUGUUGUGGUAAUUCAUUUUGGUCACAGAAACUUUUGUUGAUUACUAAUUCUUCACAUGUGAUUCCAAAUAGUUCUUCGGCUGAUUUACCUAUAAUGAUGGCAUUGGUUUCGUCAUUGGCAUCUUCAAGAAUUAAACUAACUUUGAACCUGCGUUGAAAUUGAUGUGAUUAUUUAUAAAGAAGUAUAAUUAAGUUUAUGUUUUAUAUAGUAAUAGAUUCAGAGUAAUUUUGUAUUACCAAGCAAUAGGGUUUUGAAUAUCAUCAGUUGGACAAACCAGCAUGUCACUUUGAGGCUUUGGUUUUAGUUGUUUGAAGCAGAUUAGACAUGCCUUGUACCACCAGCCGUUACUCAAAUCAAACCGUGCAACUGCUGCUCUGCACAGAAAUGGAGUGUUCUGCAAUAUUUGUUAAAGAAUGAUGAGUAUAAUUUGAACAGACACGAACCUACAUUCUUAUACUCUUCAUCCAGUUUUCAGGAAAUGUUUUAGACAUCAAUGAAAACUGUAUGUGCAAUCAAAACAGAAUUUCUAUUAUACUAAUUGCAUGGAUACAAAAGCUGACAACCCAGAAAAACGAAUUUUGAGACCAAUAUAACACUGUUAAAUAUACAACAUUGUUAAAUUUGGAAUGCAUUCCAUUUUACCUGAUAAAGAUUUAGAUCCAAGAUAUUCAAUUGCCCUACUGAUAGUUUUUCAGCGGCAUCCAAUUGAUCUGGUGUCAUUAGUUGUGCUGAGGUUGGAAUCAUUUUCAAAGCAUGACUGGAACUGGCAAAGUUUUUGCACAUUUUGUGUUAAGUGGUAACACAAUGAGAUUGAAUUUUAAUAUUAUUUGAGUGAUAUAUAUAUAUAUAUAUAUAUUGUUCAGAAAAUGGUAAAAAAAACUUACAUUGAUUUGUAAUUUGCUGCUUCUGGUAUUUUUGGGUUUAUGAAAAACAAAGUGCAUCCGGUACUGCUAAGCAUUGUGUUUCCUGUGGGUUUGCAGAUAUGGAAGCAUGUUAUUUUUUGUAAUACAAUGUAAACAUUGGAAAGAAGUAAAGUUAAGUUGUAUACCUAGGAACCGUUUUACUUUGAGACUUGUGAACACAGCCACAAUUGGUGAUGGUUGUUGUGUUACAACUUCAAUAUCAAAGGUCCUGGCGCAGUCUCCCCAAAGUGUAACUCUCACUUCUUCGUUUCUGACCAAAGAAGUUAGAGCAAAAUAUUACGAAACAUUUCCAACUCGUUUACUUUUGGAGUCCAUAUAUGUGUGUGUGAAAACCAUUUUGCAGAACACUCCAUUUCUGUGCACAGCAUUUCCAACUUGUUUACUUUCAGAUUUUCACCAACCUAGCAACCUUCAGUUCUUCGACAAUCAACAUUCACAUAUCAAAAGAAGAAAAAAUUAAAAACAGAACUUGAUUACUCAUUAAUGAAAUCACCUUAAAUUGCAUAUGGAUCACCAUAGGUUCAGGUUCCUGCAUCAAUAGUUUUUGUAUUCCACCCAUCUAAAUACAAUUGCCUAUUCUUUCCCAUAAUGUCAGUCAUGUUAUAGUUGAAUAUACGCUUGACACGUAUUCAAUGUCUAAUGAACGAUUACCACAUGAUAAAAUGAUUACCUGGUGUUUUGAAGGUGAACGUCACAUUUUGUUUCCAGUCUUUCUUUGUUAACCAUUCUGUCUUCCAAUGGUUGCACUGAUGUGAUAUGUCCCAUAACAUCUUGCAAUUUGGCAAUCCAAUAUCCUAAGAUUAUAGCAUGAAAAAAUGUUGACAAACAAAAAUGGCAUAUAGAUGUAGGUUUAUAAAUGUAUUUAAUUACCUGUGAGAAUUUCAACUUUAUCUACACGGGAUAACAAUUCACUGCAAUCCACUAAAUAAAAGCGGUGCUCAGGAAUGUGUGGAGGUCUUUCUGGUAUUUGUUUGAAAGUUGUUUUCCCAUUGAAGUAUAGUUGUACAGUGUGUGGUACGACCUUGUACGUUUGUUUACUGGAACGGCUAUGCAACCGUGUGAUCUCAUAUAUACAACCAAAUUUAAUUUUUGGAGCUACUAUCUCAUAGUCUGCUUCUAAGACCGAGGCUUCAAUGGCAUCAUUCUGCAUUACAAAAAUUAUAAAGAGUUAUUUAUAGCUUUCUCUUCUUUUGAAAUUAUAGUUUUAACUAUAUUACAUUUAAACAAAAUGGUUUUCUCACCAGUUCAUCAACCAGUACACAUUGUAAGCCAUUGAAUUGGUUUUGGCGUCCAAACAUUUUGGGUCUCCACAACCGGCAUAUUCUAACUUUGAUCUUCAUAUCGUUUCUAAAAGGCUUUAAUUCACAGAUUGGUACGAUGCUCAUUGUUUUGUAAGUCUGCAGACAAAGUAUAUAUAUUGUUAGAAAGAAAGUGUGUUUAUAUAUCAAAAUCUAUGUUGGCAAUAUGUAAAUGUUUACAAACUUGCAGUGAAAAAAAAUUACACAAAAGCUAUCAAAAGCUAUCAAAAUGAUACAUCGAAGCACACCAUCUGCCCAACCUUGGAUACAGUGGAAAAAGAGAAUUCAUAAGAUUUGCUAUGGUAUAAGAUUCACAAAUUUGCAAUAAUAAAGUAAGUAUUAAAAGAAUAUGCAACAUGCUAUCUAAUAAUGCUUUAAAAUAGUAACAAACAUAACAUGUGUAAUGCAUAUAUCCUAUCAGUACACAAAUUAUUACAUACAUUUACAUAUCAAUAUGCUUGUGAGCAAGAUAAAGAACAAAAGGACCUCCAGCAAUUUACAAUGGUAAGGCAAACACAUUCGAAAUAAGAACUCAUCAAACAUUGUUCCAAAAGGAUGGUCAUCAAGUUAGAGGAGGGAAGCGGUGGAAUUAUUUUCCUUAUGUUAACAUCUAUCUGACUUCCUAAUUUUCUUUGUAUCCAAGCACUAAGUUUUGUUUUUCAUUCUUUUUAAGGUAUCAUAAACGAUCAUGCCCCCCAGCUGUUGAUUACAAUCUUCAUUGUCUCUAUUUCUCUUGUUUCUUCAUUAAAAAGGUUUUUGUAAUAGUUGAUGCCUAUUGUAGGCAACAUCUCACCUCCUCAACAAUAAAAUGUAUCUAAAGACCCAAUUAAUGAAAUUACAAACGAAGAACAACCCAAUUGAUAAAUUGAUGAAUUCGUACUUACACAGACAACAAACAGAGGAACGGGGAAAAUAUAUAUAUACAACAGACUGGUUCGAACAAUUCAACAAUUAGCAUGAAGAGAACAGUGCUUCCACCGAAAAUUAAAGGGGAAAAUGGUGAUAAUUCUGAGCACCAUUUAAAAAAAAAUUAACCAUUAUGCACUUGAUAAUCACAAAUGAGAUCAUAAGGUCCAAAAAAUUACCGCUCAACUCCAAACUAUGAAAUACCAAAUUAAACACAGAAAUAUCACAACCCCAAACCCAAACAGAACCCCAAAUCAAUUAAAAAAAAAGCCUCAACCCGUAUUAAAAAAAAAAUGCUCCAAUCCAUGUCUCUCUCAUUUUUCCCUUCCCUUGCUCUAUACUCUUUGCCAGGAAAAUCCUAACAGAGGACCUGUUAACCAUUUUUUUCCCCAAAAUAAAAAAUAAAAAUAAAAACCUUCAAAACACCCCAUACGAUCCCAAAUUCUCAAAUCCGUUCAAAGAUACUUAGCAUGAAAUCACAGCAACUUCACAAAUCCUCUUCAUAUCUGCAUCAAAAAUAACGAAAAAGAAGUGCAAUCAACCCAAGAAACAAAAGAUCAGUAGAAGUCGAGAUGUUUCGUAGAAAAAUUAUCCAUCAGCAUUUCUCCUUUUUACCUGAGGACUCGAGCUGGGCUCUGAGAGAGAAGUCGAGAUGUUUCGUAGUUUCUCCAAAAUAGAGCUUGUGGUUGCUGCGCGAGAGAGCUCGUUGUUUCUGGAAGCAAAUGGAUAAAGGUCGGCUUUUCCGCCUUCUUCUUUCAAGAUUACGAACACGUGUACAUUACCAACAACACGUGUAAAUCAGGAGUGGCGCCAAAGACGGGCACCAACUGCGAUUUUGGCAGAAAGGAAAUAAAAGAACCAAAGCAAGGGCAAAAUCGUCAGUGCACUGUGCUAUGAACAGUGUUUUAGGCUUUUUUCUCUUUUAGUAUAUACUAGCAACGGUGCCCGCGCGAUGCUGCGGGUUCAAAACUGUAUAAAACAUGUAGAAAGUUAUAAAUACACACGAUAUGCAAUAAUAUGUAAUAUUUACAUAUAUGUUCAAAUCUAUUUACAACUAUAUGGCUUGAUGGUUCUAUCACCAUUGUUAAUAUUCAUAUCUUUUACAAAUUGAUGUCCUAACUGUCUUUAACUAAAAGAAAAGAUAAAAGUUUAUUUCUUACCGAAAUCUACCAAUUUGAAUCAAAUCUACCAAAGAAUAGAUUGUAGCAUACCUUGUCAUUUCUGCAAACUGGACACCUGUAAUAACAAUAGCGAUAUAAUUUCUUCCAAAGCCAUUGGAAAAACCAAAUUUGAACAGAACUUCCUCCCCCCUCCUCUGACCAAAUAAAUAAAAAAGUUAUGUUUCUCUUUUAGAACCUCGAAUCACAUGAAACUCCAAUCACAUGACACAAAACCAUAUAGAACAGAAAUUAGAAAAAAUGAAACUAAACACAUUAACUCUUGACAAAAACUUAUUACCCAUUCUUAAAAUCACUGAAAAUACGAAUCACCAAUGAAGAAAUGAGGAAACAGAUCAGUAACCUAACUUAUAUACCAUUAGGAUGAACAAAUCAGUAACCUAACUUAUAUAGCAUUAGGAUGAACCAUGCUAAUUUGUUCAUAUAACAGACCUGUCUCCCUACAUUUCCUUUUUUCUCAGCGAACAAAAAGACCUAUCCUCCUUUUUUAAAACUUGCAACUACUUAGAAUAUUAUAACAGAAUGAUCAAACAAAACAAAUUAUCUCUUUGAGCACACAUUAACUCUCGAGCAUGGAAAGACUUUGGUUUAUUGCAAAAGAAAAAAUGGAUAAUAAAAUAAGAAACCCAUUGGAAAACUUGGCGAUAGAUUGGUUAAAGAACAAUUUAAAAUACUUUUUGUACCACUUGGUGAUGAUAAAUACUAUUUGUUUCCGGAUGACAUUAAGCAUCGUGAAGAAACAAAACAAAUAAACUUUAGAUAAAAGUUCAUAUCACCUGCCCCAAAUCAGCUGAAGAAUUCAUAAUAGAAUUUAUACCUUGCAACACUACACAGUAACACAAUAAAUAUAAUCAGUCUCAUAAUUAUUAAUCUGCGAAACAAUAAGAAAUUAAUAUAAAUCAAAAAAUGACAAACCUAUUACUUUGCAUUCUCAUUAUUGCAGAUAUCUGAUAAUUCCCAUCACCAGAAACUCUUACUUUGUAUAAACCAUAUGUAUGUAACCAGCAAGAAAGUAGUAAGAAAAUAACUAAACUAUCACUCGAAAAGAAGUUAGACAAAAGUGUGGAGAAUAAAAAACAGAUAUCUACUUCCAAUCUAUCAAGAUGUUAAAGUUUAGAGUUGCAUCAUCUUCAAUGCCUAAACGAAGAGUAGAAAUAAAUUCAUCCACGAAAUAAGAUGUUAUUUAUAAGAAUCAUAACACAAAUGUAAUGUGCACAACUGUCAACCCAAUCUACCCAUCCUGGUAUAACUCCAAUACCGCCAGAAGCAUGUUAAUAAAAUAUUAGUCCCAAUACAUCAUAUUUUCUCCUAUCAUUUUCAGAAGUCAUGUGGUUUUCCACAAAUUGUAAAGCAUGUAUAUACAAUGUGAGGUUUGCCUAACUCCAGCUAUUUCCGAGUGUGCACUGGUGUGUUUUUUCCUCUGAAAGAUGAACCGCUAUUAUUCCCACCAUAACCAAAAAGGAAGGAAAAUUUGACAAAAGAAGCUAUCUUAAUACCUUUCAGGAAAAUUGUGAACCACAAAAUAAGCAUUGCAUUUCAAGUACCAUUUGCACUUCGAGCUUAUGAAAAGAAGAAUAACCCAAAAUAUAUUCACCCAAAAUAUAUUCACGAUUAUUAUCUGAAGCUUUCUAGCUUUCUCUAAUAGCUUUCUCUAAAGCUUUCUGCUUUGUCAAUUCCUUUUCUGUUGCUAGCCUAAAUACAAAAAAAAAAAUUAAAUCAAUUUCUUUCGAAAAUUCAAAAAUUCAUUUAAUUAUGUAAAAGAGCAUCUGAUUAUUUUGAAAGCAGUUAAGGUGGGUUCCAUACCAAGGUAUAACUUGAUAAAUUAUUACCUGAAGCUUUCUAGCUUUCACUGAAGCUUUCUAGCUUUCACUAAAGCUUUCUGCUUUGUCAAUUUCUUUUCUCUCGCCUGCCUAAAUAUAAAAAAAAUAUAAAAAUUAAAAAUUAAAUCAAUUUCUUUUGAAAUUUCAAUAAUUCAAAGGAAUAUCUGAUUAUUUUGAAAGCAGUUGAGGUGGAUUCUAUACCAAGGAAUAACUUGAAGCAUAUCAAAGUUAAUAAGCUUUAAGAGGGGUGAAAAAACUUUGCAAAGAGAGAAGGUAUUGAAUGAUCAAUGAUAAGAAUUUGGUCACCUUAUUUGAUCAAUGCCAAUGAUUCUGAAGUAAGUAUCAAGUGCAUUAAAAUUUGAAUAUAACAAAGCUUGAAAAGCACACAUCUGUAAAUGAUAAAAAUAAUGCUAAGUAUUGAUACGUAACUGAAACAACUCAAACUACGGGAUCAAAAUGAUUGUUUCCACAUAAAAUAAAUUCAAUUGUUAGAAGGUCUUACAAUUAGACAAAAGAAGAACAAAAUGACAGACCACCACCCUCCAAUGCCAACACAACACACAUACAAACAGUAAAUGAUGAACAUGAAAAUGAAGUUGAAAUGAAAGAAAAGUAGAGCCUAAGCUAAAAUGAAUUCAAAGGAAGAUUUUUGCACCAGAAGAACAACAUCAUUACCAUUCAAAUACAAACAUAUAACACAAUAACAUAUGUUUUAACUCUUCUUCCAGCCUUGAAAUAGAUUUAGCAAGCAAACCAUUUGCAUGACUAAGAACUCCUACUCUCAAGCCUUUGGUGCUACUAAAGAACCAUAUAUUUCUUCCUAGAUGAUCAAUUGAAACACCCCAGACAUCAAUUAAUUCUAAUCAUAAUUAAAUUCUAAUAGUGGUUUAAAAGAGUAAGGGCGUGUUAUAUGUAUAGAUGAACAAACAGAUUCAACCUAUCAUAUAUACGGGAUGUCAACUUGUUUAGUCAUAGAUUCAGAACAGAUAGAAAAAAUAUUCAUAGAUCAGAUACCUUAAUGGUGUUCACGUUAAUAUGUCAUAUUUUGCCUUUUUCUGGAUAACUCUUCUCAUGUAUUGGAUUGCAAACUUCACCUAAAUAAGCUAAAAAAUAAAAAUAAAUAAAAAAUAAAUAAAAAGGUGAAGGUUAGAGGUUAUAGCAGUCAUGACUUAGUAUGCCACUACAACUGAUAAACAAAAAAUAAUAAUUGCCCAAUAUAGGCGAGUAUUGGUAGCAACCAUCAGAAAAGCUCUAAUUAAAAGCAAUCUAUUCGCCAAUAUGCACCAAAAAACAGUUACAAUAUCCCAGACAAUCAGACAUAUAGGAUAUGCUUACACUGAACUUCAACUAAUUUUGUAGGUGUCCACCAAUUCUGUCAUUAAAUCAACCAAAUGAGAGAAUAUAGGAACUAACAUUGGGUGUCAAGAAUUCGUACCGUGGGUGUAAAGAAUUUGUACCCGUAUUGCGCCGAUUCAUAACGAUGAACUGGAACCGCGGUUGAGUAUUCCUUAACAAUACAACAAUAAUAAGAUUAGGUAUAUUAAGCAAGCUUGAGAGGUAAGUAAGAGAACAACAAUGUCGCACUGGAGUAAUCUGAAGCAAUAACGUAUAACUAUUCAAGAUGACACAUAAAAGCCUAACUUUGUGGAUGAAAAAAGUUCAAAUGGUGGUUUGAUUAUGAAAUACUGAGAGUGUUACCUUAACUAUAGCUACAUUGAAGAAUGCCAAGUAAAAUUGCAUACGACAGAGAGACUAAAACAUGAGCAAGCCCACGUUCUCACCCAGACGUUAACAAUUCUCUGUCUAAGCAGAGAUACAAUCAAAACAUACUGAUGUGCCAACAAAAUGACACAUUAUUAAGAAUACUCCACUUAAGACAAAAUUUAGAGCUGUAAUUGGCAUUUAGAAAACUAAUUAGUAAUAUUGUUAUUCGAAAACUACCUGAGUGUUAUUCAAAAACUGAGCCGUAUACUAUUGACACUAAGUUGUAUACUGUUGAAACAAAUUAUUUCCUCCUUGCCUGAUGCAAAACAACAAUUAAAUCGGAAAAUUAUGUAAGUUUUAGUUAUAUUAUGACACUGUUUACGUAAAAAUGCUUCAGACCUAACUUUCCCUAUCUAAAACUAAACAAAAAUCGAGAUGGAUUCCAUUUCAAGGGACAUUCAGUCAUCCCAUAUUUCCGACUGUACACUAAAAACAUUUUCGAUAAAAUUUUCUCUGCCUUUGAAACUACUUUACCUCAUCCUCACUAAAUCUGCCAGCACUGAUUAUUCUCUCGAAGAGUUCUCCCCCAGUUACUCCAUCACAAUGGCUAGAUGAGUUGGUGUCAGCAGGACCUGCAAGAAAGAGACCCCACUACUCUCAAGUCUUAAACACAAACCUCCUAACAGAGGACAACAACUAAUCCAAAACAAAAUUAUUAGAACUUCAUCCAAAUUAACAAAAACACAGAACCAAAAGUGAAACACAACAGUUAUGAAAUAUACCUCAGUUGUAAUAAAUUUAUUCUCCAACGAUCUAAAGACAGUCGUCGCUUAACAACCGAAAGGCAGCCGUCGUUCAAACAGAGAAAAAAAACAGGGAACAGAUCCGGCCAAAAUUCGUCAAUCGCAGAUGAAAACAAACGCAAAAACACCAAAAUCUUCAACCCCCAAUCACAACUCCACAAAUCUGGCAAACCUCGAAACCGAUUUCCUUCCAAGUCUAUUACCAAAAUUGCAUGCUUGGAUAAGCAAGCUAGAAAAUUCUCAAACUCAAAACAUAAUCUAAUUAAAAUUUCACCCAAGAAAACUCCCCACCUCUCGCAUUAAAUCAAAACUCCCAAACCAAGUCAAUGGUUGAUCACAACCCAUAACACAAUCUAAUUAAAAAUUUUACCCAAAAACUAUUCAAUUUUUAACACUUCAAAUUGAACAAAACAAAAUCGAUAGAUUUGGUUAAAAAAGCUCCCAGAUGCAAGAUUCGAAUAACUCACCGAAAAACUAUCCAGUCUGAGAGCGAGUGAGACCGAGAAAGAAGAUAGCGACACAGAGCCACGGACAGCAAAACCGAAAACAAUGAAAGAGCAGUUCGAGACAAAACAAUGAAAAGCAAUAGAAGCAUGAAGAGGAUGCAGCAAUGGCUAACACCUGGAAAGCAAGGGUAUAAGCGUCAUUUCAGUGUAGAAAAGCUGAAACAAAGCGCAAAGAGGAAAAAAUUUGGAGGGGCAAAAUCGUCCCACCACUGGUCAUCCACAGUACCACCCUGAUUGGGUUUUAGUAUAUAAAGAUAUAAUUUUCUUGCAUCGCAAUUUUUAACUGAGAUUGGAGUUUGGCAUGCAAGUAAAAGCGUGUAUAAGACCUUUGAAGUUUGAACGUUGACUAUUUUAAUUGAAGUUUUAGUACGCUGAGGUAUAGUAUCGGUGUGUGCUAACCUUUUACACGACAUGAAUACUUUAACACACAUACACACACAAAAAUUGAAUCAUAUUGUGAUGACUCAAGUCUUAUUUGACUUGAAAUGUGUCCAAGCGUGUUUAUUAAAUUAACUAAGACAACUCAAAACUAAUUAAGACCUCUCUAAUCCACUAGCCAGACCUUAGUAUUGUUUUUUCUUAUUUUUAUAGGAUAAAUUGAAUAAGAAUAAGUCAUGAUGUCUAGAAAGGUUGUCUAAAAUGAUUCCCUGUGAAAUUUGAACUUAUAAUCUUCUUCGAAAAAAUGAAAAUCAGGUGUCGCUAAUCCAAAACGAUAAUAAGCGAACAAAGUGUAUUAAAAUAUUAUUGGAGGAAAAUGAAGAGAAUGUGUUGUACUUAAUUAAACGUGCAAGAAAAUUUUGGUAGAAAUUAGUUAAUUUGACCUCAAAAGAAACGUUGAAAGAGGAAUUGAGGAAUAGUUUGGAUCAAAUGAUAUCAUUGCUGACAACUUUGGAUCAUAUUCUCUAUUUUGUCUUUCUCUUUCUAUAUAAAAUCAAUCUAAUAUAUGUUGACGUGGCUUAACCGUAACUGUUCAAAUAGGAGGGAAGGGAAGGAGAGGGAAAAAAAGAGGGGAGAUACACACACACACACACACUUAAAUUUAACCCUUAAGCUCACAAGACAUAUGCUCAAAUUGUCAUUCAAAGUGUUUGGGGUUAAAGUGUAUACGCUCAAAAGAUCAUUAUAUGAAUGCUCUACCAUAAGCAUGCAGAUUGAUCUCAUCUCCACACAUAAAAAAUUACCUUCUUUGGAUCAAGUAGGUCUUUGUGAAGGGUUGUAAAGGCGCUUCAAUGACUUGGUUAAUCAAAUGAAGCAUAUGGGAAACACAAAGUCUAAGAAACUAAUAGAGUAGUUGGAAAUGAAACCGAGAGAGACGUGCGACAAUUAACCAAGGCAAUAAAUUGAGCAGUUUGAUGAACGACACAUAACUGCACAAUGAAUAUCUGAUGAUGGCAGCUCACUUGUGACUCAUAAUGAUUUAUUUUCCUCUUUUCUUCUUUUGUUCUUCAUUAGUAGUUGGGCUUUCUUUAUAAAAUUUUCAUCUUCAACUUUUAAUAACCUUGAACUCUCUCUCCUUUUAAAAAACGUACUCUACUAGCUUCUUAGUAGGGUAGGGAAUUUUUAAUAUAAGAGGCUAGGUAAGGAAAAUGUAGGUUUAAGAACAAAAGGCUUACAUAUAGGCUCAUAAGAACUGAAUAGGGGAAAAACAUAUAUAAGGCCUUGGCAUAUAUGGCAAUGGUGGUAAAGUUCUAAUACCUACUAUCGUCUCCAAAAUAAAGUAAUAUAUGAUACAAAGUUUUGAGAGAUCUCAAGGCAAAUUCUAGAGAUGCAAAACACUUUAGAUCGCACACAUGAAUUAAAAAGAGUAUAAAAAAUGCAUACACUAUAUUUAGGCACAAAAGCUCACAUGGGUGCGGGUUUUACUCAAGCUAAACAUGUUCAACUCAUUAACAUUCAUAUAUUAUCAAUAAGAGGCUAUUGUCCACAACAGGUCAAACAUAUCAUGCUAGGGUCAUGCUAUCAAGUGAACAAAGCUAGAACUCAUAUGAAAUCAUACUUUUCCAUUUUACCUCAUAUAUAUAUAUUUUUUUAACAAGAAGACAGAAAAAUGCAGUAUCAAUGCUAUAUGAACAUGCAAGCAUACAUAAAUGAAAGCAUUUGCAAAGAGAGAGCUCAGUCAAUAUAAACAAUUUGAAGGUGGAGAGGAAUUGACAAAUACACCACUUUGAUUCUCUUUUAUUCUCCAAACUUGUUGCACUUUUGGAACAACCGUACUCGGAACAUAUAUAAUUCUUGCAAUCCGAUUAAUCUCUUUCAAAUAAGUCACAAAUUGUUUCUUAAGAUUUGCUUUUUUAGAGUUCAUUGAAACAUUUUUCUUGAGAAAAAUUUUUCUUCCUAAGCUUAUUGCACUUAGGCCGGAUGUGACCAGGAAUCCCACAAAAAUGACAUAUAGGAAUGAACUUCCUAGAUUGUUUGGGUUUGUUAGGAUUAACUGAAGUCUUGGUAGGAUUUGACACAUUUGCAAAGAUUGUAGAAGUUUCAGAAGUAAGACCUAAAACUUGAUUGACAGCUACUUUCAAGCUAGGAAAUAUCAAACGCUUCGACAAAUCUUGUGAUGGAAGAAUAACUAAUAGUCUUUUCAAACUCAAAUCCUAAACCUUUUUUAUCUCCAAAAUUCUUUCCAUAGCUAAGCAUCUUGUCAAAUUUUCCCGAACAUGCUUAAUUCCUGAACUUUGUUUUUUAUCUCAACUAGUUCAUCCUAAAGAACUUUCUUAUCAAACGUGAGAGUGCUUUUUGUGGUUUGAAGAAUAUGUAUCUUCUCUAACAAUGACUCUCACAGUUUCUCUCUAUUGUCUAACUAAGAUUGAUGCUCAACUUUAGCUUCCUUCUUUUCACUUUCAGCUAAUGCAAGUUUCUUUUUCGAGUUAGAGUUAUCCUUCUUUUCUUUACUUGCACACUGAUGUCUUAAAGAUUAGAAUAUUUCUCAAGACUUCUUUCAAGUCAGGUUCUUCAACAAAUGAACCUUCUGUGUCAUAUCCAUCAAUAGUUCCUAUAAAGGCAGUUGUAUCCUUCUCAUUUUCAGAGGAAGAUGCAUCUCCUGAAUCAUUAUCUCUCCAAGUAACAUUCAUUGCCUUAUUCUUCUUCUCCUUCUUCUUGAUAGUAAUUGCACACUCAUAAGCAAUAUGUCCAUACCCUUGGCAUUCAUGACAUUGCGCUCUAUUGUUAGAACUCUUACACUUACUAGUUCUAGAAGAUUUAGAUGCUUUGUCAUGUGAGACAUCUAGAGAACGAAAGUUUCUAGAGUUUGAACCUAAGUUAGUUCGUUGCUCAUGACCCUUGGAAUUCUGAGAGUUGAGAAACCUUCUAAUUUGCAUGGUUAAUGCAACCAAUUCAUCUUCGAACAAGUCAUCCAUUGAGCCAUCGCUUUCUUCUUCUUUGAUAGCUUUGAGAGCAAUGUUUUUCAUCUUAUUGGAAUUAGGAAACUCUAAUUCAUGUUUGCAGAGGGCCAAUCAGUUGUUCGAGCUUGUAGGUGUUUAGAUCUUUCGAUUCCUCAAUUGUAGUCCUUUUAAUAUGAAACCUCUAGGAAGUGAUCUUAAGAUCUUUUUCACAAUUCUAUAUUCUGGAAUACUGUCACCAAGAUUGUGGCAGCCAUUGACAAUUACGCUAAGCUUAGCAUAUAAGUCAAAGAAACUCUCAUCAUCAAACAUUGUGAUAUUUUCAAAUUUUGUGAUGAGAUGUUGAAACUUGGAUUCUUUAAUAGUUUAGUAACUUCAAGAAUGUCCCAAACUUCUUUCGCCAUUGUACACUUGCUUAUGUAAUCGAAUUGUUCAGGCGAAACGGCUGUGAAUAAAGUAUUCAAAGCCUUUUGGCUAAAAGUGCUAGAGCUACGCUCAUCAUUGCUCCAUUCUUUCCUAGGCUUGAGCUUAGAUAUAGAAUCAAAGGACUUUCCUUCACCUUUUGUUUCUUUGAUCGUCAGAGGUUCCCAACCUUCUUCAACAGCAAGCCACACCUUGUCAUCUUGCGCCCACAAAUAUGAUUUCAUUUUUGCCUUCCAUGCAGCAUAGUUGUCACCAUCAAAGUGUGGUGGAUGAGAAAUUGAACCCAUAGCAUGAUUCAUCCUAGACUACCCAUGAAUCUCACUAAGUAUUUUUAGUGACCUGCUCUGGUACCAAAUGAAAGUUUCUAGGAUGGUACUAGUUUAACCUAGAGGGGGGGUGAUUAGGUUCCAAUUUAAAAAAUUCAAUUUAAUUUUCAAUUCUCAAAUUAAUUCCACAUUCACAUUACAUAUAAAUUAUCCUACACAUGUGCAAUUAUAAAGAUAAAUAAAAUGUGCACACAUGAUGGAUUUAACGAGGCAAAACCCACCAUUGGGAAAAUCCUCGGGCUCCCAAGCCAGGACAAGCACUUAGAGAAAUGAGUACAAAAAGACUUACAAAACUCAUCAACUAGACACGCAUGCUAGUAUGAAGUUUUGUCUCCGCGCUUUGCUACUCGAUCUCUCUUCUACCUUCUAGUGGAAGUGGCACGAUGCUAACGCGGUCGUCAAUCACCUUAUCCUCGAACUUUGCAGGAUACUAUAACGCGAUCAUGCAGAAUGAAUAUAUGAUAAAAUAAUUUUUGAAAAACAAUAAAUUACGAAAAUCACAAUGUACAUUUUCAUAAUUGAUCUCAAUUUAAAGCACAAUGAAACAUCAGUGAUUAAAACUAAAUAAACUUUCUCCUUAAAAACACUUGGCAAUAAAGCUACUGAUUUUUCUGGAAUGAAAAUAGCUCUCUGUGCACUUGGGGCUGCUAACAUACUUUUGAUCUCCGAUGAUAUUUCAUGCAGCGAUACAGAGUAUACUACAAAUAUCAAUGCUUACGGUAGCAAAAACCAAAACCAAAAGCAUGUUCUAAUACAUGCAGCAGCAAAAAUUAUGAUAGAUGAUGACUUGUAAAAAACCUAACGCAUGGAGCAAUACUCUAAAAAAACAAUGAAGAAAAUAUGGUUUUCUUUUCUUCCUAAUGCAUGGCUGCAGACCAACAUAUAAAGGAUGCUGCAAAAAUCUCUUUUACCAAUGCAUGUAUAUGACCGCAAUUGAAAAGCAGAAUCUGUAUAUUAAACGCAUGCGGCAGCAGCAGCCAAAGCCCUAAUCUAAUGCAUCUAUAAAUAGGCUGCAGUAAGAGAAGUCAACAUGACUUAAAACUCCACGAGAUUAAGAUGAAAAAGGAAGAAAUAUGACUAUCAAACUAAUUCCAGAUUAUCAACACGUUUUUCUCAGCAAGUGAUAAACAUCAAAUAAGGUCCGAGUUUUCAUCAGAUAAAACCUAUUCAGCUAACAAUAUCUCCCAAUUAGCCACAACAACUAAAUGGGCUGUUAGUUAAGUCCAAACUAAAAUAACCAAAUUAAUCAGUUCGUAUGCAGCCAAAAACUAAAUGAAAUUGAACCAAAACAAACCUAACUAUAUGUAAUGUAUCUGCAUGACAAACUUACUUGAGUGGAUAUCUCUAAAACGCUUAUUAUUUUUGUGAUCAAAAGCAUGAGAGACAUACUUAGACUAAAGCAAUUACAAUUGAGACAUGCGCUAGUCCAAGACAUUACAGACUUAGGCGUUUUGUUUAGGAAUAGCAAAUUUUACCCUAACACAGUCUCUGGAACCGGCAAACUGCUUUCCCUUGUUUACCAUCUGCUUUUCAGUUUCCAUGACUCUGAUCUUCAUCUGGAGAUCGGUGAUAUAGGUAAUGGCAUCACCAAGAAGAGAGGCUUUAUCCAUCUUCGAUAUGUUAGGAACAACAGCUCUUAGUGGAUAGAAUCUCUGGUUAAGCUUCUUGCGCCUUUGCCGCUCUGCUUCCACAUUAUUUAAUGGUUCUUCUCUCCCAUUGUCAGGUUUUCUCCCUCUCUUUCUGGGUUUCCGCUCAUCAAUUUGUGUGGAGGACUCAUCUUUGAGCAGCUCCGAACUUGAAACUCUUGUCUGGACAUUGAAACCAUCAACCAUUAUUUGGUUCAUUUGAGGAAACAGUUUUACUUCACUAUCCUCACUUCGACAUCCAUUUGAAGUGCCUAUCAGGGCCGGUCUAGAGAUUUUUGAAGCCUGAGGCGACGCCAACAAAUGUGUCCUCACUUUAUAUAAUAAAAUUAUUUGUUUUCAUACGUAAAACAUCGAUAAAAUUAUACUUAGAAAAACACUUUAAACUUAAUAAUUUAUAAACACGGAAAAACUAAUUUAUUUUGUAUCGUGAGAAGGCAACAAAAAAACUCCGGGUUAGAAGUAGAUAGAUUUGAGUUUUGUUUUGUAUUUGAACUUUUAAAGUGUUUUUGUAUAAAUCGUGAGGUGUUUUUUUCUUAUUUACUAACCUUGUCAAUAUGGGACUAAAAAAUAAUGAUGUUAUUGAGUCUUUAAUUGAUAUGUAUAGUAAUAAAUGGGUACUAAAAUUUGGUCAACGCAUAACUCUUUGUUGAAGAUUGGACUUGAAUUGGAACAAAUGUUUAAAAAUAAUAACCCACAUAGCUACUAGCUACUAAUUAAAAAUAAAUGAACAACCAAACAAAAUUCGUAAAAAUUGAAAAUAAUAAACUAGCACUUAGCAUUUUGAACUUAUGACCUCUCGUUAAUUUUAAACAACAAAAACCAUUGAUUCUAAUUAAACUUCUUGAUUAUUUAGUCAAAUCUUAUAUAUUUAUACUCUUACGAUGAAAAGAAAAUUGUAAAAAUUGAAAAAUAAAUAAGCACACAUGGUGUUUUGAAUCCAAGACAUCCUCAUUAAUUUCAAACAACAAAACCACCAGUUAUAGUUCAAUUUCUUUGUCAUUGAACCAAAUUUUAUAAAUUUAUACUCUUAUGAAAACAUAUAUAAAUAUAUUACCCUAAUAAUUUUAGUGCCCCCAAUUAUUUUGGGUCCUGGACGGUCGCCCUGCCAGCACUGGGCCUGAGCCGGCCCUGGUGCCUAUUGAUUGUAAUUCAAACGAUUCCAGCGACUGGAUUUGAUCAGCCACCUCUGUGUCUAUGUGGAGACAUGAUGUGCCGAGAAAAUUCCCUGACCUGAAGAUUUCGACCUUCCCCGUAAAGAUCAUUUUUUGGCACCUUCGUCUUUACGUGAAGACAUGUUUUGCUGAGAAAAUUCCUUGACCAGAAGAUUUUGACCUUCCUCGUAAAAACCAUUUUCUGGCACCUCCGUCUCUACAUGAAGACAUGUUGUGCCGAGAAAAUUCCUUGAUGAGUAGAUUUCGACUUUUCCCGUAAAGAUCACUUUUCAGCACCUUCGUGUCUAUGUAGAAACUUGUUGCGCCAAGAAGAUUCUUGACGAGUAAAUCCGAGCCACUGAAGAUGAACAACUUGGAGGAGUUCUUCUUGGAUUGAUAUACUUUGCAGAACGGCACAAUCAUCUUUUCCAAAGUUAACAACGAUCCUCUUCUCAGGAAAAUAGCGGCACCAUUUUGGUGCACUUUGUGCAUAAGUGCAGAAGUCUUAUCCAACGCCGGCAACAUUUUUUAUGGUUAACUUGAUUAUAAGCAGUAAUCAUCUCUUUAUCCUUUGCGUAAGCAGCAAAAUGAAGCUCAUAAAUGGCCCGCUCAAGAUCUUGAAUAUGAGGUAUAUAACUUCCAAUCUCAUUCUCUGCACUUUCAUACUUAAAUUGGAUCGCAUCAAGCCUAGUCUUCAAGUCAACGACUCUUGGCUAGUGGUCUCAAGUUACAGAGAAGUAAGGGCAGAGAUAUUAGACCCUUUCAAAGCGACAAGCUCAGACUCCAACUUUCUGAUCUUCUUGGCAGAAGAAUAAGCUUCAACUGCCAUAGUCUUUGCUAUCUCCUUGGUAGCCUUGGCAUUCUCUUGGACAAGGAGCAUAAACUCAGCUGCCAGAAUCACCAUUUACUGCAUCAUAGCAAGCAGAACAGUUCUUCUAUAUUGGGUCGUAUGCUUCGCAAAGAAACUUAGGCAAAUAACCUCUCUAACACCAUCAAUAAGCUUGGCACACAUGUCUAUUUGGCUUUAAAAGCGCACAGAUCUCAGCAACCUCUCCAAAAAUAGGUUUGGUGGAUUUCUCACAACUGCCCACGCUAGCAAUCUAUUCUUUCUCAGCAGGCGAACCAGUAUCAGUAGCAAGAGGAAUAGGCCUUAACGCCACCUUAUCGUUCUUUAUAGUAGCAAACAUCUCCAAAGGUGAAAUAGACUUAGCUCUCAACGGACCUCUUGGUAUAGACUUCGGCACUAGGGGCAUGACAGAACCUCUAUGUUGAGCAAUCCUAUCAGCAAUCAUACUAGCCAUUUUCAGCAUGGCAGACAUCACAAGUUCAGAUCUAGCAGCCUCAUUUUUCUUCCCAUUAGAAGAAGUCAAGUCAAUCAUAGGCCUCUCGACAGCAGGCAAACCCUUACAAGCAGCAAAUGAAGUCUUCAGUUUUUCCUCAACCGGCAUCUCUUGAGCAGGUGGGGAAUAUAUCUUCUUUCCACCUUCAUUCAUAGUAAGCUCCACGACAACGAUCAGACGAGCCAAUGCAUCUGCCUUGAUCCUCUUUAUCUCAUUUGUCGGGAGCAGCCUACAUUUUUCCUGGCGAAGAGGACUAAGCAGCCAACGUUAUUCACGGUACUCAGCAGGGGAGCUCAACCCAUACUGGCUUUUCCCUCAUUUUUUUCUCGAACCAGUAGGCAGGAAGCCUACAUGCUCAGCAUUCCAGCAACCCAUGAGGCCCGCGACCUCUUCAAUUCUCUCAAUAACCGACCUGGCCCGUGACCUCCUCAAUUCUCUCAAAGGACAUGAGCCAUACAGCUCACCUAGCACUGCGCCCCAACACCUCAAGCCGAGGCCCCAGCCUCACAAUUGACUUUGGCUUUAGCCAAUUUGAGCAACCUAAGUAAUGGUCCCUACCAUAACACCUCAUCGGCCCAUGCCGAGCCAACUCCUGGCCCCUGCUAGCCGACGUGCCGCACCACCCCGACGGCUGCCCAACAACAGCACUAUCCAAGAAGAAGACAAGGAAAAUUAAUUGUUUCUUAGCUCGGUGUGGCGCAGAGAAUACGAAGAAAGUAUCGAAAAACGGUCUUUUGCAAGAGCAAGUAUAGAAGAUUGAUAGGGGACGGGGAACAAAUAUCCUUUAACUUUCUCUCUACUUAAGGUACAUUUAAAUAGACUUUGGGAUAAAUUUAUUUCCCUUUCCUAGACGGACCUAAUUUCCAAUUAAAUAGGGAAUCUACAUCAAAAUAGGAAGCAAUCCUAUGUUUCCUAAAGCAAGAAGAUUUCUACACCUGUUGCGAUUUCCUACGAGCAGCCCAAUAGGUGUGGAGGCAUUUGUGGAGCAAAAAAUAAUCAAGAAAAAUAUGGAGGCGACACAUGGAUCUUUGGGUGAAAAAGACAAAAUUACCCUCAAGGCACAUCGGAACUCCCACGAGCAAGCAGUGGGUAAUAACAGCUCAAUCAAGAUCCAAGGUGAUCAAAAUAGGUAUUUAUUCAAAACCUAUUUCAUCAAUCCUCAUCAAAUCCUCCCCACAAGGUAACCCCUAAUUAUCCUUUUAAGUUUGGAUUGAUUACCAAAAUUAAUUGAUUAAUUUUCUAAUUAAUUUCCUAAUUGAUUGCAACAUAUUUUUUUGGCAUAAUAUCUUGCAAUUAGAGCCAAAAACCACCAUAAGUGGCCAGAUCCCUUUUCUCCAAAAAGGGCCGGCCACACCCCUAUAAAUAACCCUCAUUUCUCCAAAAAACCUAAGUCCAAUUCUCUUCUAAAAUUCUCCAAAAUUCUCAAACAUUUUCCCCUCAAAUUCUAACUUUGGCAUCAGAGGUUCUUCAGACAAAACCCCUUCCAUUCAUCGUAGGCGUGUGAGACUCUUGGUCUUGACCUAAGGUGUUAAUUGUUUUGCAAGUGCAUUUUUGUCCAAGAAGAAGAUAGAAAUUUGCAUCCACAGUUAGCAUCCAUCACCUUUUUUUCUUCUUCUUUUUGAUCGGAGAGAGAAUAUUUCCAGCGACUAGAUUUGAUCAGCCACCUCCUUUUGACGGAAAACAUAAUUAAAUUGGACAUUUUUUGGAUCUCACGAAAUUAUAUAUGAUCAUAGUAAACCGGGUGAGAAAAAUGAGAAUUGAUCAAUUCAUUUGCUUGCUCCGCAAACUGAUCGAUCAGAACUGAGAAGUAAAGCAUGGUGGGGAAGCGUUUAUAAGGAUCUUGAAAGUUUGAAUGUUUGUGGUAUUUGGGUAUGCAAACACGACAUGAUCUAUACUCGGACAAAAAGUUGAAUUUUAUCUUUGUUCACUAAAGUCCCAUUUGACCUUGAAAUAAUGUAUCAUGCAUUAUUAGGAGAAUAACUUAGUGCCGUAAAGAACAUAAAUUAUGGUGUAAAAAGUCCUCGUUAUAAAUUUUGAAAAUUUGUUAAUAUGAUCUUAAGUAGUUACUAAUUUUAGUGUUGUCUAAUUUUUUUUUUGGCCAAAGCUUGAGAUAUCUCACAUUCCAAAAGGUAGGACUAAUUUUUACUGGAGCCCGAAAAGGCUAAAGGCAGUCCAACCUAUCCCCCGUCACAGUUAAAUACCAUAGUUCCUCCCAAAGCUUUCAAUUAAUCAGAAAAUCAUUCGUGUUUUUUCCAACUUUGUGUCUUGAACCAGAGACCACAGAGCAUACCUGACUUGGAAUUCUACCGUGUUUCUACUAGACCACUUGCCGUGGUUGUUGUUUAUACUAUUAUCAAGAGAACAAGCUUGGUCAUAAUUUUUUUUUUAAAUACCAUUUAUGUCCCCACAUUUUAUUCUAUUUUUCCUUAUUGCGAUAAAUAACCUUUAUAUAACAAGACUAAAAUAGGAAUUUUGUGGAUUUAAAUUAUUAAAUUAAAUUAGAAUUCUUCCAUGUUUUUCUCCAUCUUUUUUCAAUAUGUAUGUUUCUCCCAUAUGCAUAGAACGUUUGAAUGUUUGUAGUAUGCAAACCUUUUUAAACGACAUGACAUAUACUCAGACAAAAAAAUUGAAUCUUAUCGUUGCUCACUAAAGUCCCAUGUGACCUUAAAAUAAUUUAUCAUGCUUUAUUAGGAGAGAGAAUAAGGUGUCUUAAUGAAUAUAAAUUAUGAUUUAAUAAAUCCUCGUUGUAAAAUUUGGAAAAUCAUAAGGUGUUACUAAUUUAAGUGUUGUCUAUACUUUUUUUUGUUUUUUUUGUCAAAUUCAAAGGUAUCUCACAUCCUAAAGGAUAAGAUUAAUCCUUAAUGAGGCCCGUAAAGACUAAGGCAUUUCACUUAACCUCUUACUUCAGUCAAAUAGCACACAUCGUCUUAAAGCUUUCAACCAAAAAAUCAUUUGUGUUUUUGCCAACUUCGUGCCUCAAACUCAAGACCGCGAAGUGUACAUGGUUUUGAAUUUUACGACGUUUCUACUAGACCAUUGAUCGUGAUAGUUGUCUAUACUAUUAUUUAGAGCACACGUUCUAUAAGACUUUUUUUAAAAUACCAUUUAUGUCCCCACAGUCCCAUUUUUUAUCCUUAGUUGCAAUAAAUAACCUUAAUAUAAUAAGAUUAAAAUAGGAUUUUAUUUAAAAUUCUUCCAUAUUUUUCUCCCACUUCUCUUUCGAUAUGUUUCUCCUACAUGCAUAGCAUGUGUGAGAUUGCUAUUAUAACAAAGAGUUGAUUAGUAAUUCAUAACAGGUGGUGAUAUAACAGUUACACUAAAGAGUCUCAAUAAUUUCAAGUAAUGUAUUGUGACAACUUUUUUUUAAAUGAAAAUGAUAAUAUACCACUUUAAGCUAUGUACGCUUAGAAAAGGAAAAGAGUUUGACCUGAAACACAAUGAAUUGAAGAGAAAGAUUAUUCACCAAAGCAAAUCCAUCACUUGCAUUGUUAUAACUUUUCUGACACGCAAACUUUUCUUUAUUUCAUUACAUAUCAUCUCUUUUCCAUGUAAAUUUUCUUAAUGAUUUCCAAAUUUUAAAACGAUGCAAAACAACAUUAACUAGUUUAAACUCAAGCUAGCUCGAUGGGGAGCAAGGGCAAAGCUACAUAGGAGCAAGGAGGGGUGGCUGACCCCUCCCCUGGUCGGAAAUCAUGCCUAGAAACGGUGGUUCUACCCCUCUGGUCCCUUCAGAAGUUCUGGGUUCUUGUAGUUCUUCUGGUUCUGGGUUUUCCUUCCCUGAUGCUGCGCAAUUGGGGCGCAGCAUAUGAAUUGUAUUCGAUUAGUGCAUGCCAAAUGUUUAAUAUAUAUUUUGAUUGUCCACAGUCUACAUGCUUAUCGUUCAUGAUAUUGCAUGCCAUUGUAAAAAGAAAACGUUCGCAUGACUCACGUCGAUGCAUAUUAAUUUAGAUAUCAUGCAUAAUUAAAGGGGUUUUACUAUACCGAAUGAGUCAUUUUUUCGAUGUGAUGAAAGUUACAUUGUCACGUGUGUUACUUAUCCAUCAAGUUAUAACGUGCGACGUACUAACACCAAGCGACGGUGGAGCCAUCUCACUCCAAGAUUGGCCUCAAAGGUGCCUUUUAAACCAGAUGCAGAAUCUUCACUAUGCGCACACACACACAUAUGGUAUAAUACGUAUCUCUCUGCAAACAUUGUUAGAGGUUUUUGCAGAGCAGGUAAUAUAUUUUCGCAAUUCUGCAGUUUAAUUUUUUGUCAUUAAAAUAGCAAAUUUUAAACUCACUGUUAAAUUAAGGACAAUGAUAUUCACACAUUUUUUUACCUCUCUCACAAAUCUUUUUUAAUUCUGGCCGUCGGAUUAAAAUGAAUUGAAGAAGAUUAAUGGACAAACAAUAACAAUGAUGUGUUAGAGGUAAAAACGGUGUGUGAAUAGCACUACCCUAAAUUAAAAGGUAAAUAAACUCAUGCUAGAGCUACAGAUGCAUACAUGCCCAAAAAAAAAUUAGUAAAUAAAGAAUUUAUUCAAUACUUCGUAUUAUUCUGUCAACUUCAUAUGCAUUGUGAAGCAUACGCUUUAUUUUUACAUGUAAGGAAAAAAAAAAACCUAUAGCUAGACUGCAGGCAUUCUCCUACUUAUUCACUGCUAAGAAAAUAUAUAAAGUGUUUAAUUUGAUUUAAAGUUAAUUCUGCUAGUGCUUUUCGUUGAUGAUUGCACUUCGAUGUAGAAUCUUUGGAAUUGGUACUACGUACUUCAAGGUGUGAACGGAUUAGGACCUCCGGACGGGGUACUGCCCUUAAGUAUUUGCCUGAUCAAAGGGAAGAAGGGACGAUCGAUCUGAUGCAAAACAUCAUUCUUCAUCUGAUGCAUAAACUUUUCUUCCCCAUGCAACAUUCUGCAGGCUUCGGAAGAUUGCAUGUUCAUAAGAAAAACCACUAAAAACACUGCCACCAAAAAUAUUUUUAGAAACUUCAUUUUGUUGGGCAAACAAAGAUUAUUUUGCUUCUUUUUAAUUUCGGUAGAAGAAGGAAGGAAUGAAUGAAUGAAGAUACAGAAAAGGUUUUGUAAGGAAAGCAAAGAUUUUGCUUCUUUUUUCUGUCUGUCAAAAACCGAAGGGAUUGAAGGAAUGAAUGAAUGAAUAGAUGGGGAAUAUGGGGCUUUUUAUAUGCAUCAAUUAAGAUCAGCUUUCAUAUGACUGAUUUUUCAAUAUAAAUCUUUUUGUUUCGUUGUUUUGACUGUUAAUUGAUGAUUAUAUGCUAAAGACUUGGAAUUGAAUGGGUCGUCAUAUCCGCAAGGGUUUUGGUUUUAGGGUUUCACUAUAUUGUGGACCAAAUGUCAUACAAUGGUUCAACUCUUUUUCAUCACUGUGUAAAAAGCCACUUGCCAUCUAUAGCUUUUUAUUUUUAUUUUUUAUUUUUUAAGAAAAUCUCAACGGUACGAGAGAAAUUUAUUGAUAUGAAAAAAAAAAGUUACACCUAGUCAGGGAGACAAAAACCUUACAUCUCAUAAAGCAAGAAAAACAAAAUACAAGAAAACUAACCACUUGUUAGAGGUUAUUCUAGUACAGUAAAACCCUUAUAUUGUCAUAAUGUUGGAACCAAAUUGAUUUUAAAACUUUAGGGAGGUUAUUACUUACUAGAGGUGUAGCUAUAAAUAUUAUUAUUUUUUACUUCGUUAUCCUUAAUAAAAAAUGUGAGAUAAAAAGAACUAUUAGUGGAGUAUGUCAAUUUCCAAGGUGUAGCAAUGGAAAAAAAAAAACACCCAAUCUUUAAAAUAUAGUGCAUGUAUGUAUGUAGUCUCUUUAAGUUUAAUGUGUGGGGGCGUGAAGCUAUAGAAACAAAAAGGCUACUUACAAGCUUUGCCUGCUUGGUUGUACACAGCUACUAAAGCAAAGCUAUUUUGCUGUUCUACAGAAGGUAGAAAAAUUAGGGCUUCAAGAAAUUGUUCAUGUUGACGAGUUAUUACGUACUCGUAACCUCAAAAACGUGAUAUCAACUGUAAAAAUCAAACAUUGACUCAAACAAUUAUUGAGAAAUAUUUUAGUUCAUCUUAAACUUUUAUUUGUGGCGUUGCAUAUUUUUAUACUUAUUGAAAAUUAUUAUGAUAAGGAGGCAAGUUUCCUUAAUACGAGACUUAUAAAAAUUAUAAUUUAUUACAAUCCGGAGUUUAUUAAUAUACAUAAUUGGUCUCAAGUUGAGACUAAAUUUUUUUUGAGUAUAAGAAGGUUAUUUCUAUAUAGAGUAUUAUUAUAAGGAGGUUUUACUAUAUAUUUUUAAUUAAGUUGCCCUGAUUCAAUUUUUUGUUUUUCUUUUCUAUUAACAUUACAAAUACUAUAAAGGUAUUUUGACCAAUUCUUAUCGAGUUUUUGUUACUAUUUUUUUCAUCGCAAUUUUGAACUGAGAUUUGGAGUUAGGCAUGCAAGUAAAAGCGUGUACAAGGCCUUUGAUGUUUGAACGUUGACUAUUUUAAUUGAAGUUUUAGUCGUAGCUAUAGUAUUUGUAUCGGUGUGUGCUAACGUUUUACACGACAUGAAUACUUUGUCAUACACACACACAAUUGAACCAUAUUGUGAUGACUCAAGUCUUAUUUGACCUGAAAUGUGUCCAACCGUGUUUGUUUAAUUAACCAAAACAUCUCAAAACUAAUUAAGUCCUCUCUAAUGCACUAGCCAUGACCUAAGUAUUGUUUUUCCUCUUAGUUUUACUGGACAAAAUUGAAUAAGAAUAAGUCUUGAUGUCUAGAAAUAACUGUCUCUUUUAUAAAAAAUGAUCGACUAUAAAAUUUGAACUUGUAUCUUCUCCGAAAAAAUGAAAAUCAGGUUCCGCUAAUCCAAAACGAUAAUGAGCAAACCAAGUGUAUUAAAAUGUUAUUGGAGGAAAAUGAAGAAGAGGUGUUGUACUCAGUACCACAUGCUAGAAAAUUUUGGUAGAAAUUAGUUAAUUCGGCCUCAAAAGAAACAUUGAAAUAGGAAUUGAGGAAUCACUGCUAACAACUUUUUAUCAUGCAGUAGUUUCAAAAUCUUCAAUAGUUUGAAUCACCGUCCAGAGAGAGAGAGAGAGAGAGAGAUAUUAAGAUGUUUUAUCUUGCAUUUUGUGUAGAGAAUUAACUUCCCUGCUUACACCCAAUCACGGGUGGACACGUGUCCAAGUUUUGAUUAAAAUUUGGACACGUGUCUAUUGAACUAAACAUGGUAAAUACCAAAAAUAUAUAUGACAAUAUUUGAGAAUUUCUUAUAUAUUCAUUAAUCUCCAAAGUGGAGUAUAUAUAGGAGUUACAAUUGGUAUUACAUAUGUACUUCACCAAUGUGAGACAAUAAACUACUAUUUACACUCUAACUAAUAUAUAACUCGCAACACUCUCUCUCAAGUUGGUGCAAAGAUGUCACGCAUGCCCAACUUGUCAAGCGAGUUGGAAAACACACUAUGAGACAUAGCCUUAGUAAGAGCAUCAACAAGUUGAUCUUCAGAUCUCACAAACGGAAACAUAAUAAUUUCAGCAUCCAAUUUUUCCUUAAUGAAAUGUCGAUCAAUCUUCACAUGUUUUGUUCGAUCAUGUUGCACUGGAAUAUGAGCAAUCUCAAUAGCAGCCUUGUUAUCACAAUGAAGUUUCAUAGCACCUUUAGGGUUAAACCCAAGAUCUCUCAACAAUUUUUUUCAACAACAACAACUCACAUACACCAUGCGACAUACCACGACACUCAGCUUCUGCACUUGACCUAGCCACCACUUUUUGUUUCUUGCUUCUCCAAGUAACUAAAUUACCACCCAUAAACGUAAAGUAUCCAGAUGUAGAUCGCCGAUUAGUGAUAGAACCUGCCCAAUCUGCAUCUGUAUACCCUUCAACAUUUAAAUGACCAUUCUUGGAGAAAAACAGGCAUCUGCCAGGAGCCAUCUUCAAGUACCUCAAAAUACGGGUUACUGCAUCCAUAUGAGCUUCACUAGGUAAGUACAUAAACUGACUUACCACACUAACUGCAUAAGCAAUGUCAGGGCGAGUGUGAGACAAAUAAAUUAAUCUCCCCGCAAGCCUCUGAUACCGUUCCUUAUGAGUAGGAACUUGAUCUGGAAAUAAGCCCAGACGAUGAUUCUGCUCAAUCGGAGUAUCAACAGGUUUGCAAUCUAACAUACUUGUUUCAGCUAACAAAUCAAGAACAUAUUUCCGUUGAGACACAAAAAUACUAUGCUUGGAUCGUGCAACCUCGAUUCCAAGAAAAUACUUAAAUUCACCCAAUUCUUUCAUCUCAACCUCAGUAGCUAGGUAUUUUUGAAGACGUUGUAUCUCCUUCUGAUCAUCACCAGUCACUAUCAUGUCAUCAACAUAAAUAAUCAAUGCAGUUAGCUUACCAUUUUGUCGCUUUAGAAACAAAGUAUGAUUUGAAUGACUCUGGAUAUACCCAAACUUCUUCAUUGAACUUGUAAACCUCCCAAACCACGCUCUAGGAUUGUUUCAAACCAUACAAGGCCUUUCGUAACCUGCAUACAACACCUUUUCCAGGAGAUGUUCCAAUACCAGGUGGGAGAUCCAUAUACACUUCCUCCUUAAGAUCACCAUGAAGGAAAACAUUCUUAACAUCAAACUGCAACAGAGGCCAAUCCUGGUUUGCUGCUAAGGACAGAAGAACACGCACAGUAUUAAGUUUGGCAACAUGAGCAAAUGUCUCCUAAUAGUCCACCCCAUAGGUUUGAGUAUAACUCUUAGCAACUAAUCUAGCUUUAUACCAGUCAAUAGAACCAUCCGCUUUGUGCUUAAUAGUAAACACCCAUCUACAUCCAACGACUUUUUUUCCGUUUGGUAAAGGAACCAAAUCCCAAGUAGAAUUCUUUUCCAAAGCUUCCAUCUCAACUUGCAUGGCAUUAACCCACUUAGGGUCAGACAAAGCAUCUUGCAAUUUUGUUGGAAUUAAUACACUAGAUAGCUGACAUAUGUAAGAUGCAUAUGGUUUGGAUAAACGAUGAGUAGACACAUAAUUGUUGAUAGGAUAUUUGGCUUUGGCAUGCAUAUCAGGCUCAUAUUGUACUUUAGGUUUUCCACGAUUAGCUCGUGGAGGCAACUGAUAAGUAGAAGAAUCGUUAAAAUUUACCUUAUGUAUGCCACCAUCUUGUACCAAACUGUUAGAAGAAUCAUCACUGGACGAACCAUCAUCAGGCAACUCGUUAGAUAUAUCAGCAGCAGGCAACCGAUCAUUAGAAGGUAAUUCGUCAGACAUACUAACAGGCAACUCGCUGGGCAUAUCUGAUCUAUCGUCAGUAGAAAUAGUUUUGGGAAUAACAGUUGACCGAUCACUAUCUGUAGUCGACUGAUCAGUAUCACGCAACAUAAUAGGUUCUGUUCCCAACUCUACCUGUAACACAUCAUCCAUACCAUCUCUUCGAAUCUGCACUUCACUCCCCCUCUCCCCCUGAAGUGGAGAGUCGGAAGAGGGCUUCACAAAAUACGAAACUUCCUCAUAGAAGGUGACAUCCAUGGUAAUAUAAGUUUUUUGAGUCGGAGGAUGAUAACACUUAUAGCCUUUCUGAUUGUUAGCAUACCCAAUAAAGACACACCAGAGAGCACAUGCAUCAAGUUUACUCCGCUGAUGAGAGUAGACAUGCACAUACGCAAUACACCCAAAUACUUUCGGAGGAAGCUUUGAUACAUAAACAAGAGAAACAUGGUUUUGUAGCACAUUGAACGGUGUUUGAAAAUCAAGAACCCUACUUGGAACACGAUUGAUCAAAUACACAGCAGCCAAAACAGCAUGACCCCAUAAAUGAUUAGGAACACAUUUAUCCAACAUCAAGGAGCGAGCAACUUCCAUUAUUUGACGAUUCUUCCGUUUGGACACACCAUUUUGUUGGGGUGUAAAUGGAGUAGUCGUCUGGUGAAUAAUACCAUGAUCACGAAAAAAACAUGCCAAAGUGUGAUUCACAUAUUCUCCCCCGUUAUCAGACCUGAAGACCAUAACUUUGGUCUGAAACUGAGUAAACACCAUUGUACAAAAUUCUUGAAGAAGUAACGGAACAUCACUCUUAUUCUUCAUCAAGAAGACCCAAGUUAACCGAGUACAACCAUCAAUAAAAGUAACAAACCAACAGAAUCCAUUAGAAGUAACUUUCGCUGGACCCCACACAUCAGAAUGUAUCAAAUCAAAUGGCAAAGCAGCUUUAGAAUCACUUACAGGAAAUGAAGCACGAUGACUCUUAGCCAUGACACAUGUUUCACACUUGAACUCUGAAUCACUACAAGUGCGAAACAAAGAAGGAAAUAGAUGUUUCAUAUAACUGAAUGAUGGAUGUCCCAAUCGUCGAUGCCACAACCAAAUUUGAUGUCUGUCAUCCACUUUAGCACUUAAAACUUGAUGAUUAUUUGAACCAGAAACAACAGUAUCCUCCAUAGUCAAGAUGUACAAACCCUUUAUUCUUUUACCAUAACCAAUUAUCUUCUGAGUUUGAAUAUUUUGAAAAUAACAAUACGUAUGGUAGAAGUGAGCAGAACAAUAUAAGGUAUCAAGAAGUUUUCCUACCGACAAAAGAUUGCACUUAAGAUCAGUAACAAGUAAAGCACGGACCAAUGAUAAGGUUGGGGUCAGAGAGAUAGUGUCUUCACCCUUCAUAGGGGAAUGUGCUCCAUUUACACUAGUAACAUACGGAUCACGAACAUAGUCACAUAACUCAUCAAACACUCUAGAGUCACUAGUCACAUGAUCAAUGGCCCCAGUAUCUAUUAUCCAUUUAUUUGUUCCACCAAGAUGCAUAACAACACUAUGAUUAUAUUGAGCCAUUGAACAAAAAUCACGAACAAUAAAGGCACAAAAGAUACGCAAACAAUUUACCAGAUACUGUAGUAACGCACUGUUCAUGGCACUGUAGCAGAGCACUAUUCACGGCAAUGUAGCAAGCAUUGUUUACGGCACUGUAGAGGACCACUAUUCACAAAGCAGAUCACUGUUCAGGCACUGUACUGUAGAGCGCCACUAUUCACUUCUUUUUUUUUUUUUUUUUUUUUACGAAGGAAAUCACAAAAAAUGUGAGCACAAAAUUAAAGCACAUAGGUCAUCAAGAGCGAACUGCUCUGAUGCCAUAUUGAACUAAACAUGGUAAAUACCAAAAAUAUAUAUGACAAUAUUUGAGAAUUUUUUAUACAUUCAUUAAUCUCCAAAGUGGAGUAUAUAUAGGAGUUACAAUUGGUAUUACAUAUAUACUUCACCAAUGUGGGACAAUAAACUACUAUUUACACUCUAACUAAUAUAUAACUCGCAACAGUGUCCACCUGGGAUUUGGUGUAAGCAGGGAUUCCUGCUGAAAUGUUCAGCAGGGAAGUCUUGUUAUUUGUGUAGCAGAUACAACAUCACCAAUCUGUGGGAUUUUACUGUUUUAGCAGUUGAUUUAUAACAUGACAUUUAAAAACUGAGAUUUGUUCAUCCAUCUCCUCAAAAUAAAUAAAUAACAAAUAAAAUGAGUUCAAUUAAUAUAUAAAAAAAAGAACUUUAACGAAAAACUCUCGGUACUGUUUACGUUAACAAAAAACCACAUUUUUAUACCAAAAAGUCAAUCAUGGUACUAUUCACUUUACCCUUUAUUUUGUCCUUAUCGUUAAAACUCAAAAUUUUCAAGUCAUUUUCAUUAGUUUUUUCUAAUAGUCUCCUGGGUUACAAUUACAACCAAAACUUUUUAGCCAAUUGACCAACAAAAAUAAUGAAAAAAAAUAGGUUAUUAUACAUGACUUGUACCGCAGGGAUACUAAACUAGCUAAACAAUAUACACAUUUUGAACUUUUUAACAUCUGUUGCUCCCGUUUCUGAGUCUCAAUAGCACCGGCCGGAACGUUAAUUCUCGACAUUAGUAGAGUGAGGAAUGCAUGGCUAAGAAGGCUUCAUGCAGAGUGGUAAGCUACAUUCAUCUCAUUCAGGUGCAAAUACCCGAGCUGCGGCCGGGGAUGUGGGUGCAGGGAUUAGGGCCGGUUUGGGGGUGGGGGGGGGGGGCGGCGGCGACCCCUCUGGAGGUACUGAAACGCAAGUCAACACCAUGGUUCUUAGCCCAUUGCUCUGCCUUCAAUUGCCUCAUUUCUCCAACUUGAAGACAAGAAAACAGAACAACAACAACAAAAAGAGUUGAGAAUAAAGUCCUCCUGUAACAGAACCUCAUCUUAAUUUGACACUCAAAUGGAACUUUAGGUUCGAGCACGGAGCUAGAAAUUUCUUCUAGUCGGGGCAACCCGAAAAUCAACUAAGGAAACCUUAUUAUAGUAUGGCUUAUACCCAAUAUGAUAAUAGGGAUGAUUUCAAAUGAUGAUGGAUCACAAUUCCAAUAUUACAAAAAAUUCAUUUAGUAGUGGAAAGUGGCAAAGUGAUAAGAAAAAUAUUAAUACAUGAUUAUGCAGAAGAGAGGUUUUUCGGUCUAAAUGACAGAACAAGAGCACUUUUCCUCAUAUAAUAUUUGAUAUGAAGUAUAUGCAGUAUGAAGGUAUGUUAGAUAUUAGUUACAUAUAUUUUCUUCAAAGAUAACGCGUGUAUAUUAUAUAAUUGUAGUUUGCAACUUAACAAACGAAUAACUUGAGUAUGGGCAUAUGCUCCCUGUGAGCCUUCAUUGGCUCCUUCCAUGUUCAUGUGGUAACGUUUUACAGACCCAUUUUCGGGAAAAUUGCUUUGGAAAGUGAAAAUGAGUUUUCACAGUAGUUUGUAAUAAGGAAAUGAAAUCUGAGAUGAAGUGUGGUGGAGGUGAGACCUGUUAUAUACGGCCCUAUAAAUUUCAAAUUGCUCAUGCCCUUGACUAGUACAUAAGCUAUAAUGUUAAUUCGGAGCUUGAAAUUGACUUGGGCCAAUGGAACUUGAAGGUUCAACCAUGGCAUGCUGGUCCAUAUGUAAUUAAUCAAUACACGCUAACUUGAAUGCCAAACAGUGACACACUAUAGUUUGGGUGCAAAGCAAUAGUUUAAAUUUUAAUAGUCUUCUAUGAGAAAGACGUGAUGAGCUUUAUACUCAGGUGGGGAAAUACACCUGACAAGGACACGAUGAGUGUUAUACUCAGACAGGAAUAUAUCAUAUAGCCGCCGUGACAUAUGCAAGAAUCCGCCUUGAAUUACAAGGCAUAUAGAAGAAGGAUUAAAAAGUAAACUUUUUGGUGGUUGAUGCAAGCCCUGAGGAAAGCAUAACGCAGAGAGUCAAAUUCAAACAAUAUUUUUAACACAGUAGGGGAAUAGGUGUCACUCCUCAGCUGGUUUUAACACGACUGAACAAAUUUCCUUUUCUUGAUUUUGAUUGAGUCGUUUACGAGUCUUGACUGGCAGAGAAGCCAUGACCAAAGGUUCCCAGCAUCCCCCAAAAAAGGGGUACAUAUUUAUCAGUCAAACUCAAUACCCUUUAAAUUAUGGAGUUGGAAUAAGCAAAUCGUAUGACCAGAAAAACUUGGGUGUAACUAGGAUAUAUCCACAUCACCGUGUAGCACUCAUCACGUGGCCAAGUCACGUGUAGGAAUCUCCCCUUACUUGAGGGCUGGCUCUGGCCAAUUCAUCUAAACAUGCAUGCAUAAACUGUAAAACAGUAACUCAUAGCAUCCAUUUUGGUUCCGAACAUGUUCAAAAUUACAAAGAGCUCUUUUUCAUACAUAAACUAAACAACUCGUACAAUAAUAUCAAUCUGAAGUUAUAUAACAAAUCAUCACGAGGUGAAGACACUCAUCAGUUAUGGAAACGUUAGACUCUUGAGCUACAAUUUAAUGUUCCCUAAGUGUUCUGAAGACUUCAGAAACCGGGUGAGAAUCCAAUGGGCAGUUCAUCCUCACAACUGCAUCCUCGAGGCGUUCCUGAAAAUCAAUCUCUGGAACCGGCAACUGCUUUCCCUUGUUGUUUACCAUCUGCUUUUCAGUUUCCAUGACUCUCAUCUUCUUCUGGAGAUCGGUGAUAUAGGUAAUGGCAUCACCAAGAAGAGAGGCUUUAUCCAUCUUCGAUAUGUUAGGAACAACAGCUCUUAGUGCAUAGAACCUCUGGUUAAGCUUCUCGCGCCUCUGCCGUUCUGCUUCCACGUGAUUCAAUGGUUCUUCUCUCCCAUUGGCAGGCUUUCUCCCUCUCUUUCUGGGUUUCCCCUCAUCAAUUUGUGCCGAGGACUCAUCCUUGAGCAGCUCCGAACUUGAGACUCUUGUCUGAACAUUGAAACCGUCAACCAUCAUUCGGUUCAUUUGCGGAAACAGUUUUACUUCACUAUCCUCACUUCGACAUCUACUGAUUGUAAUUCAAACGAUUCUGGAGGAGAUGUAAAAUUAUAUUAUAUAUUUAUAUAUACUAAAAGAGAAAAUGAACCGAAACACUGUUAAUAAGCACAGUGGAUUUCCGAUUUUACCCCCAAUUAUUUUAUGGUAUUCCGAGUUUGGCCUUUUGUCUUGUUGUCAAAUUGGGAUGAAUUAUGUGAUACGUGGGACUCCCAGCUUCCUCCACCUUUUCCGUCGCUCACCGCUUUUUCCACCUUUCAAGUUUCAACCACCGCUACCCUCCCACGCCUCAGCUCUCUUUCCUAUUCAUACAUCAACCCAACUUUGGUUCUUCUUCUUCUUCUUCUUCUUCUUCUUCUUCUUCUUCUUCUCUAAAAGUUUCCAAUUUCCCCAAAACCCUCCCCUCCAAAUCCCCCACUACCUUAUUCUCCCUCGCAAAAUCAGAUUCCCCCAAAUCCUUCCAACCCAACAGUCCAAUUUUUCAAUCUUUACUCCAAGAACUAGCCGUGAGCAUCCAUUUCCCAUUUCGAAUUUCGAUCCUUUAGGUCAAGUUUUGAACCUUUACUUAUUGUCAUUGCUUAAUGUAGUUGUAAUUUAAAGUUUGAUUUUUUUUCGGUUUUGUUAUUUCCUGUGCAGGACAGCUUUGAUCUUUCGGAUGACUACUUGGCGCAGCUUCCGAAUGAUUUCCGUCUCGAUGUGAGUUCAUUUUUUCAAUCUAUGUUUACCCAAUUGUUGAAUUUGAUAAAGAAUGUGAUUUUUAGAUGGCAGAGUUAUCUCAAUAAGAAACAAAAGAUAGGUUCAUGUAGAAUAUAUUACAUAGCAAAAGUUGGGGAUUAAGCUAUUUGCGUUAUUUGGUUAGGAAAUUGCUCAAUGUUGUGUUGUUUGUGUGAUUGUGUUUAUCCAUUAGGUUUGCAAAUAUCAUAGUUUCAAUAUUUCAUAUGAUUUUGUUGUUGGGCAGUUCUUUCAAAUAAGUUUUAGCUCUGUUAUUCUGUAAUUAUUUUGGAAUUUGAUGGUGUUUAGUAAUGUUGCAGGUGAUUAACAAAAAAUCUCUUUCAAGUGCACAGGUAGGUAAUAGUACUUACUUCUUUGCUUUAAAUCCUUACUAAUUUAUCAUACGUAAUGAUUCAAUUGAGUUGUGUAUUCUGCAAGAGGAUUUGUGCAGACUGAUGGACUUGGUGUUGCUUAGGGAGCAACAUGCUAGGACUUUACUUAUUUGUAGGUGUGAUCCAGUUUAUAACAUGGUGGAAUAAAUAUUGGAUGCCUGAUGAUCAAAAUAAACAGAGGUAUGUAAUUGGUCUUUGUCCUCUUAUCUUUUUACUAUUUUGUUGAUUUUUCAUUGUGUGAAUUUAGAUAUGAAUAUGCGUUUUUAAGUUAUUCAAACAUUACAAAUUAUAAAUGUAGGAUUAAAGCAGGUUUGGUUCUUCAAGACUCCAGCAAAGUGGGGAAAUAACACGCCAUUCUUAGGAAAAUGGUUGGCUGGAAAUUAAAAUAAAUGGAUCUCCCAUAACUCUUUAGAUAUGAUAAGCCUAUUGUAGGAGUAUAAGUCCAGAAAAUUAAUGUAGACAUGAAAAAUUCACUUAUUCAGAUGAUUGUUCGAUGGAAGAAACAUAAACACACACACAAAUGAAGCGAGCAAGAUAUGGGAACUAUAAAUUUAUAACUGCACAAAGAUAAAGAAGUUCCCUUAGAGCAAAUUAAACGAAACAGAAAGAAAGAAAGAAACACUAUGUGAACAUUUGAGAUAACAGUGAUAAUGGUGGCUGGGGUGUUAGAAAUUGCAUAUAACUUUCUGUUUUGAUUGAAAUGGUUCUUCAACCAUUUCAAGAAAAUAUUCUAUACAUGCAUACGUACUCAUUUCUCUACAAUUUUCGAAGAUCUUAUAAAUCUUUUCCUAUAUUUAUGCUUAAUGUUUCUCUCAGUUUACAAUUCGGCAGAAGGUGUAUAUUUCCGUCACCCUUUAUUCAUACUUGCAUGCUGAGAAUUGUGGUACAAGAGUUACUGGGGAGAUGAGCAAUUCAAUAAGUCUACUUCUCAUAUGUUGCUCUUAACGUGUGUCGGUUUUAAUUAUUCAUGAGCAAUUGAAAAUUUAUUUUCACUGAUGGUACACUUAUAUUCAUAGAUCAAUAUAUGUUUGUUUUUAACGUAUCUUAUUAAAUGCAUUUGGAGAAAGUAUUCAAUUUUUUUAGCAAUUAAGAACAUUGCUCCCUCCUCAAUAACUACACUUUCCUUCAUUCAUCUUUACUAAAUGUCAAGAUUUACAAUAACAAUCUUUUUUUUUUUUUCAAUUUUGUUGAGGGGGCUUAAUGUUACCAUUGAUGAAGUCUGUGAAGCACUUUUGGAAGGUAAGUGGUGAUAUUCAAUUAUUGCUUAUUGCAUUUUGUCCAAUUUUAUUGGAAAAUUUCUGAAUUAGGUGUGUGCUUUACCCGAAGAAGUCUCAGAAUAUUGCAAUUCUUGCUUAUUGCAUUUUAUCCAAUUUGGAAGGUAAGUUGUGAUUAUGGAACAAUGUAUUGAAGAGCCAUUUGUUUAGUUCGUUAGUGGAAUUUCGUUGGUUAUGUAUUUCCGAAAUACUUGAUAUAAUUGAUAAUUAAGGUUUAAAUAUCAUAAGGUUCCUUUUGUUUAGGAUAAACAAAUAAGAAGGAAUUGAAGAAGUGGGUUUGGGUUAGUGUAGAGAACUGACACAGAAUUGUACUUGCUAUUGCAGGGAAAUGAAACAGAAUUGUAUCUUCAACAAAAUUAUCGAGUGGUAGCAAUUGGCGGAUUGUCUAAUCUUUUGAAGUAAUUUCAUUUCCAAUUUUAUUUGUCUUCCUGUAAUUUCAAGUCAGAUUACCGGGGAAUGCCUAACUUUUUUGGCUGUCAAUUUUUGUUUUUAGUCCAUUUUCUUUGCUACUGCUGUGUUAGGAUUUUAAACUCAACCGUGAAAUUGAGUAUAGGCCUUUUUGGUUGUACAUAGGUUCUUAUUGUGGAGUAGAUACAAAUAUGCCAUGUACAUAUUCUACUAUUUAAGUAAUGAACAAAACUAUUCUCAAUGUUUCUAGCUAAUCAUUUAUCAACUUUAACGUUAUUUUAAACCCGCUGCGAAGUGCGGGUAUUCUUACUUGUCUUCUUCUAUUUUUGGAGUAAAGGAAAUGUUGACUGAUUGUGAUUUUGGACCCCCAAGACUUAGUUCCCGUCCAAAUAUCAUUGGAAAUGCCUUUGCCUGAAUAGGACUAGAUUCCCCAAAUGCACUUCUGACCGUAUCCACAUAACUUUGUUCUUCCGGAGUUGAUUUGACCGAACCGAGUUCCACAACUCCUGAUUUCAUUGGUACAAACACCACUGUCUGAAACCCAGCCAAUCUUGCUAAAAAUGACCUUGACUGGUAAUGAUGUAAACAACUACCGGCAUCCGAAACCCAUAUCGAUUUUCCAGACUUGUAUGACUCCCCUGGACCACAGUGUGAGAUCGAAUCAAGUUGAAAUGCAUAACACAUUGAAGUGAGAUGAAACAUCUCCACAUCUAACACCCCAUCCAACCUCCUUGCAUAAUUAUCCCCAUUCAAACCGCCAAAACACGCGUGGAGCUUCUCAAGCACCCACUUCUUCACCUCUUUUUUCUUCUGCAUUGCCUCCAAACUACUAUCCCGACUAGAAUUCACGUCCCCAGCUCCACCGCCCUUGGUGUCUCUGCAAUGCCCAUCACCCCAAAUCAAGGCAGGUCCACCAGAUUUCGAGCUAACAGCCCGCCAGAAAAUGGCAUACUUCCAAGACCCACCUAGACAACCGCCUAAAUUGUGACUCACUUAGACAGAAAAUAGAUAACUUUCAUUUUGCAUUUUAUUUUUCUUAAUAAAUUACAAGAGACUUGUUAAAUACUUAUAUGAACACACGUUAUACGCUUGUUCCUCAUUUUUUCAUUAUGUUUCAAUACUUCAUAAUAUAUAUGUCAUUAUAUUUUGUAAUUUAUGAUGAAAUUAUGUAUAUUUCAAGUAUAAAUAGACACUUAUUUACACGAAAUAUAAUGCAUUUACUUAAAUCCGCCUAGUUCGUCUUGUCACGCCCUGAUCCCGACCUACAUCCAGGAUCGACGCGCGACAGUAGACUGUAGGGGGAUGCCAGGAAAUACAAACUGAAAUACUGAACUGAAAACAACCAUAAUCACAUCUGUUUAAGGAAAAGUAUAGGGGUAACCUAACACUCCAAGCCCUUUGAACUCAGGUUGCUACCCCAAAGCUCCUCAUAUCUACUACCACCUGCACAAUCGCCCCUACACCGUGGGAAAUGGUGCAUCGGGCAAACAACAACCCGGAUAAGCCGCAAAGCUAAUGUGAGUGACAAUAAUGCGACGUAUGUGAUGACGUUAAAAACCAACCAUCGAUUCAGUUUAGAAACGUUAAAUAUAAUUUUUUUUUCCUCCUCUUGCGGCUAAAGUUUGUCUAAGCCACUACCCCCGAUGUCAGCAUUUGGCUUUGGAGUCGGCAGCAAUCCUUCUUCAUCUCGUCAUUGUCUUUCUUUUCCUAUUUUAGGUAGUGGUCGAUCUCUCACUUUGUCGAGGAGAGUCUUGUGGUAAUUGUGGUCACUUUGUCUUUCUGAGGAGGAGAGAUUACGGUUCUAUAGCAGUUAUGAUUUAUUACACACCGGAUCUUAAGGGAACAAUUAUUGUUCAAAGUUCUAAGGUGGUGACUUUGUUGUUUGUGUGCUUGGCAAGAAUUAUGCGGAGGAAACUCGGCAUUUGUUGGAGUUGACUUGUAGCGUUUUUACUAACGAUUACAAGAUCAUCAAAGGGUGACACUGUCUUGCCUUCGUGUGGUCAUUUUAGUGGUUCAAAGGAUUCACAAUCAGGUUUUCUUGUCGUUACAAAGUCUUCAGGUGAUGGUACAAUGUUUAACUUAUGUUUCUUGAUAGUGUUAUUACGUCCGGCUCAUAAGGCUUAGACCUUGUGAGCUUAUCUUUCCUGUUCGCUAGGAGCAGGUCUCUCAUGAUUGAGGAAUCGUACUUCUGAAGAGUUUAUUUUAUGUUUUGACGGUUUUUUUUUUUGUUUGUUUUGGUUGUGGUCUCGUUGUUUGUACGCCUAACAAAGGACUAUGACGACAUUUUCGUGAUGUCUCAUAGCAAGGCAUCUUUGCUGAAGGAGUGUCGUCUUUGUAAGUUCAUAAAAAAAGAUGCAAGGUUUUGUCGACGAGUGUUUCUUUCUAUUUGGCUAGAUGUGGUUAUGUAGGGUAAGUUUUGUAUAGUCUUUUUGUUGUGUUUGAAAUUGUAUUCCUAAUGGAUGAUGUUCUUCGUUAUAUUUGAUUAAUGACCUUACCUUAAAAAAAACUUUAUAUUCCUUAUUUAAUUUACAAAUAUUACUGGCUAAUUAGUACAACAACAACAACAACAACAACAAAGCCUUUUCCCACUAAGUGGGGUCGGCUAUAUGAAUCCUAGAACGCCAUUGCGCUCGGUUUUGUGUCAUGUCCUCCGUUAGAUCCAAGUACUCAAGUCUUUUCUUAGGGUCUCUUCCAAAGUUUUCCUAGGUCUUCCUCUACCCCUUUGGCCCUGAACCUCUGUCCCGUAGUCACAUUUUCGAACCGGAGCGUCAGUAGGCCUUCUUUGCACAUGUCCAAACCACCGAAACCGAUUUUCUCUCAUAUUUCCUUCAAUUUCGACUACUCCUACUUUACCUCGGAUAUCCUCAUUCCCAAUCUUAUCCUUUCUCGUGUGCCCACACAUCCCACGAAGCAUCCUCAUCUCCGCUACACCCAUUUUGUGUACGUGUUGAUGCUUCACCGCCCAACAUUCUGUGCCAUACAACAUCGCUGGCCUUAUUGCCGUCCUAUAAAAUUUUCCCUUGAGCUUAAGUGGCCUACGACGGUCACACAACACGCCGGAUGCACUCUUACACUUCAUCCAUCCAGCUUGUAUUCUAUGGUUGAGAUCUCCAUCUAAUUCUCCGUUCUCUUGCAAGAUAGAUCCUAGGUAGCGAAAACGGUCACUUUUUGUGAUCUUCGCUAGAUUGCUCCGGUCAUUAGUGUGGAUAAGUAUAUAAAUGGAUAGAGAUAGGAAAGCAAACACAAGAUGUACGUGGUUCACCCAGAUUGGCUACGUCCACGGAAUAGAGGAGUUCUCAUUAAUUGUGAAGGGUUUACACAAGUACAUAGGUUCAAGCUCUCCUUUAGUGAGUACAAGUGAAUGAUUUAGUACAAAUGACAUUAGAAAAUAUUGUGGGAGAAUGAUCUCGUAAUCACGAAACUUCUAAGUACCGGGGUGUGGUAUCGUCUUGACUUGCCUUAUUUGUCUCAUAUGUAGAUGUGGCAUCUUUUCUGGAAGUACUCUUCCUCCAUCCAGGGGUGGUAUCUUUAACUGGUGGAGAUGCACAAGGUAAUGUAUCAAUUUCACUUGAAGCUUACUUGUAGUUUCAGGCUUGGUCAAGCGCGAUACAAACCAUGUAGUAGGAGUCCCCCAAGUCGCCGAGCUAGGGGAUCUGCUGAAAGAGGUGACAGACAAGGUAAGCAAUCAGAGCUCCGGCUGAUUGUUCACAUUCUCCCUAUCUUGCAGGCAGCAUGAAGGACAAAGAGAAGAAAAAUGAGAAGAGAUGAUAUGGGAUACUUUUGCUUUUGAAGAAGUAACUUUCCACAGGCUUAUUCUUGAACUGGGCUGGAGGGUUUUCUGGUUUCCUCCAGAGUAUAAGGCCGACUGAAGAAUUUGAGGGUCAAAACAAGUCCAUCAAAUCUAGAGUACGUUUGACCCUGCUGAUAUGGGAUACUUUUGCUUUUGACAGAGUAGUGGAUGUAUCGGCACGUGUGCUAUUACGCUUGUCUCCACAUGCUUCUUUGUAUCCUUCUCACUUGCUCUAUCUGUUCAUCAGGCAGAUGCGGUAUCUUCCCUGGAAGCAUAAGAUGUUGAAGAUGAGUACUUGAGAGCAAUGCCAGGUAAGUACUCAGGUAAGGGGUUCCAGGCAGUCAGUUCCUGGCUGGAAGCUUGAUUCCAAGUGCUGACUGAUUGCUCUCUUUCUCCUUGUCUUGCAGGUAAGAACAAGGCCAAAGGAAAAGACAGGGAAAAAGCAUGAUAUGGGAUACUCUUGCUUUUAACCCUGAUGAUAUGAGAUAUUCUUGCUCUAGUAUAGCUUGUUUGCAGAGGUAUUAUCGGGGGGAAAGAAAGCUGAAUAUUUCGAAAGGCUUCGUUGGGAGUGCCCUCUCAGAUAAGAGGAAGGGUUGAGCAUUUUUGCAGGUCUGCCUGUCCGUUGGGGAUGGAGGUCGACAUAUAUAGGAGUCUCCCUAACAUCAAGUAAUAAUGCUAUUCCUUUACCCUGCUUGGUCAUAGCACGGUAGUGGGAGCUGUCAGCUUCACAUGUUUUAACUCUGUCAGAGCACUUUGAAAAAGUGGUCUGUGGUAUCUGGAAAGCUGAUGUUGUGUGUGAAGAUUACAGACAAGCUUUAUCCAAGGAGAUCCAGCUUUUGAAGUUGGAAAAGUGGUGCCUCUUCGGUUUUCGAACAAGCAAUCCUGUCGGGGAUCUGGCUCUCGAGAUUCAGAGAACGAUGCCUCUUCGAUUUUUGAGAAAACAAUCCUGCUGGGGGUCUGGCUCUCGAGAUUCGGAGAGCGGUGUCUCUUCGAUUUUUUAGAAAGUAAUCAUGUUGGGAGUCUGGCUCUCGAGAUUCGGAGGGCGGUGCCUCUUCGAUUUUGGAGCAAGUAAUCUUGUUGGGAGUGUUUUCUCGAAUGUGAGUAAAGGUUGGGCAUGUUUGCUAGUCUACAUUGCCACGAAGCACAGAGGUUGACACACAUGGACUUUCCAAUUAUCCAGCAGUGGUACUGUUCCUUUACCCUCUCUUCGAUUUUUGAGAAAGUAAUCAUGUUGGGAGUCUGGCUCUCAAGAUUCGGAGGGCGGUGCCUCUUCGAUUUUGGAGCAAGCAAUCUUGUUGGGAGUGUUUUCUCGAAUGUGAGUAAAGGUUGGGCAUGUUUGCUAGUCUACCUUGCCACGAAGCACAGAGGUUGACACACAGGGACUUUCCAAUUAUCCAGCAGUGGUACUGUUCCUUUACCCUCUCUUCGAUUUUUGAGAAAGUAAUCAUGUUGGAAGUCUGGCUCUCGAGAUUCGGAAGGCGGUGCCUCUUCGAUUUUGGAGCAAGCAAUCUUGUUGGGAGUGUUUUCUCGAAUGUGAGUAAAGGUUGGGCAUGUUUGCUAGUCUACUGUGCCACGAAGUACAGAGGUUGACACACCGGGACCUUCCAAUUAUCCAGCAGUGGUACUGUUCCUUUACCCUUGUGGGUAAUAAUAUGGUAGCUAGACCUUCAAAAUUUAUGUGUCUAAACUUUGUUAGUGUUGUUUCUUUGCUAUUCUUUUACCCUUCUUGGUCAGAGCGAUGUAGUGGGAGCUGCAAGCUUCACGUGUCUCAACUUUGUCAGAUAACUUUGGCAAAGUUAUCUGUGGUACCCAUGAGCUACUGUUGCGUGUGGGAAGUGGGUGAUUGAACAGUACGAUUCAUGUGCUUUCUACUUUACCAGAAAUCUUCGACAGAAUGCCCAUAAUUUCCGCAGAGCUGAGUGUGCGUGUGACAGGUGCUGACAAGGCUGGAAAAGUAUGUGCCUCUUCGAUUUCUGAGAUCGGCCCUCGUAGUCUCUGAGCAGCCCAGCUUUUGAGAAAGCAAGCCUCUUCGAUUUCUGAGAUAGGCCUUCGUGGUCUUUGAGCAGCCCAGCUUUUGAGAAAGCAAACGCCUCUUCGAUUUCUGAGCAGGCGCCUCUUCGAUUUCUGAAGCUUCGUCAAGUGCAGAUUUUUAUAGGGGCUGGCAUUAAGUUCCAAAGGACACUUGAAUCUCCACCAGUAGAAGCUCCAUUCUUGCACUUCUAAGAUCUUGAUUUGUCUGACCUCUUCUCUCUUCAACACCUUUGAAAAUGUCUGGCCCCUCCGACCGUCGUUUUGACUUGAACCUUGUUGAAGAGGCAGCCCCGCCUUCUCCAGACAACAUAUGGCGCCCAUCCUUCGUCUCCCCUACUGGUUCUCUUACCGUUGAGGAUUCCGUGAUGAAGAAUGAUAUGACCGCUGCGGUAGUGGCCAGGAACCUUCUCACUCCCAUAGAUAACAGACUACUUUCCAAACGGUCUGAUGAGUUGGCUGUUAAGGAUUCUCUGGCUCUCAGUGUUCAGUGUGCAGGUUCUGUGUCUAAUAUGGCCCAACGCCUAUUUGCUCGAACCCGCCAAGUUGAAUCAUUGGCGGCUGAAGUGAUGAGUCUCAAACAGGAGAUUAGAGGACUCAAGCAUGAGAAUAAACAGUUGCACCGGCUCGCACAUGACUAUGCUACAAACAUGAAGAGGAAGCUUGACCAGAUGAAGGAAUCUGAUGGUCAGGUUUUACUUGAUCAUCAGAGAUUUGUGGGUUUGUUCCAAAGGCAUUUAUUGCCUUCGUCUUCUGGGGCUGUACCGCGUAAUGAAGCUCCAAAUGAUCAACCUCUGAUGCCUCCUCCUUCUAGGGUUCUGUCCAGUACUGAGGCUCCGAAUGAUCCCCCUCCGAUGCCUUCUCUUUCUGGGGCUCUACCGACUGCUGAGACUUCUCCUAAACAACCUUUGUGAAGGCUCCCUCUUGUUUGUUUAUUUUGACUCAUGUAUAUGUACAUAUUUGUAACUUAUCAGGGCUAUCAAUAAAUAAGUUUUCCUUCAUUUCAACGUAUUAUGUUAAAUACACCAAAGCCUUCUUCGCUAAGUUCUUUGAAUUUUCUUUUGUUGAAGCUUGUAUGUUGAAGCUUUGUGAGUGGAGCAUGUAGGUUGAGGUAGUGUUCCCUUAAUUUCCCGAGUGAGGAAAACUUCUCGGUUGGAGACUUGGAAAAUCCAAGUCACUAAGUGGGAUCGGCUAUAUGAAUCUUAGAACGCCAUUGUGUUCUGUCCUGUGUCAUGUCCUCCGUUAGAUCCAAGUACUCUAAGUCUUUUCUUAGGGUCUCUUCCAAAGUUUUCCUAGGUCUUCCUCUACCCCUUCGGCCCUGAACCUCUGUCCCAUAGUCGCAUCUUCUAAUCGGAGCGUCAGUAGGCCUUCUUUGCACAUGUCCAAACCAUCGUAACCGAUUUUAUCUCAUCUUUCCUUCAAUUUCGGCUACUCCUACUUUACCUCGGAUAUCCUCAUUCCUAAUCUUAUCCUUUCUCGUGUGCCCACACAUCCAAUGAAGCAUCCUCAUCUCUGCUACACCCAUUUUGUGUACGUGUUGAUGCUUCACCGCCCAACAUUCUGUGCCAUACAGCAUCGCCGGCCUUAUUGCCGUCCUAUAAAAUUUUCCCUUGAGCUUCAGUGGCAUACGGCGGUCACACAAUACGCCGGAUGUACUCUUCCACUUCAUCCAUCCAGCUUGUAUUCUAUGGUUGAGAUCUCCAUCUAAUUCUCCGUUCUUUUGCAAGAUAGAUCCUAGGUAACGAAAACGGUCGCUCUUUGGUAUUUCUUGAUCUCCGAUCCUCACCCCUAACUCGUUUUGGCCUCCAUUUGCACUGAACUUGCACUCCAUAUAUUCUGUCUUUGAUCGGCUUAGGCGAAGACCUUUAGAUUCCAACACUUCUCUCCAAAGGUUAAGCUUUGCAUUUACCCCUUCCUGAGUUUCAUCUAUCAACACUAUAUCGUCUGCGAAAAGCAUACACCAAGGAAUAUCAUCUUGAAUAUGUCCUGUUAACUCAUCCAUUACCAACGCAAAAAGGUAAGGACUUAAGGAUGAGCCUUGAUGUAAUCCUACAGUUAUGGGAAAGCUUUCGGUUUGUUCUUCAUGAGUUCUUACGGCAGUCUUUGCUCCUUCAUACAUAUCCUUUAUAGCUUGGAUAUAUGCUACUCGUACUCCUUUCUUCUCUAAAAUCCUCCAAAGAAUGUCUCUUGGGACCCUAUCAUACGCUUUUUCCAAAUCUAUAAAGACCAUGUGUAAAUCCUUUUUCCCAUCUCUAUAUCUUUCCAUCAAUCUUCGUAAGAGAUAGAUUGCCUCCAUGGUUGAGCGCCCUGGCAUGAACCCGAAUUGGUUGUCCGAAAAAAAUAUAUAUGCAAUAAAAUACAUGUAUACAUCCAAAAUACACAUACACGGCCAAGCAUACACCUAUUUUUACUUGCCACACACCCCUUGUUAAUUUCAGUUUUUACAUCUUCUCCAGUUUAUUGCAUCCGAUGGCUUAAAAUUGAGAGGAGGGUAUGAAAAGCAAAAGGAAUAAUGUGUGUGUGUGUGUGUGUGUGUAUUAUGCACAUUUCAUCGCUUGCUUGUGACUUUUUUAGAGUAGGUGCUUCAGAUGAUCUCUGAAGAGCUUCCACUCGUUGAUUAUAAUCAGUUGCAAUGGCCGUUGCCGCGUUCAGGGGAUGCACGGAUUGGGACCAGAAGGUGGCACUGAACCUCUAGCCUGUGGCAGAAGCGCCGUCUUUGGAACAAAAGUCUUCGGCUUCAUCGUGCAGCCCAGAGGUCGAGCAGCAGCUGUUACAUGAUCAGAGGGUAAUUUGGCGGUCAAAAUGAUCAAGAGAAUAAGCAUCAAUAACUUCAUAGCGUGCAUGGUUUUAUAUGGUGACCGAAAAAUGAUGUCGAAUGUGCUUUCUCUCUAUGGAAAGAUGGAAGAUAAGGUGUGUGGAAUAAGCUUUCUUGUGCUGAAUUUAUAUAGAGAUUGAGUUAAGAACUACAAGUGGGACAUGAAUUCAACUUCGAAACUGCUAAGAAAAGGGGGGCUGACCGCAUGAAAGAUACACAAUUUGAGACAUUCUUAACGAACAAGUUAAGGAAAAAGGAAAAAUAAAAGGAAGCCAAAUUACACAAUUUAUGAGGAAAUUGUUGGAAUAGGAUCCUCUCCUGAUCCUCUUUGUGGGGAUCCGGAUGAUCAAUCAAUCGAGUUCGUUCAUCGUACAUCGUGCGUUUAGAAAUUAUUUUGAAUUUUUAAUUUUGAAUUUAAAAUUGAAUAUAAAUAGUACUUAAUGAAAUUAACCGUACGAUGUACGAUGAACGGACAUGAUUGAUUGAUCCCUAGAUCACCACAAACUGGAUCUGAAGAGGAUCCUCAUCCGAAAUUGUUUACAUUUUUUUAGCCCGCCACUUUGGUCAAAAGAAACCAAUUAUAUAUAUUAUAUUUGAGGAUUUUAAGGUAAAAGAGUCUCACAUUAUGAAAUGAAACAGAUUGAACUACUUCUAAUAUUGCCAAUUGAUUUUAUGGUGGAACCCUAACUUUCUUCAUAGAAUCAGAGCACGUGCUCCAUGUCACCCAAUUCUUGUUGUCCAAGUGUUUGACUUGAAAAUUCGCUAUACGUGAGGGGUCGUGUGAAGAUGUGAAGGUAAAAGAGUCUCAUAUCAGUGAAAGGAGAAACAUUAUGAGGGUUUAUAAGAAGUUAAAUUACUCUCCAUAUUGCCAAUUAGCUUUAAACUCCAACUUUCUUCAAUAUACAUAAGUGUUACCACACACUAGGAUUGUGUAUCUAAGUAUAGUGAUAGAUAUGUGUUUAUGUUGGAUUUAUCCAAUAUAAAUCAACCUUUAAGUGGUCUACUACAUGUAAUAGGAAUGUAAUAUUGGAGAAUAAUGUUAAUUGUGAUUUGAUCUCUUAAAAAUAUCAAUUCUAUAUAAGGUGUCUUAUAUUGGAAAUAUGAUUGAUGGAAUCCUUAAUAAUAUAUGAUUAUGAUAUUUUACUUGAGAGCCAAGAAAGGAGAGUUUUAGCUUUCCCUUAUGGAUGGAAUCUAAGACUUUUUGGCUAAUAUAUAAACACUGGUCCCUGCUAACCCUAGACACGACAACUAAGGCUUCCCAUAGAGCAUUGUCAUAAAGCUAGGAGUUUACAGAAGAGUUGGUGUUUUCUGUUUGUCACGGCAAACAUAAAGAUUGAAAUUUUAUCGAUCACGUCUUGAUUGCAUGGCUGCUACAUCUUCGACAACUGUCAUUGGAAUCAGGUCAGUCACUCAUUUGUUUGUGUUUUAAUUGUAUAACCUUGUAAGGCUAACAAUUGGUAUCAGAGCCACUGGUUAUAUGAUUAAAACCUAUUAAGUUUGAAGUUUGAUUAUAUAAUAUUUUCCUUUUUGGAUUGCGGUUUUGAUCUUAAAAUUCAAAUUGUGUUCCGGGUCGAUGAGGACUUCUUGAAUCAGACACAUCUGCGGUCAUGAACGAGAUCUACGCCCUGCAUUGGUUCAAGGACGUUCACGUGAGAACCGUCCGUGUAUUGGUCGGUAACCUUAUUCCAAACGUAGGCUUUUCUAAUUGAAGCACCUAAUGAUGAUAUCAAAUUAACUAUAAUAAAGGAAGAUUGAUAUAGUUGAUUCAUUAUUUUAUGGAAUUGUAUAAUUGGAAUACCAUGGUGCUUAACGUUUUCUAUUUCACAUAUGCAUCGCAUAUGAGAUCUUGAUGGAGGUGGGUUAAAGAGCGGAUAAAGCGCCGAGGCAUAAAAAAACACGGUCGUCAGUAUCAUGAACUCUGGCAUCGCAGUACACACGGUCACAUCUCCACUCUAAUUGGUUCCAAACCCCAAAGGCUGGAGUAGGACCCCCACCAAAUAUCAACCUAGCUAUUUGUGCAUUGAUGGUCUUAAACUUUAACUAACGGACGUUAAGUUACUUCCAAGACAUGUGUAGCCUUGCAGGGAAUCACAUAUUUUGCUAUCGGAUAUAUGAAACAUAAAUUGGUAAACUAAUCAUUGUUGAAUGGUAGGUUUUCAAGCACUUCAAGCUUUCUUUCUUGUAUUUAGUUCUCAUAAAGAAAGAUUGGAAUCGUUUGCUCAUCUUUACUGAAUUAAUUAUGACUGGAAGAAUAUGGCAUGUUUUAAACUUUCUAUUUCGAUAUUCAUGCCAAUGUUUUUGGUUGAAUUGAUUUAGUGGUAGAUACAACUAUUUUGGCUAACGUUGUUGUCAAUUUUGUAAGGAUAUACAAAUAUGUACUUCUGUAAUAAUGUUGUCAAGAAAGAAUAUGAAACAUCUCAAGUUAGCAAGCUCGGUAAAGUCUCCUAUCAAAGCAAACAAUUUUGAUCAUUAUAUGUGUCAAUUGCGAAUUAAUUAGUUGAUCAUGCAUAUGGUUAGUUUUGACUAUUAAGUUUUAAACUUGGUUAUCAAAACAAAGAGAAAAUAUAUGUUUUGAACAUGAUUAAUUCUUAUAUGCAUAUAAGUGGCAUAUAGAACGAGGGAAAAGUAGAAUUUUUAAGACAUGCCAAGAUGCAUGCAUAUAAAAGUGCAAAUCUAUCUUGUUUGUUUGCGGCUAAUUUUGUUAGUGCCACAUGAGAGCGAGCUUGCUGGAAUCAAAAUCUCCAACCGCAGGUUUAGGGCGGGUUAUUACUGCCACACGCGAGAACACCUGUGUGAGGUGGGUCCUGGGUGGACAGGCGACAAGGGGACACUAACCACCCUUCAAAUGCCUCACGGAUUAUUGCAGGUUCUGUUUUUGCAUUACAUGAUUAUGUGUAGUAAAUAUAUAGACUGAAUUGGAUAGCCAUGUCAUUGGUUGCUGUCGGAAAUAUCUAAUAUGGAUUCAAUUUUAAGUAUGCAAGCAUGGAGCAAAAUUGACAUAUGGCGUGUUUUAUUAAAAGGAUUGGGUUGUCCUAUAUUGCUUUAAGCUUGAGAUGAUCUUAUAUAAAGACACAAAUGUGUUGAUUAGUAAUGCAGUAUGCUAGCACUUAAGUAUGAUGGGGGAUUAAUUCAAGUACGGUUUAUAAUGAUAUUAACUCCAUACGGAAUUUGCAUGACUAAUCAAAUUAGUUUUGUCUACAAUUUUGCUUUCCUAUCUCAGUAUAGUCAUUUAAUUGUACAUGACUAAUGCAUAACUUAUGGAUUGACUGAGAAUGACAGAAAGCAUCCAAUGACAAGAAUGAGGGUAUAAUACAAGUGAAUAAGGUUUGUAGUAAUUAUGUGACAAUUCUCAUUUGUAUUUUUAUCUAUUCUUAUAUGAGAAUUUUGGUUGGUCAUGUGAUUAUAUAUAUGUUUACAAAGAAGUGAUGAACAUAUGAAGGCAUGAGGUAUGUAAUCCAUUCAAAGUAUGUGGCUUAAUUGAUAAGCAUGAAUUUCCAAACAUGUAUUAUUGUUUGUGGUUUUUCCUAUGCCUAAAGAAUUUAAACAGUGCUUUGAUUAGUAAAUUUUUAUGUGUCAUAAGGGGAGAAGAAAAUAAACUUUUCAAGGCUAAUGUAGGGCAUAUAUUGGAGAUGUUUUCUAUGGAAGAAAAGAAUUUUGGUUGUUCCUUUUAUUUAAUUUGGUAUUUACAAAGCUAAUGCAUGAUUUUAAUGCUAUGUUUAGUAGUUUUGUACUACGGAAAGAAAUAUAUAAAAGGAAAGGAACCCAUUUGAUAUAUAUUUGAGCGAUUUAGCUUUUAAAUUAAAGGAAUGUAUUGUUCUUUCCCAUUACAUAAAUAAUUUCUGUUUUAAGUAAUUGACUCCAUAAUGAUAAGUAUUGACAUUCGUGUGGUGGAAUAAAACUUGUUCUAUAUGUGAUUAAUCUCUUUCAAGUAUGCUGUCAGGUUUCUUGAGAUUAAUUUAAUGUCAAAGGGAGUCCUGAAGGAAUUAGUGCCAUUUGUUGGCAAGACUUGACGCUCGAAUCAGGUUAUCAUAAUUUUGUCACUUACAGUUGAUUAAUUCAUGUGACUUUUUGUAUUGUUUCAGGGCGAAGUUGAUAAAUGUCUUUUCAACUAAAGCAAGCCACAACGACUUAGUUGAUGAUGAGACUGUGUUUUUGAGUUACUUCAGUCAACUUUGCAUCUUAAUUAGAAUAAAAGGGAUAAUCUUCUUGCCUACAGGUGUGGAUUAUUUCUUUUAGUUUAAUUAAGAUGGCAUAGUAUGGGUUUUAUUUUACAAAAGUUGUGAAAAUCUUCAUCUUGCCUACAGGUGUUGAAGUUUUUCAUGAAGGUACUUUUGUGACAUAAAAUCUAGUACUAGAAACUAGUUAAUUUUCUUGCCUACAGGUGUAAAUUAAUUUAGUUUCAUGAAGUCUAUUGGGGACAAAGUUCCAUGCCAUCAGUUAAAAUAUUUCCACUAUGAGCCCAUAAUAGGUUGUGGUUUUAAGGCAUGGAAAUCGGUUGCAUCAUGACAUAUUUUAUCUCUUCAUGAGACUUGUUGAUGCAAAGUAUUGGACCCAUGAAAGUUAAUCAAGGAUUGCUAAGGUACACAUUUGUUUAAGUCUUAUGCUUGUAAAUCUUUUCAAUUGAAACUAUGAUGUCGGUUUAGAGGAUGAAUUUUGACUACUAAAGUUUCUUUUGGACAUCGAAAUUGAAAUGAUAUGAAAUUGAAUUUGUUAUGGAUGCAUAAAUUCAUGAUAGAUGCACAUAAUUGUUUCUGGCAGAUUGCGUGUCUUGAAUUAAAUCGGGUGAAUGACACGUCUAAUGGUCACCAAAUGACCUGAAUUUUGGAUAUGUUCAACAUAUAGAUGUCUACUAUUUGUCUGCAAAUUUUCGUAAUUUUCUGCCAUCUAUGUUAAUUAUGGUGAAUUUACUACUAACCCAUACUCGUAUAGACAGUUUUUACUGACAGAUUGUGUUGGUCUUUUUGAGACGUCACUUUAGACUACUAUUUUGACCCAAAAUAGCUCCAUAUUUUUAUUUUAUGAAUAUUAGUAUGUCUAUUUUGAUCAGUAUAAAUUUGGUAGCAAUCAAGCUUGUAAAUUAAUUAUGAUUAAUUCUAAAGUGAGUGUACCUUGCUACUGAAAUUCUGGUUGACAACUUUGUGUUGGUUGUAAUGUCUAUUUUAUUGUGUCUAAAAUAUAAAGCAAUUUUAUUUAGGUACAUUUUUGAAAGAGUGUUUGCCCAAGUGGGAGAAUUAGUGAACGAAAAUUGGGCUUCACACUCAUUAACUUAUUUGCAAGUAUAAACUCCGAGAACUUAGUGGGAGUUAUUCUAAAAUUGUGAGCAUUAAGUGGACUUGCAUGAAUCUAUUAAAGCAUUAUUCUAUCUUCAUGAAUUUGGGUUACUCGAAUAUCUAUAAUAUGUUUAAGUUACAUGCGUACAUUUUUCUGUUACUUGCAAUCAUUUGGAUUUCGGUUGAUCAUUUGUUUUGGGGCUCAUAAGGACUUAGCAUGAAUGUGAACUUAUUAAUACAUAUAAGAUGGUUGUUGGAUGCAUGUUUUGUGUAACAGCGGUGAAUGCUUUCAUUCUUUGUUGUACCUUUCAUUGAGGUAAUAUGCAUUCAUUGACUAAGUAAGGCUAUUCCCAAAGGCAUAUUUUCAAAAAUAUGAUUUAAGUAUUGAUUUGCAAAUUAAGUAAUGAUGUUGCAGAUCAGUGGGAGUUUGAGUUUAGUAAUGCCUUACAUUUGCAGAUGACCUAUAAGGUAUGUGUAGAAUCCAUGUAUUCAUUUUAAUCUCCAGUUGGAUUCAUUAAGUCACAUUUUUCGUGUGCUAGUCAAUUAUCUGAUGAAAUAUAUAUCGGAUAUCAAGUUGUUAUCAAAUUGCAUAUUAAAUGGCAUGGCAUGGUUUGUGCACUGCCUCAGUUGUGAGGAUUUCCAUCUUGCCCGCAGGUGUUGGAAAUCACUAUGAAAGUAACUGGUAUGGUGCAUAGAUCAAUGUCAAAAACAUAUUAAUUCAUCUUGCUCACAAGUGUUGAAUUAAUUUGUUUUAUGAAGUUUUGGGAUAUUUUACUUGGACAUGUGCCUAUUUGGUAUUUUCAGUUGUGUCCGUUGGCUACAAACAUUGUUUGUAUUGUUACUUAUCUAAUGAAAGUAACGCAUGACUGUUUUGGAGAUGUAUUCACACCUGCAGGUUAUGGUCGUUUCAUUAGAUGAAGGAUAUUUGCAUUGGCAAACUAAAGGCUUUGAAGAAGCAUAAAGUGUAACAUGUGUGUUACAAUAAGGUGGACCUGAGAUGAUAUAAAGUAAGACAUUUUGGUUAAUUUAAAGUUUCAUCUCUUGAUCAUAAUUUGUGUUUCAUGUAAAUGUGGAUCUUAGCAUGAGUGAUUAUGAAGGUUCUGGGUUGUGUCAACCCUACAACCUUGUUAAUUCCAUGUUAAGAAAUGCAUUUGACAGAAGCUACAUUAAGGACGAGAUGUAAUCACUGUUACAUGGCCACUAAAGUGACAUUAGUCUCCAAUCUCAAGUAUAAACGUGAAUAUUACAUUUUGUAGACCAAGUGGGAGAAUGUUGGAUUUAUCCAAUAUAAAUCAACCUUUAAGUGGUCUACUACAUGUAAUAGGAAUGUAAUAUUGGAGAAUAAUGUUAAUUGUGAUUUGAUCUCUUAAAAAUAUCAAUUCUAUAUAAGGUGUCUUAUAUUGGAAAUAUGAUUGAUGGAAUCCUUAAUAAUAUAUGAUUAUGAUAUUUUACUUGAGAGCCAAGAAAGGAGAGUUUUAGCUUUCCCUUAUGGAUGGAAUCUAAGACUUUUUGGCUAAUAUAUAAACACUGGUCCCUGCUAACCCUAGACACAACUAAGGCUUCCCAUAGAGCAUUGUCAUAAAGCUAGGAGUUUACAGAAGAGUUGGUGUUUUCUGUUUGUCACGGCAAACAUAAAGAUUGAAAUUUUAUCGAUCACGUCUUGAUUGCAUGGCUGCUACAUCUUCGACAACUGUCAUUGGAAUCAGGUCAGUCACUCAUUUGUUUGUGUUUUAAUUGUAUAACCUUGUAAGGCUAACAGUUUAACCUUAAUCUAGAGCGGUUGCUAGACAGAGUUUUCAUGCGCACUUUCGACCUAGGAGAGUUUUGCAAAGUAAUGUGAAGCAAUAAGACAAAAAGGAAAACAUAGGUCAUACGCAUAUACCAAAACUCAGUACACAUUGAUAUCUAUUUCGUUUUUAAAUUUGGGACUUUUGUAGAUAUGAAAAAAUAUAUAAGGAAAAAGAAUAAUAGAGAAGAAGUGGUGAGAGAAAAGAAUAAAUAAAAAUGGAUAAAUACGAAAUCUUAAAAGUGAAAAAGCUUAAAAUAGUUUUGAGUUUGAAUCAGUUUUCUUCUUGUGUAUGCUUCUAAAAAUUCAAAGAAAAAUGUAUUUCUUCCACAUUUUUGUACCCGUUGUUGUCUACUAUAUUCCUCUCUAUUUUUAACACAAAACUAAAAACUAAAAACUAAAAACGAAAAAACAGAAUGUAUUUCAUGCUCUCUAGUUACAACUUCAUACCAAUACACGUGAAAUUGAAAUUCACCUGCAAUGAGGUGUCGAUUUUUGUUGUUUUGUAUGAUUGCCAUUUUUCAUAGCACGCAAAAAUGUCAACCUACGUUUAUACGCGUUAUGAGCGCCGAAUCAGUUUAAUAGACGUGUGGCUUUUGUUUAAUUAUAAUGAGUGCUAAAAAGUAAAUUCGGACAAGUGGUCAUCUACCACAGUGGUGGAAAAGAGCGUUACCCUUACAUCACGAUGUGAGUUCGAACUUUGUCAGCUUCUUUAUCUAACAUCUAAUUUAACAAAUUUAUCGUCUGAAAAAAAAAAAUUGUAAACUCGGUUAUUUUUGUCGGGAAACCUUAUCCUGUUCAUGUUGACCUCACUGGCACAAUGUUUUUUGUUUGUUUUAAUUUGAUUUUGGCAUUUGGGCUUUUGAUUCCCUCACACAAAUGACACCCUUGCUAUGCGCUUUAUGAUAAUAGCGUGCGGGUUCGUUAAGAAGUUUUUUUAAAACGAUCUUAGUGAGUAUGUCUUGGAAAUUCAAAAGUAUUUGAAAUAUUUCUUUCAAGAAGCACCAAUUAUGUAUUUCUUGCAAGAAGCACUGCAAGUGUUUUUCUAAAAUUUAUUUGCAUUUUUACUUAAUUGAUUCCCUAUUUUUACUAAAAAUGUUUUCAGUUAAUUUAAAAGUACUCAGAAAAGAGUCUUUGUUUUCUAUGGUGACAUAGUGAUGAGCAAAGUGCUUACGCUGCAGAUUGUGUGAUGUUUUAUACAGAAACGGACGGAGGUUGAAACUCCUGGGAAAAAGGGCGCUGACUCAUUACACGAACCCAAUUGUCAAGUCAUAAUUUUAGAUAAUUAGAUGAAAUAAAAACUCAAUUUAUGCAACUUCCUUGCAAUUUGUUGGAAGUUUUUAACACUAGUUUGCAGGCCCCCGCUUUAAACGUUUUCCGUACAUCUAUAUUUGUUCACACACACACACACAUAUAUUAUAAAAGAAUGGAAAUAACUUCUUCUCUUCCAUUUUUUCUUCAAUAUACAUCGAUUUCUGUUUGGUUCUAGUUAUAUAUAAUUAGGUAAAUUAAGAAACAUAAAUAAACAAAGUGUAUAAAAAGAUAGGUAAAAAAAAUGUGCAAAAGUUAUACUUAGAUAAAUGAGUUAAUUAACUAGUGAGUGGUAGUUACGUAAGAUUUUUCUAUCCACAAUAUAAUUUAACGAAAUUGGGUUGAAAUCUACGUUUCUAUUAUAACAAAUAGUGAUGACAAAUCACUAAAAUAACAACAAUCAAUUAUAAAACAAACGAGGAAGAGGGAACGUAAUUUUGUUCGUGUUUGUUUCUUUAAACAUGGUUUUAGUAAAGCCAAUUUUAUGCCUGAUUCGCUUGCUAAUUUUGGUUAUUCGCAAAACUAUGAUUGUAUUGGGCUAGAUUUUGUUCCUCCUUUUGCUAGCCAAGCUUUAAUUUGGGACUCUCGUUGACGUAACAUUUGCCCGGAGACUUUGUGUUUUAAUUUAAUUUUCGCACUUGAGGAAAACAAAUGAGAAAAAGGGUACUCAAGUCAAAGCUCAGCGUGUUUAUAGAUAUAUAUAUUGUUGAAAAUGCUGGUGGGUGGUGAAUGCCCAGUGCAUUUGGUAAAGUUUUUAAUGCCCAUGAAAUUUGGAAUAGACUUUGGCAAUUAAGGAUGUCAUUUUUCAAAACAUGCGAUGUAAAUUUUUCAAACUAUAUGAACUUGUUUGUAUAGAGCUGCUCUAUAAAUAAAGCGCUCAUACUAUGGUUAAAGUAGAUAGAAAAACAUACAGCAGAAAACAGAAAGAAAGAAAUCUUUUCCUCCAUUUUUUAUUUGUUAUUCUCUUGUGCUAUCAUUUUCAGUGUGACAUUUUACACCUGCUUCAUUCCAUUUACUAAAAGGUUAUCUUUCUAACUUUGACAUAUUUAUAACACGUUAUCAGCACAAAUCUCUAAAAUAUAACUAUUUCUCAUUCCUCUUCGCCGAAUGCAAAUCAUUUCUCUUCGCCGAACAAAAGAAAAAAAAAAGUUUCCUCUAAGGUUUUUACUGUUCAUCUUCUUUCUCUGCCUCAACUGCUCAGUAUACCCUCGCAAUGAACUGUUUGCUCCAUGCCUGCUUCUAGUUCUCAACCUAACGGUUACAUACAUCUUUGAUUUCUUGUUUGAUAUAGAUAUUGAUUACUAACCCAGUAUUUAUUUAUGUUGAUUUUACUGCAAUCCAAGAUGGUGCGGUACAAUCGCCCAUCUUGAACUGCAAAUUUAAUCUUAUUGCCAUCCAAGAUGGUGUGGUAUCAUCGCCUAUCUUGGACUACAGAUUUAAUUUUACUGCAAAUUUUAGGUGGAGCGGUAUAAUCGCUCACCCUACCCUGCAUAUUUAAUUUGCCUGCAGUUUAAUUUCAUUGCAAUUUUAGGUGGUGCGGUAUAAUCACCCACACUGCUAUGCGUAUUUAAAUUUUUCUGCUACUUGAGUGGUGCGGUACAAUCGCCCUCCUCAUUCACCCUGAAAAUCUCAAUCCAGAAGUUUCAAGUGCUUAUCAUUUUGGCCUGAAGAUCAAAAUGAAAAAUUUGUAAGAACUAGAAGUUAUAACACUAUAUUCCUCCAGGAAUACAUAUUAUUGCAAGUUCUUACACAUCUCAUUUUCUUUCAGAAAAAAAGAAAAUGGCGAACUUGGCGAAGCUUGAUUAUGCUACCCUGGACAUUACCAGAAGAAUUACCUUACCUGGGUACUGGAUACCAAGAUCCAUGUGGAAGCAGGGAAUCUUGGAGAUACCAUCAAGGAAGAGAGCAACUCAUCCUCUUAAGAGCAGGCAAAGGCUAUGAUUUUUAUUCGUCGCCAUCUUGAUAAGGUACUAAAGAGUGAGUACUUAACAGUUGAAAAUCCGUUAACUCUUUGGAAUGCAUUGAGAAGCAGAUACAAUCACUAGACAACGGUGAUUCUUCCAAGAGCUCGCUAUGAAUGGACUCACCUAAAGAUCCAAGAUUUCAAGUCAGGGGCAGAAUACAAUUCUGCGUUGUUCAGAAUUACCUCUCAGCUGAAGCUCUGUGGGGAUACUAUUACUAAGGAAAAUUUGCUGGAAAAGACUUUCAGCACAUUUCAUGCCUCUAAAGUGCUCAUGUAGUAGCAGUAUAGAGCACGAGGCUUCACUGAAUACAACCAGCUCAUAUUUGUGCUCCUGGUAGCUGAACAGAAUAAUGAGCUCUAGAUGAAAAACCAUAAUUCCUGACCUACUGGAUUUGAACCAUUCCCAGAAGUGAAUGUUACUUCCCUCGAACUGAACGCCACAUCCUCUGGUGGCUAUAAUCAUAAACGAGGACGUGGCCACAAACAAGGUUGGUGGAACAGGAAAAGAAAGAACCAUGGUGGUCAGUUUCACAACUAGGUUCCGAGGCAUAAUUCAGGCCCGAGCUUUAAAAAUGUGAAUCGCCACAAAGGCAAAGCUCACAUGAACAAUGCUCCCAGGAACUCCAAAGGAGCCUGCCAUAGGUGUGGUGGCAAUGGGCAUUGGACGCAUACUUUUUAUACCCCAAACAUCUGGUGGAUCUGUAUCAAGCCUCCCUCAAGGAGAAGGGUGUCGAAACCAAUUUUCUCGACCAGGCUAAACCAAUGGAUAUACCUGAUCAAGUGUGUGACUUAUCAAGACAGUUGAACACAACCCACCUAGAUGUUUCAGACUUCAUUAUGGAAAGGGGGAAUGAAGUAUACCGGUCCGACUGAAUCGUUUAUGUUUGAUGUACUUUUGUUAUGCUGAACUUGUAGUUUAAAAUUGGCAUUUCAGAUUCAAUAAAAGUGGCAUGUAAAUUUCUUGUUAUAACUUGCUUUUAACUCUGAUUUCUUUACUCAGAAGGCAUGGAUAAAAACUAUGGUCAUUCUCAAAACAUGAGAAAUGGCGGAGACAUUUGUCUUGCAGACUGCGCAACUACGCAUACAAUACUUCGUGAUCGAAAGUAUUUCUUAAGCUUGAUACUUACAAGAAUAAGGGUAACAACAAUAUCAGGCAAAUAAGAUGUAAUUGAAGGCUCAGGGAAAGCCCAGAUUAUGUUACCAAAUGGAACAAUAUUGUCCAUACAGAAUGCGUUGUAUGCUACUCGAUCUACUCAAAAUUUGUUGAGUUUCAAAGACAUACGUUUAAAUGGAUACCACAUUGAAACGAAAAGUGUAGAAAAUGUGGAGUAUCUAUGUAUUACCUCCAAUGAUACCCAGAAGCGUAUAUUGGAGAAGUUGCGUGGUUUGUUGAGUGGAUUGUAUUAUACAUACAUAAAGACAAUUGAAUCACAUACUGUCAUGAACCAGAAGUUCAUUGAUUCAAAAGUUUACAUGCUUUGGCAUGACCGUCUGGGUCACCCAGGAUCUACCAUGAUGCGUAGAAUCAUUACCAACUCUAAUGGACAUCCAUUAUUGAGUAGGGACAUUGCUAUCACAAAUGAUAACCCUUGCAAAGCUUGUUCUCAAGGGAAGUUGGUAAUCAGACCAUCACAACUAAAGGUUGAUAUUGAAUCCCCAUCAUUUCUGCAAAGAGUACAAGGGGAUAUUUGUGAACCUAUUCAACCAUCUUGUGUUUGGUUGAUGCAUCUACCAUAUGGUCACAUGUUUGUCUAUUGUCUACUCGAAAUGUAGCUUUUGAGAGACUUCUUGCUCAGAUAACUAAGUUACGAGCACAGUUCCCAGAUUAUCCCAUUAAGUCAAUCCGACUUGAUAACGCUGGUGAAUUUACGUCUUAAACUUUUGAUGAUUAUUGCAUGACAUUGGGCAUUGAUGUUGAACACCCUAUUCCUCAUGUCCAUACUCAAAAUGGUUUGGUAGAAGCAUUGCUCAAGCGACUUCAGUAAUAGCUCGCACUCUACUUAUGAAAACCACAUUACCAGUUUCUGCAUUGGGACAUGCCAUCCUACAUGCUGCAUCAUUGGUUUGAUUGAGACCUAUAGCCAACCACCAAUACUCCUCAAUACAACUCGUGUUUGGACAUCAGCCAAACAUUUCACAUUUACGAGUUUUUGGUUGUGCUGUUUAUGUGCCUAUUGUACCCCCGCAACACACUAAAAUUGGACCUCAGCAUAGACUGGGAAUUUAUGUGGGUUUUGAUUCAUCAUCUAUCAUUAGAUAUUUGGAACCCUUGACAGGUGAUAUGUUUACAACUCAUUUUGCUGAUUGUCACUUUGAUGAGACGGUCUUCCCAUAAUCAGGGGGAGAAAAGACCGUUCCAGAAGAAUGGAAAGAGUUGACAUAGGUUGUUCCCACCUUGUCUCAUUUUGAUCCUCGAAGCAAAUAGAAUCGUUCAUCUUCAAAGCAUUUCCAAUCAAAUGCCAGAUGCAUUUAAUGAUGCUAUGAAAGUGACAAAAUCACAUAUACCAGCUGCAAAUGCACCUGCCAGAAUUGAUGUCCCUAUUGGACAAAAUAAAGUGGUAGCGAAUGAUUCAUCUGGUGCACGCUUGAAGCAUGGUAGACCUCAAGGUUCAAAAGAUUCAGCCUCUCGAAAGAGAAAGACAAGGGCACAGCUGAAUCCAAAUGAAAUCAUUCAGGAAGAGAGAAUGAAUGACAAAUCUACAAUUCAUGAUUUUGGACUUCCAGAAGAAGAAAAUAUCCUUGAUGAGACACAUGUCCCUGAAGAGACAGCAGUACAUGAGAGCAAAGAAAUCUCUAUAAAUUAUGCAUGUACUAAUGAAUUGUGGGAUCAGAAUGAAAUAAUCAUCGACGAUAUGUUCGCAUUCUCAGUAGCCACUGAAAUCAUAUUAAGUGAUGAUCUUGAGCCCCGCUCUGUUGAUGAGUGCAAACAGAGACAAGAUUGGCCUAAGUGGAAAGAUACAAUCCAGUCAGAAUUAAAUUCUUUGGAAAGGCAAAGUGUUUUUCAACCAGUAGUCCAAACCUCGCCUAGUGUAAACCCCGUGGGUUACAAAUGGGUAUUUACAAGGAAACGCAAUUAGAAAAAUGAGAUUGCAAGAUAUAAAGCACGACUCGUUGCACAAGGUUUUUCACAAAUACCUGGAAUUACUUAUGAGGAGACGUACUCUUCUGUAAUGGACGCAAUUACGUGGUAUAAUCGUCUCAGCGAGUAUUUGAUCAAAGAAUGAUACAUCAACAAUGUCAUUUGCCCUUGUGUGUUCAUUAAGAAAUCCAAUUCUAGAUUUGCUAUAGUGGCAGUUUACGUUGAUGAUAUGAACCUAGUUGGAAUUCCUGAAGAGCUCAAUAAAACUGCUGAAUAUCUGAAAAGCGAAUUUGAAAUGAAAGACCUUGGAAAAACAAAAUUUUGUCUCGGCCUGCAGAUCGAGCAUUGUGCUAGUGGAAUUUUGGUCCACCAAUCAGCUUACAUUGAAAAAAUUCUGAAGCGAUUUGGUAUGGACAAAGCUUAUCCACUAAGCACGCCAAUGGUCAUUCGUUCUUUGGACGUUAAGAAAGAUCCAUUCCAUCCAAAAAAAGAUGAUGAACUGGUCCUUGGUCCAGAAGUACCAUAUCUGAGUGCAAUAGGUGCUUUGUUGUAUUUAGCACUGCGAAAUCUCGUUUUUGGAUUUCACUGUUAUAAUCUACGUAUUUGCAUUAUUGAAAUUUUAUAUUAUUUUUCGAAAAUUUAUAUUAAUUUAUUGAAUUUAGAUUUCAAUUAAAUUAGUUACCAAGAGUGAAGUUUAGAAAAUAAUUAUUUAAAAUUUGUUGACCUUUCGAGGUCACAAGUAACGUUUUCGAAUAGAUCUUAACCACGAACGCAUAGGCGAAAGCCGUUUGCGAGUCCGGAUUAUAAUGGUAUAGUUAUGGCCAUUUGAAAUCAUUUACUAAACUAUAGUUUCAAUUAAUUAAAAUCCCACUUUGUGGGAAAGAGGCCCAAUCAUGUAAGAUUUAAGGUGGACCAAUUAGAAAAGAAAAAAAAAGGUGGACUUUGAGGGUAGCACAGGAGGAAGAAAAGAAAAAGGGGGCGGAAGAAAAAAAAAGAAAAGAAAAGGGGGACUUAGAGGACAGCACGGGAGGAAGAAAAGAAAAAGGAGGGAAGAAGAAAAAAAAAGGGAAGAGAGAAGGAAAAAGGGAGUUGCGAAAGAGAAGGGGAAAAGAACGUUCUUCCACGUUCUUCCGGGCUUUGCGAGGAAAGAAAAAGAAACAGGGAGGAGGUGGCUCUUCCAUAGCUGUUGAAAGAAAAUCCUUCUUUCUUCAGGCAAAAAUCAGAGAGAUAGGAGUUAGAGAACGUGAUUAUGAAGGAAGGAUUCAAAGAUUUAAAGGGUAAAUUCCUUGUUACUUCAUUAUCUUGAUUUUCGAAUUUAACUUUCUUAAGUUGAAUUGAAACUGCCAUGAUAUAUUGGAGUUCUUAAUUCUAUUUAGGGUUUCUAUCAUUCAAUGAACUAGUCUAAACAUGAAUUAAAGUUGGGUAUUUUGGAUUGGGCGUGUAGAUCAAAUUUCUUGAUUAAGGGUUUGGUUCAAAAGGUCAAUUUCUUGUUAAUUUUGAGUCAUGUUAGUUUUGGAUGUUGUAUACAUGACUUCUGGACUACCUGUAAAUUUCUUUGCAAAGAAAACUCAAGUUUCGAGUAGCCUUCUUUGGCUCUUAAUUUCUAGGCCUUUAUGUGCUCCUUUGGAGAAAAUUUUUAGUUUGUUGAAAGUACAUAUGUUCAUGGUCGUAACCCAAUUGUUUUCACUCAGAUAUGUUGAGUUUUGGUUGAUCAAAACCUUAUUUAAACUUGGGUCGCGAGCUGCCAAACAGCAGCAUAAAAUUGGGUGUCCAGUUUCAAGACUCUGUUUUACUUUUGGCAUAACUUCCAAUUUAGAGCUCCGUUUUCUACAAACUUUGUAUGCUUUUAAAGUACAGAACACAAGCUUCAAAACCCAUAUAAUAUUACAUGAUUUGGUUUAGUUUUGAAUGUUCCAAAGGGAGCCUAAACUUGGUCCAAUGGUGCUGUUUUCUGCAGAUUUUGUGGAGAAGCAGAGUACUGUUUUUGCCACACCUAGUUUCUUUCCAGAUUCCUAUCUAAUCUUAUUUACUACUAAUUUAGUGAUGGUAUUAAUAUCAUUUGUGGAUAUGACAUGGUUUUAUAAAUGUGUUUUCUAUUAAAUGUGAUUCUUUAUAAUUGGCCAUCGAUCUAUUUUUAUUAAAUGUGAUUCGAAUUGCAUAUUGAAAUGUGAAUUAUAUAUAUAUGCCAUAGACCCAUGUUAAUUAAAUGUGAAUUCUAUUGAAGUGUUAUUUUAUUUUUUGUCAUUGAUCUAUUUUCAUUAAGUAUGAUUUGACUUAUGCAUUGGAAAUAUGGUUUGUAUUGUAUGAUUGGAUUGAUGUGAUGAAAUGCAAGGGCUAGUAGUGGACCAUUAACCAUUGUUAUGGGGUUUGUUGCCUUCGAAACAUGUUUCAACCCUCGUGUCAUUAUUCAUCCUCGUUUCGUUGAGUCUUUGUACAUUGAGUAACUUGAUCCAUGUCUUGUUUUAUUGAUUGGUGUUACACAUUCUACUCCGCGAUUCUGUUGAAUGAUGAUCCAGAAUCGUAUUCUGGUUUGGAUUCCGUUAAGUGAUGGUCCGGAAUCCCUUCUACUCCACGAUUCCGUUGAGUGAUGAUCCGGAAUUGUAUCCUGGUUUGGAUUCCAUUGAGUGAUGGUCGGGAAUCCCUUCUACUCUGCAAUUCUGUUGAGUGAUAGUCUGGAAUCCCUUCUACUCCGUGAUUCCGUUGAGUGAUGUUUCGGAAUCGUAUCUAACUUGGGUUUCAUUUAGUGGUGGUUAUGCAUUGUCCUCCGCGAUUCCGUUGAGUGAUGGUCCGGAAUCAUAUCUACUUGGAUUCCGUUAAGGGCUAGUCCGGAAUCCCUCAGACUUCGUGAUUCUGUUAAGAGCUAGUUCGGAAUCCUUCAUACUUCGUGAUUCCACUGAGAGAUGGUUCGGGAUCGUGUUCACCUUGGAUUUUAUUGAGUUUGGAUCGAGAUAGCUUCAGAGAUGUAGGCUUCGGCCGAACUGUGUCGCUCUAGCCCUACUUUUCAUGGUGUUGUAUGAUAUUAUGAUUAUGAGCUGUUGUGAUUUGAUCCAGACGAACCGUUGGAUGUCUAGGUGACUCCUUCGGAGUUGUUAGAGUUCCUUGGUUAAAUUUGUGAAAUGAUAUGUUACUGCAUUCAUUGAUUAAACAAUUAAAUGCUAAGAUCAUGUAUCUUUGAUUCAUGAUUAAUUAAUUGAUGUGAUUGUGGAAUGACAUUGGGUAUGAUUGAGAUUAUUAUGAUUAGAGUAAUUGAUUAAUGUGACUUGAGAAUAACAUUGUGCUUCGUUGGUUCUUUGAUAUGUUACAUACUAUGAUUUGCGGUAGUAUGUGAAACAGAGUGAUUUAUAUGAUGGAUGAAUUGGAAAGUAUCUGUGUGAGAAUGGGUUACAUGCGUGUAUGAAAUAUGAUAAUUGUUGUUAACGUAUGGUUGAUGUGUAAUAUGGUAUGGUGCCUUAUGAUUUUCUGUUAGAAGUAUUUUAUGGAAAGAUUAGAGUUAACGAUUGUGGAACUACGAAUGGCUUGAUCCCUAUUGAGUGUACGUAGGCAGUCUAACGAGGAGGUUAGAUGCAGCCAUAAAGUAAACGAAAAAUUACUUUGCAAUUUGAUUCUCGAGUUGUGAUUUGCCAUAUUCCGAAGAUGGGGUAUGUAAGUUAUAUGAGUAAUUGGAGACGUUACGUGUCGAUCCUGGACGUAUGUCGAGAUCGGGGCUUGACAAGCACAAUGUACUAGACCAGAUAUAGCCUUUUCAGUCAACUUGUUAGCCAGGUAUAGCUCUGCUCCAACAAUCCGUCAUUGGAAUGGUGUCAAAGAUGUAUUGCGAUACCUUCGUGGGACAACAGACAUGGGUCUCUUCUACUUAAAGAACUCCACAAAUGACCAAGUCCUUAUUGGAUAUGCAGAUGCUGGUUUCCUCUCUGAUCUGCAUAAAGCCCGCUCACAAACUGGAUAUGUGUUCAAGAAUGGAGAUACAUCAAUCUCAUGGCGCUCGACAAAGCAAACAUUAGUUGCUACAUCUUCAAAUCAUUCAGAAAUAUUUGCUUUACAUGAAGCAAGUCGUGAAUGUUCUUGGUUAAGAACAAUGAUCCAUCAUAUUCGGAAUUCAUGUGGUCUACCUUCAAAGACAGACACUCCAACUGUCAUUCAUGAAGAUAAUGCAGCCUGUGUUGCCUAAAUGAAGGAAGGAUUCAUCAAGGGCGAUAAAACUAAACAUAUAUCUCCAAAGUUUUUCAGUGCACAUAAGCUUCAGAAGGCUAAAGUUAUUGAAGUCAGACAAAUCCUAUCUAAUGAAAAUCUAGCAGACUUGUUCACCAAGUCCCUACCAAAAUGCACGUUUAAGAAGUUAGUGCAAAGUAUCGGAUUACGUCGACUUACCAAAUAGCUAAAUUUGGAGAAUACGAAAUCAGGGGGAGCAUCCAUAAUACAUGCAUGUUGUACUCUUUUUCCUUCGAUUAGGAUUUUUUCCCACUGGGUUUUUCCUAUCAAGGUUUUAACGAGGCAACAUAAGCAUACUUAACACUAUAUCAACAAUCCAGGUAAAGUUGUACUCUUUUCCCUUCGCUAUGGUUUUUUCUCAUUGGGGUUUUCCAAGCAAGGUUCUAAUGAGGCAACUGAUGUUGAUAUGUGGGCAUCCAAGGGGGAGUGUUGAAAAUGCUGGUGGGUAGUGAAUGCCCACAAUGCAUUUGGUAAAGUUUUCAAUGCCCAUGAAAUUUGGAAUAGACUUUGGCAAUGAAGGAUGUCAUUUUUCAAAACAUGCGAUGUAAAUUUUUCAAACUGUAUGAACUUGUUUGUAUGGAGCCGCUCUAUAAAUAGAGCGCUCCUACUACGGUUAAAGUAGAUAGAAAAACAUACAGCAGAAAACAGAAAGAAAGAAAUCUCUUCCUCCAUCUUUUAUUUGUUAUUCUCUUGUGCUAUCAUUUUCAGUGUGACAUUUUACACCUGCUUCAUUCCAUUCACUAAAAGGUUAUCUUUCUAACUUUGACAUAUUUAUAACAUAUAUAUAUAUAUAUGUAAUGGAGUAUAAUUCUCUCUCCUCUUUUUUUCCCUUCCCUUCCUUUUUAUUUGAACAGUUAUAUAUAUAUAUAUAUGUAAUGGAGUAUAAUUCUCUCUCCUCUUUUUUUCCCUUCCCUUCCUUUUUAUUUGAACAGUUACGGUUAAGCCAUGUCAACAUCUUAUAUUAAUUUUUUAUAGCAAGAGAUAGAUACUUCUGAUUCUGAUCCUGAACAACGACUCAAACCUAAGCGGGCAGCCCCAACCAGGAAAAGUACAAGUGCCCAAACCUCCAAGUCUUCCAAAGCUACUUCUGCUUCAAAGACCUCUAUUGCUGCCGUGGGUAAGAAAAAACAAAAAGCCCUCAGUAAGUAUCUUUUCCCUCAAUCUUUCAUCCAUACCUUACGCUUGGGAACCAACGGUUUGGUCCUUUUUGUAAUCAAGACCUUCGGUAUCCAAAUAACCCUCUUUGGUUUUAAAGGACGCUCCAUUGGAUGUAGAAAAGCAGCGAAGGGCCAAAGAUUACCAGGAUGUGGUUCUUGGAGAAUUAGAGGUAUAGACUGCCCCUAUUUUCUUAGAAUUCUUCCCUCUUUUUCUUUUUCUGAUAUCUCUUUCACCCGAUUAUCUGUAUCAGGAGAUUCGGGCAGAAAAGAUCUCUCCGCCCGAAACCUUUUCUCCUUCCGCCCGAUCAAGGCAUGCCCCUUUUUUCCAAGCAAAACCCACUUCGUUAGAGUUGACUCCGAUCUUUCAAUUUGAUCAUUCAACCGGGCAGAUGAUGCACUAUGUGGAAGAUGACAGUGAUUCAGUGAGUUUUUGUUCCUAUCAUCCCAUGUUUAAAACUCUUUUUCUGUACUUACUAUCCUUCAUUUCUUUCAGCCUACCCUGGUACAAGAAUUUCAGCACGUACCAACUUCUACUUUUAGAGAGCCAAUAGUUCCUGAGAUCCAUGUAGUGUCUGAGGUGACUAAUCCACAGGUUUCUCAGGCACUCUUUACUAAUCCGCCCAAGGUUCCUGAGUUACAUGUUUCUCAACCUCAAUUUCCUCCACAAGUAUAUUUGUGAACUUCCCGUUUUUUCUCUUCUUUAGCUACUGGCCUUCACUUCUUCUUUUACUUUUGCAGGCUUCUGUUGAAGUCUUGGGUACUUCAUCUCCUACCCCAGUAGGUGAAGAUAACCCCCUCUAACAAUCACAAGAAAUUACUCCAUCUCCACCUCUUUCUAGAGCUCCGGGUUUAUUUCAGGUAUAUUGACUUUUUGUAUUUUAUCUUUUCCUGGCUUGGACAACCUCUCUCUUAUCAUUUAUGUCUUGUUUGCAAUAGGAUUCCGGAGAGGGCUCGGGCAAGUCUCAUCCACGCUUGGUGCGUAAAUGAGAUCUUCCACACCCUCAUUCGAUCUUCGAAGUUACAGAUGCUUCUAUCUCUAGGCCUGAACAGCGAGCCAAGACUAUUGUAGCAACUUCUUCCACUUCUGCUCCUGCUUCUUAGGACCAUCCCACUCCACCUCCUAAAGUUGUCCCUACUGUUAUGACUGAAAGUGUUAGAGAUUUGCCCCCGACUUCAUCAACAACAUCGUUGCCCGAUCUAAUGAAGAAGUUCGGUCAGACCAAAAACAAACUACAAUCUUCUCCAACAUCUUCUGAGCUUCCUUCAUUUCAGCGUGCUCGCAAUCUUUUCAAGGACUAGACAAAAAGAGGGUUCACAGCUUCUUUUAAUCUUAAGGUCCUUUAUGAUGCAGAAAAAGCCAUUUCUGAACUUCACCAAGCUGAGUUACUGCCCCCAGCUCAAUACAAGUCUUUUAUGAGUUUCUUCGAGAAUUUACGAGCAUUAAUGGAUUAGCAUCUUAAGGCAGAGCGAGCAUCUAAUAGAGUAAACUGCUUUCAAGAAAAGCAUGUGAAGAGUACAAUCGUGCUCCGACAAUUGGUAGAGAAUGAAUCAACAAUGGAAACAAGGAUUUUAGUGGUUGAUUCUGAAAUUCAGAGUUUGGAGGAACAACUUUCAUUAUUCAAGCUGAAAAGAUGACAUUCACCAACCAAUUCUCCCAGAAAGUAGAGGAGAUGGAGAAAGCCUCUUAAGAGGUUGAGGACUCUGAGAAUCAACUAGUAAAUAGCAAUAUGUACUUAGGAGAGCCAGAUAUAAUUUUUGCUGUUAUGCCAACUUACUUCUCUAGAAUAGUUGCUCUAGCCGAAGAUGUAAAUUUGUUGGGUUAAGAUUUCUGUAAUCCCCUUAUGAAAUGGAAUCUUCUUUAAUCCGCAUCCCUAUUUUUGAUUUUCAAUAGCAGAAGUUUCUUUCCUCCUUUCUAAUUUUUGAUCAACUUCUAGAUCAAUUAUGGUUUCUGUUGGGGAUACCUCUAUCUCAUGUCUCUGUUGGUAUUGAUUUGUACAAACAUCCACCCCUUUAUUACAGCUGUUUUGGACUUGUCGGGUAGUUAGAGAGCUCCCUCCAUAGGAUUAUUCAUCCUACUUUUGUCUCCCAAGUGGCUUUUUGCUUCUCCCUUCUGGCCCAUGUUAAGCUGAUCACGUUGAAUAGGGCUUUUGGGAAAAGAUCUGUGUCAAUCAUCAUGUUGGUAUGAGGUUUCUCUAAUAGCAACUUCCCUUUAACCAUGAGAUCUUGUAUCCAAUCUCUGAACUGGACACAAUUGGUGAUAGAGUGGUUGAAGGUGUGGUGCAACUUACAAUACUUUUUCCCCUUUAACUCCUCGUGUUUAGGUAGAUUCUUAGUACUGUCGGGCACAAUCACUCUUGCUCUUACUAGCUCCUCAUAUAUUUCUGCAGCUUUGGUUAAGUCAAAGGAAUAACUCUGGUAUUUUGGAGGUUUCAUGGGGAUAAAUCCUCCAUCAUUCAUCACUACCUUCUGAUCUUUAACCGGUUGGACCAAUCCUUUUACCAUCAAGGGUUUAAAGGGAGUGGUCAUCUCUGCCGCAUACAUGUCUAUUGCUUCUCUAAGUUCUCUCCCAUGACCAUCGUUUUCUUCUGGUCGUUCCUCAAACUCUACUUGGUGAAUGGCAGCUUUAUUUCGAUAGAAAGGUGGUGCUUUAGAGGAGUGUUUCAGUUGUUGGUCUUCAAGCAACAAUUUCUCAUAUUUGGUAGCAGCGAUCACCAACUCUUGCAGUUCAUUAAACUAUACAUCAUAAAACUUCUUUCUCAAGGGUAGACUUAAGGCUUUCUGAGCAAUAGCUAUAAGUUGGAUAUGGUUAAUGGGAAACUAGCAUCUCAUCCUUAUCCUUAUAAACCUCAUAAUGAAAUCUUCUAUAGAUUCAUGCUCAUAUUGUUUCACUUCGACUAGAUCGUUAAUGGUCAUUUCUGGCUCCAUCCUGUAAAACUGCUCAUGGAAAGUCAUCUCUAUUUGCCCCCACUUAGCGAUGGAAUUUGGGGGUAACAAAGAGUCCUAUUGAGAUGCUAAGCCUACGAACGAAUUCCCAAAUAACCUCAUCUUAUAAUUGGGAUUGUCUUCGAACGCCACACAAUGGUUGGAGAAUUUAAAGAUGUGAUCCCUGGAUGACACAUUAUUGUCCUUUCCACUGAACGUUGGGAAUGCGGGCAUUUUGAAGUUAAGAGGAAAGGGAUUUUGUUCAUCAAUGACCUCUGGGUAGGGCUUUUGAUAAGCAAUUCUAAAUAGUGGGCGAGCUUGUGGUUCGGCAUUCCUUACUACCAUUCUUCUUAAUUCAUCUAACUCAUCUCUAAGUUGUUGAUUGGUUGUAUUAUUAGGCGGAGUAUGAGGACGUGGUUCCCACUUCGGGCUACAAUCAUUGCCCGAGGUAUUCUCUUUCCUUGUGUCAGGCCUCCUCCAUUUAGGUUCUCCUCCCUUAUCAGUCAUUGGCGGCGGUCUAUAAGGAAGUGGUUUGUCUACCUUGGCGGGUUCUCCCUUCCUACUAGAUUCCCCAAUCAACUGAGGCAUCCCAUAUUUUGCUCUCUCUUGCCCGACCUGCCCCCUAUUAUUUAGUGAAAACAGGGGGUCGGGUAAUUCUGUUACCAGAAUUUCUUCCAAAACCAGAUGACUCGCUCUGGAUUCUUCCUUGUUCUUCCCUUUAUCCUUCUUUUCCUCAAAUAUAGGAAAUAGAGGAAUAAUUGGCUCCUUCACGAGACUGGCUUCAUUUGUCAUUGUCCUAGCAUGAUCAUUUUCUAAAGUAGGGUAUUCCAGAUCUAGCCUUUUUUGAAAAUUUCCUGUUAAGGAAUAGAGUCUGCUUAUGUCUUCCCUUGUCUUUCGGGAGUUUCCCUCCAUGCUCUGAGAGCUUCUUUCCAUGCUUUGGGAGUUUCUCUCCAUGCUUUUUAUAACAGCCAUCAUGGUGGCUUAUAGGUCUUUCUUUGUAACUUUUCUUUCUGACUUCUCAGAAUAAGUCGGGCUUUCUAUUAAGACGAGUCCUUGCAAGUCUUCGGGGAGAUUUUCCAUGCUGGAUCUUGGUGUGUAGUGGGGUGAUUUCUGUUUUGCUCCCCACCUGAAGGUUUGAUCCUUCCUUCGCCUUAUUGGCAUAUAAGAUGAGAUCCCACCGGGCAUGCCAAAACUAUGUUCGGGCAGGAAUAUCACUGGUGGGCGUUCCUGGUUCGAGCACACAGCUCCCUGAGGAGUUGGCACUUUGGUUGAUUGUCGGUCUCCUGCUCGUUACAAUGCUGCAAAAGGAGAACAAAGUUAGUUUCAAAAAUGUGCCUAUGCAAAGCCUUAGGUAUAGGCUUUGGAGGUUCACAAUCAAAACUAACAUUAAGUUCUUACGCGUGCCACUACCAUCUUUGUAUGGCAGAUGUAAAACAAGUGUAUUUAAGCUGAUUACUUGCGCCCCAAGUUACUCUGACUUCUUGUUAUCAAAUGAUUAUCGUAGAUGGGUUAAGUCUACAUUAAGUUCUGUUUUAUGCCUUGAGGUCAAGGACUUUUGUUCAUCUUGUAUGCUUUAAAGAGUGAAUAUCCAGAUAUGGCUGAAUUGUUUUAUUUCAAUAGUAAUGCCUAAAUGAUACGCUUUGAACCACUAAAAGACUGGAAAUAACUUGGAUAUAUAUCGAAUGAUGCAUGAUAAUACUAGAUCUAUUAGGUAAGGAACAAAACAAAGGGAAUCGAGCUAGAUUUAACCUUGUCGGGCAAGGUUGAAUCUUGUACACCGUCACUUCUUUGUAAGUACAAAGGUUUGGGGAGAAAAGGGAGUGAAUGAUGAGCAGGGUGAACAUAAGAGAAUCAAUACUACUAUGGUUGAAAAAGUAGCAGAGCUAUUAAAUUAGACAAAAGAUGGCUUUUGUGAGGGCUGAUCCUGAAAAUGAUUGAGGUUGGGGGCUGACUACAACUUCGUAGGCAAAUCUGGCUUAAGCAGAGUUUGUGUAGUUGUUUGUUUGAUUGGUUGAGUGUCCUUGUCUCUGGGCCUUCUUCCUCCUUUUAUAGCCGAAUUAUCCUGACUGCUUGCAACUUGGCUCCUGCCCGAAAGCAACUGAGGGGUAGUGACUCAUCAGUAAUUUACGUACUCUGCCAUUCAGAAAAUGCUUUUGGGCUGAGAGUAGGCUAAUUUCCAUCAAAUGUCAUUUCUUUCAAGCUACUAGCCUUUGCAUUUAAUGUGGAAUCAUCAUUUUGCCUUAGGCUGGGCGAAUGGAUAUGAUGCUUGUCCUUCGGGCAGAGUCAUGUCUUCUGGGCUUCCUUUUGGGCUUCUCUUCCUCCAACCCAAAAUUCAAAUAUUAACCCAAACAAUAAGCACUUGAAGUGCUUUUGAAACCACUAAACAUUUUCUUUAAAAACGUUUACAAUUAAAAAAACCCUAUAUUACAACUUCAUCCGAUACAAACUCUUAAUAUAUUGUAUAUAUUCUACUUUCGUUGAUAGUGAGAGUAAUCAAAUGCCUCUCUUUUUUUUCUUUUUUUCUUUUUUUUGCUACAAACAUAUGGUUUGCUACUCCCCUAUUAGUGAUGAUACACAUCUCUCUCAAAGAGAUACGGUUAACUAAAAGCUUACGUCGUACUAGAAUUAGAUCAAGUGACUGCACAAACGAAACUUGAAUAUUGCAAGGUGUACCUCUAGUUAAUGUUCUUAACAAUUUAUAAACUUCUUGUAAACCAAGAUCAAAUUUUACGGUGGUAAAGUUGUAGCAAUUCAUUCAUGAACAUUAAAGUACAUGGAACACCAUCGCAUAGUAUCGUGGCAGAUAUUAUUGAAUAUUAUAACACUUGUUAACCCUAAUAGCUCUCCUAACCAACACGAGGAACCUUAGUGACGACUCCGCGUUCAUUAAUCCAGACCCAGACCUUAUCGCACCCUCUGUCCCUGGUGGUCGCAGACCCUUCCAGUUACACGAUUGCCCGAACACCGUGAUUCUCUUGCUCUAUCUUUGCCGCCGCAUCUUUCCCAUUUUUUCCCACCAGCUCUGGCCAUGACUUACCUGCACCCACACAGACACACACAUAUAUAACAAAACAAAUAAAUAAACUCAUGAUGAAGUACCAGUAAUCCCACAAUUAUAGUAGUUUUACCUGGACACUCUGCCAUUCUAGCUUUUUUCUCACACACUGAUAUAUUUUGUGUUAUCAAACUUUUAUGGGUUGGUAUUUAUAGAUAGAUUGGAGGGCUUCAAGUUUGGUUCUAAAAGUUUCAAGCAUGCACGCAGUCGUGUCAAUGUAUAUAUGCCGAUGUGUUCGAAUGAUGACAAUAGCUAGAUCUAGAUGUCAAUCAAUUGUGCGAGGUAUGUUCAUAUGCCUUUCGUUCGUGCAUGUAAUGUUGUUGUGAUUUGUGCAUGUUUGUGUUAAAUAGCUCCAUAUCCACAUGCAAGCUCAUCCAAAAUCAAAUCAAAAGGUAUCAAAUUGAUAUUUACAUCUAAUUUGAGCGGCUCCGUUUGGAUUCUUCCCCAUCAUUUCUUUGGACUUUAUAUAGUUCAAGAAUUUUCGGGGGUUUAUUGCCACGCGCUGUUAGUGAUCUACAUCAAUGUUAUGAAUUUACUUAAAUUUAACAUUAAUAAUAUAACUUGGAUUCAUAAAAUAUUAAUUUUGUUGUUCAUUAUAUUAUAACAUUUUAUUAUUACUAUUUUUUUAAGGAAAUGACAUAUAUAUUUGAUCCAAUGUAAAGGGGAUGAUAUAAAAUUCACAUAUAUGAAUAACAUGACUCUUAUAUGGGUACUAUCUAAAAAUUAAAAAUGAUAAUCUCUAAUGUUGUAAGACUUACCAUGUAACACAUUCUGUGAAAAAUAUGAAAUUAAAAACAACCUUAAAUCACAUUAACAACAUUAGAACUCUGAAAAAUCUCAUAAAUUUAAGAAUCGCAUUAACAACACUAGAACUCGACAAAUCUGAGAAAUAAUUUAGACUUACCCAUGUAGCAUAUCCUGAGCAAGCUUCCAUAGUUCAUCACUGUUCUAAAAAUCUCCGCCUAACAUCGCCUAGACUUUGCCUAGGCGUUAAGUAGUUGGCCACUGUCCCGAUUAAUCCUUAGGUGUUUGAAAAUUAAGAAAGUGCACAUAGACCUACUUAGGCACCCACCUAGACCACGUAGGCGCUCGCCUAGCCUGUCCAGAAUCGCCUAGGUUGCGACUCUCACAUAGACAGAAAAUAGAUAACUUUCAUUUUGCUUUUAUUGUUUUAAGUAAAUGUUUUUAAUGAACACACAUUAUUGUUGCCGUGAGUAGUAUUAAAAAGGGCAUGUAAUUAUAUUGUAAAUAUUAGAAUCCUUUAUUAGGAAGGUUAGUUGUGUGUCUUUUUGUGUUUUCCUUAUAAAACAAGGAUUGUAUCUUGUAUAUAUAGUCUAUUUUGCAAUACAAUGAAAAUUAAGCCGUAAAAUUCAAUUUGGCAUCAGAGCCAAGCGUAACCCUAAAGUUCCCACCGUGCCGCUGCUACCGUAAAACCAGAAGAAAAAAAAUCUCUGCAAAUCUGUGAUCUCUGCUGCAACUUUGUAGCGAGUCAAGAUUGCCCGUGUGUGUAUUGUUGCUAUCGUGGGAAACAAGAAUCACAGCAGGUUUAGUUUUUUUGUCGCUGCCUACCUGCAUCAAGACCAGUUAUCGUGUAGUGUGUGUGCGCGCGUCGUGCAGUGUGCUUGUCGUGCAGUGUGUGUUUGUUCUGCAAUUGCUGGGAUAUAUGUCGUGUAAGAGCUACAGACAUGGAAGCUUUCUACUGCUGUCGUGAGUAAGUCAAACUGUGCAGCCGUGUGGUUUUUUGCUGCGAUUUCCUCUGCAGAAAAAAAAGGCUGAUGUGGUGUGGUGUUAUGAUUGUCGUGUAUUACUGUCUCGUGAGUUAUUAUAAUGACGAAUGCAGGUUGGAUUCUAGACUCGGGUGCAACCGAUCAUAUGACUUUUGAUAAGAAUUUAUUUACUAGUAUGACAACCAGUUCAUGAAAGUGUAUUGCAACUGCUACCGGAACAAUAACACCAGUUUUGGGGGCCGGCACUGUGAACCUCACGCUAGCCCUUCCCCUCCAUCACUGCCUACUUGUUCCCUCAUUGUCUCAUAAUUUGUUAUCUAUUCCUCAAGUUACUGAGCAAUUAGACUGUGUUGUACAUAUGUAUCCACUGUUUUGUUUGCUUUAGGAUAUUCAGACCAAGGAGAUAAUUGGGCAUGACACUAAGAGAGAGGGGUUAUAUUAUGUGGAGGACGUCGUUCCUGGCAGAGCUAAUGCAGUUUGAGCAUCCCGUACCAGUAAUUUACAUGAAGUUUGGUUAUUGCAUCGUCGGUUAGGACAUGCUUCGUUUGGGUAUUUAAGGCGUAUGUUGCCUAGUUUAUUUCAUGAAAUAAAAGAAUCAGACUUACAUUGUGAGGUAUGUAUUCUCGCGAAAAGUCAUCGCAUUUCGUUUCCUCCUAGUAUGAAUAAAAGAUUGUUUCCUUUUGAACUUGUGCACUCUGAUGUCUGGGGUCCCUCUCGUGUUAGUACUUUGUCUGGAAUUAAAUGGUUUGUUACCUUCGUUGAUGAUUGCACUCGUGUGACUUGGAUUUAUGUGAUGAAGAAUAAAAGUGAUGUGGGUAUGGUGUUUCGAUCAUUCUCUCAAAUGGUUGCAACACAAUAUUCCUCUGUUAUUAAGGUUUUCCGCUCUGAUAAUGGAGGUGAGUAUAUUGGUUCCGAGUUGUCCGGCUUUCUUCGGGAUCAAGGAAUUCUACAUGAGACUACUUGCCCUCAUACCCUACAACAAAAUGGGGUUGCUGAAAGAAAGAACCGUCAUAUCUUGGAAAUUGCUCGUGCCUUGCUCAUUGGUGCAUCUGUACCUAAACAGUUCUGGCCUGAAGUUGUCACCUAUGCCGUGUUUGUGAUUAACCGUAUGCCAUCCCGGGUUGUGGAUUUUCGUACACCUCUCCAAGUAUUGACAGAAUUUGUUCCAGUAGUGUCAACUAAUACUCUUUCUCCUCAUGUAUUUGGGUGUGUAGCCUAUGUUCAUAUUCAUAAGAUUCAUCGUAGUAAGCUCGAUGUUUUUCUGGGAUUUGCUCCUCAACAGAAAGGGUAUAAGUGCUACCACCCUGAAACUCGUCAUAUAUAUGUAACUAUGGAUGUUACCUUUUCCGAAUUUGAGUUCUUUUAUGCUUCGACUCCAUCACCUUCCGAUCACCCGGGGGAGAAUAUGAGUGGUGAUCUUGGGUGGUUGGAAAUAUGUAGCUCAGGGGGAGUAUUUAUUGACAAAAAAAACUAUGAAAGCUCUCGGCAAGACACUAUCGAGAAUGAAGACAGUGAAUUUCGACAAGACACUGCCGAGAAUGUGAGUAUCAUUCAGCCAAGUAGCACCGAACCAGUUGAGUCUUCUCGGCAAUGUGCUACAGAGUGUGAUGGAGAGUGUCAGUAGGAAGCUGCCGAACCAGUUUCACUGCUCCAGCAACCAUUAGCUACCGAACCCCCAACCCCCUCUCUCUCAAGCUCAAUAGUGCCACCCAAUAUGUCUUCUUUAAAUAUUCCUGAGGUAAGUACUACUAAUACUUAUGUAACUAAUCCAGAUAAUGUUAUGAGUACAUAUAAGUUGCCUCCAAGGAAAAAUUGUGGUGUUCCUCCUGACAGGUUUUCUCCUGAAGGAAAAGUGAAGUAUCCAAUAGCUAAUUAUGUGUCAUGCUCAAACCUUGCACCAGAACGUCAAGCCUGGGUAUAUAAGGUGGAAGCAAUCAAAGCACCAACCCGAGUUGAGGAAGCCUUGAAGGAUCCUAAAUGGGCUGCUGCGAUGGAUGAGGAAAUGAUGGCACUAUAUAAGAAUGAUACAUGGGAGGUAACGGAGCUACCUAAAGGAAAGAAACCAGUUGGGUGUAGAUGGGUCUUUACGAUCAAAUACAAGGCAGACGGAUCGGUAGACAGGUAUAAAGCAAGGUUAGUAGCAAAAGGUUAUACUCAAACUUAUGGUGUUGAUUAUCAGGGGAUUUUUUCUCCAGUAGCGAAGAUGAAUACAGUACGAGUUCUGUCUUUAGCUGCAAAUUUGAAUUGGCCACUAAAACAGUUUGAUGUAAAAAAUGCUUUUCUUCAUGGGCACUUGGAAGAAUAGGUAUAUAUGGAUUUUCCUCCAGGGUACUAUGCCGAAGGGAAAACCGGAGUAUGUAGGUUGCGAAAAUUACUCUGUAGACUUAAGCAAUCGCCUUGUGCGUGGUUUGGUAGAUUUACCCAAGUUAUGAGGCAGAUUGGGUAUUAUCAAAGUCACUCGGAUCAUACACUAUUUGUGAAACGGAGAAGUGGUAAAGUGACAGCCUUAAUUAUUUAUGUAGAUGAUAUGAUAAUAACAGGUGAUGAUUCAGAUGAAAUGGUCAAACUGGAGAAGGAUCUUUCUGCCGAGUUUGAGAUGAAGAGUUUAGGUGACUUGAAAUAUUUCCUUAGUUGCUCGUUCGUCCAGAGGUAUUUUCUUGUCUCAACGGAAAUAUGUUCUGGAUUUAUUGAAGGAAAUAGGGAUGCUUGGGUGUAAACCCGUGGAUACUCCCUUUGUGGAGAAACAUUACUUGGGAAUUUAUCCGGAUCAAGAACCAGUGGAUAAAGGCAGAUAUCAGAGACUGGUAGGAAGACUAAUUUACUUAGCACAUACCUGUCCGGAUAUAGCCUAUGCAGUAAGUGUGGUGAGUCAAUUUAUGCAUUCACCAAGUGUGGAUCAUAUGGCAGUUGUUAUGCGGAUUUUAGCUUAUUUGAAGUCGGCUCCAGGAAAAGGAAUUCUGUAUAAAAAUUCUGGUCAUCUGAGGAUUGAAGGAUUUACUGAUGUUGAUUGGGCAGGUGAUGUAACUGAUAGACAAUCUACUUCUUGAUAUUUUACGUUUGUUGGUGGAAAUCUGGUUACUUGGAGGAGCAAAAAGCAAAACGUGGUGUCAAGAUCGUCAGCUGAGUCCGAAUUCAGAGGAAUGGCACAUGGAAUAUGUGAAGUCCUUUGGUUACGUAAGUUACUUGAUGGUCUAGGUUUCAAAGUAAAGGAGGCGACAAGUUUGUAUUGUGAUAAUAAAUCUGCACGGGAGAUUGCAGAGAACCCGGUACAACAUGACAAAACAAAGCAUGUGGAGGUUAAUCGUCAUUUCAUUAAGGAGAAGCUGGAGAAAACAUUGUUUCAAUACCAUUUGUGAACUCGGAAGAGCAACUUGCGGAUAUCCUCACUCAUGCUGUUUGUAGUAGAUCUUUUGGUGACUCACUUGUUAAGUUGGGCAUGUAUGAUAUCUAUGCUCCAACUUGAGGAGGAGUGUUGCCGUGAGUAGUAUUAAAAAAGGACAUGUAAUUAUAUUGUAAAUAUUAGAAUCCUUUAUUAGGAAGGUUAGUUGUGUGUCUUUUUGUGUUUUCCUUAUAGAACAAUGAUUGUAUCUUGUAUAUAUAGUCUAUUUUGCAAUACAAUGAAAAUGAAGCCAUAAAAUUCAAUUAUUAUAUGGUUGUUCCCCAUAUUUUCAUGAAAUUAUGUAUUUUUAAGUAUAAGCAAACAUUUCAUUUAUACGAUAUAUAAUAAAUUUAUUUACAUCCACUUAGGUCUUGCCGCCACCUAAGCGCCAAGCCCCCAUCUGUCGUCAAACUAGUGCCUAGCGUACUUAAUAAACUUUCACUUUAUUGCUACAUUAAAGCUAAAGAAAUUUUUGGAACCACAAAUUUGGCUCAGUAAAACUUUAAAAUCCAGGCAGAGACCAAUAUCAGAGAUCCAAUUAUUUGAAAAGAGAUAUAGGCUUGUAGCUGAAAAAAAGGUUCUAAAUACUUGGGUUGAGAUCCUUUUCGAAUUCGUCUGUACCCUUUAAUCUUAGCCAUUCACAUAGAUAAUGUGGCCAGGAAUUUGUUUUAAUAUUUUUUUAGGGUGUGGCCUUUACACACUUAUUUUAAUUCACUCACACACUAAACUAUUAUUAAACAAUCAAAAAAUACAUGAGAGGUAAAAGUGGGUGGUAAAAAUCACCAAUUUUUUUAAGUUUUCCAUGCAAAACGAGGGACCCCUUAGUCUAUUUUCUGACAUCAGAAUGAACUAGCGCCUUCUUUUGGCCCAUGCAUUUCUCUUCAUCUUUCACUCUUUGGGGCAAGAAUUUUUCUAUGUACCCAAAGAAUGAGCUGAUAUACAAUGUGUUAUAAACAUAGUGGAGGGACACUAAAAAGUAUAUUCAUCCCUGUAUCAUGACAUAUAGUAUACCAACUCAUGUUCCGGACACACUAAAAAAUCUCUCUUUUUGUGCAAUGUGCAAAGACAACUUUGCUUCCAUUAAAUUAAAGGGUUAAUUGCAUUUUACACCACAAGGUUUGUAGUCAUUUGCAAAAUGAGUCACGAGAUUUCAAUCAUCGCAUAUUACACCAUGUGGUUACUGAAUUAGAUCAAUUUAACCUCUUCGUCAAUUUCAUCAUCUAAUUGGAUAUUUAAUGUUGAUGUGUGAUAGUAUGGGCUCGCCUUUGAAGCACAUGUUGACCAUCAAUUUCAUCGUUUAGUACUUUACUCUUUUAAUCUUGUAUGAAAAUGAAGGUCAACAUGUGGAGCGUCAGCAUUUGGAUUUGUUGUAUUGAAUGGAGAGUCGCAUGUAAUAACCCUUUUGAAGGCAGCUAAAACAGCAGAAAUCCGAAGGUCGCAACUGCAUAAGAGAGCGGGAACACCCUACAUCCAAAUCUACCAUCCUAAGAAGAAGACAUGGAGAUCUCUCAUAACAAAGUCACCUUUCCAUUACAGCUUGGAUUUCAAUACUGCAGCAAUGAGCACCAUUCGCUUGUGAAUCUUGAUUCUUAUUGCUUGUACUUGUGUUGUAUUGAUAAUUGUACCGAUUGAUGUGCAGCGCUGUCUAUAUUGGUUCAUCGGGGUCAUUGCUGCUAGCAUAUUUGUAUAGUCUUGAAUGUACAGCUAGCAGACCGAUACAAAUACCUCACCUGUUAGUAAAGCGGUAAUUAGAUAAGGUUGAAUACAUUUGAGUUUCAUAUAUUGUAUCAGUUCUUUUUCCAGAGAACAGAUAAGUAUGUGUGUGUGUGUGUGUG
rnacentral:lncRNA from 1 species